rnacentral:lncRNA from 1 species
AGUUCUUUAAUUAGUGGACACUUUCAUAUUCAUAUAUCAAUGCAAGGCGGGAUAAGAUGCAGGUGAAUGCCUUUAUUUUGUUUCUUUAUGAUCUUCUCCUCUAUUUAAUUAUAGAUGCAUUGUAUAGGGUGAACUUGCUUUCCUGACAACCGGUAUAGCACUUAAUCAGGCAAGGUGUGAAGAAGUGUGCUUAAAUGCUUGCUCUAUUUAUGUGUUUACUGCAUACUAUGUCAUACAAGUUGCCACUUUCGAAUCUUCCCUCUUUUAGGCACGUGUUAUAUAUUGGUAAAUGUGUGCAGUACAUAGUUUUCUUUCCCAGGUGCUUGUAUGAUCUUUGUAAUAGAAUCUUGUUGUCCCAACCAUCUAUUUUCCUGGUACGAGAGAUUGUCAGAUUAUGUUAUCCAUUGUCGCUACGUCCCAAUUGUACUUGUGAUAAACUUGAGGUGCUUUGGAGAUUUGUUCUGUCUAUUUACAUUUCUUAGUUUUUUUGUGAAAAGUGCCUCCAUGGGAUUAGCGAGGUGUAUUUGUGCUUACCCCUUUUUAGUGUCUGGUCAAGCCAAUGGACAACGAGCAUUAUGUACCAUUGAAGCGAUAAAGUUGUUAAUUGUCCCUCUGUAUUCCUAAGUUAGAUCUCUAAUAAAUUAAGAAGUGUUUAUUUGUCAGUAGGUUCUCAUCGUCUGCUUAGGCAAAAUAUAUCAUGGUCAAAGCAUGUGAAAUAUUAGUUCUCGGUGAAAAGAUGAAGGUUUCACAUAUAUAGUAAUGCUUUCACCUCACUUGUCAUGCUGUAAUGAACAUGUUUUUGGUGCAACUUGAUUAGAGAGGGCCUACAAGUUUGUCAAGUUUGCGUUGUAUGCUGAAUAUAAUUUUGUUAGAUUGCUAUUGCAGCUGUAUGAUCUUGAUCCCAGUAGGUCAAGAUUGCAUUUUUGUUGUUGAACUGGGAUUCGUCAAUGUUGUUUCAUAUUGGAAGUCUGUUUGCAUGUAUAUUGUUGAGGUUUUUGCUGAUCUGAAUUAUGAAAAUUUCUUUGUUAACAUCUUGGCACUGUACAAUUUAUUAUUUGUUAACUUCAUAGCCCCAGAGAGAAAUGAGAGAAAUUGUACAAUGACAUUGGCAUUUUGUUGAGGUUUUCGCUAAGGUGCUCCUCUCUAUAUAUGUUCGUCUUAAUAUCAUCACCACACACAUUUACAUUUGGUAAUAUAUGAGUUUUCUAAACACUGUGUACAGAUGUUAACACGGGCCAUGAGGAUUUAGAUCAGGAAGAAAAAUCAUGGGUGGAAGCUACUGACCAUGCGGAUUUACAUUAGUGACCUUCACUCGGGCUAUAAGUAGGAUAUAAUGCAGUAAAGACUUCUAUUCUUGCGGCUCUGGUUAGCUGCACACGUGAAUGGCUGCUAAGAAAACAUGCCUCAAAAUGUAGAGAAGGUUUCUGAGAUAUGCAUGACAGAUAUCUUGCUACUUUGCCAUUUUGUAGGUAGAUAUGUAAAAUAUAAAAAUGUAUAUUGUUAUUAUGUUCUAUCCUAUCUUGAUCAUGAAAUUAAGUCAAUUUCUACUAUUAUUUUCAUGUGUUUGGGGAUAGGAUUCUGAAAGCUUAUAAACUUAUUUUAAAAGUUUGCCUAAUAAUUUAAGCAUAUAAGUUGAAAUUCAGUAAAACAUUCCCACUUGAUAGUUCUGUUCUUAUUCCCGUAAAUGUUAAUCCAAGUGUCAUAAAUGACACAAGAUGCUUAGAUUUUAAUGGGAUGUCAAUGAUGUCAUGUUAUAUAAAUUUUCGAGAUGGAACAUAUCUCAGAAGAUUUCUCUAUUCGUGCUCCGGGUGGAGAUUUCAAUGUACUAUGCACGUAAAUUUUGAUUUGGCAUGCACUAGAUAUUUUGGUGGCCUCAAGCCCUCAACCCUCUGCAUCGUCCGGGUCCUCUGUGCGUGCUCUCAUCCGCGUUGCCAAGGGACGCCUCCUCCUGCGGCGCUCCUGUCCAAUAUUUUGUUUAUGCAAAAAAUUCUUACCAUCACCUCACCUGUUUGGACAAUUAGAUGAGCUCUACAAUUUGGUUCUGUAUCCUUCAGAGGGAACACAUUUUUCGUGAGUUAGUCAUGCUACCAUAGUAACAUAAACUCUUACUCCAUAGUUACAAUCCAUAAAAUGUGGUGAGAUGCAAUGCUAAGCAAAUGGAAGAUAACCGUUUGUACCGGAAAAGGGUCAACUACAGUAUUUUCCCCACUAAAAGAGAUGGAUAUUAUCAUCGUCCGUGGUGCAUUUUGUUUGCAUUUUCCUGUGAUAGAAAUGGGUGCAUUUCAUUUACAUUUUUCCAUGCUGGAUUUUAGAUACGAUGUUGAUGCCUACAAUUUUUAUUACCAAAUUUAUGUGGCAGAUGAGAAUUGAUACAUUACAACCCUCAAACUUGUUGUUUUUUUGUAUAUUUAGGAACAUGAUACUACAGUUGACCUUUUCGCAUAAUAAAAAUUGACUGCAAUGGAGAUGAUGCCUGUGAUUUUAGUCAGCUAAUGUUGAUGCCUGUGAUACUCCACCGCCCUCCUUGCCCUCCUCCUCCUUGCCCUCCUCCUCCUCACCCUCCUCCUCGCCCUACUCCUCCUCGCCCUCCUCCUCCUCACCAUCAGGAACAUACUCCUCCUCCUCAGACUCAGAAGGUGGCUCAGUAUAGGAGGGCAUCGAAGAAGACCCCCCUAUUUCGGACAUGGCCCGAAGUUUUUUGACCCGGGUGCCUCUCCCCCAUCCUCCUCCUCUAAGGGCUCUCCCCCACCCCCUCCUCCUCUAGGGUCUCCUCCCCCGACCCCUCGACCUCCCUGUGAGGUGUCAUCAUCACGUAGUCAGGGGGAACCUUGUGGGCUCGUCCACUCCGAGUAAGUGAUUUGAAUUUGUUGAGGAAACCGGCGCCGCUGGACUUGCCCAUGAUUAGCAAACCUGCAUUGAGAAGAGAAUAAACAAUCAGUAAGGAUAUCAAAUAAACAAGCAUACAAAAAACAUUAAUAAUAGAAGAGCACAUUAAGAAUAAAGAAAAGAACAUUAAUAACAUAAGAGCACAUUAAGCAUACUAUUGUAAUCUACCUCAAUCAUCUUUAAAAGAACUUACAUUUUCUAGAAACCAUAUGAAUCAUCACUAUUGUAAUCUAUUUGUCGACCGGUCUCAUCAUCACUAUCACGCAUAUCAUCUUCGCUGUCUGACGGAGGUGGAGGCUCUUCCUCAUUAUCAGCGUCUUCGUUUAACUUUUCAAGCAUAAUCAUGUCUCUUUGAUUCACAACUGCUCACCAUCAGUCCAUGCGUGAUGGGGUUUAUGUUAUAGUAACCAUCAUCGUUCGGGUCCGGUAGCUUACCAUGUGGAGACACCUUGAACACAACUUUCCAACCCUUUAGGUACUCUUUCUGGCAUGGGUAAGGAAGAUAAUAUACUUGUGUGGCCUGGGUAGCGGCGAUAAAGAGAUCAACUCCGUCAUAGAAGGUUGAUGGUUUAACUUCAACUAAACCAACACAAGGCAUAUGUCUCAGACCCUUUUUGGGGUCGAACCAUCGGCAUUUUAACACAGUGAGACUUAGGGGUUCGCGACCAUGUUUGAAUGUAAGCUCGUAUAUUUUUCCUACCCUUCCGUAGUAAUCUACUUUAUUAUCUCCUUCGGUGAAGACUCCGGUAUUUAUAGUUUUGGGAUCAUGCCGACUGUUCUGUUGCUCCUCUGUAUGGAAGCGAUACCCAUUCACAUCAUACUUUUCGCAUGUCAUGACCCGACUGUCAAAACUCAUGGAAACCCAUCUCAAUUCUUCAUCCAUUGAUGUGUUCGGAUCUUUUCCGUACAAGUUUAAUUAAAAUUAUAGGGUGCAUGAGUUUAAUUGGAAUUGUAGGGUGAACUAGGUAACUGGGAAGGGUGAAAAUUUACUUUCUCCAUGAACCACGUAACAAAAAAUUUCCUUCCAUUGGAACCCUUUUGCAGAAGAGCAAGUGCCUUCGGUUCAGUAGGAGGCAGCAUUCCCAUCCACUCUUCAUCAACGAAUCGACUAAAAUAGGAAAAGCGGUAUUAGAACGAGGCAAAGUGAACAUAACGAAUUGACUACAAGAAUGGUGCAAAGGUAUUAACUCAUCCACUCAUCCUCAACUUCCUUGAUGUUGUGCAAGAUAUAGAACAUGACAUCCUCCCACUCAUCUUGUGGCAUGAUAUAAGGUGUCAGGCAUCCAGCCCUACCACCUUGCCCGCUGAAUAGAGGCAGCCUAGAAUUAUACUUGGGUUCUUCUGUAUUGUAUCGAGACACCUUAUUGUGCAGCGUGGGAACAUGGUCUAGAUAGUACGCUGUCCUGAGGUCUGCCACCUCCUCUAGGAUAACUACCUCAGCUAUGGAAGCUUCAUUAUCUAUUUUAGAAACUAAGUGUCGCGAAUUGCUUCUUAUGAAUCAACAUGACCUAACACUAACUUGACCAAAUACUAACUUGACCAAAUACUAACUUGACCAAUAUCCAUCCAUCUAUCACAAACUUAACCAACAUCUAUUCAUCUAUAUACUAGAAACUAAGUGUUUAAAACAUUUGUUAACUUGACUAACAUCCAUUGACAAACUUAAUAAAAACUAUUUACUAUGUAUCUAAAAACCUAAUAAAACUAUACAAAACAAAAGAAUUCACUACAAGAAAUAUGUCAACUUGUGACCACCACUAUUGGUCACUGAAUAGUCACUGUUUUCCAUUUGUGACCUUUUUGUGACCAAAAACAGAAGGUCAAAAGCUGGCCGUCAUAAACUGACUAUAGCGACCUUUCUUCUGGAAUGGUCGUGGACGUUUAUGACCAAAAUAUGUCUACUGUAGCGUUUUGGUAACUAGCAACCUCCCCGGUCCACGUAGGCAUCCAGCGUGGCAAGCUGAUGUGGCACAAGAUUCAGCCCGGUCCAAUUAAGUGUUUUACAUGGGCCUAGUCCAUUAAUUCAGCCUUUUAUAUAUGUUUUUCCUGUCAAUACACGCUAGCUACAUGAGCCAAGCCCAGCAAUUCAGCCUUUUUGGUUUCUAAGACAUAACUUUACGGUCCAUUUCUUUUUGGGCCUCGGCCUUUUAAAAGUUGACUUCUUUUUUGGGCCUCAGCCUUUUUGCAUGCCAUUCACGUUUUGGGCCUUGGCCUCUACCUAUAAGUAAGUCCAACUCAUCAACUUUCUAUUUCUCACAUUUUCAUAGUACAAAGAAACAGAACUAUUUCAUGACAAAUAUUUCAAAUGAAACAGAACUAUAUACUUGAAAUGACCAGACCAGUACAACCAGACCAGUACAACCAGACCAGUACAAAAUACAACCAGACCAAUAAGUGUAGCCUAUUACAAUCUUUGCAUACUGUUCAUACAACCAGACCAGUACAAAAUACAAUGAAACUAGCUAUGAAGUACAACCAGAACACAAGGCAUAUUGAUAGAUAACCACCACGCUUCAUCAUCUUCCUCUUCCAAAUUCCAAGAAACAAAUCACCUAGCAUUAGAAGGAUCACACAUCAGAAGCAUAUAAAAUCUUUCAACCAUCAAUAUAGUUUGCUUAUAAGAAAACAUAUGGUCGGAUUUUAAAAUCCAUCAGAAACACUUGACCCAAGAGAUGCAACUACGCGAAUGCUUCAUUCAAGAUUUAACACAGUAACUCUACAGGCAGAAAGUAAACUGAAGGCAACCUCUUUGCACAUCACUUAUUUAUGAACAGAGGGAGUGAUAUUCAGCUUGCGCAGUCAAAGGAGACCCGUAAACUCAUUGCGCACAGUUGCAAAAACACAUUAUACAACAGCAAUACAACAUCAGCACGCGCGCGUGUGUGUGUGUGCCGCGGUUACCUACAUAUCCUACUAACAGAAGCCGGCAGUCAGGUUGUUGGUCUUGUACUUGUCGAACUAACAAUCUAUGGAUUUUGCAGUCUAAUUGAGAUCAGUAUAAACUAAUUGCACACAAUGGAAGUAGCGCCAUCGAACCAACGGAAGAACAAACUGACCCAGUGAGACCAAGAAGGAAAACAAGCAGAUCAGGGGUGGUUACCAUCCUGGUGCGCUCGCCCUUCUCCUCGAUGGCAUCAUCCUUGAGCACCCUCUCCAUCUGCCCAACCACAGAGACGGAGAGAAAAAAUGUCAGGAACGCAUCGCGUUGAUCCAGCCACGGAGAACAAGUGUAGAUAUGAUGUGCCAGAUUGCCAGCGACACUGCUUACAUGCAUCUUCAUAUUUCAAAACGCCAAUCAGGUUAGCAACAGUGCUAGACUAGUUAGCUAGCAAAACACUAAAGAAGGCAUAGACAGAAACAAAGGUAACAUGCAUCACAUCAAAAAAUAGUAAGCACUAAACCUACAUCAUAUCUACACCAAUCAGGUUGCAUGUGUAUGCUAGAAAUCAAGAAUCAAAAGGACUUUAGCUUGUUUAAAAUAUCUUGCCUCUGUUGCUCCUAGUUCAGUAAAGAAAUGGUUGAGCAGUGAGCGCUUAGUUUCAAGAACUCGGCAGUGCAAAAUAGAUUUCGGGUGGAGCACAAAUAGAAUACCUGGAAAAGAAACAUAAAGAGCUAUACAGUUAAGUAAGUAUCAUUGGCUAUACAAAUAAGUGGAGAACAAUAAAGAGCUAUAUAGUCUAUUGAGAACAAUAAAGAGCUAUACAAAUUCAUAUUCAAGUUUGACUACAUGCUAACAGACUCAUGAUCAAGUUUGACUACAAGCUAACAUAUCAUUGUGAAUACAGAUGAUUUUCGGACUAGAACCGUUGCGCAAGUUCAGGUCGUUUGAAGUUUUGACAACAAGCUACAAAAUCUAGUUAAAUCAAUAGUAGUAUUGCAAGCAACAAAUAGACUCUCAGAGCAGAACCAAUGCACAAGAACGGACCAGCAACUACUAGGCCCAAAAACUAAGAUAUGUAGGAAAUUUCAGAUGUAUCACUUCAUAGAUCAAGAAUAGGCGCAACAUAAAAGUCUCAUGAGCGCUACAAAGUCUGAACGAUUCAGCAGGAAGCGAGCAGAAUCAAUCAACUAGAUAUGCGGACAACAGAGGUGCAAGGGAAGAAGCUCCUGCACCAGCAGAAGCGGACACAAUUUGGUCCCACCAACAGGUCAGCCAUGCCAACAUCUCCAUAACAGGAUCGUUCCCAACAAGACCGACUUGGUGCAGAAUCAUCCCAGUCUAUCUACAGGCAGAUACAUUAAACAACAAAGUCAAGGAAAAUGAAACUGAAACAAAGCAAACACAAUGGUUGGAUACGAGCAGAAUCAUGGGAGAAUCAUGGAAGUACCAGCAGAAUCAUGGAAGUACCACAAGAUUACAUUGCACCAAGCCACAACAUAAACCAUAAGUUAUUAUUGUUCACCGCUAGCUACUGAUGUAAUAAAAACAUUAACAAGUGGAGUUAUUAUUGUUCACCACUAGCUACUGAUGUAAUAAAAACUGAUGCAGCAACAGAAACCGGCAUCCAAAAGGGCAUGUAAACAAUUCGUAGCAAAAUCAUAUAUGUCCCAUGCUAGGAGAGCCAUAGCAUCACAGAGUACUACUGACUGACCCCAAAACAGAACAUCACAGCAAAAGACUUAACCAGGGGCCAUCCAUCCACAUAACCCACCAUCCCGAGAUCUCAAUUCUCACGGGUAAAAAGCAAGCAAGAAGACCAGAUCACCUAGGGCGUGGUCUGCUUGUACUUGGACACCUUAGUGAGUAGCUUGUUGUAGGUGUCCUGGUCGAAGAUGCAUAUCAUUCAGUUACCAGUAGCAAUCCUUGUAGGUGCAUAUUUACCACAUCAAUUGGUAAGUAUACAGACAGAGUUGUGCACUUACUAACUAGUGUGUUGUGUGUUCACCCUUUGCACGCACCCAUGGGCAUUUAAAUUAAACUGAAACAAGCCACCAAUGGUUGGCUAAUCUAGAACAUGGCAGGCAUUUAUAUGAUGGCAGUACAUAGCUAGGAAACAAACAAUAGUCCACAAUUGCAUCAUCAUGUGUAGAACAAAAUACAGACUCACCUCUACAGGCUACAACACUAGUAGAGUAGAGAACCAUCCAUAAUAAUUCUACUAUAGGAGACAAUGUAAACAUAGAGUCACACCAUUGACAUAUAUUAUUAUUAAGCCCUAACUAAAAGAUUCUGGUGGCUUAAUUAGUGGGCAGAUGUAUGCAUGCACAAAAAGGGGGACAUUUUUCAAUCAAACUGAAGAAAGAUGCACAUCAUCCAUUCAGUAACCAGUAGCAAUAAAAUCACAAGAAGACCAGACCAGAGGAUCAUCAUCAUCAUCAUCACAAGAAGAGAAGAGAACGGAAAAACAGAGGCGACGGUACGGUACGGUACACUAUGGGAGGGGAGGGGAGGAAGGGCGGAGCUUACGGUGGCGAGCGGGGAGGCGAGGUCUCGGCUCGCGCGGCGCGGAGGAGCAGCAUCAUCAGCUCCUUCAUCCGAGGAAACCGUAACAGUUUCUGCAUCAGAAACAACCGCUUGUUGCAAAAAGAGAAUUCGCGUCAGGCAGUGAAUCAAAUAGCGCAAGCAUACUGAUUUGAUGCAAACUGUCCUUACCUUGCUGGUCCUCUUCUUCCAUUUCUUCGGUACCACCACUUGCCUCGUCUGAAGAAACUGGCACAGCAGUUUCCACAUGACCUGAUGGCACACAAAAUUCUUGUCAAUUUCAAAUUUCAUGAGACUGCACCUACAACAAAACAUGGGAGACGUAUCAAUUUAUAAGUUGUUACUGAAGUCUUUGUCCCACCUUUGUCUUGCUGACCCUGCUCCUCUUCUAUUUCUUCAGUAUCAUCAUUUUCGUUGUCAGAGGAAACCUGUGCAGUUUCCAUAGCAGGCACAUCACCUGCAUAUUCCUGGCUAUGCUCCUCAACCAGUAGGCUCCUUUUGCUCGUCGUUCUGAAGAUGCACGGCCUCUUCUUGCAUUGCUGUAGUAGCGUCACGUCCCUUGUCUAAAGAAACAUGUGUAGGUACAGCAGUUUCCAUAUCAGAAGCAUCACCUGCUUGCAAACAAAAUUCAGGUGCCACAGCCAGAGUCAGACACAUAGUUCAAAUACAAUGUGGGGCACACAUCAAUUUGAAGUUUCAAUUUCCAUAUAGCAUAAGCCAGUGUGAGAUCAGAUCAACAGUUGCAUAUAUACUGAUGAGCGACCAGGGAGUUUCAAGAGUUUGUAUAACAUAUUUACAUGCAUAGUAGAUAGAGCCAACAGAUCAAUUAUGGCAUAAUCAGAUGGUAUAUAAAUUAAUCGAACAAGAUGUAUGCAUAGAUGAACAAAGAAUCUGCCUGUCGGAUUCUGUCUGAAGCAAUUUAAUGAUUGAACAACCAGGAAGCGUGAAACAAAGAAGCAUUAUGUAGACCUUAACUAGAAAUCGAGCCCCUUUGUGCCACCAAAACUAGAGCAAUUUAACGCUAGAUGCAAGGAUCUACAAAGAUUUAACCAACACAGAGCGAAACAAAGGUUGGAUCUAUCUAGAGUCAGAACCCCGCGCCAUGGCACGCCACGCCACAAUGCGGCCACCAGGACGAUCAAAGAUUCGGAAGAAGGUUUCGGGACCAGAGAAUCUACAGAUCAGGAGAGGGCGUGCGCGAUACCUUGGGGGUACUGCUGGUGCUCGUGGUGCUGGGGCGGCUGGUCGUCCUUGGGGGCGUUGGAGGAGUCUGCUACAUCUUGAGCUAGCGUUGGUUUUCCCCGAAGAGGAGAGGGUGAUGUAGCAAAGUGUAGCGUAAGUAUUUCCCUCAGUUUUGAGAACCAAGGUAUCAAUCCAGUACGAGGCUCCUCAAAAGUCCCACGCACGUACACAAACAAACUGAGAACUCGCAACCAACGCAAUAAAGGGGUUGUCAAUCCCUUCAAGGUCACUUACAAAAGUGAGAUCUGAUAGAGAUAGUAUGAUAAGAUAAAUAUAUUUUUGGUAUUUUAUAAUAUAGAUGCAAGAAAGUAAAGAUGCAAAUAAAAAUAGAUUGAAAGCAAAUAUGAUAAGAGAUAGACCCGGGGGCCAUAGGCUUCUCUCAAGAGCAUAAGUAUUACGGUGGGUGAAAAAAUUACUGUCGAGCAAUUGAUAGAAAAGCGAAUAAUUAUGACGUUAUCUAGGCAUGAUCAUGUAUAUAGGUAUCACGUCCAUAACAAGUAGACCGACUCCUGUCUGCAUCUACUACUAUUACUCCACACAUCGACCGCUAUCCAGCAUGCAUCUAGAGUAUUAAGUUCAUAAGAAUAGAGCAACGCAUUAAGCAAGAUGACAUGAUGUAGAGGGAUAAACUCAUGCAAUAUGAUAUAAACCCCAUCUUGUUAUCCUCGAUGGCAACAAUACAAUACGUGUCUUGCAAACCUUUCUGUCACUGGGUAAGAUCACCGCAAGAUUGAACCCAAAGCUAAACACUUCUUCCAUGGCAAGAAAGAUCAAUCUAGUAGGCCAAACCAAACUGAUAAUUCGAAGAGACUUGUAAAGAUAACUCAAUCAUACAUAAAAGAAUUCAGAGAAGAUUCCAAUAUUAUUCAUAGAUAAACUUAUUAAUAAACCCACAAUUCAUCGGAUCUCGACAAACACACCGCAAAAAGAGAUUACAUCGAAUAGAUCUCCACAAGAGAGGGGGAGAACAUUGUAUUGAGAUCCAAAAAGAGAGAAGAAGCCAUCUAGCUAAUAACUAUGGACCCGUAGGUUUGUGGUAAACUACUCACAACUCAUCGGAGAGGCUAUGGUGUUGAUGUAGAAGCCCUCUGUGAUUGAUUCCCCCUCCGGCAGAGUGCCGGCGAAGGCUCCAAGAUGGGAUCUCGCGGAUACAGAAGGUUGCGGCAGUGGAAAUUGUGUUUCGUGGUGCUCCUGGAUGUUUUCGGGGUCCGUGGAUAUAUAUAGGAGAAAGAAGUACGUCGGUGGACGCCCGAGGGGCCCACAAGACAGGGGGCGCGUCCCUAGGGGGGGGCGCCCUCCUAUCUCGUGGGGACCUCGAAGAUUUCUUAACUUGCACUCCAGGCUCUCCGGAUCAGAUUUGUUCCAAAAAUAACGCUCCCGAAGGUUUCAUUCCGUUUGGACUCCAUUGAUAUUCCUUUUCAUCGAAAUACUAAAAUAGGCAAAAAAAACAGCAAUAUGGGCUGGGCCUCCGGUUAGUAGGUUAGUCCCAAAAAAUGAUAUAAAUGUGUAGAAUAAAGCCCAUAAAAACAUCCAAAAGGGGUAAUAUAAUAGCAUGGAACAAUCAAAAAUUAUAGAUACGUUGGGGACAUAUCAGCGUCCUUGGCGGCGGCGGCGGCCUUCUUGGAGGCCUUGGUGGGCUUGUCGGGGUCGUCGGGUGGGACGACCUUCUUGACGACGCGGGCGACGGCCUCGUCGCCCGAGGCGCCGUCGGCCAUGUCGAGCAGGUCGAAGAUCCCCAACGGCGGCGCGACGGCGGCUAGGGUUCUCCACCUCUUCCGGCGGCGGCCUCGGCGCCAGCCGUCCGCAUUCGUCCUCGCGCCCUUGGGUGGGUCCGAGGAGAGCUCCGGUUCCGAGGGUUUGGCGGGCUUGGGCUGCGUGGACUCCUCCAUGUCCAGCAUUCGGAUGGAUCUGGGAGUGCUUGCUGUCGCUGUGAAGUGCGGGGAGAGAGAGAGAGGGGUUGCAGGAGAGGAGAGAGGGGCGAUCCGUCUGGGGUGGGAGGGAAGCGGAUGGGAGAGGGGAGGCCGUCGGCGGUGAGCUGUGGGAGGGAGGAGGCGGUGGGUGGGUGGCAGCGUGAGGAGGGAAGGAGGCAUGGCUCGGGUGCGGCGCGAGGGAAGCUAGGGUUUGGACGAGGGGGGAGUGAGACGGACGAGGGGUGAGAGUGUGAGGGGGACAAGGGCUACCAUCGGAUCGGGUAGUAUCCGACGGUGUUUGAGCAUGAUCCGCGUGAGAGGCUUAUAGAACAAUCAGAACGCAGUAAACACUUUGAAGAUGUUAUGACAAUUUAAAUUGGUUGUAGUUUAAUAAAAAUAAGUUUUUUCACAAGAAAAGCAUUUUGUAUUUUUCAAGUAACAAUGAUUUUUUUAAAGAUCUACCAAAUAUUUGUUGCAAAAUGACACCACAUCAUUUUUAGAAAUCAUUAGACCAUAUUUUAUGUCCAAUUGACCAAACAGUUUGUUCGCAAAAUAUUUUCGAGUGCCCGAAAAAAGGUUUUUUUGAAGGACCUACCAUAUAUUUAUUGCAAAAUUGUACCAAAUCAAUUUUAUAAAAUACUAGGACAUAUUUGCUGAACAAUUAACCAAAUAGUUGGGUGUAAAAAGUUUUGAUCCACCUCUCGUGAAAAAGAAAAAUUUCCGCUGAUUUAGCUGGAAGCGGGUCAAAUUUGAACUGUAACUACCUCGUAGUUUGCUCUUUAUUUUUUCCAAAAAUCAUUUCUAGGUAAAUAAGUAUCUAUUUAAUCAGAGAAACACCAAAAAAAUUCCAAGAUUCAACUACUAGCUAGGAACGGUCAAGCCCGCCGUUUGGUCGCAUUUUGAAACGGGCAUAAAAAAUUAAAAAAAAAUCAAAAAAUUGGAAAACAUACGCAUUGUGUCAUUAUAUGUGACCAAGUUUCCAGGAAAAAUAAUAAACUUGUAAUACGAUAACUAUUUUUAAAAAGUGUUCUCAGAAAUGAGCUAUCGUGUGUGAAGAUUCGUGGCUUUCAAGCCAAAUGAUCAAUCUUAUGGCCACAUUCAUGGUAUAGUUUGUUCAAAUGAUCUCAUAUUGUGCACAAGGGUGCAUCUUGGAAUGACAAACAAUGUUGCCUAAGGGAUUUUUCAUUUUCUUUGGACGGAAAAUACAUUUUUCAUUUUUCCGAGUGCCCAAAAUGAGUUUUUUUGUGAAGGACCAACCAUAUAUUUGUUGCAAAAUUAGACCUAAUCAAUUUUAUAAAAUUCUAGGCCAUAUAUAAUGCGCAAUUAACAAAAUGGUUGGGUGUAAAAAGUUUUGAUCCACCUCUGGUGAAAAAGACAAAUUCCCACUGAUUUAGUUGGAAACGGGUCAGAUUUGAACUGUAACUACCUCGUAGUUUGAUCUUUAUUUUUUUCAAAAAUCAUUUCUAGGUAAAUAAGUAUCUAUUUAAUCAUAUAAACACCAAAAAAAUUCCAAGAUUCAACUACUAGCUAGGAACGGUCAAGCCCGCCGUUUUUACCGCAUUUUAAAAUGGGCAUAAAAAAUUCAAAAAAAAUCAAAAAAUUGGAAAACCUUCGCAUUGUGUAAUUAUAUGUGACCAAGUUUGCAGGAAAAAUAAUAAACUUGUAAUACGUUAACUAUUUUAAAAAAGUGUUCUCAGAAAUGAGCUAUCAUGUGUGAAGAUUCAUGGCUUUCAAGCCAAAUGAUCAAUCUUAUGGCCACAUUCAUGGCAUAGUUUGUUCAAAUGAUCUCAUAUUGUGCAAAAUGGUGCAUCUUGGAAUGACAAACAAUGUUGCCUAAGGGAGUUCUCAUUUUCUUUGGACGGAAAAUACAUUUUUCGUUUUCCCGAGUGCCCAAAAUGAGUUCUUUUGUGAAGGACCUACCAUAUAUUUGUUGCAAAAUUGUACCAAAUCAAUUUUAUAAAAUACUAGGACAUAUAUAAUGCACAAUUGACAAAAUGGUUGGGUGUCAAAGUUUUGAUCUACCUCUGGUGAAAAAGACAAAUUCUCGCUGAUUUAGGUGGAAACGGGUCAAAUUUGAACUGUAGCUACCUUGUAGUUUGCUCUUUAUUUUAAAAAAGUGUUCUCAGAAAUGAGCUAUCAUGUAUGAAGAUUCAUGGCUUUCAAGCCAAAUGAUCAAUCUUAUGGCCGCAUUCAUGGCAUAGUUUGUUCAAAUGAUCUCAUAUUGUGCAAAAGGGUGCAUCUUGGAAUGACAAACAAUGUUGCCUAAGGGAGUUCUCAUUUUCUUUGGACGGAAAAUACAUUUUUCGUUUUCCCGAGUGCCCAAAAUGAGUUCUUUUGUGAAGGACCUACCAUAUAUUUGUUGCAAAAUUGUACCAAAUUAAUUUUAUAAAAUACUAGGACAUAUAUAAUGCACAAUUGACAAAAUGGUUGGGUGUCAAAAGUUUUGAUCUACCUCUGGUGAAAAAGACAAAUUCUCGCUGAUUUAGGUGGAAACGGGUCAAAUUUGAAUUGUAGCUACCUUGUAGUUUGCUCUUUAUUUUUUACAAAAAUCAUUUCUAGGUACAUAAGUAUCUACUUAAUCAUAGAAACACCAAAAAAAUUACAAGAUUCAACCACUAGCUAGGAACGGUCAAGCAAGCCGUUUUGACCGCAUUUUGAAACGGGCAUAAAAAAUAAAAAAAACUCAAAAAAUUGGAAAACCUUCGCAUUGUGUCAUUAUAUGUGACCAAGUUUCCAGGAAAAAUAAUAAACUUGUAAGACGGUAAUUAUUUUUAAAAAGUGUUCUCAGAAAUGUGCUGUCAUGUGUGAAGAUUCAUGGCUUUCAAGCCAAAUGAUCAAUCUUAUGGCCACAUUCAUGGCAUAGUUUGUUCAAAUAACCUCAUAUCAUGCACAAUGGUGCAUAUUGGAAUGACAAACAAUGUUGCCUAAGGAAGUUUUCAUUUUCUUUGGACGAAAAAAUCAUUUUCCAUUUUUUCGAGGCCCCAAAAUGAGUUUUUUUUGUGAAGGAUCUACCAUAUAUUUGUUGCAAAAUUGGACCUAAUCAAUUUCAUAAAAUACUAGGCCAUAUAUAAUGCACAAUUGACAAAAUGGUUGGGUGUCAAAAGUUUUGAUCCACCUCUGGUGAAAAAGACAAAUUCCCGCGGGUGCCUCAUAGUUUGCUCUUUAUUUUUUCCAAAAAUCAUUUCUAGGUAAAUAAGUAUCUAUUUAAUCAGAAAUACAUGGUUUGAUGGCGAGACAUCGAGGUUUGGACGGUGGCUGAGGGCCCCAACUCUAGAGCGCAUAAGCUCGCAUGCCCGCUGCGUGGUCACCACAUGACCGUGGCGUUGCCAUGCGUUCUGGGCGGCCUAGGCAUGUCUAGUGGGUUGGUCACUCCCCAGGUAGAUUCUAGGAAUAAAAUUAUAACAUAAGAUUCUCACGAGGAGACCAAUCGAUGCUAAAAAAUGAAUAAGCAGCCAAGUGUUUGAUUUGCGGUACGGGAAAUGCACAUGGCUAACGGGCGUGAGUUUUGGCUGAGGAUGAUCAGUUACUAAGAAGACCAUCUUCACAUUUUUUUAGGGAAAUCAAGAAUAUAUAAAUAACACUUCCUUCACAAAGUGCUCCUUUGAACAGAAUAGGAAAAUGAAUAUUCUUGAGUUAUUUUUGAACUAGGGAAGGAAGGUUUUUGACAUAUUUAAUGAAGAUAUGAUCCAAAAAAUUCGUGAAUUUUUUUUUGGGAAUUUUUGGAAUAACAGAAAUAUAGGUUGCUUCACAACCUAGGGCAAAAAUUGACACAUGGACAUGACACAUAGGCAAAACUGAUGAGAUGGUGCCUAGUCAUCACAACCCACCACAAUCUACAAGGCUAUGACCAUCUAUAUUGGUCGUUAACAACUAGAAACAAGGCAACGGACCAGCACUGUUUGCUUUGUGACCAUUUCGUGUAAGGAAAUUACGACAUUUCUGACCAAAAUGGUCACAAUGGUUUAGGGUUUUGGAGCCCCCCGAACAACUUUUGACCAAUUGGUCUGGGAUGGUCAUAGAUCUAUGACCAAUUCUUCCAGGGUCACUGGCAGAAGGUCACUAGUUGACAUAUUUCGUGUAGUGAUUACAUUUUAUCCAUCUAUCUAGCAUAUGCAUCUAAUAUCCAUUCAUCCAUGCAUCUAAUAUCAAUUCAUGCAUCUAACAAUGGCAUUCAUCUAACAAAUGAAAAAAUGAAGAAAGGAGGGCUCACCUCGCCCGAGCAAGGAGUCAGGGUCGGGGCAGCAGCAAGCAGGGAGCCGGGGGCCGGGGCAGGGCGUCGGUGGAGGGGGUCUCCAAGCCCGGGGUGGCGCGGCAACGGCCAGCGGAGGCCUGAGCAGGAGAGGGAGGGGCGGGGUCGGGGCUGCGUUGACGACAUGGACGAGGUCCGGGCGGCUGCAGGGCGGACGGGGGUGACGGGGGAAGGGGUGUGGGAUGGUGGUGGGGUGGGGCGGCUGCGGUGGCAGGGGACGAGGUGGAGUGGGUGGAGGCGGCGCGCGCGGGUGGGGUCGAGUGGGGGUGGAGGCCACGGCGGCGCGGAGUCAAGGUGGUGAUGGCGGCGGCGCGAGGAGGUGAUACGUCUUCAACGUAUCUAUAAUUUUUUAUUGUUCCAUGCUAUUAUAUUAUCCGUUUUGAAUGAUUAUGGGCUUUAUUAUACACUUUUAUAUUACUUUUGGGACUAACCUAUUAACCGGAGGCCCAACCCAUACUGCUGUUUUAUUGCCUGUUUCAGUAUUUCGAAGAAAAGGAAUAUCAAACGGAGUCCAAACGGAAUGAAACCUUCGGCAACGUGAUUUUUUGGAAGAAUAUCAUCCUGGAGACAUGGAGUUCUAGUCAGAAGAUACUCGAGGACUCCACGAGAUAGGAGGGCGCGGCCCUAGGGGGGCACCCCCCUGUCUCGUGGACCCCUCGAGCACCCCCCGACCCACUUCUUUCGCAUAUAUAAGCAUACGUACCCUAAAACCAUUAAAUAUCAAGAUAGAUCGGGAGUUCCGCCGCCGCAAGCCUCUGUAGCCACCAAAAACCUCUUGGGAGCCCUUCCCGGCACCCUGCCGGAUGGGGGAUCCUUCACCGGUGGCCAUCUUCAUCAUCCCGGCGCUCUCCAUGACGAGGAGGGAAUAGUUCACCCUCGAGGCUGAUGGUAUGUACUAGUAGCUAUGUGUUUGAUCUCUCUCUGUCUCUCAUGUUCUUUGCUAUUGUAGUUGGAUCUUAUGAUGUUUCUCCCCCUCUACUCUCUUGUGAUGAAUUGAGUUUUCUCCUUUGAAGUUAUCUUAUCGGAUUGAGUCUUUUAUGAGAACACUUGAUAUAUGUCUUGCCGUGCUUAUCUGUGGUGACAAUGGGAUAUCAUGUGCCUCUUGAUGUAUGUUUUGGUGACCAACUUGCAGGUUCCACCCAUGAACCUAUGCAUAGGGGUUGGCACACAUUGUUGACUCUCCGGUAGAAACUUUGGGGCACUCUUUGAAGUACUUUGUGUUGGUUGAAUAGAUGAAUCUGAGAUUGUGUGAUGCAUAUCGUAUAAUCAUGCCCACGGAUACUUGAGGUGACAAUGGAGUAUCUAGGUGACAUUAUGGUUUUGGUUGAUUUGUGUCUUAAGGUGUUAUUCUAGUACGAACUCUUGAAUAGAUUGAUCCGAAAGAAUAACUUUGAGGUGGUUUUGUACCCUACCAUAAUCUGUUCAUUCGUUCUCCGCUAUUAGUGUCUUCGGAGUGACUCUUUGUUGCAUGUUGAGGGCUUGUUAUAUCUAUGUUAUUAUUGUUGAGAGAACUUGCACUAGUGAAAGUAUGAACCCUAGGCCUUGUUUCCUAUCAUUGCAAUACCGUUUACGCUCACUUUUGCCACUUGUUACCUUGCUGUUUUUAUAAUUUCUGAUUACAAAAACCUUUAUCUACUAUCUUUAUUGCACUUGUAUCACCAUCUCUUCGCCGAACUAGUGCACCUAUACAAUUUACCAUUGUAUUGGGUGUGUUGGGGACACAAGAGACUCUUUGUUAUUUGGUUGCAGGGUUGUUUGAGAGAGACCAUCUUCAUCCUACGCCUCCUACGGAUUGAUAGACCUUAGGUCAUCCACUUGAGGGAAAUUUGCUACUGUCCUACAAACAUGUGCACUUGCAGGCCCAACAACGUCUACAAGAAGGUUGUGUAGUAGACAUCAAGCUCUUUUCUGGCGCCGUUGCCGGGGAGGCUAGCGCUUGAAGGUAUAUCUUUAGAUCUUGCAAUUGAAUCUUUUUGUUUCUUGUUUUAUCACUGGUUUAGUUUAUAAAAGAAAACUACAAAAAAAUGGAGUUAGGUUUGUCUCAUACGCUUCAUCUUUUUAAUAUCUUUUGUGAGAAUGAUGGAAGGGAAAAUUGUGCUCAAGUGCUAGAAGAAGAAUGCAUUAGAAUGUUUGGUACUAUAUCUUUGUAUGAUGAGCAUGAUUGCAAUGUUGUUAGUAUGAAUUCCUUGAAUAUCCAUGAUGCUAAUGAUAUGCAAAGCCACAAGCUUGGGGAAGCUAUGUUUGAUGAAUAUGAUAGUUUUUGUCCCCCAAGAUUUUAUGAGAUUAUUUCUUAUGAUGAAAGCAUGCCUCCUAUUUAUGAUGAUUAUAUUGAUGAAAGUGGGUUUGGAAGAGUGUCAACUUUAGGAAGUAGUGAUCCCACUAUUUUGGAGGAUGUUGAAUCUCAUUGUGAUGAACAUGAAAGUGGAUUUGGAAGAGUGUCAACUUUAUUUAGUAAUGAUUCCACUAUUUCGGAAGAGGUUCCAAUUGAUUAUGAGAACAAAGUUGCCAUCUAUGAUGAUUAUUGUGAUGACUUGUAUGCUAUUAAGAAUAAUGAUAAACAUGAAACUUGUCAUCAUGAUUUUAGUUUUCAAUUGGAUUAUGCCUCACAUGAUAAUUAUUUUGUUGAGUUUGCUCCCCCUACUAUUCAUGAGAAGAAAUUUGCUUAUGUGGAGAGUAGUAAAUAUACUAUGCUUGCAGAUCAUGAAAAGAACGCUUUAGGUUCUGGUUAUAUUGUUGAAUUCAUUCAAGAUGCUACUGAAAAUUAUUAUGAGGGAGGAACAUAUGCUUGUAGGAAUUGCAAUAAUGUCAAGUUUCCUCUCUAUGUGCUUUAAUUUUUGAACUUACGCUUGUUUUACCUUCCUAUGCUAGUUGAUUAUUGUUCCCAUAAGUUGUUUUCUCACAAAAUACCUAUGCAUAGGAAGAGGGUUAGGAUUAAAUGUGCUAGUCAUAUGCUUCAUGAUGCUCUCUUUAUGUUUCAAUUCUUAUCUUUUAUGUGAGCAUCAUUGUCAUCAUCAUGCCUAGCUAGAAAGGCAUUAAAGAAAAGCGCUUGUUGGGAGACAACCCAAUAUUUAUCCUUACUGCUUUUGUGUGUCCACAUGAUUAUGCUACUGUAGUAAUCAUGUUUUAUAGCUUUUGUUUCAAUUAAGUGCCAAGUAGGACCUUUGGGAAGACUUGCGUGAAGUCUUUAUGAUCUUGCUGUAAAAAAACAGAAACUUUAGCGCUCACGAGAUUAGCUACAAUUUUUUACAGAAGAGUGCUUUUAGGAUGAUUCUUUUUGAAGAUGAUUAAUAGACAAAUUAGUCAGGUCCAGCAAUUUAUUUCAUAAUUUUGGGGGUUACAGAAGUAUACGUUUGAUACAGAGUACUACAGACUGUUCUGUUUUUGACAGAUUCUGUUUUCAUUGUGUUGUUUGCUUAUUUUGAUAAAUCUAUGAGUAGUAUCGGAGGGUAUGAACCAUAGAUAAGUUAGAAUACAGUAGAUAUUACACCAAUAUGUAUUUAGAAUGAGUUCAUUACAGUAACUAAGUGGUGAUUUAUUUUCUUAUACUAACGGAGCUUACGAAUUUUGUGUUAAGUUUUGUGUGGUUGAAGUUUUCAAGUUUUGGGUAAAGAUUCGAUGGACUAUGGAAUAAGGAGUGGCAAGAGCCUAAGCUUGGGGAUGCCCAAGGCACCCCAAGGUAAUAUUAAAGGACAACCAAGAGCCUAAGCUUGGGGAUGCCCCGGAAGGCAUCCCCUCUUUCGUCUUCGUUCAUCGGUAACUUUACUUGGAGCUAUAUUUUUAUUCGCCACAUGAUAUGUGUUUUGCUUGGAGCGUCAUUUUAUUUUGCUAGUUUUUGCUUGAUGUUAGUUAGAAUAAUGUUUUGCAUCUUUAUUUUCAAUAAAAAAAGUCAAGGAUAGCCUUUGCCAUGCUUAUUUUGCUUGUAUACAUGUUGCUGUUUGAAAACAGAAAGUUUACCGCUAUUGCAAAAUUUCCCUAGAAAAGUAAGAGAAAGGUAUAAUGUUGAAUCUUUUUGCAUAUUAAUCUCUGAUAAAUUUAUUACAGUGGGAAUUUUAGUUAAUAAUUUUUGGAGUCAGGGAAGUAUUGUUACUCUUGCAUUCUUUACAGACUGUACUGAUUUGGCAGAUUGGUGUUAUGUUUGCAUUGUUUGUAUAUGUUUGCUUGUUUAAUGAUUCUAUUUGAUGAUAGGAGUAUUAAAUAUGCAGAGGCAUUUAGUAUUCAAUAUUGCAUAAUAAUUUAAGUGAUUUUCUUCCUCACAUGAGUUGUGCUAUCCUUGCAUUGUAGUUUUCUUUAGCUUUGCUUGCUGUUUAAAUAAUGUACCAAGAUCUGAAUUCUUUAUUGAGAGAGAGCCAUACAUGAAUUGGAAUUUGCUAGAAUACUCUAUGUGCUUCACUUAUAUCUUUUGAGCAUGAAAAUAUAUCUAGAAGUUAUUCUAAUACUCUAGUAACAUAAUAUAAUGACUAAUAUAUUAACAACACCAUUGCUUGAAAGGUCCAAUUAGAAGCUCAUAGUUAUUUUAGAGGAGCAUAAUUGUCCGAAUGCUGAAGUUAAUUGAAAAUACUUGGAUUUCCAAAAUCCCCUGUCAAUUGUGGCUUGCGGGUUGGCAACUGGGGAAAGUAUGGUCACACAUAUCCUCUGGGUUCAUGCCACCCAUUCUAGUUGUUGAAUAAUACAAAAUGAUGCACCAAGCAUGACCUAUUUGAUAUUCCCUUGAUCUCUUAUGCUGAUUCUUUUCAAAAAAAGAGAUAAGACCCAGAACCAAAGUAGAUAUCACACCGAGUCACUAUCCGAACUAUUUAGCUAUGCUCCUGGCAAUCUUAUGACAAAAUCUGCCAAAAUUAUUUCCUAGCCGAUAAUCACUGAAUUUGAAUGCUGGCAAUAUCAUACAGCUCUACCAUCCGUUUCACAUGACUUUUCUUGUGGGAUUUAUCUUAGUAAAAUGACUUACCAUCCAGUCAUGAAUUUCUUUGAGGCCCAGCUGCGGACCACCUUAUGGAAAGCCUGUAUUGCCGAAAAGAGAAAGAGAAAAGGUUCAAUGUUAAGUUGGUAUAACCUCAGAAAUACAAGCAAAGCUACUAAACAUGAAUGGCAUACAUUGUGUGCAAGGCAAGUAUCAAAAAGGAAAAGCAUGAAUGAACAAGAAUAAAACCAGCAAUCUACUUUCAUCUUUGUCAGAUAAUGAUUGGUAUGAAUUUUCUGUCAGCGCGGCAAGCGCCCUAGGAAAAUUAACAAUCACUCAAGGUUCUAACACCAGAAAGCAUUUAUGCAGUAUAUGUCUGCCUUCUGUUUGGGGAUUAUAACAUUAUAACAUUCUAAUAUCUUCCUCCAAGUGAGUUAAAUAAAGCAAUUUCUUCUCAAAUUCAUUGCUAAGGAGAUAUAAAUAUUACCCUCAAACUGCACCCAAAACGUGAUCAAGCUAAUCACCAAUUUGACAACUCAAUCCAAUAGUUAGCCUUAGCACAACAAACACUCACCAGAGGUCAACAUCCCUAGUCCCACGAACUUGCAGCGUUAACAUAAACAGUCAUUUCGAACCUACUUUUCACACAAUCAACAAAUCCGACAAUAAGCCGUGAGCUGCCACAGGAAUACCAACACAGACCGUGGACUAAUUUCAACAGCCAGGCUACAGACCCGACGCUGCAGGUGGAUGACAGGGUAAACCCUAGGGGAACGAAUGAGGUGGGAAGUGCAUUUGUAGCCCGACAGUUCGGGUUAGUCAUUGUCUACUUGUUGCUAGAAUCAUGCCUUUAUUCAGACCCGUCAAAAAAUGAGGAACAGUAGCACAAAAUUAAACGUAAACCAGCCAAGCCCCACGUGAAAGAAAAUUCUGAAUUUGUAAAUUUAUACGUGAAAGAAUUAACUGGCCAUUAAGUCUCCACAUUCACCAAGGAACAAAUUUUAAAUACUAUGAAAAGAAAUGAAACUAUUCUAAAGAGUGCAAUCAAACCAUUCCCAUUUCUUUGAAGUUCGAAACCACUACACCCAGGACUAUAAUAAGAUUGAUUAGCUUUUGUUCGACCCUUCUGCUCCAACUCUAGAACAUCCAGCUAGUACAUUUUACUAAAGGCAGCACAUAUAUUGUUCAGGUUGCAGUAUGUGUGUGUGUGUGUGUGUGUGUGUCUAUACAUAUAUAAUUAGUACAAAUUAUGAAAUUACACCAUCGUCAUACAACAUGUAGUUUCAAAUAUCAUUUUCAGGUUGAACACAAAGCAGCAAAUGGUCCACACAGGAGGUUCAUUUGGCAAGCAACCUACAAACAUUUAUUACAUCCCUACUUAUAUCACUAUAAUUCAUCAAUAGUAUUUGGAACAUACUCAUGAGCCAAGAGGCCACAAAAAGGCAAAAACACCAAAACUGAAAAAUUCGUCAAUGAGUGAGCUGACACAAAAGACAAGCCAACUGAUGCUCCAUCACAAUGUAUGUAUACAAUCAGACAAUACAUUCUAGAAAGCAUGUGCCAACAAAGUAGCGAUCANNNNNNNNNNNNNNNNNNNNNNNNNNNNNNNNNNNNNNNNNNNNNNNNNNNNNNNNNNNNNNNNNNNNNNNNNNNNNNNNNNNNNNNGGAGAAGGUUGACGCUCCCCAGUAGGAAAAAUCUGACUUGCUGCAGAUGCAAAAAUCAAACCGUCAACGCACCUUUUUCCAGAGUGAACCAACUCAGAAAUACCUCAUUUAGGAAUAAACACCAAUAGCCUCAUAUCCCCCCAAUCUGUUUUCUCCUGCAAUUUUUAGUGGUUCAGAACUUCAGAUGCAUGAAGACAUAUAUGCAGCGGCAAGAACAAUGAAAUAAGAGGAAACGACCUCACAUUAGUUGAUCCAAAGAACACAUAGAAAGUAUAUAUUUUUUACAUGCCUUGUAAAUCGGCAAGUCAUCGAUGAUUGAUCUUCUUAUAGAGAGCUAUGCGUCCACCUGGAGAGUUGAUUCAGUUGGAAAAGAAAAUGAAUCAAACAACUCAAAAAAAUGGAAUGUAAAAAGUGCAGUAAAGAGAUGGUACUGAUGACUGUAUACAUUGGCGAAGUUGCAGAGGUACGGCUACUGGGCUGCUCUAAUCAAGCCAUCCAAACCCUACCCAUGAAAUAUAUAAAUGAAUUAGAGAAAGGAGUAAGAAUAAACAGUCAGUGUCAGUGACGGCUGAAGGCCGAGCUCAUGGUGGGGAGGUGCAGCAGUAGUAAAACUGAAACAUUCAUCAAGCAAAUGUUGACUGCCAUGACACAACCAGCAAGGUAAGAAAUCGGUUCAUGGAGGAGCUCAACCCUGUCGAUCUGGCUGUGUGGAUGCUGGGUGUAGACAGAGAGCAUCCCUGCUCUUCUUGAGGGGUUGAGCCGGCCUUGGUUGGGAGAUGAAGGAGGCUGGUGCAGAGUCGGCAGCACCAGCAGCGACCUCGGCAUAUGCAGUUGACGACGAGGGCUGCUGAUCCUUCUGGAGCUGACGACACCUCCUUCCUCUCACCCUUAGCCUCCCGCAGCGGAGGAGGCUCUGAUGACUGCAGCGACCUCGUCCGGGUUCAGCGCCGAUCCGAAUUUUCUGUCAGCGUGGCAAGCACCCUAGGGAAAUUAACAAUCGCUCAAGGUUCUAACACAAGAAAGCGUUUAUGCACUGUAUGUCUACCUUCUGUUUGGGGAUUAUAAUAGUAACAUCAUAAUAUGUUCCUCCAAGGGAGUUAAAUAAAGCAAUUUCUUCUCAAAUUCAUUGCUAACGAGAUAUAAAUAUUACCCUAAAAUUGCACCAAAAAAGUGAUCAAGCUCAUCACUAAUUUGACCACUCAAUCCAAUAGUUAGCCUCAGCACAACAAACACUCACCAAGGGUCAACGUCCCUAGUCGUACGAACUUGCAGCGUUAACAUAAAUAGUCAUUUCAAACAUACUUUUCGAACCAUAAGCUGUGAGCUGCCACAGGAAUACCAACACAGACGUGGACUACUUUCAACAGCCAGGCAACAGACCCGACGUUGCAGGCGGAUGACAGGGUAAACCCUAGGGGAACGAACGAGGCGUGAAGGGAGGGGGAUGAGAGGGUCGAACCUCACGGCUGGAGGAGGAGAGCGCGGCGGAGGCAGAGGGGGAGGCGACGGUCCUGUCCAAGCCGUCGUCGUCGUCCCCGGCGCGGGGGACCGAGCCCCCGCCGCCGCCGCCGGAGACGGGGGAUGAGGAGCUCCCUAUCGCGGUCGCGGGGCCUUGUCAUCGCCCAUCAUCGAGGGCUCAGGCUCCAUGCGCUGUGACGGCGACGAUGUCGCCCUUCCCUGUCUCGUACCCUCCCAAAUCGGAGCCCGAAGCAGCCGCUCCCGCCUCCAUGAUAUCGCGCCUGAGCGGCGCCUCUUCGCAGCUCGACGCCGCCACCACCGCUCCUUUCGCCUCUUCGCAGGUCGACGCCGCCACUGCCGCUCUUCUCGUGCCGCCGCCGCCGCCGCAUCCGCCGCUCCCUGCCUCGAUCCAACCGACCCCGCAUCGGCCACUCCCCCAUCUCGAGCCAACAGCCGCCAUGGAGCCAUGGAUCCUACGCGGGAGGAGGAGAAACGCGAAGGGGAGGAGGCGGCACGGUGGUGGUGGCGAGCAUGGAGAAGGGGACGCGGGGCUCGAGGAGAGGAGGGACGAGGGAUUGGGCUAGGGUUUUCACCGCACGACGUGGGGCUCGAGGAGAGGAGGGACGAGGGAGUGGGCUUUUCACCGCGCACAGCACACGAUCCACCUUUUUUCACCCAAACUCAAUCAGCAACGAACACUGCAACGUGGACCCACCCAGAUGGCUGCCCCAGGCGUCAUCCACCCAACUGGAAAGGCACGACAUGAAGUAAAACAGACGGUGGGAUGUUUGACAGCCAGUUGAAAAGGACCAAAAACUUUACACGGAGGUAAAACGGACGAGUCAGAUCAUUGCGCGCGAGGGAUGGCGCUGGAUGGGCGGGUACUCUAGCAGCUUUUAUAUGUUAGAUGCUGAUGUGUGAAAGCACCCCAUUAUCAUGCAAAUAGUACCAGGUUUAGAGCCUUGAUUAUGGCGGCUAUAAACCCAAAACUCCAUCUUAUAUUUAGUAUACAAAUCGCGUUCUGGUGGGAAUGACUCCAAUUAGAAUUCUAGCUGCCGGCAUAUAUCUGAUUGGUCCCAGAUUGAAAAUCUCAAUCGUCGGGACUUGCUUGUAUGCAUUCCUAAAUAGUGUAAAACUGAAGCUUGCUGCUCGUGAGGUGUCAGCCAUAAACAUGUAUAAUGACCAAUGUUUAUCCGGUGAAGUGCCUAAAAAAUAGAAUUACAGUAGGGUUUUUAUCCUACUGUGUUUGCUCAAAACUAAAAGUGCCUAAAAUUCAGUGACUAUAGUUUUCCACUUUAGCUCAUAAACUGGAUGGCAAAAUAGAGUUUGCCCAUUUCAUAUCUAUGUUGUCUUAUUAGGAAAAUAGAGUUUGUUUUAUAGCUGAUUCUUAAUAUGUUUUAUCGACUAGUGAAUGCUUAACUUUAGCUCAUAAACUGGAUGCAAAUGCUAAUUCUAAUGGGGCUUUUGCCACUUAUUGUUUUAUGGUUGUCUAGACAGCUGAUGGCAUGCUUCUUUCUGCGAAUUGUCAAUUCUUUUGUAGAGGGUCCCUCGGCUACUUAUGCUUUGCUAGACAAUGAGAGUAUGUAGAUAGCAGGUAUGGUUUUUACAUUGUUUUGCGCAGGUUGAGAUGCAUCACAUGAUGUUUUCCUUUUACAUUUAUGAGUAUUGCAUAGUCCUUUCUUUUUCCACAGGGGGCAGUAGCCGUGCCAUUUGAUUCGAAGGACAAAGAGUUGAUCACAAAGGGGAUAUAUACACAAAAGAGUAUAGAACCAAAUUAUAUGAUCUAAUUGACUACUAUUUCUAUUAACUUCUCUUGUACACAAUGUUCACGAGUUCAUGUAUUAAGUACAUUCUAUUGUGCCACUUGUGUUUACUCUUUUUUAAUGCAAGUUUACAUGUACUCGAAAUUCCUAAUUGCAGACUCAACUACCUUGACCUACCGAUGAUCUUAUUUGUGGUAUUAUUACCUUAAAAUAUUUGCAUUUAAUUUCCUUUAUAUAUAGGGGUAUACUUUCUUACCAAAUGUAAUUAAAUAUAUGGUUAUUGAAAAACUGCAAAUAUUUUCAACACGAACAUGGUUUUAAAUGGGCCUUUGCGCCAUUUGGCGCAACUGGUCAUCUAGUAUAUAGAAUACAUGAGAGGGUAGAGGCUUGGAGUACAAGACAAAUAAUUCAUAGUUUAAACAUAUUCGAUCUAUACUUCUUAUCUCUAUAUUUAAACCCCACUUAUAUUCUAACACAACCACAUAGGGGUAUGUUCUUAAUAGCAUGGAAAGAGAGACACUAAAUAUCCAAAAGCAAGUGCAUAUCUGCUCCUAGUGAAAAGAUGUCACAGUUACCUCUAGUCCAGUCACUUAGUUGUUUUAGACAAACUAACUCUGCUAUUGGUUUAAAACCUGCUUUCGCUCUGCCAAGCCGAUGGUGGCGUCGCCUAUGGGCAUCGUCACGGCUCCUCUACAUGCUCACGUUGCUCCGAGGGAAACCUUGAUCUCUUGAUCAGGCGGUGGUGAUACUCUACUGUCGUGCUCUUCAUGAAGGAACCGCCCUGGAGUGUCCGGCUCGUCAUGCUCGGCUUUCUCUCUUCGCGGUGACUUGUUCACGGUUGAGGUCUCAGGAGACUCCAGGUGGUGCUCUUUCUACCUACAUGUAGUUUGCUUGGUGUGGACGGGGUGGUUUAGGUGUUCUUAUACACCCUUGUAUCUUGCCUUGAGUGUGUGUUGUGGAUUUGAGUUGUAUGUGUGUUGUUCUGUAUGGUGAUUGUUUCUUUAUAUAUAAAGCAGGGCAUGAGCCUUUUUUGGGUAAAAGCAAGUGCGUGUCUGCACCUAGUGAAAAGAUGUCACAAUUAUCUAUGUAGCGCAACAAUCAUAAUCAUAGUUGUUCAUAUACAUAAAAAAAACUUAGCAUAAAAAUUAAACAACCAACAUCAUUGGUCAUAUCCACCAUUUUUUACCUCUAGUUUUGAAGCUGCCAUCCAUCCAUAGUAGUCCAAUCACUUAGUUAUUUUAGACAAACUAACUUUGCUGUUGGUUUAAAAAAAAUAGAACCUUCUUCCUCAAGAAUAUCAGUUAUAUUAACUGGAAGGUUGUGUGGAGUGGCAUGCUGGGCUGCUCCAAGCUUUUUUGAAUGCCCUGUACAUGACACUCAGCAAAGUGUGAACACGUGGCACCAUUUUUUGCUAAGUACACCGGCGGCCGCCAUGUGGCAACCCAGCCUCUGCAUAUUUAGAAUGCUACACAACCAAUGCAAACACACACACACACACACACAAUAAACACGUCGUUAAAUAGCAAAGUUAUGCAGGACCAAAGUUACGCUUUAGCAUGGAAAAAGAAAAAAAAUCCCAAAGAGAUCAAAACAACAAUCGACAAACUACAACAACGAUCUUAUCCACACCAACCAUCUUUGGACACCACAAGAACUAUGAAGUUACCCAAUAGCAACGCUUUCAGGAAUGGAACGAUGCUCAAAUGUCGCCGUUAUUGGACUCAACUACCAAAGGCUAGAUUCUAGGUUUUCACCCUGAAGAACAAGACUGAGCAUAUCCGAACAAUGUCUCCAACAAGGUAAUGACAAAAAAACAUCAUCAUUGCCAGGUAUAACCAACUCAAGUCAGACCUAGGAUUUUUACCUCGGAGCUCGAGACCAAAGCACCGCCAAAUUGAAGUCAAUCAUGUGUUGUUACCACCACUUUUCCAUGAUCCCAACAUCUGCAUGCGUGGGUUAGCAAUCCCACCACCACCGGUGCACAACUUUACCCUCUGUGUCAAAUCGCCGUCCAUAGAUUGCAUCUCAUCGUCACAAGCAAACAGAGUGAGAGCCACCAAACCCACAAAGGAGCAUUUUGGUUGCAUCCCACUAAUUUGCUAGUAAGUGUUGUCGACAGCAGCCACCGAAUCAGAAGAGAGAAACCUUCACGAAAAUAUUUCUGCCGCUCGAUAAGCUGGUCGAUGGAGCCAUGGUAAUCUCCGAGGGAGAAUACCACUACCGUUAACACUCGUUUUCUAUUCAUGAAGUUGCAAAUGUUCUAAGACAGGGAUAAAUAGCAUUGUUUGAAUUGUUAAGUGCUUGAAUUGCCUGUAAAUAUGCAUAAAUGAGUUGCAUUUUUUUUUGCACCAUCGGUGAUGAUUCAAUGUUAAACCAAUAUUUUUUCCCUCUGGUACUGCAAACGUAGGCCAUUGUUGAUGCCAUAUGAAAUUGCACUGGUGGAAAAAGGGCCUUUGAUCGCGGUUCGCAACUGCCAUUAGUCGCGGUUGCGCAACCGCGACCGAACGGGCACGACUAAAGGCCCCACCCUUUAGUCGCGGUUGCUUAAGAACCGCGACUAAAGGCCCGUCCACGUGGGNNNNNNNNNNNNNNNNNNNNNNNNNNNNNNNNNNNNNNNNNNNNNNNNNNNNNNNNNNNNNNNNNNNNNNNNNNNNNNNNNNNNNNNNNNNNNNNNNNNNNNNNNNNNNNNNNNNNNNNNNNNNNNNNNNNNNNNNNNNNNNNNNNNNNNNNNNNNNNNNNNNNNNNNNNNNNNNNNNNNNNNNNNNNNNNNNNNNNNNNNNNNNNNNNNNNNNNNNNNNNNNNNNNNNNNNNNNNNNNNNNNNNNNNNNNNNNNNNNNNNNNNNNNNNNNNNNNNNNNNNNNNNNNNNNNNNNNNNNNNNNNNNNNNNNNNNNNNNNNNNNNNNNNNNNNNNNNNNNNNNNNNNNNNNNNNNNNNNNNNNNNNNNNNNNNNNNNNNNNNNNNNNNNNNNNNNNNNNNNNNNNNNNNNNNNNNNNNNNNNNNNNNNNNNNNNNNNNNNNNNNNNNNNNNNNNNNNNNNNNNNNNNNNNNNNNNNNNNNNNNNNNNNNNNNNNNNNNNNNNNNNNNNNNNNNNNNNNNNNNNNNNNNNNNNNNNNNNNNNNNNNNNNNNNNNNNNNNNNNNNNNNNNNNNNNNNNNNNNNNNNNNNNNNNNNNNNNNNNNNNNNNNNNNNNNNNNNNNNNNNNNNNNNNNNNNNNNNNNNNNNNNNNNNNNNNNNNNNNNNNNNNNNNNNNNNNNNNNNNNNNNNNNNNNNNNNNNNNNNNNNNNNNNNNNNNNNNNNNNNNNNNNNNNNNNNNNNNNNNNNNNNNNNNNNNNNNNNNNNNNNNNNNNNNNNNNNNNNNNNNNNNNNNNNNNNNNNNNNNNNNNNNNNNNNNNNNNNNNNNNNNNNNNNNNNNNNNNNNNNNNNNNNNNNNNNNNNNNNNNNNNNNNNNNNNNNNNNNNNNNNNNNNNNNNNNNNNNNNNNNNNNNNNNNNNNNNNNNNNNNNNNNNNNNNNNNNNNNNNNNNNNNNNNNNNNNNNNNNNNNNNNNNNNNNNNNNNNNNNNNNNNNNNNNNNNNNNNNNNNNNNNNNNNNNNNNNNNNNNNNNNNNNNNNNNNNNNNNNNNNNNNNNNNNNNNNNNNNNNNNNNNNNNNNNNNNNNNNNNNNNNNNNNNNNNNNNNNNNNNNNNNNNNNNNNNNNNNNNNNNNNNNNNNNNNNNNNNNNNNNNNNNNNNNNNNNNNNNNNNNNNNNNNNNNNNNNNNNNNNNNNNNNNNNNNNNNNNNNNNNNNNNNNNNNNNNNNNNNNNNNNNNNNNNNNNNNNNNNNNNNNNNNNNNNNNNNNNNNNNNNNNNNNNNNNNNNNNNNNNNNNNNNNNNNNNNNNNNNNNNNNNNNNNNNNNNNNNNNNNNNNNNNNNNNNNNNNNNNNNNNNNNNNNNNNNNNNNNNNNNNNNNNNNNNNNNNNNNNNNNNNNNNNNNNNNNNNNNNNNNNNNNNNNNNNNNNNNNNNNNNNNNNNNNNNNNNNNNNNNNNNNNNNNNNNNNNNNNNNNNNNNNNNNNNNNNNNNNNNNNNNNNNNNNNNNNNNNNNNNNNNNNNNNNNNNNNNNNNNNNNNNNNNNNNNNNNNNNNNNNNNNNNNNNNNNNNNNNNNNNNNNNNNNNNNNNNNNNNNNNNNNNNNNNNNNNNNNNNNNNNNNNNNNNNNNNNNNNNNNNNNNNNNNNNNNNNNNNNNNNNNNNNNNNNNNNNNNNNNNNNNNNNNNNNNNNNNNNNNNNNNNNNNNNNNNNNNNNNNNNNNNNNNNNNNNNNNNNNNNNNNNNNNNNNNNNNNNNNNNNNNNNNNNNNNNNNNNNNNNNNNNNNNNNNNNNNNNNNNNNNNNNNNNNNNNNNNNNNNNNNNNNNNNNNNNNNNNNNNNNNNNNNNNNNNNNNNNNNNNNNNNNNNNNNNNNNNNNNNNNNNNNNNNNNNNNNNNNNNNNNNNNNNNNNNNNNNNNNNNNNNNNNNNNNNNNNNNNNNNNNNNNNNNNNNNNNNNNNNNNNNNNNNNNNNNNNNNNNNNNNNNNNNNNNNNNNNNNNNNNNNNNNNNNNNNNNNNNNNNNNNNNNNNNNNNNNNNNNNNNNNNNNNNNNNNNNNNNNNNNNNNNNNNNNNNNNNNNNNNNNNNNNNNNNNNNNNNNNNNNNNNNNNNNNNNNNNNNNNNNNNNNNNNNNNNNNNNNNNNNNNNNNNNNNNNNNNNNNNNNNNNNNNNNNNNNNNNNNNNNNNNNNNNNNNNNNNNNNNNNNNNNNNNNNNNNNNNNNNNNNNNNNNNNNNNNNNNNNNNNNNNNNNNNNNNNNNNNNNNNNNNNNNNNNNNNNNNNNNNNNNNNNNNNNNNNNNNNNNNNNNNNNNNNNNNNNNNNNNNNNNNNNNNNNNNNNNNNNNNNNNNNNNNNNNNNNNNNNNNNNNNNNNNNNNNNNNNNNNNNNNNNNNNNNNNNNNNNNNNNNNNNNNNNNNNNNNNNNNNNNNNNNNNNNNNNNNNNNNNNNNNNNNNNNNNNNNNNNNNNNNNNNNNNNNNNNNNNNNNNNNNNNNNNNNNNNNNNNNNNNNNNNNNNNNNNNNNNNNNNNNNNNNNNNNNNNNNNNNNNNNNNNNNNNNNNNNNNNNNNNNNNNNNNNNNNNNNNNNNNNNNNNNNNNNNNNNNNNNNNNNNNNNNNNNNNNNNNNNNNNNNNNNNNNNNNNNNNNNNNNNNNNNNNNNNNNNNNNNNNNNNNNNNNNNNNNNNNNNNNNNNNNNNNNNNNNNNNNNNNNNNNNNNNNNNNNNNNNNNNNNNNNNNNNNNNNNNNNNNNNNNNNNNNNNNNNNNNNNNNNNNNNNNNNNNNNNNNNNNNNNNNNNNNNNNNNNNNNNNNNNNNNNNNNNNNNNNNNNNNNNNNNNNNNNNNNNNNNNNNNNNNNNNNNNNNNNNNNNNNNNNNNNNNNNNNNNNNNNNNNNNNNNNNNNNNNNNNNNNNNNNNNNNNNNNNNNNNNNNNNNNNNNNNNNNNNNNNNNNNNNNNNNNNNNNNNNNNNNNNNNNNNNNNNNNNNNNNNNNNNNNNNNNNNNNNNNNNNNNNNNNNNNNNNNNNNNNNNNNNNNNNNNNNNNNNNNNNNNNNNNNNNNNNNNNNNNNNNNNNNNNNNNNNNNNNNNNNNNNNNNNNNNNNNNNNNNNNNNNNNNNNNNNNNNNNNNNNNNNNNNNNNNNNNNNNNNNNNNNNNNNNNNNNNNNNNNNNNNNNNNNNNNNNNNNNNNNNNNNNNNNNNNNNNNNNNNNNNNNNNNNNNNNNNNNNNNNNNNNNNNNNNNNNNNNNNNNNNNNNNNNNNNNNNNNNNNNNNNNNNNNNNNNNNNNNNNNNNNNNNNNNNNNNNNNNNNNNNNNNNNNNNNNNNNNNNNNNNNNNNNNNNNNNNNNNNNNNNNNNNNNNNNNNNNNNNNNNNNNNNNNNNNNNNNNNNNNNNNNNNNNNNNNNNNNNNNNNNNNNNNNNNNNNNNNNNNNNNNNNNNNNNNNNNNNNNNNNNNNNNNNNNNNNNNNNNNNNNNNNNNNNNNNNNNNNNNNNNNNNNNNNNNNNNNNNNNNNNNNNNNNNNNNNNNNNNNNNNNNNNNNNNNNNNNNNNNNNNNNNNNNNNNNNNNNNNNNNNNNNNNNNNNNNNNNNNNNNNNNNNNNNNNNNNNNNNNNNNNNNNNNNNNNNNNNNNNNNNNNNNNNNNNNNNNNNNNNNNNNNNNNNNNNNNNNNNNNNNNNNNNNNNNNNNNNNNNNNNNNNNNNNNNNNNNNNNNNNNNNNNNNNNNNNNNNNNNNNNNNNNNNNNNNNNNNNNNNNNNNNNNNNNNNNNNNNNNNNNNNNNNNNNNNNNNNNNNNNNNNNNNNNNNNNNNNNNNNNNNNNNNNNNNNNNNNNNNNNNNNNNNNNNNNNNNNNNNNNNNNNNNNNNNNNNNNNNNNNNNNNNNNNNNNNNNNNNNNNNNNNNNNNNNNNNNNNNNNNNUUGCACUGUCGACAACCUCGAUGGUGCAUGUUUCUCCUUGUUUCAUCGUCUUGGUUGCGCCACGCUUUGACGACGUACUCGAUUGUUUCGACGAUCCGGCCGAGGGCUAAAAUAAGAAAGAGAGUCGCGCGCGUUAGUCCACACAUAUUUAUUCAAAUCAGUUAGUUUGUAUCACCAGAGGCUCAAUGUAUAUAUAUAUACCUCGGCGCCGGAGGUGGUUGCUACUUCCAUUUGAAGAUCGUCGUUUAUCGACGUUUGUUCGGCAUCAUCUUGCUGACGGCGCCCUUCAUCUUCACCGUCAAGGUUCAGAUAAGAAGAGAUAUCAUCUUCUUCUUGUCCGGUCGGCACAUAUAGAAUAUCGCCGUUUAUGAUGCCGAACAUAUGUGCUUCACCGUCCGGAUCAUAGUUGUCCAUAAUCGGGUCAGCUCUAUCGUCCGCCAUUAUGUCAGUCCUGAAAACAUCUAGUAAAAACAAAUUAAUUAAGUGAAGAAGGGGGGCGAUGGCGGUGGCGGUGGCGAAAGGGCGGUGGCAAAAGGAGGGGGCGAGGAAGGGGUGGGAGAGGGUGUCGCGGUAGGGCGCGAGACGGGGCGGCAGACGACGGCGUCACGGAGAGGGAGGCGAGGACAACACAUUUAUAACCCUCGCCGUCCCCUCUCGAUCCCUAAAAAAACACCGCGCGCAUCGCCGCCCCCCUCGCCGCCCCCUCUCCGUAUAUAUGUUUUUUUUGUUAAUUAUCAAAUUUUACGGUUUUUUUGUUAAUUAUCAAGUUUUAAGUUAUUUACCGUUUUUGUUAAACUAAUUAACUAGUUAAAAUUAAAAAGAACAAAAAAAAUUCUAUCUCUCUCUCUCUCUCUCCUCUCUGCUCUCUGCCCUCUCUCUCUCUGCUCUCUCUCUCUCUCUCUCUCUCUCUCUCUCUCUCUCUCUCUCUCUCGAUCAUCGCUCUCUGAGCAGUUGAGGGCGGCGAGGCCGGCGGCCCGAGGACGGAUUGGGGGGCGGCGCGGCGUUGAGGGCGGCGAGGCCGGUCGGCGGCGUUGAGGGCAGCGAGGUCGGCCGGCGGCGUUGAGGGCGGGGGCGAGAGGCGGCGCGGUGGGCGAGGGAGGCCGGCGGGCGGCGUACNNNNNNNNNNGGCGGCGUCGAGGGCGCGGGCGACGGCGGGCGGCGUCGAGGGCGAGGGCGACGGCGGGCGGCGUCGAGGGCGAGGGCGGCAGGCCUUCGGCGCGGCAGAGAAGACGAGCAGAAAUGGAGGCGACGGGUCGGGCAGUGGUAUUUAUAGCCCCCCCCCCUUUAGUCGCGGUUGGGGAGGCGACCCGCGACUAAAGGGCCCUUUAGUCGCGGUUGGGGAGGCGACCCACGACUAAAGGGUAACCUUUAGUCGCGGUUGGGGAGGCAACGAACACUGCAACGUGGACCCACCCAGAUGGCUGCCCCAGGCGUCAUCCACCCAACUGGAAAGGCACGACGUGAAGUAAAACAGACGGUGGGAUGUUUGACAGCCAGUUGAAAAGGACCAAAAACUUUACACGGAGGUAAAACGGACGAGUCAGAUCAUUGCGCGCGAGGGAUGGCGCUGGAUGGGCGGGUACUCUAGCAGCUUUUAUAUGUUAGAUGCUGAUGUGUGAAAGCACCCCAUUAUCAUGCAAAUAGUACCAGGUUUAGAGCCUUGAUUAUGGCGGCUAUAAACCCAAAACUCCAUCUUAUAUUUAGUAUACAAAUCGUGUUCUGGUGGGAAUGACUCCAAUUAGAAUUCUAGCUGCCGGCAUAUAUCUGAUUGGUCCCAGAUUGAAAAUCUCAAUCGUCGGGACUUGCUUGUAUGCAUUCCUAAAUAGUGUAAAACUGAAGCUUGCUGCUCGUGAGGUGUCAGCCAUAAACAUGUAUAAUGACCAAUGUUUAUCCGGUGAAGUGCCUAAAAAAUAGAAUUACAGUAGGGUUUUUAUCCUACUGUGUUUGCUCAAAACUAAAAGUGCCUAAAAUUCAGUGACUAUAGUUUUCCACUUUAGCUCAUAAACUGGAUGGCAAAAUAGAGUUUGCCCAUUUCAUAUCUAUGUUGUCUUAUUAGGAAAAUAGAGUUUGUUUUAUAGCUGAUUCUUAAUAUGUUUUAUCGACUAGUGAAUGCUUAACUUUAGCUCAUAAACUGGAUGCAAAUGCUAAUUCUAAUGGGGCUUUUGCCACUUAUUGUUUUAUGGUUGUCUAGACAGCUGAUGGCAUGCUUCUUUCUGCGAAUUGUCAAUUCUUUUGUAGAGGGUCCCUCGGCUACUUAUGCUUUGCUAGACAAUGAGAGUAUGUAGAUAGCAGGUAUGGUUUUUACAUUGUUUUGCGCAGGUUGAGAUGCAUCACAUGAUGUUUUCCUUUUACAUUUAUGAGUAUUGCAUAGUCCUUUCUUUUUCCACAGGGGGCAGUAGCCGUGCCAUUUGAUUCGAAGGACAAAGAGUUGAUCACAAAGGGGAUAUAUACACAAAAGAGUAUAGAACCAAAUUAUAUGAUCUAAUUGACUACUAUUUCUAUUAACUUCUCUUGUACACAAUGUUCACGAGUUCAUGUAUUAAGUACAUUCUAUUGUGCCACUUGUGUUUACUCUUUUUUAAUGCAAGUUUACAUGUACUCGAAAUUCCUAAUUGCAGACUCAACUACCUUGACCUACCAAUGAUCUAAUUUGUGGUAUUAUUACCUUAAAAUAUUUGCAUUUAAUUUCCUUUAUAUAUAGGGGUAUACUUUCUUACCAAAUGUAAUUAAAUAUAUGGUUAUUGAAAAACUGCAAAUAUUUUCAACACGAACAUGGUUUUAAACGGGCCUUUGCGCCAUUUGGCGCAACUGGUCAUCUAGUAUAUAGAAUACAUGAGAGGGUAGAGGCUUGGAGUACAAGACAAAUAAUUCAUAGUUUAAACAUAUUCGAUCUAUACUUCUUAUCUCUAUAUUUAAACCCCACUUAUAUUCUAACACAACCACAUAGGGGUAUGUUCUUAAUAGCAUGGAAAGAGAGACACUAAAUAUCCAAAAGCAAGUGCAUAUCUGCUCCUAGUGAAAAGAUGUCACAGUUACCUCUAGUCCAGUCACUUAGUUGUUUUAGACAAACUAACUCUGCUAUUGGUUUAAAACCUGCUUUGGCUCUGCCAAGCCGAUGGUGGCGUCGCCUAUGGGCAUCGUCACGGCUCCUCUACAUGCUCACGUUGCUCCGAGGGAAACCUUGAUCUCUUGAUCAGGCGGUGGUGAUACUCUACUGUCGUGCUCUUCAUGAAGGAACCGCCCUGGAGUGUCCGGCUCGUCAUGCUCGGCUUUCUCUCUUCGCGGUGACUUGUUCACGGUUGAGGUCUCAGGAGACUCCAGGUGGUGCUCUUUCUACCUACAUGUAGUUUGCUUGGUGUGGACGGGGUGGUUUAGGUGUUCUUAUACACCCUUGUAUCUUGCCUUGAGUGUGUGUUGUGGAUUUGAGUUGUAUGUGUGUUGUUUUGUAUGGUGAUUGUUUCUUUAUAUAUAAAGCAGGGCAUGAGCCUUUUUUGGGUAAAAGCAAGUGCGUGUCUGCACCUAGUGAAAAGAUGUCACAAUUAUCUAUGUAGCGCAACAAUCAUAAUCAUAGUUGUUCAUAUACAUAAAAAAAACUUAGCAUAAAAAUUAAACAACCAACAUCAUUGGUCAUAUCCAUCAUUUUUUACCUCUAGUUUUGAAACUGCCAUCCAUCCAUAGUAGUCCAAUCACUUAGUUAUUUUAGACAAACUAACUUUGCUGUUGGUUUAAAAAAAAUAGAACCUUCUUCCUCAAGAAUAUCAGUUAUAUUAACUGGAAGGUUGUGUGGAGUGGCAUGCUGGGCUGCUCCAAGCUUUUUUGAAUGCCCUGUACAUGACACUCAGCAAAGUGUGAACACGUGGCACCAUUUUUUGCUAAGUACACCGGCGGCCGCCAUGUGGCAACCCAGCCUCUGCAUAUUUAGAAUGCUACACAACCAAUGCAAACACACACACACACACACACACACAAGAAACACGUCGUUAAAUAGCAAAGUUAUGCAAGACCAAAGUUAUGCUUUAGCAUGGAAAAAGAAAAAAAAUCCCAAAGAGAUCAAAACAACAAUCGACAAACUACAACAACGAUCUUAUCCACACCAACCAUCUUUGGACACCACAAGAACUAUGAAGUUACCCAAUAGCAACGCUUUCAAGAAUGGAACGAUGCUCAAAUGUCGCCGUUACUGGACUCAACUACCAAAGGCUAGAUUCUAGGUUUUCACCCUGAAGAACAAGACUGAGCAUAUCCGAACAAUGUCUCCAACAAGGUAAUGACAAAAAAACAUCAUCAUUGCCAGGUAUAACCAACUCAAGUCAGACCUAGGAUUUUUACCUCGGAGCUCGAGACCAAAGCACCGCCAAAUUGAAGUCAAUCAUGUGUUGUUACCACCACUUUUCCAUGAUCCCAACAUCUGCAUGCGUGGGUUAGCAAUCCCACCACCACCGGUGCACAACUUUACCCUCUGUGUCAAAUCGCCGUCCAUAGAUUGCAUCUCAUCGCCACAAGCAAACAGAGUGAGAGCCACCAAACCCACAAAGGAGCAUUUCGGUUGCAUCCCACUAAUUUGCUAGUAAGUGUUGUCGACAGCAGCCACCGAAUCAGAAGAGAGAAACCUUCACGAAAAUAUUUCUGCCGCUCGAUAAGCUGGCCGAUGGAGCCAUGGUAAUCUCCGAGGGAGAAUACCACUACCGUUAACACUCGUUUUCUAUUCAUGAAGUUGCAAAUGUUCUAAGACAGGGAUAAAUAGCAUUGUUUGAAUUGUUAAGUGCUUGAAUUGCCUGUGAAUAUGCAUAAAUGAGUUGCAUUUUUUUUUUUUGCACCAUCGGUGAUGAUUCAAUGUUAAACCAAUAUUUUUUCCCUCUGGUACUGCAAACGUAGGCCAUUGUUGAUGCCAUAUGAAAUGUUGUGAAGUUUAUGUAAGCAUUACACAUUACUUGUGUCGAAGUGUUGCGGAUGUUGCUGCUUUCUAUAGUAGCGCCAUGACUGUUAAGGCUCGACCCAAGGGGCUGUGCCAUUCUGGGGCGCCACCCAAACCUUCCAUCUGGCUGGUCAUCAUUGGGUCCAUGGACUCUUGCAGAGCUGAGAAGUAUUGUUUCUUAAAGCUUCAUGCGAUUUCAUCAAGUGGUCACACACAGACGCACAGUGCGUGGGAUCAGAUUGAACACCCUUUGCUUGUUGGGUGUGCAGGGUAUACCUUGACAAGGAUCCACGUCUCCUUCCUCGUGUCUGAUUCCUUAUUGAUUACUGAGCAAUACGGGCAUCUGUAAAAGGAAAAGGCACGGGGAUGCACAUGGGUUUGGAUUGAACACCCUUUGUUUGCUGGGUGUGCACACCUUUGCAAAAAAAAGGAGGGGGUUAUCAGAUACGGAUAAUGUAAUGUUUUGUUUGUAUUAUAUGUCACUUUAGUUUUGUCCCAAGUGAAACUUCUCUACCUUUGACCACGCUUACAGAAAAAGGCACCAUCAUCUAUUACAUCAAAUUAGCUGCGUCAAAUUCACCAUGAAAUAUGUCUUGAUAGUUCAUUUGUUUGGUACUUAUUAUAGAUGUUCCCUAAAAUUCUGGUCAAAGUUGGUGAAGUUUAAUUUAGGACAAAGCUAAAAUGACAUAUAAUACGGAACAGUAGGUGUAGAGUAGAAAAAGGUUAUUAGUCCGAAAGGAAAUAAAGGAAAGAUUCCACUAACAAAAGAAAAGGAAAAAAGUCGUAAGGUGGGAAGAAGAACAACAAUUGAUGUAAGAAAAUCAGGACAGGUUGGCUAGAACCAGGCCGGUGAUCAUGCCCCUAGCUAUGUCUCCUCCUAUAUAUGUAUCUUCUGCUUAAGCUGUGAGCACCGUUGCAGUUCUACCAUUCAUCGUCCAAUACAUCCACAAGGCGGCCGUGGUGGAUCAGCGAACAAUUUUGCAGUUCUCCGCUAGUUAUCCUAUAUAUAUAUAUAUAUAUAUACAUAUAUAUAUAUAUAUAUAUAUAUAUAUAUAUAUAUAUAAGUUGCUCUGUACUUAUGUUUACAUCGCUAGCUCUCACAUUACUAUAUGCAAAUGCACACAUUCAAGUUAUGAUGAUUAAAUACUACUCGUAUAUGAUAUGCAGAUGCACACAUUCAAGAUGUGUUGGUCAUGCACACAUUAUUAAAUGAUCUAUACACUUCUGAAUGGAAAUUAAGUUAUGCUGAUUUAGGUUGUUAGCUGUACUUUAGAAAAUGUACAUAACCCUAAAAAACUUACUUCACAGCCACCCUAGCACAUAAUUCACCCUGAUAUUAUGAACGAAUAACUUGUUUACUACUUGGAAAAUAAUUAAAUAUUCAGUAAAUGAUGCUUUGGGAAGGAUAGGGCCUGUUUUUUUACAUGCAUGUGCUGAUGUGAAGUAUUCUAGGAGGAGAAUCCAAUGAUCUAUCGCUAUUGUUUCUAAAGGAAUCUAUUUAUCCCCCCCCCCUCAGGUCGCCCCCGUGGGCGACCAGGGGGAAACCAUAGCCGCCGUGCCCGUACUCCCCCGCCUCUCCUUCACCCUCGCCGCCGUCAGCAGCGCCGCCGGACGAAGCCUGGCCGGCAGGGGCGGCGGCGGGGCUCCUUUCCCCUUUGCGCGAAUAGGCUGGCGCGGGACGGCCGUUCGAGAGGAGGCGCCGGACUUGCGCGGGGUGCGGCCGCUGCAUAUGGAUCCUGGCCGCGGUGUGCGCAGCGCGUCGGCUGCUGGGGUUCUUGUUCGUGGCGUGGUGCGGCCGUUGGAUCUGGUGGUCGCGUGCGUCCUCGGUUUCAGGUCAGAUCCUUCUGGAUCCGGCGCCCGAACGCCGUCGGCCAGCGCAGAAUGGUGGCUUGCGCCGCUGACCAGGUCGGAUCUUCAUUGAUCCGGCACCUGAAUGGAUCUACGCUGGAGGCGUUGAGCCUUAUGGUGCUUCCCUCUCUGGAGCUUUCGUGUCUUGGCUUCUGCCAGGUCCGGAGCAGAUGGAGAUUGGUGGUACAGGAUGAGGACCGGAGGAAACUUUGGUCGGCUAGCUCGGCCCGGCAUCGACGACGGCUUCGACGUCGUUAACCUUCUUGAAGGCGAAGCCGAGGUCCCUCCUAUCCACCUCCGACCCCUUCCCGGACGAAAGUCCGAAAUCCUUCUUGGAUUGGACGGUGGCGGCGCCCUGCGCGUCGUAACCUCCAUGGAGGCGCCGUCUUGGGAGGCUUGGGUGUUCGGGGGAGAGUUGCUAUGGGUGAAGGGCUCCGCAUGUCAGCUCCACCAGCCGCAAUGGUGUGGAGGUUGGCAGGAGGAGCGGUGUUCUAACCGCGUCAGAAGCGUCUGGGAAGAGAUGUCAAGUCAUGCGUGGCCGACAGGUGCUACGCUGUGUCAUGCCUAGUCAGUAGGUGCUACACACGACAUAUCUUCCAGAGUGUCCGCGUCGGGAUGGACGAGCGCAGGGCGGUGGAGUCGUUGAGCUGGCAAGAAUGAUGCGGAUCUCUCUCCUGAAGAUGUGAUAGCGGUUCGAUGAUGAUGGCGACUUCUAAAAUGUGUGCCUGUGGUGUACGUUUUAGGUUUGCUGCACCGGUUGCUUGUUCCGAUACGGUAGAUGGAUGGAUCUAAGUGAGAGCACUCCACAUUAUCAAGUUUGUAGGUGUGAGUGGUGGCUUCCGGUGGCUUGAUGUAUGUUCUUGUCAGACCCUCGUGGAAUAAUUAAUAAAGAUGGUUGCAUGCAUCGAUUGAUGCAGAGCCCGGAGGUUUAACCUCCAUUUCAAAAAAAAAAAAAUCCAAGUGGUGGUGCUGCUCAGCUUCGCACUUCAGUUGACGCUCCCUCACCCUGGCAGAGUUUCGCCGGCACGUGGACUCUGGGGUGCUAAGGUUCAUCCUGUGGUCAGCGUACCUGCUGGCGGACUCGGCGGCGAUACACGUCCUCGGCCUGCUGCUGCUGCACCUCGGCGGGCAGGACAACAUCACAGCCUAUGCCAUUGAUGAUAACCGGCUAUGGUUGUGCCACCUGCACACCUUCCUGGGUCGUACAGGUGGCAGGUGGCAGGAGCUGCUUACAUCCUCUACAAGUCUUCCAUCCUGAGCAGCCUCCGGCCAGCCACCAUCCUGAUGUUUGUGGUUGGCGUUGUGGAGUACGGAGAGAGGGUGUGGGCACUCAGGUGCGCUAGUAGUACCCCGUCGGGUAGCGAAAACAUACAAUCAAGCAGCUGCACCCCGGCCCCCUUAUCCUAUACGUCCAUGUACCUUAGGAUAUGUGCCAGCCGUUUCCGUAAGUAUUGCAUGGCACGGUUGUGUAGCAGGUGUUUCCAGUGGUUUGCGACAGUGAUCGAUCUACUACUAUAGCUAGGGUACUGUACAGGGUUAUUCUAUCACAGAUAAAGACAGAGAACAGUGGACACUCCCCAGGAUGCCCUUGUCCCCAUUUUAGUAUCCAUCUUCAGGAGAAUGCUACGCGGCGGGGGAGGCGGAUUCAUUUGAGAUAGAAAAUGAAGAGAACUAAAUCUGAGCGGAGGCGGGAGUUGCUGGGGCUAGAGGAGUAGCGGAACCAGCUGCAGAUUCAGGCCGGCAAGAGUAUUGCCGCCGGUGCUAUCUAUCCCGCGCCGAGGCAAGGCGCGCACAGCCGUUGGUGAUAUCCCAAGGCAUCAGACAUCUUACGGAUUCAACACAGGUAAAUCUGUCAUUGCUGGAAUAUGCACAGGCCUUCUUGAAGUCGAUUUGUACUUUAUUGGGAGUAAUACACCCGAGGUCGUUGCUUGGUUUCCGGCGCACAUCAGGGGAAUGAUUGGCCCUGGAUGUCUCUGUUUUGCAGGUCAAAAUAGGCACACAGUAGGAUUGGAUUGCCGGCGGCGGAGUUGAUCUGUUAUGCGGCACAGAAGCCAUCUGGAAAGGGGAUUCAGAUUUUAGUAGGGGAAAUACAAAUAGAUUUAAAGCCUACUCCGGAUGAGCAAUGCGUACAGUAGUGCAGGUGGAAGAAUCAGUACGUACCUAUCGCCGUCCGUCGGAGUGAUUUCCAGGGGGCCGAUCGCCGGCGACAUCGAAUCGCCUCCCUGCACCCGGUCCAUGUCCAGUCAAAGAGCAAGCACAGGGAGGUGAGAGAGACGAAAGUCAUAUUCACGGGUGCGCGUCGCUAUGCAGGGGGGUGGAAGACAAAAAAACACAGAGCCUAGGGUGGAGCAGUACACCUAUACGAAGCCAAUCUCUACUCCUAAUGUCUCACUUGGUAGGUCGCGUUCCGGAUUUUAUUUUCGUCUGAUUUUUUUUCGCUGGUUUUUUUCGACGGUUUUCUCGUCCCUUCCCCGCACGUACCAAAAAAACAGCCAGCGAGGCUCCCCUCGAUUUAUGUAUUCUAUCGUACGAUCUCUCAAAGACGCCCUAGCCCCCAAUACGAGCCGCCACCGAGAUCCAAGACGAGCCGCCGCCGAGAUACGAGUCGAUCCGCUGCCGCCGAGGACCGAGUGGAGCCGCCGCCGCCGCCCAGGCUCUCCACGAUGUGCGCGCCGGGGCGCCGCUCCCGCUCCCGAGCAUAGCAGCAGCGGCGGAGCCCCGCCGCCGGCGAGCUCACUCUGGCGGAGGAGGGCGGGGGCGAGCUCACUCUGGCGGAGGAGGGCGGGGGCGAGCUCGCCGUCUCCCUUGCGCUCAACAAUCUCUUCUCCCACGCCGUCGCCCGCUUCACGGCCUACUUCGGCCUCAUGCUCCCGCAUCGACCGGCUCUUCGGCGCGGAGGACGUCCAUCAGGCGGCGGGCGAGAUCUCCGGCCGGGAUGGGCCACUGCCUCCACCAUCACCGCCUCUUCGUUGCGGCCGCCGCCGACAUGUGUGAGGGAUGCCUGUCUUCUUCAAAGAAUGAGAUGAAUGAAGGAUGCAGAGGAGACAGGCUCCAUGGCGUGUUCCUGCUGUAAAGCUCUCGACCUCUCGUACAGGUACACGUUUCUUCUUCACGCGAGUUUGAAAACACACAUACUACCGCGAGCCGAGAUCCAUCCACCCAGUUAUGGAUCCAUUAGGUACAAGCCACUAGCCACCAGGUAAUAGAGAUUUCCUCUCUCAUUUAGUUGGAUUGGGGGAGGCUAGAGAGGCUUGCUUGUUGUUGUGUUUUCUGCGUGAGAGAGCAGAGAGAACUGAGAGAUCACAUGGAUCCAGUGUACAGAUGAGCUUUUGGUGUGAGGGUGGUGGUGGUGGUUGAGGUAGCAGGGAGAGGAUGGUCACUAGAUGGAAGAGUGCAGGGACUGUUGCUUGCUACUGCUACUGCAUGUGCUAUUGUGUUAUUUUGUAAUAUUUUUGAACUGUUAGCGAUAUUGCCGCAGUGAGAUGAGCUGAUUUUGUAAUAUAUGGUCUUUUCCAGUGCAUUGCAAAACUAACUAAUAGUUUGUGAUCUGACACCCUGGUAACCUCAUGAUUGGGUGGUGCAUGCAGGGCACACCUCCGAGCUAGCCGAUGCUUAGUAUACCAGUGUUCUGCUGCAUCCGGUGCGACCUCAAAGAAUACCUUCGUCUAGCUGGCCGUUGAGCACCUUAGGGACGACGAGGUGCAGCGCCUGGGGUGUAAGCAGUUCAACUACACGAUGAAGUGAGUAAAGGGGUUAAGACGGUUGCGUUGUGCGUGCGCUGCUUGCUUGCUGGUGAGUAUCGCCUCUGUGACUAGGUGUUCUUUGUUGUCUAUGCCCUCUGUAGUUUAAGGUGUUUGUUCUUUUAUGCAAUGCUCGCUCGCCCAAAGUAUGUACGAUCUUUACCAUAGUACAUUAGCUAGCUAUAGGAGAUGACAUCUUUGUGCUUUUCUUCUUCCUGAACACGCAUAUGGAUGUUUGUGCAUUGGAACGGCAUGUCUUUCGGAUCAACUAUUCCCUGCUCUGACUUCGCCUUUUAAUUUGACUGAAUAUCUACUUACGCUCUCCAAGAUUGUUCCUGUGAGUUUCUUUAAAACAUAUUUGUGCACCCAGCUAGAUCAUACAGUUGUUAAUGUAUGGAGUUUUUUAUUGGGUCUGUUUAUCUCAGGGCUCUGACGCGCCGAUUUCGUUUAGACAAUUUUUAGAGCCAGUAUUUACUCCAGGGAAUACUCUUUAUAUUGUUCAAUCUCGGUGUAGGUCUAAUUUCUCGGAAACAGUUUCAGUCAAUGCUGGGCCGAAACCUCUUAAACUCAUUAAGUAGCGUUCUUGGAGAGUUGAAAUCUCAUUUCAUUGAUGAUGUAUUGCGCUGCGUGUUGGUUAAGAUGAAGCAAGGAGAAAACCAUUGACGAUGUAUUGUGAUGCAUGUUUCAGUCAACUUGUUGGACAACUGUACACGUAUGUGUUUUUUCAAGCCCACUGAUUUCAGCCUCUCCGUCUCCUUCAAGCCGGUGAGUUUGGUUAACUGAACAUACUAUUUGAGAAGGGACAAGGGAAGAAACCUCAACUAUUCCCCUUAGUUCAUGUUGUCUCUACAAUUUACAAUUGAUAUGUAGUGCUACCUGAAUUAAAUUCUGGCAACUAAGCUCAUGCAGUGCUUAAGAUUAAAUGGGAUAUAAUGGAAAUGCAGAUGAGAAGUUCAGGGAUAUUCCUGGGAGUGCCUAUUAUGUGGCUCCGGAGGUGCUGAAGCGGAUAUAUGGAGCCGAUAAUUGCAUAUGGAGUGCUGGAGUUAUACUCUACAUUCUGCUGUCUGGCCUUCCUCCUUUUUGGGCAGCAGGGCAGGUGUGUUCUCUGGCUGGUUAUGUCAAUCAAUUUUGGGGCUGUGAUGGAUGCAAAGACUGGAAGGUGAAUAUAGUUAUCCUACAGGAACCCUCCCUUGGUUUUAAUUACCUGAGAAUGAGUAAGGUCUAUUUGAUGUUGUUCUUCAAGGUUCUAUUCAUUUCUCAUUUGAUCCCUGGCCAUCAAUUUCUAACGGGGAUAAAGAAUUACUCCCUCCGUUCCUAAAUAUAAGACCUUUUAAAUAUUUUAAUAUGGACCACAUACGAAGCAAAAUGAGUGAAUCUACACAAUAAAAAUGUCUAUAUACAUCCAUAUAUAGUCCCUAUUGAAUUAUCUAAAAUAGCUUAUAUUUAGAAACGGAGGGAGUACAACAAACGGGAUAAUCAGACAUAACUCUGUUAUGUGAGUAGAGAACGUGAGUGCAUAUGCUUAUUGGGGUCGGUCAACAUGGUUCAGUUGGCAUAACAAGCUCCAACGGACACAACUUUUCAUGAAUUGAAUUGAUUGAAUGCCCUUAGUAAGUUCUCGAUAGAAUUACCUCUUCUUACAAGGAUGAGAAACUUAAGUGUUUUUCAUUUAUUUUGUGCAGAUCCUCCUGUGAAGCAUAAAUUUCAUUGUAUCCAAGGAGAUAUCAAAUGCUGAAAACAUGGGACUCAAAAUGUAUAGAGAGUCGGAGACACUGCUAAACUAUCAUUUAUGGGUGUCUACCAAAUUCACUAUCAACCACUGUUGUAGGACCGGCGGUAUGUUAAAAUUUAUUUUGGUUUUAUUAGUCCAUGUAGAGAUGCUAUGCUCAGCUAUUGAUUUGACACUUGUGAUAUCCAAUUACACUCCUGUGGCUUGUAUGUUGCUCGAAGAUGCUCACAAGUCUGGUUGGGAACGUUAACCUUACUCUUAGGGACCAUUAUUUGAAACAGUACUCUGUCUACUACUCCCUCCCAUGAUAUAGCUUAAAAGAUGUUCUUAUAUUAUGGGACGGCGGGAGUAUAUGCUAAGUUGUGUACUGAUGUAUAGAUAUCUGAUUUUGUUCAUUUUGCAUUAGGUUGGGAGGACAUGGACUAAGAGCUAUAUAUGAUGAUUCUACAAAAGAUAAUGUACUGGAAGACAUGAGAACUUUUAGGAUGCUACAGUGUAAAAAUAUUUGGAAUAUGGUAUGGUUUGCCGGACCGGAACCAAAGCAAGAACGAGAAGGAGCUUAAGUAGGGCCAUGUCGGGGUGUCGCCACAAUAGGAAAUUGUCGCUGGUGCUAGAUACCAGGGGAACCAAAAAAUCUUUUUUCUACAAAGGUAACGAAGUUUUUGGGUCUAGAGGGACCAAGAUGAGCAGGCCAUCAACAUCCUAUUCCUGCUUAUCUUUGGUUUCUUUGUAUCUGUAUUAUUAAUCCUGGUUUCAACUGGGGUGUUGAGUGCAAUCUUCGGGUGCAAUCCUCAAAUGUGGGAUGUCGUACUAGCCUUAAUUCAACAUCUGGAAUGGCUUAUGAUGGCAUGGAGUUCCAUCAUUUCGGCUACUUGCGGCGGGGAGUGUGGCCGGUGCUUGCGGCAGCAGCGAAGCGGCGUGCGCGAGCGCAGUGUAGGCAGUGGCCAAAGGCUCAUCGGCCGCUGCGAGUACGCCGUUGGCACCAGGUUCAUGACAUUGUAAAAAAAAUCUUGAUUCAAUAUUCUUUCGUCAUUAUUCCUCUUUCAUGUUCUCUAUCCUUGAAGAUACUUGCUAGAUUUCUAGCUGAUAUUUUUUGGUAGUAUAAGCUCGAUGUAUAUGGCCUGAAUAUGACCUGAUUCAGAGUACAUUGUGUUCUGAAGCUUUUUACUGUAUGGUUCUCUCUUGAAAGAAUUCAAUCCAUUGUUCAAUGGGAGAGAACAGUUGUAAUCCUGAAAUAAAUGUCGUACCUAUUCAACAGCUGACACAAUUGCCACUGAGAUCAUUAUUUUCCUUUUCUUUCAGGUUUUCAACAUCACAAAUUUCAUACUAAUGGAGUGGAGCUACCAAAAUAUCUAUUGAGGUAAAAUCACUAUAUACAUAUUGUUUUCCCCCAUUGCGUCAGGCGACAUGCAUCUGUUGCAAGGAAAUAGGCAUCACCUGCAUGCUUGCUUUUGUUCGUUUCUAGCCGGCAAGAAUCCAUCGAGUCUUCCUCUAUGUGUGCAACCCUGCCAGCAUGGGAAUCAAUCAAGGUAGGGGCAGCCAAUGUUAAGUAUGUGCGGUCUUGCCGGGAUCCAAUCUAUUGACUCCUUCAGCCAGCUUUGCACUAUGUGCACGACGUCCAUGCUCGAAAGCACUUUGCAAGUGGACCAUGCACGGCUCCACCGGCCUUGCGUCAACAAUUCAAAUCCUUAUCUUAUACUUCCUCUGUCUGAAAAAGCUUGUCCCAAGCUUGUCCCUUAAAUGGAUGUAUCUAGCACUAACUUGGUGCUAGAUACAUCCAUUUGAGGGACAAGCUUUUCGGACAGAGGGAGUACUACUAGAUAGACACGUACUUCUUUUAUGUAAUUCUUAAUUUAUAGAAGCAGAAGAACUGAUUAUGUGAAUUGAAUAUAUAAUCCCAUGUGUAGGUGCUAUCCAAGUGUUGUGAUUAUUUAGCACACAUAACUUGCAGGGAGAUAACUCUAUAGUAUGAAGACUUGAAAAUAUGAGUGCAUGUCGUUGGUGUUUUUGAAACCAUCUUCCAUCACGUCUAAUAUUUUUGUAUUUCAUAAUAGUAAUUGUUCAGCCUUUGACUGACAUAUGGAUGAUAUUUGUAAUAUAUAUCUUUCUUCCAUAUGACGGUAACAUUAUGAUGAAGGUGGAACCAUAGAGAGAUGUGUAUUUUUAAUUGAGAUAUUUUCAGGAGUACCUUUGUGAAGCUGAUAUAUCUUUAUUUUACAAGAUAUGGUUGCACUUUCUUCAUCUACAUAGGCUGUCUGGAAUGCCAUGAGGCCGGGAUUGGUGUAGGAAAUCUUCAAAGCUAUUAUAUUGGUCUCAAGAAACUUGCAAUACAUCAAUGCAUUACUAUUUUUAAUUUUUUUGCUGACACCACAGCUACCACCUCUUCACUAAAUGACAGAGGUUGCCAGCAACUGCACAUGGAAAGAUUUAAUGUUAUAUUAUGUCUACUAAUCAAUAGGGAGGGAGAUCAAAUUACUGCUCUCAAAUAUUCACCUGGUUGAUUUUGAAAGAGGGUUAAAAAAUGGUGUUAUGAAUGAAGAUGGAUGGGGUUGAGGGCUGGGAGAAAGAUGUUGUAUUGCAAGAAGAAGUUGGUUAAGAAGACUGACGAUUAUGAGAAUGAAGGACACAAACUUUUGAAUUAGACCAAUUGUUUGAUCGAUCAUUUUUGUUCUCUUGAAAAUGAUAUAUGGUCAAUUUUAGUAUUCUGAUGUGAUUGAAGAAUAUAGGAGGGACAAAGAGAUGUGCUAUUGCCAGGACAGUUAUGACUCUCUAUUAAGGUAUUCAGGUAUGAUUCUCCAUGGUCAUGCUUCUCAUGUUCACCUGGAAGUUUAUUGAUGGGAGGGAAGCCACUUCUGCUUUGAUGAUUUCUUGGAAGUUCAGGUUAAAACACUUUCACUCUUAAAGUCUGUUUAUCAAUUCUUUGGAUAACCUAUUUAAUGAUUGGUUUUGAUUUUCAUACAGCUAGGUGAAUUUACAAUACAAGUCAGAUUAUUUGUGAGAGAAUUUCAUUCCCUAGAAUCAUUGUCAUUCUUGUUGCCUACAAGGUACUUGAAGAAAAUGCCCGAGACAUAUUUUAAGGAGUAUAACUCAGCACUAAGGCUAUUAUUACAAUGAUGGAAUCUUUGUUGUGGUAGUUAUGUCUCCAAAUGCGUCGAUCCCUAUCGGCUACUGAAGUAAACUUAUUUAUUUUUUCUGUGUAGAUUUCUAUUGGCUUACUGAUAGCUUACACUGGUGGAAAAAGGGCCUUUGGUCGCGGUUCGCAACUGCCAUUAGUCGCGGUUGCGCAACCGCGACCGAACGGGCGCGACUAAAGGCCCCACCCUUUAGUCGCGGUUGCUUAAGAACCGCGACUAAAGGCCCGUCCACAUGGGCGCCAUGCGGCCGUCGGGGCGGAGGACCUUUAGUCGCGGUUUUUCUGGCCAACCGCGACUAAAGGCCGCCGCAGGUUUAGGGUUUUAGCCCCCCCCCUUAAACCUGUUUUCUGUUUAAUUUGUAUUGUUUUAUUUCUUAUGUGCUUUAUUUUAAUUUUGAAGGAGUUUCACAUAUUCUACGGUACUACAUACAUGCAUAUGAAUGUACAAUUUCAAACAAAUUUGAAAUUAAAACCAAAAAGAAUUCAAGAGGAAUAUAAAAUAUAUAUUCAAUAUCAUCGGAUGACCAUAUACAAUUUUGAACAAGUUUCCAUACAUAAUUUAAUGCAUAUAAAGUUCUACGUCCUCGUAAUGGUGUUCUCCUUUAGGAUGGAGGACUUCCCUCCUGAACCAUCCAGCUAGUUCCUCUUGAAGUGGUCGGAAGCGAGCUUCUGGACUAAGCAUCAUCCGGAGGUUAUUCCUCUGAGCAUUGGUAUCACUCGGAACCCGCUCAGAGGUGUAUCUCCGGAUCAUCUCACAGACAUAGUAUGCACAUAGAUUGGUCCCCGCUGGCUGAAUAUCCUCACCAUUCUUAGCCUUUGCCCUUUUGAAUUCUAGCUCUUUUUUGAAUUCACCGACCUUUGUAUCUACGAACCAUCUCCAAACCCUACGAGGCAAAGAAAAUUAAAUGAACAAGAGAGUUAUUAGUUACUUGAUAUUAGGAAAUGAACGAAAUAGGCCGAUCGAUAUAGAGCGCAAAUGAAUGAAAAUAAUUACUUCUGCAGCAUUCUUCUCAUGUCGACCCAAAGCUUUGGAUCCUUAUUCAGAGAGUCGUGGACGAGACAUUCUGAGGUGUCAACUUUAAUUACUAGCAGAAUCCAGUGGAACCUGCGGACACGAUACAUGCACAGUAUGUCAUGCAUAACUCAUCGAUUAGCCGGCCACAUACCAUGCAUGGAGUAAACAAAAGAGAAUGUGCUCAAGACAGAAACACUCACCCAAAAUGGUAAGGAAAUAGAAUAUCACUUUUGAGUUCCUGCUUUGUAAGAAACUGCCACAUGUCUGCCUCCAUGUCGGCGGGGUGAUGCUCCAACACAUAUCCAUUAACGAUGUGUGGGUCAAUGAACCCAACAUCAUGGAUGUUCCUUACUCUGCAUUCCUUAAUCUUCAUUCUGCAUGUAUAAUAGCGGACACAACAAUAUAGUUAGGACAUAUAUAUAGUGCAGGCAAUAUGAACGAGAUGGGGUAGAAAUAAAUCACUUACAGAACGUAGCAACUGAUGAUAGAUUUGUCGAGCUCGCGCAGAUUGAAAAGCUGGAACAAUUCACUCAGAUGAAUUUGUACAUAGUAAUGUUUGAAGUGAUGCUCAUAUCUAACUUCCGCAUAAAUAUAUUCUUUGGCGUUUUUAUUUUUUAUGUAACCCUUGUACCAUUUCAGCAGACCUUUCAUUUGUGGAGGUAGAUCCUGUUCCUGCGCAGGCUCGACGAGAGGCCCAUUCUUCACAUAUGUAAUUACUACCUCCUUCACUGGCGCCUCAUCAAGGCCUAACAGUUCACGAAGAGUAAUACCUAAGUUGGCCGCUUGUUCUCUGGCACUCGUUACAGUCAAUCCAUGUGCUGCCGCAGCUGCUAUGAUAUCGGGGUCAUCCGGACCGGCGGCUUUCACUAUAAGCGAGGCAAUCGAUUGUUUACUUUGUUCCCCGAGCUGGGCAACCCGUUUCCCACUUUUUUUACUUUCUAAUUCCGUUUUCUCGGCCUCCUCCAAGGCUUUGUUCUCCUGGUUCUCCGCCCGCUCUUUCUUCUCCUUCAACAUGAGUGCCUGCCUACGAAGUUCACGUGCAUAGUCGUCAGGCAGAUUCUUCGCGGCUUGGGACGGUGUGCUCAAAAAUGACUUAGCCCACUUCUUUUGCUCAUCAGAAAAUACUGGCUUGGGCUCGGGCUCUCUUUUCUUCUUGCAGUCCGCCUUCCAUUUCUCAUGAUCAGCAGCCGCGGCCGCGGCAGUUUCCUCGGCACUACGUUCCCAAGGCCUUGUGGGGAGAGGCUUCAAUGAUGGCUCCGGUACCUUUGUGGUCUUAGGUACAUAAGGGUCCGGGUUAAUAAUCCAGGACUGCUUCUGCUUCUUUGCCGGAGGUGGAUUGGCGGGCGGCGUCUGAUCACCCACCGGACGAGGACUGGGGGGCGGCGUCUGAUCACCCACCGGACGUUGUGGACUGGGGGGCGUCGGCUGACGUGACGGAGGUGUAGGUGAACCGCCACCACCGUAGGGGGGUGGACUUGUUGUCCUUGGCGCCUCGCCUGGAAACUUGAUAAACUUCUUUUGCCAUAGAAUGAAAUGGCGCUUGACAUCUCCAAGUCUUUUCUCCCCUUCAGGUGUAGCAAUGUCAAUCUCCAGGUCCUCAAACCCUUGGACUAUGUCCUCCACCGUGACACGAGCAUAGCCAUCUUGAAUGGGGGUGUUGUGGUGGAGUGCUCCAGGUAAACAUGGUAAAGCACUACCGAUGGCUACCUUCAUGAACAUGUUCCCGAUAGGAUAAUACAGAUGACAUUCUUUCAUCUCCUUUAUAUCGUCCACGGGGUAGCGAGGAGGCUCCGGUGCAGUAAUUUCGACCACCAGAGGCUCCGGUGCAGUAAUUUUGACCACCAGAGGCUCCGGUGCAGUAAUUUCGAUCGUCGGUGCAUCUGCACCAGCCGGUGGGGCCUCCGUGGAAGCCACACUUCUUCUCCGCUGCUGGCUUCUGAGAUCCGCUGGAUGAUCUUCAUGCUGCGCCCGAGCUGCAUCUCGUUCGGCUACUAAUACACUCACGGUUUUCUUCAUCACAUCCAUUUCCGAUGCCAACCGCGCCACAACAUCUGGUUCCCGAUCCAUCUUUCUCUUCCGGCUUCUGUAACCGUACGGGUCAUCGUUCUGGGGGAACCCUAUUUUCCAUGGAAUGUGCCCCAUGCCUCGUACACGUCCUCCGUGUUCAGGAUUCCCGAGGGCUUUUGUCAGCGCGUCGUUCUCUCUGUUGAACUUGAUCUUCCCCUUUUGAGCAUCUCUCAUUGCGUCAAUAAGGGCUUGGGUGGGUUUAAUUAUUUUGCCCCGGUAAACACAGUCCCCUGUCUCCGGGUUCAGCGUUCCCCCAUGCCCGUACCACCAGCUUUUGGCCCUUGGGUCCCAUCCCUCCGUACCUGGACGGAUUCCUCGCGCCCUCAGCUCGUUCUCCAUCUUCUCCCACCUAGGCUCCCAAAGGCGAUACCCUCCUGGCCCCAUAAUAUGAUUGUACUCCUUCUUAGCCGCAUUUUCCUUAUUUUUUUUCGAUAUUUGAAUGAACUGCUCCGAUUUAUUUUGCUUCACAAAUUCUGGCCAAUCAUGUUUCAGUUUCUCAUAUUGUCCUUUGAAAUCCGGAGUCUUGUUCUGCUUGACAAAGUCAUGGGCUAGAUUUUGCUUGAAUUUCCGGAAUGCGACGGCCAUCUUAUGAAGAGCGAACUGUUUGACUAGCCUCCUCCUCUCCUUGUUUUCCUCAAUCUUGUUACCCUCCUCAUCGAAUUUGUUGUAUUCCGGAGGUAGAACGAAAUGUUCCAUAAGCUUUUUGAAGCAAUCUUUUUUUGUUCUCUUAUCGACAAAAGUGAAACCAGCAAUUCGUGCCUUCUUUGGCUUAUUCCACUCCUGGACGGUGAUAGAGACGUUGUCUCUAACAAUGGCUCCGCAUUGGUUGACAAACUUGGUGGCGUUCUUGCGGGGCUCCAGCGGCCUGCCGGUUGCACUGUCGACAACCUCGAUGGUGCAUGUUUCUCCUUGUUUCAUCGUCUUGGUUGCGCCACGCUUUGACGACGUACUCGAUUGUUUCGACGAUCCGGCCGAGGGCUAAAAUAAGAAAGAGAGUCGCGCGCGUUAGUCCACACAUAUUUAUUCAAAUCAGUUAGUUUGUAUCACCAGAGGCUCAAUGUAUAUAUAUAUACCUCGGCGCCGGAGGUGGUUGCUACUUCCAUUUGAAGAUCGUCGUUUAUCGAUGUUUGUUCGGCAUCGUCUUGCUGACGGCGCCCUUCAUCUUCACCGUCAAGGUUCAGAUAAGAAGAGAUAUCAUCUUCUUCUUGUCCGGUCGGCACAUAUAGAAUAUCGCCAUUUAUGAUGCCAAACAUAUGUGCUUCACCGUCCGGAUCAUAGUUGUCCAUAAUCGGGUCAGCUCUAUCGUCCGCCAUUAUGUCAGUCCUGAAAACAUGUAGUAAAAAGAAAUUAAUUAAGUGAACAAAAAAAAUUCUCUCCCUCUCCACGAUCUCAUCGCUCUCUGUAGAGCAGCGUUGAGGGCGGCGAGGCCGGCCCGAGGUGGAUUGGGGGGCGGCGUUGAGGGCGGCGAGGCCGGCCGGCGGCGUUGAGGGCAGCGAGCCCGGCCGGCGGCGUUGAGGGCGGGCGAGAGGCGGCGCGGUGGGCNNNNNNNNNNNNNNNNNNNNNNNNNNNNNNNNNNNNNNNNNNNNNNNNNNNNNNNNNNNNNNNNNNNNNNNNNNNNNNNNNNNNNNNNNNNNNNNNNNNNNNNNNNNNNNNNNNNNNNNNNNNNNNNNNNNNNNNNNNNNNNNNNNNNNNNNNNNNNNNNNNNNNNNNNNNNNNNNNNNNNNNNNNNNNNNNNNNNNNNNNNNNNNNNNNNNNNNNNNNNNNNNNNNNNNNNNNNNNNNNNNNNNNNNNNNNNNNNNNNNNNNNNNNNNNNNNNNNNNNNNNNNNNNNNNNNNNNNNNNNNNNNNNNNNNNNNNNNNNNNNNNNNNNNNNNNNNNNNNNNNNNNNNNNNNNNNNNNNNNNNNNNNNNNNNNNNNNNNNNNNNNNNNNNNNNNNNNNNNNNNNNNNNNNNNNNNNNNNNNNNNNNNNNNNNNNNNNNNNNNNNNNNNNNNNNNNNNNNNNNNNNNNNNNNNNNNNNNNNNNNNNNNNNNNNNNNNNNNNNNNNNNNNNNNNNNNNNNNNNNNNNNNNNNNNNNNNNNNNNNNNNNNNNNNNNNNNNNNNNNNNNNNNNNNNNNNNNNNNNNNNNNNNNNNNNNNNNNNNNNNNNNNNNNNNNNNNNNNNNNNNNNNNNNNNNNNNNNNNNNNNNNNNNNNNNNNNNNNNNNNNNNNNNNNNNNNNNNNNNNNNNNNNNNNNNNNNNNNNNNNNNNNNNNNNNNNNNNNNNNNNNNNNNNNNNNNNNNNNNNNNNNNNNNNNNNNNNNNNNNNNNNNNNNNNNNNNNNNNNNNNNNNNNNNNNNNNNNNNNNNNNNNNNNNNNNNNNNNNNNNNNNNNNNNNNNNNNNNNNNNNNNNNNNNNNNNNNNNNNNNNNNNNNNNNNNNNNNNNNNNNNNNNNNNNNNNNNNNNNNNNNNNNNNNNNNNNNNNNNNNNNNNNNNNNNNNNNNNNNNNNNNNNNNNNNNNNNNNNNNNNNNNNNNNNNNNNNNNNNNNNNNNNNNNNNNNNNNNNNNNNNNNNNNNNNNNNNNNNNNNNNCGGCGCGCGGCCGACGAGGGCGAGUGAGGCGGCGCGCGGCAAACAUACGGCGGGCGACGGCGGGUGACGUCGAGGGCGAGGGCGACGGCGGGCGGCGUCGAGGGCGACGGUGGGCGGCGUCGAGGGCGAGGGUGACGGCGGGUGGCGUCGAGGGCGAGGGCGAGACGGGGCGGCAGACCUUCGGCGCGGUGUUGAAUCGGAGAAGACGAGAAGGGGUUCGGGCCCUUGUAUUUAUAGCCCCCCCCUUUAGUCGCGGUUGGGGAGGCGACCCGCGACUAAAGGGUACCUUUAGUCGCGGUUGGGGAGGCGACCCGCGACUAAAGGGUAACCUUUAGUCGCGGUUGGAGAGGAGACCCGCGACUAAAGGGCUUUUUUGGCGGGUUUUUGUUCCCGCGCGCAACGACCCUUAGUCGCGGUUGGGCAGGCCAACCGCGACUAAAGGUGUUCUUAAAAUACUUUUUCUUUUUCAAAAUGUUAGAAAUACAAAUAAUAUAUCGAAAAAUUCAGAAAAAUAAAACUAAUUUCAAUUCAAUAUGUUAAAAACACAAAUAUUAUNNNNNNNNNNNNNNNNNNNNNNNNNNNNNNNNNNNNNNNNNNNNNNNNNNNNNNNNNNNNNNNNNNNNNNNNNNNNNNNNNNNNNNNNNNNNNNNNNNNNNNNNNNNNNNNNNNNNNNNNNNNNNNNNNNNNNNNNNNNNNNNNNNNNNNNNNNNNNNNNNNNNNNNNNNNNNNNNNNNNNNNNNNNNNNNNNNNNNNAAAAAUUCAGAAAAAUAAAACUAAUUCAAUUCAAUAUGUUAAAAACACAAAUAUUAUAUCAAAAAAUUCAGAAAAAUAAAACUAAUUCAAUUCAAAAUUCUAAAAAUACAAAUAAUAUAUCAAAAAAUUAAGAAAAAUAAAACUAAUUCAAUUCAAAAUGUUAAAAAUACAAAUAAUAUAUCAAAAAAUUCAGAAAAAUAAAACUAAUUCAAUUCAAAAUUUUAUACGCCUAGGCAGGAGUAUGACUAAAUCACUCCAAAUUUCAUGUAUCAUCAGUGGUAUCUCGAAUCAUUCGAAAAUGGACACCAAACACAUCACGGGUAAUAUAAUUCACAUGAUCCAUUCAACAAAGUUUGGUACAAUAAAUUAUUACACAUCAUUUCUUCCCUUGUGUCCCUACUUGCUUACGAUUGUGCCAUAUCCAUGGAGCAUCCUCAUCAUUUAACUUAAUGCUUGGGUCGGUGUUCACUUUGAAGGGCGGAAUUUCAGCAAACAUAUUAUAAUCUUCUGACAUGUCUGUCUUGUCCUCCACUCCCACGAUGUUUCUUUUCCCUGAAAGAACAAUGUGGCGCUUUGGAUCAUCGCAUGAUGUACUGAUCGUUUUCUUAUCUUUCCGUUUCCUCGGUUUGCUACUCAUGUCCUUCACAUAGAAAACCUGAGCGACAUCUUUCGCUAGGACGAAUGGUUCGUCAAGGUAACCAAGAUUGUUGAAAUCCACCAUUGUCAUUCCGUAUUGCUGGUCCACCUUUACCCCACCUCCUGUUAGCUUGAACCAUUUGCACCGGAACAAAGGGACCUUAAAGGAGGGUCCAUAGUCAAGUUCCCAUAUCUCCUCUAUGUAACCAUAAUAUGUGACCUUUUGCCCAUUCUCGGUUGCUGCAUCAAAGCGGACACCACUGUUUUGGUUGGUGCUCUUUUUAUCUUGGGCGAUCGUGUAAAAUGUAUUCCCAUUUAUCUCGUACCCUUGGAAAGUCGUUAUAGUCGAAGAUGGUGUCUUGGCCAACAUGUACAGCUGAUCUGCAACAUCAUUGUCAUUCAUUAAAUGUUUUCUCAACCAACUGCCGAAAGUCUCCAUGUGGGCCUUCCUAAUCCAGGAUUCAGGCUUCCCCGGGUUGUCCGAGCGUAAAAUAUUCUUGUGUUUCUCAAAGUACGGAGCCACCAAGCUGGAAUUGGUCAGUACAGUGUGGUGUGCUUCAGUCAGAGAAUGGCCGUCCAUACAUGUCGUUGAUUUCCUUCCGAUCGUGCCUUUUCCACUUAGUCUCCCCUCGUGCCGCGAUCGAGGAAGACCAAUCGGCUUAAGGUCAGGAACAAAGUCAACACAAAACUCAAUUACCUCCUCAUUUCCAUAGCCCUUGGCGAUGCUUCCUUCUGGCCUAGCACGGUUACGAACAUAUUUCUUUAAUACUCCCAUGAACCUCUCGAAGGGGAACAUAUUGUGUAGAAAUACAGGACCGAGAAUGAAAAUCUCUUCGACUAGGUGAACCAAGAGGUGCGUCAUAAUAUUGAAGAAGGAUGGCGGGAACACCAACUCGAAACUGACAAGACAUUGGAUCACAUCGUUCUGUAACCGUGGUAGAUCUUCUGGAUUGAUUACCUUCUGAGAUAUUGCAUUGAGGAAUGCACAUAGCUUCACAAUGGCUACUCGAACAUUUUCCGGCAGGAGCCCCCUCAAAGCAAUCGGAAGCAAUUGCGUCAUAAUCACGUGGCAGUCGUGAGACUUCAGGUUUUGGAACUUUUUCUCCGCCAUGUUUAUUAUUCCCUUUAUAUUGGACGAGAAUCCAGACAGGACCUUCAUACUGCUCAGGCAUUCAAAAAAGAUGACCUUCUCUUCUUUGGUCAGAGCGUAGCUGGCACGACCUUGAAACCAUUCCGGAUGCCGGUCAUCAGGGUCUUUCAAAUGUUGCUGGUCCUGCCGUGCUUCCUUUGUAUCAUUUGUCUUCCCAUACACGCCCAAGAAGCUUAGGAGGUUCACGGAAAUAUUCUUCGUAACGUGCAUCACGUCGAUUGCAGAGCGGACUUCUAGGACUUUCCAAUAUUCUAGCUCCCAGAAUAUAGAUUUCUUCUUCCACAUGGCUGCAUGCCCGUCAGCUCCCUUCGGAACUGAUUGUCCGCCAGGACCCUUUCCAAAGAUGACUUUCAAAUCCUUGACCAUAUCAAAUACCUCAGCACUAGUGCGUUCCGCAGGCUUCGGACGGUGAUCUGCCUUGCCGUUGUAAUGCUUGCCUUUCUUUCUUACUGGAUGAAUUUUCGGAAGAAAUCGACGAUGCCCAAGGUACACGUUCUUCUUACAAUUUGGCAAAUGUACACUUUCAGUCUCAUGUAAGCAGUGCGUGCAUGCAUUGUAUCCCUUAUUUGACAGUCCCGAAAGGUUACUAAGAGCAGGCCAAUCGUUGAUGGUUACGAAAAGCAACGCUCGUAGGUUAAAUUCCUCUUUUUUGUGCUCAUCCCACACACGGACACCAGGUCUGCCCCACAGCUGUAAAAGUUCAUCAACUAAUGGCCUUAGGUACACAUCGAUGUCGUUGCCGGGUUGCUUCGGACCUUGGAUGAGCACUGGCAUCAUAAUGAACUUCCGCUUCAUGCACAACCAAGGAGGAAGGUUGUAGAUGCAUAGAGUCACGGGCCAGGUGCUAUGGCUGGAGCUCUGCUCGCCAAAAGGAUUCAUGCCAUCUGUACUUAGACCAAAUCUUAUGUUCCUNNNNNNNNNNNNNNNNNNNNNNNNNNNNNNNNNNNNNNNNNNNNNNNNNNNNNNNNNNNNNNNNNNNNNNNNNNNNNNNNNNNNNNNNNNNNNNNNNNNNNNNNNNNNNNNNNNNNNNNNNNNNNNNNNNNNNNNNNNNNNNNNNNNNNNNNNNNNNNNNNNNNNNNNNNNNNNNNNNNNNNNNNNNNNNNNNNNNNNNNNNNNNNNNNNNNNNNNNNNNNNNNNNNNNNNNNNNNNNNNNNNNNNNNNNNNNNNNNNNNNNNNNNNNNNNNNNNNNNNNNNNNNNNNNNNNNNNNNNNNNNNNNNNNNNNNNNNNNNNNNNNNNNNNNNNNNNNNNNNNNNNNNNNNNNNNNNNNNNNNNNNNNNNNNNNNNNNNNNNNNNNNNNNNNNNNNNNNNNNNNNNNNNNNNNNNNNNNNNNNNNNNNNNNNNNNNNNNNNNNNNNNNNNNNNNNNNNNNNNNNNNNNNNNNNNNNNNNNNNNNNNNNNNNNNNNNNNNNNNNNNNNNNNNNNNNNNNNNNNNNNNNNNNNNNNNNNNNNNNNNNNNNNNNNNNNNNNNNNNNNNNNNNNNNNNNNNNNNNNNNNNNNNNNNNNNNNNNNNNNNNNNNNNNNNNNNNNNNNNNNNNNNNNNNNNNNNNNNNNNNNNNNNNNNNNNNNNNNNNNNNNNNNNNNNNNNNNNNNNNNNNNNNNNNNNNNNNNNNNNNNNNNNNNNNNNNNNNNNNNNNNNNNNNNNNNNNNNNNNNNNNNNNNNNNNNNNNNNNNNNNNNNNNNNNNNNNNNNNNNNNNNNNNNNNNNNNNNNNNNNNNNNNNNNNNNNNNNNNNNNNNNNNNNNNNNNNNNNNNNNNNNNNNNNNNNNNNNNNNNNNNNNNNNNNNNNNNNNNNNNNNNNNNNNNNNNNNNNNNNNNNNNNNNNNNNNNNNNNNNNNNNNNNNNNNNNNNNNNNNNNNNNNNNNNNNNNNNNNNNNNNNNNNNNNNNNNNNNNNNNNNNNNNNNNNNNNNNNNNNNNNNNNNNNNNNNNNNNNNNNNNNNNNNNNNNNNNNNNNNNNNNNNNNNNNNNNNNNNNNNNNNNNNNNNNNNNNNNNNNNNNNNNNNNNNNNNNNNNNNNNNNNNNNNNNNNNNNNNNNNNNNNNNNNNNNNNNNNNNNNNNNNNNNNNNNNNNNNNNNNNNNNNNNNNNNNNNNNNNNNNNNNNNNNNNNNNNNNNNNNNNNNNNNNNNNNNNNNNNNNNNNNNNNNNNNNNNNNNNNNNNNNNNNNNNNNNNNNNNNNNNNNNNNNNNNNNNNNNNNNNNNNNNNNNNNNNNNNNNNNNNNNNNNNNNNNNNNNNNNNNNNNNNNNNNNNNNNNNNNNNNNNNNNNNNNNNNNNNNNNNNNNNNNNNNNNNNNNNNNNNNNNNNNNNNNNNNNNNNNNNNNNNNNNNNNNNNNNNNNNNNNNNNNNNNNNNNNNNNNNNNNNNNNNNNNNNNNNNNNNNNNNNNNNNNNNNNNNNNNNNNNNNNNNNNNNNNNNNNNNNNNNNNNNNNNNNNNNNNNNNNNNNNNNNNNNNNNNNNNNNNNNNNNNNNNNNNNNNNNNNNNNNNNNNNNNNNNNNNNNNNNNNNNNNNNNNNNNNNNNNNNNNNNNNNNNNNNNNNNNNNNNNNNNNNNNNNNNNNNNNNNNNNNNNNNNNNNNNNNNNNNNNNNNNNNNNNNNNNNNNNNNNNNNNNNNNNNNNNNNNNNNNNNNNNNNNNNNNNNNNNNNNNNNNNNNNNNNNNNNNNNNNNNNNNNNNNNNNNNNNNNNNNNNNNNNNNNNNNNNNNNNNNNNNGGGCACCUUCAGUCGCGGUUGGCCUGGCCAACCGCGACUAAAGAUCCUCACGUGCACCAGCUGGCCACCGAGCGCCCUGGCCCAAGGCUUUGGUCGCGGUUCGUCUGCCGAACCGCGACUAAAGACUUCAUUAGUCGCGGUUCCUACAGUUUCGCGACUAAUGGGGCUGGACGGAAGCCUCUUUUUCUACCAGUGUUAUUUGUUCUUUUCGAAUUUUAAUUCCUUGAUCUUUGCCUCUGCCCAUCUCCAUAUCACACAGAAGGUGCUCAGUGCAAUGCAUCAUGCAGUGAUUCCAUGAUAGGAAUUAGGAACUGCUCAUCAUUGAAUGUUUCUACAAUUUUCCUGCUUGUUAGAACAUGUUUGAUGUACAUACACAUUAACAAAAAUGACCUGUAACAUUCAUGAAAAUAUUUGGGUUUGGUCAUCUACUUUUUUACUGUUUAUUUACUCAUGAAGAUAGCAGAUGUUCCUGUUUUUAAAUAUAGUUAUCUAUGCUUCCAGUUGGUAGAGAUCAAAGUAUUAACUCGCCGAUGUAGGAAAAAAGAGCUCUUUAAUAGACACUACUAGCAGUGGAUAUAGGGUGAGCCUUUUUGAAAUUGUUUGGGGGGCUUGGGGGCACGGCUGGGCCAUUUUUUGCCCUUUUUGCAUCGCCGACAGAGAAAAAAGGCUCCUCGGGGGCCGGCUGGAGAUGCUCUAAGUAUACAGUAGCAUAUUUGACAAAUGAGCAUUGGAAACUCUUCUAAAUCUGUGUUUAGCAUUUAACAAUGAACUAUGUAAUUUAAUCAAUAGACUCACUUCAGUUGCCAUGCUAACUAAAAAUCUAUAAGUCAAAUGAUGCGACCGUCAAGUGGAAGUUACUUAUAUUUUUUCUUACGUCACUUGAGAAGUUUCUUUUUAGCAAGCUUAUUUAAGUGCAGCCGAAGUGUACUAUGUUUUUUAGACGAUCUCCAUGUUUUCUAUUGAGAUCAGAGAGCGGCUGAAGUAGUAAUGGGACUACACCAUUUUUAGGUUCUGAAGGCAAAGCUUCUUACAGAGUUAGUCACAUUUGUCAGUUCUGUGAGUAGAAGAAAUCUUGAUAGCUUGUUGCUUCUGCUCAGUGUGCUUGGGGCAUAAAUUGAUUUCUUGCUGCAAAUGUUGUUUAGUGUCAUAUUUCAUGGUAGCUGCGGAUGCUAUAUAUUUGGUGAUUUUGUUGCCGGUUUUUGGAGUGCUAGGAGAGUUUCUAAACUACUGUCACGACAUUAUAGAUAGGAUAGUGAACCAAUGUGACAUAUGUAUAACAUUUCAUGUGAGAUUCUUUGCAACAAACAGAAUGAGCGAGCGGUCCAUAUAUUAUUUUCAUCAAGCCGUACAAUUUUUUGGUUAGGAUAGAAGGGUCGUUGGUUGCUUCAAGAGUUAAUAACGAGGGCCCCAGCGAGAAAUGUCCUGUUAAGACGGGAAUCCGAGCGGUAAGUGGAAUGUCUAACAAGAAAGGUAAGUGUGCGUCGUGGGGUGGGGUUUUUGUGUUGGGACCGCAUGUUGGGAUAAUAUAUGGGUUGGAUUUGGGGUGGGGGGUCCGGACUAUCCAGACGGUUAAAUUUUGUGGAGCUUGCUUAAUGUCCUAACAUGCUUGGAUGUAUGAGGAAUAAGAUUUUACCUUGGAUAUGACCAUUUGUGUGAUUUAUUUGUAUGCAUUGUAGCCCGGGGGGGACUAUCCAGACGGUUAAAUUUUGUGGAGCUUGCUUAAUGUCCUAACAUGCUCGGAUGUAUGAGGAAUAAGAUUUGACCUUGGAUAUGACCAUUUGUGUGAUUUAUUUGUAUGCAUUGUAGCCCGUAGCAACGCACGGGUGUACUACUAGUGGCUGUAACAUACAUCUGCUGUGGUAAUAGGUACAACAAAGCUGGAUUCCGUGGCGGACAUCUCGAGGUACAGCGCACAGAUUCAACGGCUAAGAUUAGCUACAUGCUGUUUGCAAGGUUGAGCAAUACUUACUAUCGUGCGCCUCGUUCCAUUACUAGUCCACAGGAUAAGGAGGCCCUAACAUUUUUGGCUCACUUAGAGUUGGAUUUUCCCAUUGCAUCCACAGCCGCGUAACUGGAAUAGACAAACGUCGGUAGGGGCCGUGCUUGGCCAAAAGCUCAUCCGCGACGAUAUGGCUGGCUCGACUAUUGGUGCCAAGGUGGAGCUAAUCAUGGAAUUGUGGGCCGAGAUGCUGUGCUACGUGGGCAAUGUAUGCACUGCAUACUCUCAUGCAAAGUAAUUUGCCAACGGCGGUGAGCUCAUUACCAUUGUUGCCCUUCUAAUCCUACAUGUAAAAAAUAGCGCAGUCUCUCUUCAUAACUAAUGCAACUGUAUGGUACUGUCUUGUCCCAGCUCAUUUAGAUGGUACUGAUUUCACCGCACCGCCGCCAGAUCCACCACCGCCGAGCCCGGAUAUGGCGCGGGAUGUGGUCCAGCGGCUGCGGAGGUGCUUCUCCCGGUGGUGGCGGCGGCGACGAAGACCCGAAGCGCAAGCGUUGUGUCGCCGCCGACGCGGCGAGGAAGCGCUCGCCCGGACGGUACACCAACCACGGGCUCCAGGUGCCGGUGUCCCUCCUCCGCCGCGAGAUAGAGGAGUACGACAGCUGCCAUGCGCGGUGCUUCGACGCGGGGAGCUCCUCCGGCUCGGGGAGCUCUUCGGGCGCGCUGACGCUUCCGAUGAAGAGGGAGCCGGCGGGCCGAGGAGAUCAACGCGCUCCUCUACGAGUAGGGGCUCACUGCCGCGCACGAGUUCGACCCCAAACAGGCGGGAUGGCGCCACGAAGCCGACGGGCAAGCCAAGAUCCGACGACGACAAGGAGUGAGUGCCGCCGCCGCCACAACAUUGCCGCUGCACCCGGAGAGCUCUGGUGAGCUCCGUUUUUGGCUAGUUUUAGGGUAUGCAGGCAUCGGGAUUUAAAUUGCAAUGUAUCGAUGAUCAAACUAUCUAUGUGGCACUGUGUUCUUCAUUUUGCCCAGGAAAGCUUUUUUUUUUUCAAAUUUUGAGGUUUCAAUUGAGGGCUCUAUUCGGCCGCAGAUGAUUUCGCCCCUCAAACCGCGGUUUUCUCAGCCAUUAUCCGCGGUAUAUGGGUCUGCUAGAGAUGCUCUUAAUCAAUGCAUGCAGCCUCCCUCCCCCUUCCCUAAAAAAAUCAUUGACUAUUCGGCAUCACUAGUGUAGAAUUGUGCUAUUAAGACACACCUAUCGCACACCCUUAGUCAAACUAUGUGCGAUGUAGACAUCACAAAUGUUAGAAAAUAAAAACUGUAUGGCAGGAAACGAAAUGUGUGCGAUGGCAGAUCCUUCGGGCAUGAUUUUGAGAAGCAAACCGUUGUGUGAUACAGUCCACACGGUUCGGUAGAAUGACUCGUGCACGAUUGAACUGGUCCAGUUGUGUGCAUUGAUUGGCGAACAAUUUAAAUAAACAAACCAUAUAUGUGUGAUGAUUGGGAGCAUAACACACGUUGUGUAAUACACACACACCGUGUGCGGGUAUUUUAAAGGCAACUCGUGUGCCAUAAGUCAUGACAAGGCAUACAAUUGUAUGGUGAUAAUUGUGUGGUCUAUAUGACACAGAAUUAAAGUAAACAAGCUGUGUGUGAUACUGAAAACCAUCCCACACGGUUUAGUACACAAGACAUGUGCGAUAACUGUAAAGUUGUACAUGCCUCGGGCAUGGAGGAGGACACGAUAUGGCCAUUCCUCUUCUUCACCUUCCCCGACAACCAAAAUGCCUUUCCUCUCUCUUUUUACAACCUUUAAUAGUAACUAGAUGAUACCCUGCACAUUGCGCGUAAUGUUUUGCAAUAUACUUCACUGCAAUUUGAUUGUAUGAAACACGAAUAUUUGAACUAAUAAUAUGAAAACUAAACCUGAAAAUACAUAUGACUUAUUGUGUUCUAUUAUUUUAUAGUUUUAAAAUAUCUAGCAUAAUAGAAUGGAAAUUUCAUGUAUGUUUAUAUGUUUAGGUUGUUUUUCCUAUUCAUGGUUGCAUGUUGUGGUGAGUCUUAUCUUAUGCAUGUUGAUGUGGAAGCAAUGUGAUUUAAAACCCACUUAGAAUGCACUAAUACAUGUUCAAUGUCAUGCAUACAUCAACUGGAUGCUAGUGGAGCAAGCUAGUAAAUUUAACAGGUACAGCAAUUUUGAUGAUGUGAAAGUACACAUGUUAAGAUGAUUAAAAGUAGUGGGACCACUCACUUUUUUGUAAAGGGGGAAUACGUGGUCUCUGCAUAUCAUGAUGCACACAACCAUCUUUAUUGAAAGAAAACAAGUAGGUUCGCAAUGUACAUAGUACCAACUAACACGAGAAAAAGAAAGAGGAAACACCACAAUCGAUGGCUGCAAUAGAAAGAUUACAUGACUUAAUUACAUAACCUAUUAGUGACAUGGCAACCAAACCGGUUGAAUAACGUCUGUGCAACUAUCUCCAGACGGUUGCACCUAAAGUCCAUGAGCUCCCCAUCAUCCCCACGCUAAAGUGAUGACCAUGUACGGAUCAAUGUGGUGGCUCUGAAGGUAAUAUGCAAAAAGAUAAUAGAGCGAGGCCUAUUAAAAACACAGUCGUUCCGGCAAUUCCUCUCUUAGAUAUAAUAUAGGAUGUGGUUCAGCUUUGUUAAUCUGUUGCUUCUGUAAUUUGGAAACAGUGUAAUCUUUAUUGAAGAUAAUUCUCUUUAUUUAUAAAUACCAGGGAUGUCUGGCAAAGGCCCCUAUUCGGGAAUGAGCCUGGUGGCGGUCGCCAAAUUAGCAACCGCAUGACAGUUCCCUAGAACAUGGAUUAUACAUAGUCAACACAUGUUAAUUAAGUCUAACACUGUCCGCACUGUCUAUUUUUUCCUCCGCUUGUUGGAUUGCUUUGACUGUCCAUGUCAUUAUAAUUUUUUUGCUAUAAGUUCAUUAUCAGAAAAGGUCAGCAUGACAAGACCAAUACGUGGCCUAGCUUAGCUUGUAAACAAUACAAUGCGGGUGAUUGGCAUGGUUUAUUUGAAACUGCCCUUUUAACAAGUUUUGCUGAUUGUUGAGCACUGAGAGCCACGGUCUUGCCGGAUUAUUUAUUCCCAAAGUGAAGGUUUGGAAAGUCCCAACCCCAUGAAUUACACACAGCACCCCCAAAAGGUAAUGAUAGGUUUGUUCAUGGCAUCUUCUUGCUGAGCAUAGAAUAGGCCAAACAAUAUGAGUGACAUGAAACCAAGUAUUGUAAUGAGUAGUCCAAUAAUCAGGUAGUACAUAAUGUGUUUCUUCUCUCCGAGAGAUGGCGGGAAAUGGGAGCAGAUUCGGUGUUUCUCCAAAAAAAAGUCCAUGUUGCCUCCAAGUGAGACAGAACUGUUAUUUUCAACAAAUACUCCGUGUCAUGGCACACCACCUUGCAGAUUAUUAUCAGACAGAUCCAGAUGGGUGUGUUAGACUGUAUUUACAUGUGUAUAUUGUAACGUUGUAUACCACCUCAUUAUAUAUAUGUGAUAGGCCACCCCUAGAGGGUUGUGCCGGUUCCUCCCAAAGCCUAUUGUCUUACAUGGUAUCACGCUAGGUUACGUCCGCUUCCGCCUAAAAACCCUAAACCGCCGCCACCGCCGCCGCCACCGCCGCCGCGCCCGCCGUCGCCGUCGCCCGACUGCUAUGACGUCCGCCGCUGCGUCCGGCUCCACCGCCACCGGUUUUCUGCCGGCCUCCCUCGCGGCACUUCUCUCGAGGCCGCUGGAUGCCGCCUCCCUUCAGGCGCCGAUCGGGACACGGAGCGUCGGCUCCCUCUUCGCGCUCCCGCCGGCUGCUACUUCGCCCGGGCAGGCGCUUGUGGCCCACACCGCCGCCGCCCCGUCAACCGCGGCUGUCGCGCCCUCGGCCACUGCGCCGCUGGUGGCGGAGGACGUCGCGCUGUCAGGCUUCGCGGCGUCAACCGCGGCCAUCGCGCCCUCUGUCACCGCGCCGGCUGCCCCUCUGACUGUCUCCACGGUGGUCUCACCUCAGCCAGUCUCCUCGAUGGGAUCGCAGCCGCCGCCGCCGUUUCACUUCGGCCAUCUCAUCACCAUCAAGUUGUCGUCGGACAAUUACAUCUUCUGGCGCGCGCAGGUUCUUCCGCUUCUUGGGAGUCACUAUCUGCUUGGCUAUGUCGACGGCUCUCUCCCUUGCCCUCCUGCGCUGGUUGACAGCGUGCACGGUUCGGUCUAUAAUCCGGCUCACCGUGUCUGGACAGGGCAGGAUCAGGCGAACCUCUCCUCCAUCCAGGGGUCGCUCUCUCCGGCCGUUGCUGGGCUUGUUGUCUUCGCCAAGACGUCCCACGAGGCAUGGACUAUUCUUGAGCGCUCGUUUGCGGCACAGUCGCAGGCUCGUGUAUCUGGGCUCCGUCGCCAACUUGGGGAGUGUCAGAAGCUUGACUCCACCGCCACUGAGUUCUACAACAAAGUCAAGAGUCUCACCGACACGCUGGCCUCCAUUGGACAGCCCCUCACCGACUCCGAGUUCAACUCGUUUAUUGUCAAUGGUCUUGAUGAGGAGUAUGACGCCCUAGUCGAGAUCAUCAAUGAGAGGGGCAACUCCACGCCCAUGCCAGCACACGAGGUCUUUUCACGCCUCCUGCUUACUGAGCAACGAGUCGAGACGCGCCGAUCCAGGGGCAACGGCGCCCUCUCGGCAAACGCCGCCACCAAGGGUGGUCGCUCCUCUGCUUCAUCCAGGGCUCCUUCGGGGCAGUCACCACCACCCGCCUCGGCCCCUCCUCCUACUGCGAUGCUACCAGGGGCUGGCGUUCCACGUGUGUGCCAGCUUUGUGGUCGCGAUGGGCACUGGGCCUCGAAGUGUCACAAGCGCUUCCAGCGGGGUUUUCUUGGUCUCGGCAAUGACGGGAAGGAUACACGCAACUUUGCUCGUCAGGUCGCCAUGGCUGAUCGUCCGCCGCCGCAGAAGCCACAGGGACACAUUCAGUCCUACUCCAUUGAUCCCCACUGGUACAUGGACUCUGGGGCGACAGAGCACCUGACCAGUGAGAUGGGGAAGCUUCACACUCGUGAACCCUACCAUGGCUCCGACAAGAUCCACACCGCCAAUGGAGCAGGUAUGCACAUCUCUCAUAUUGGUCAAGCAUCACUUCUCACUAGACAUGCCAAUAGGAGUCUUCAACUUCGCAAUGUUCUUCGAGUUCCAUCUGUGACACGUAAUCUUCUUUCAGUUCCUAAACUCACUCGUGAUAAUAAUGUGCUUUGUGAAUUUCAUCCUUUUGAUCUUUUUAUUAAGGAUCGGGGCACGAGGGACAUUCUUCUUAGUGGGCGGCUCUGCCAAGGUCUCUAUCGUCUGGAGCAUCCUGGCGUCGCUCGCGUCUUUAGUGGAGUUCGGGUAUCUCCGUCACAGUGGCAUGCUCGUCUUGGUCACCCGGCCACACCUAUUGUCCGGCAUGUUUUGCGUCGUCAUGAGCUUCCUAGUGUGUCUAGUAAUAAAGAUGUAGCAGUGUGUGAUACUUGUCAGCAGGGGAAGAGUCAUCAACUUCCCUUUUCGGAGUCCAGUCGUGAGGUGAAACAUCCUUUAGAACUUGUGUUUUCAGAUGUAUGGGGUCCUGCUCAGACUUCUGUUAGUGGUCAUAAUUACUAUAUCUGUUUUGUUGAUGCUUACAGCCGCUUUACCUGGCUUUAUCUUAUCAAACGUAAAUCUGAUGUGUUUUUGACAUUUUUGUUCAGUUCCAAAAACAUGUUGAACGCCUUCUCAAGCACAAAAUUGUUCAUGUUCAGUCGGACUGGGGUGGCGAGUAUCGCAACCUCAACUCCUUCUUUCAGUCACUUGGGAUCACUCACCGUUUAGCAUGUCCACAUACACAUCAGCAGAAUGGUUCAGUAGAACGUAAGCAUCGUCACAUUGUUGAAGCUGGUCUGACUCUUUUGGCCCAUGCAUCUGUUCCGUUUCGUUUUUGGAGUGAUGCUUUCACCACUGCAUGUUUUCUCAUCAAUCGUACUCCCACUCGUGUUUUGAAUAUGAAGACUCCCAUUGAAGUUCUCCUUAAUGAACAACCGGACUACACCUUUUUCAAGGUGUUUGGGUGUGCUUGCUGGCCCCAUCUCCGUCCAUAUAACAAGCGUAAGCUCGAGUUUCGUUCCAAGAAGUGUGUUUUUCUUGGUUAUAGCUCUCUUCAUAAAGGAUACAAAUGUCUUCAUGUGCCCACUAAUCGUGUCUACAUCUCUCGGGAUGUUGUGUUUGAUGAGCAUGUUUUUACCUUUGCCAAACUCCCUGUGUCCACUACCGAGCCACCUGUCAUGCAUUCAUCCUCUGUUGCUUCUGACCAAUUUGAUGAUGUUGCAUAUUCUCCUCUAUUGUUGCCUAACCAUGGUGCAGGCACUGGUCGUGGGGCUCGUUUGGAGAUUCUGGAAGUGCCAUCUUCCUCUUCGUCGCCAUCGCCUUCAUCCUCGACACCUUCUGUUGUGCAUGAGGAGCACAUGGCGCCCCUGCAUGGCCUCGGUUUCCGUGCUCAUGCACGGCCGAUGGACGCCUUGGCCCGGUCGCCUCUGGCUUCUGGGCUGCCUUCGCCAUCGUCGCGCCCUGCAACCCCGCCGACUGGGCCGGCCUCCUCGGUCCCCGUCUCGCCCAGGGCGUCGAGGCAGUCAUCACCAGGCCUGGCCUCGCCCGCCCCUGCCUCGCCCAGGGUGUCUGGGCCCUUCUCACCAGGGCCGGCCUCGCCUGCUCUCGCCUCGCCAAGGCCGUCUGGGCCGGUGUCACCGGAGCUGGCCUCGCCCACUCUCGGUUCGCCCAUGGCCUCUGAGCCCCUGUCGUCGGGCCAGUCUUCGCCAUGCAGCCCGGAGUCGUCUGUCCUGAGCUCGCCUGAGGUGAUUCCUGCAUCUCCGGCGACCGUCACGUCUUCGUCACCUUCGCCUUCGCCGGCUCCUGCUGCUGCUCUACGUCCACAUACGCGCAGUCGGAGUGGCAUUUUUCAGCCUAAGCAACGUCACGAUGGCACAGUUGCUUGGUUAGCGGCGUGCAUGUCUGCUGCUCUCGCAGAUCCAUCCUCUGAGCCACGCAUGUAUCAAGCUGCUAUGCGCAUUCCUCAUUGGAGAGAGGCCAUGGAGCAGGAGUAUCAAGCGCUUCUUCGCAAUCAGACAUGGACUCUUGUUCCUCCACAAUCACGGGUAAAUGUCAUUGAUUCCAAAUGGGUUUUCAAAGUGAAGAGGCAUUCUGAUGGGUCCAUUGAGCGCUAUAAGGCUCGUCUGGUUGCUCGUGGUUUUCGACAGCAUUUUGGACUUGACUAUGAAGACACCUUCAGUCCAGUGGUCAAGCCUACUACCAUCAGACUUCUUCUCUCUCUGGCUGUUACUCGAGGUUGGUUUCUUCAUCAGCUUGAUGUUCAAAAUGCUUUUCUUCAUGGUGUCUUGGCGGAGGAGGUUUACAUGCGCCAGCCUCCGGGUUUCUCUGAUCCGGAUCGCCCUGAUCAUCUCUGUCGUCUGUCCAAGGCAAUUUAUGGUCUGAAGCAGGCUCCUCGUGCUUGGCAUGCUCGUCUUGCAAUGGCUCUUCGUGCUCAUGGUUUUGCAUCAUCAACUGCUGACUCCUCAUUGUUUCUUCUUCAAAGGCCUGAGGUUACUAUGUACUUGUUGGUCUAUGUAGAUGAUAUCAUUUUGGUCAGCUCCUCUCAGUCGGCUGCUACUGCGCUUGUUCGCUCACUUGGUGCUGAUUUUGCGGUCAAGGACCUUGGGAAGCUUCAUUACUUUCUUGGUGUGGAGGUUACUUCUCGUGAUGCUGGCCUUGUUAUGACGCAGAAGAAGUACUCUCUAGAUUUGUUGCAGCGAGCUGGGAUGCUUAAGUGCAAACCGACGACUACACCCAUGUCUACCACUGAUAAGCUCAAUGCUGUUGAUGGUGUGCUUCUUUCUUCUUCUGAUGCGACAGAGUACAGGAGUAUUGUUGGUGGGCUCCAGUACUUGACGAUCACGCGACCAGACAUUUCCUAUGCUGUUAACCGAGUCUGCCAGUAUCUGCAGUCACCCCGUGACACUCAUUGGUCUGCUGUUAAGCGGAUUUUGCGCUAUAUUCAUUUCACGGUGGCUCAUGGUUUGCAUAUUCGGCCGUCUGACUCUGGUUGUCUUUCAGCAUAUUCUGAUGCAGACUGGGCUGGCAAUCCGGAUGACAGGCGAUCCACGGGGGGUUAUGCUGUCUUCUUUGGCUCUAACCUGAUUGCCUGGAGUGCUCGGAAACAGGCUACUGUCUCGCGUAGCAGUACUGAGGCUGAGUAUAAGGCUGUGGCCAAUGCCACAUCAGAGAUCAUCUGGGUACAGUCCUUGCUUCAGGAGUUAAGUAUACCCCAAUCACGGCCUCCUGUUCUUUGGUGUGAUAACAUCGGUGCUACAUACCUUUCUGCAAAUCCGGUAUUCCAUGCCCGAACGAAACACAUUGAAGUUGACUAUCACUUUGUGCGUGAACGUGUCUCUCAGAAGCAACUACAGAUCAAGUUUAUUUCUUCCAAGGAUCAACUUGCUGACAUCUUCACCAAGCCAUUGCCUUUGCCACAGUUUGAGACUUGCAGGCGCAAUCUUACCCUUCUAGAUUCAUUAGAAAGUGGCUAAGAUUGAGGGAGGGUGUUAGACUGUAUUUACAUGUGUAUAUUAUAACAUUGUAUACCACCUCAUUAUAUAUAUGUGAUAGGCCACCCCUAGAGGGUUGUGCCGGUUCCUCCCAAAGCCUAUUGUCUUACAGGGUGAGCUGCUUUAAGCCGCCAAGCUCUAUUGGGAUGAAGCCCCAAAAGUUGUUUCGCUGAAGGAUUAGGUAUUCUAACAGUGCAAGAUUACCAAAAGAACCUGGAACUUGACCAAUGAAAUUAUUGGAAGACAAGUUUAACAGCCUUAGGCUUGAAAUAUUGCCUAGUGAAGCAGGGAGAUGACCUUCCAAAUUGUUAUUGUCCAGACAGAGAUGUUUAAGAUCUGGGAAGGUGUCACCAAAGUUCGAUGGCAGUGUGUUUCCAAGCAUAUUGGAAUAUAAGUAUAAAUAUUGGAGAGAAGACUGAUUGUAUUUGUACAGGGUUUCUGGCAUUCCACCUGAUAGCAUAUUUUCAGCAAGGCCUAAAUAAACAAGAGAUGGGAAACUUCCCAUCUCAUCAGGAAUGGUUCCCGUGAACCUAUUAUCAGUAAGCACGAUGUCUUCAAGCUGACUAUUGUUUCUUAGGCUUGGUGGGAUUGUUCCGGUGAGAUUAUUUGAGGAAAGCCAUACUUUCCUUAGAUUGGAUAGGCGACCUAUACCUAGGGGAAUUUCACCCAUUAGUAAGUUGGCAGAUAGGUCUAGGCUCCUUAGCUUGGAGCAGUUUGUGAGAGUAUCUGGAAUGGUCCUUCGCAGUGACUUCUUUUCCAAGUCAAGGUAUUCCAGUCUGUGGAGACGGUUGAGAGGAGGUAACUCGCCGGUGAAGCCAUUUUUGGACAGGUCCAGUGUCCUAAGGAACGUUAGGUUGCCAAGGGAGGGGGAUAUCCGGCCCAUCAACCCUCGUUCGCUGAGGUACAUCUUAGUGACUCGCCCCGAGCUGCAGUGGACACCCUCCCAAUUGCAAAGAGGGACGCUGCCGUUCCAAGAUCUCAAGGCUUGUCUUGAGUCAUUGAUGAUGGCCCGCUUGAAAUCUAGCAGCGAGAUCAUGUCCGUGCUGUUAUCAUGGACUGUCGUCAUUGAUGAGCAAAGGAUGCUCCCGACUCCGCAAGAAAUGAGCAGCGACGGCAGUUGCAUAAGCGUGGUGGCGAGCCCUGCCGCUUGACUAAUGGCCAUGUCACCUGCAAAGUUUGAAUGAAGAAUAAAACAUUGUGCGUACUAUGUUUACUGCAAGUUUGGUCAUUGCGUGCAUCAAUUGAUACACAAGCCUGCAGCCUGCAGCUUGCAUACCUUGUUUUCAAAGAGAAAAAAAACUUAUGAGUAGGUCAUGAACAACACUACUCCUAGUAGGUUUUGUGAGCUUAAUUUGCUCUCAUGAUGAACAAGACUAAGCCCCGCUUGGAUGGUCGUUUCGCAGCCCAAACAACCUGUAAAUUAUAUACCCCUGUAGAAAGAAAGCAGGUGGGCUUCCCCUCGCAAAAAAAAAGCAGGUGGGCUUCGUAUAGGUGAUUGGAUUGUCAUUUUGGGGCUGUAAAACUUACACCGGUUUUUCGUUUUACACCCGUAACAGGCUGGUAUAUGAUACAGACCUAAACUGGUCCUUUUUAUGCCCCCCAUUUCUUUGUCUCAAAAAAAAAUAUCCCCCCAUCUCCGCACGACCUAGGAAAGACGAGGCCGAGGGCUGUGCUGCGCCGCCGCAGACACAAGGAUGGGGAGGCGCCUUCUCCGCUGUCCGCGAGGGGACGAAGCGAGGGCGACGUGGUGAGGCUCCGGCCUCGGCACUACUAGGAAAAGGGCUAUAGAUAGGAUUGAUACUAAUGGCGCACCAGGUAAGUAGUGCGCCACUACUAUAUAUUAAUGGCGCACCGGUUGUAGGUGCACCAUUAGUGUGGAAGACACUAAUGGCGCACCAGACACACGGUGCGCCACUAGUAUUAAUUUUUUUUUCAUUUUUCCAUACAUACUAAUGGCGCAUGAUGUCAAAGUGCGCCAUUACUAGUUCUAACUAGUAAUGGCGCACCUUAUAGACAGUGCGCCAUUAGUAUAUAUAUUUUUUUUACUUUUUUGCAAAACUACUAAUGGCGCACCAUGUAAAAGCGCGCCAUUACUAGUUUAAACUACUAAUGGCGCACUUUUGCACAGUGCGCUAUUAGUAUAUUUUUUUUACUAUUCUGCAAAAACUACUAAUGGCGCACCACCCACAGGUGCGCCAUUAGUAACCAGGGUUACAAAUGGCGCAUUUUUUGCUGGUGCGCCAUUAGUAACCUGGGACCAACAAGAUAUUUUAGACAGCCCACCUACCCACUCACUUUCCCCACUUCAUUCUCUCCACCUCCUCCUCCAAGCUUGUCUCGGCUGCCUCCUCCUCCUCACCUCAUUUCCACCAUAGAUUCAUCAAAAUUAAGUGGUGAAAUUACCUUUUUUUUGAUAGGUAAGUAAGGGGAAAGCUAUCUUCAUGAUGUAGAUCUACUUUUUUUCUCCCUAGCUCGCUCCAACAACGUGCACAUGCACUUUUUGUGGCCUAGCUAGAUCUAUAUAUGUUUGUGGUGUUGCUUGUGUUUGUGGUGUUGCAUAUAUGUUUGUUUUUGCAGGUACUGGUAUUUGAAAUGCGAUAGUUGCCAAUAUUUUACCGGAAUGUUGAUUCAUUUCCGUUUCGGCGAGAAUUUUGGCACUAUGCAUUCUUUUUGGUCCUAUUUUUAGGGAAGGUCAUGCCAAAUUUUUUCUUGGUUCUAAAAUAUCGUUUUGCUCUACCCCGCAGGCGACCAUGGUCCGCACGAUGACCGAAGGCAUCGUGAAUAGGUUUUUGAUCUCCGCGAAGGCCGAGAUGCUUCAAAAGAAUGAGACGGAGAUAAGAUGUCCGUGUCGAAGAUGCAAGCUGAAGAGCCUUAUUGCGGACCCGGAUUCCGGGCAGGUGCGGGACCACCUGCUCUUGCGUGGUUUCAUGGAUGGCUAUCGGUGGCAAGGUGAUGAAGAUGACUAUGAAGUCGUCCAUGGGGGCCGGGCAAGAAAUGAGGAAGGGCAACAAGACAAGUACCACCGCGGCGAGGGCGGGCGAAAAGACGAAGAAUCUCCAGGACAUGAUCACGGCGGUGAUGCUGUACACAGUCAUCAUGUAGAAGAUGUCGUACAUGACAAUGAGGAAGAUCAAGACGAAGGGCAUGAUCAUGAAGAUGAAGAUGCCGGAGCAGACGACGAUGGAGGCUGGGUGCAGGACCCUCAUAUUCAAGAGCUGCUUCUCAAGCAGACGGAUAGCACAAGAGCUGCCGCCCGAGAGAAAGCCAAGCUGGAUCAACUGGAGAUAGACGCGGUUACUCCAUUCUAUGAAGGAUGCAGGCCCGAGGAUACCCGCCUGAAAGUAACGCUCAUGGCUCUAGAGAGGAAGGUAAAACAUAAAAUGACCGACGCAUGCUUCGACGAGAACAUGUCAUUCUGGCACGAACGUCUUCCCAAGGGGAACAAGUGCCUGACCAGUUUCGAGGAGGCGAAGAAAAUCGUGUGUCCUCUGGAUUUACCGCACGUGAAAUACCAUGUGUGCAUGAACAAUUGCAUCAUUUAUCGGGACGAGCACGCGGAGUCUACCAUAUGUCCGGUGUGCGGAGUCACUCGAUACAAGAAGAGGAAGAAAGCUCCUCGAAGAUCGGUGUGGUAUUUUCCGAUCACUCCUCGUCUGCAGCGGUAUUUCGCGGACCCUAAGGUAGCAAAGCUCCUGCGUUGGCACGCGGAUAGGGAGGAGAAGAAGCGGGAAGAUGACAGAAAUGAUCCGGAGAUAAAUAAAAAAGACAAGAUGCUGAGUCACCCUAAGGAUGCGAGCCAGUGGCAAGCGUUGAACUUCGAAUACCCAGAAUUUGGGAAGGAUCCAAGGAACAUCAUGCUGGGCGCGAGCACCGAUGGAGUCAAUCCGUUUGGCAGCCAGAGAAGCACACAUAGCACCUAGCCUAUGUUUGUGUGGAUGUACAACCUUCCCCCCUGGUUGUGCAUGAAGAGGAAGUACAUUCACAUGAGUAUGCUAAUUGAAGGGCCGGAACAACCAGGGAAUGGCAUCAAUCUGUAUCUGGGGCCGCUGAAGGAGGAGCUAGACACGUUGUGGAAAAUGCCAGCCAAUACGUGGGAUGCCGCAGAGAAAGAAUAUUUCCCUAUGAGAGCCGCACUGCUCACAACGGUGCACGACUAUCUCGGUUACGGAUAUCUCGCGGGGCAGGUAGUCCACGGAUUUUCUGGAUGCGUAAGGUGCAUGGAUGACACAAUGUAUCGCCAGCUAGAUAGAGAUCCCGGGUCUUCAAAAACCGUGUUCAUGGGAUAUCGAAGGUGGCUUCGCGAUGAUGACCCGUGGAGGAAACGCAAGGAUAUGUUCGAUGGUGAAACCGAACCCCGAAAACGCCCGUGUACGAGGAGCGGCAAGGAAAUAGACGAGCUGUUGAAAAAUUGGAAAGACUGCCCACUGCCGGGAAAGAAGCAAAAGGCGCCAGAGCCGGGAAAAAAGUGAAAGGCGCCAGAGCCGCUGCUGAAGGUAUGGAAAAUGAGGUCUGUUUUCUGGGACUUGCCGGGAAGAUCCACCGUGUGCCUCACAGCCUUGAUGUCAUGCAUAUCAUGAAGAACGUGUGCGAGAGUCUGCUUGGUACCCUGCUCAACAUGCCAGAGAGGACCAAACAUGGGCCGAAAGCAAGGGCGGACUUGAAAUCAAUGGGCAUCAGGCAGGAGCUUCAUGCUAAUGAUGAUGAUGAUGAUGAUGAUGAUGAUGAUGAUGAUGAUGAUGAUGAGGCGAAGCAGGACACAGAACGUCGCCGCAAAGGCAAAAAGGCCAAGAAGACCGGAAAUGACUACCCUCCCGCGUGCUUCACUCUAAGUCAGGAGGAGAUCGAGCAGUUUUUUUCACCUGCCUCCUAGGAGUAAAACUUCCUUACGGUUACGCGGGGAAGAUAAGCAGAUACCUAGACCGAGCGAAGCAGAAGUUCGGCGGGAUGAAGUCUCACGACUGUCACGUGCUGAUGACGCAGAUACUUCCAGUUGCAAUCCGUGGGAUCAUGGACGCGCACGUCCGUGAAACGCUAUUUGGCCUAUGCAACUUUUUUGACGUCAUCUCUCGGAAGUCGAUUGGCNNNNNNNNNNNNNNNNNNNNNNNNNNNNNNNNNNNNNNNNNNNNNNNNNNNNNNNNNNNNNNNNNNNNNNNNNNNNNNNNNNNNNNNNNNNNNNNNNNNNNNNNNNNNNNNNNNNNNNNNNNNNNNNNNNNNNNNNNNNNNNNNNNNNNNNNNNNNNNNNNNNNNNNNNNNNNNNNNNNNNNNNNNNNNNNNNNNNNNNNNNNNNNNCGUUAUGGUGCAUCUGCUGGUCCAUAUCGUGGAGGAUAUCAUCCAACUCGGGCCGACGUUCCUGCACAGCAUGAUGCCGUUCGAAAGGAUGAAUGGUGUCAUCAAAGGAUACGUUCGCAACAUAUCACGUCCAGAGGGAAGUAUAGCCAGGGGCUUUUUGACCGAAGAGUGCAUCUCCUACUGCACGAAUUAUCUAGGCAUCGAGAACCCCGUUGGUCUGCCCGUCAACAGGCACCUCGGCAGGCUCGCUGGAUGGGGUCACCGUGAGGGUCGCCGCAAAAUGCAUGUCGACUUCGAGGGUCGACUCGUCGACUUUGAAAGAGCAAACCUAGUCGCGCUACAACACAUAUACGUGGUCGAUCCUUGGGUGGUAGAGCACAAAACCUUUAUUGAGAAGACGUACAAUGACCGAGGCCAACAGAGGACAGACGGAGAUAUAAUCAAAGAGCACAACUCAUGUUUCACGCGUUGGUUCAAGCAGAAACUUUUGUCGUACCCUUUACAUGAGGAUUCUUCCGCGGAAGAACAACUCAUAUUCGCCUUGUCACAGGGAGCCGAGCACAACCUGAUGACCUAUGAGGCGUACGAUAUCAACGCUACAUAUUCUACACCGAGAACAAGGACAUGAAGAGCGAUGGUUAUCAGAACUCCGGGGUAACGAUGGAAUCCUACACCGGCAACGACAAGGACAGAUACUACGGAAGGAUCGAGGAGAUCUGGGAGCUGAGCUACGCUGGAGAGAAGGUCCCGAUGUUCCGUGUCAGAUGGGCCAAGAGCGUCCUAAAAGAAGACUGGUAUUUCACCACCAUGGUUAUACCCGAAGCCAAAUCCAAGACCGCGGGCGCAAACAUCACCACGAAAAAUGAGCCAUGGGUACUGGCUUCCCAAGUGGACCAAUGCUUCUUCAUUACCGACCCGUCAAAGCCCAGUCGUGUUGUCGUGAGGAGAGGCAAAAGGAAGAUCUUCGGAAUGGAUGGAGUAGCCAAUGAGCAAGACUUCGACAAGUACGGCGACCCGAAGAUCGAACAUGACGACAACGAUGAAGUAGCAGCACACACCACAAGAAGAAGCAGGACCACCCUACCUAAAGGACGUCCAUUCCACAGAAGAACUCCAUUUGCGAAAAAGAAGGGCAAGAAGAUUGUGAACAGAUAGCUAGCUAAGAUCGAUUGUAUUUAAAUCGUAGUCUUCAUUUCUCGAUUGUAUUUCAUGGGCACUUUUUGAUAUCAUGAAUAUUUUUAAAUUUCAUGGGCACUUUUUGAAUUCAUGAGGACACUUGAUCUCGACCCCCUCCAUCUUGAUCUCGAUCCCACACACACCCUCCCCCGCUAGCUCCACCGCCACCGACGACCCACCGCAACCCUCCCCCGCUCCACCGCCGCCGCCGAGCACCCGGCCCCCCGCACCCUCCCCCGCUCCAUCGCCGCCAACGGGCACCCCCGGAAACCUCCCCCGCUCCACCGCUGCCAACGGGCACCCCCCGCACCCUCCCCNNNNNNNNNNCAAGUAACAAAUUUGAACAUAUUUUUUAAAAAAUUAUUACUGUUUUUAUAAAAAAAUACCUCCCCCGCUCCACCGCCGCCAACGGGCACCCCCCGCGCCCUCCCCCGCUCCACCGCCGCCGCUGAUGAUAUUUUCAAGUAACAAAUUUGAACAUAUUUUUUAAAAAAUUAUUACUGUUUUUAUAAAAAAAUAUUACGGUUAUGAUUUAAACAAGUUUGAACAUAUUUAAACACAAAUAAAUAUCAAACAGGAUUUAAAAUGCAUAAAAAAUAUUGGGGAGCCUGGGAAUCGAACCCAGGACCUCUUGGUGUGGGUGCUACGUACUGACCAGUCGGGCUAGUGGGAAGGUUCUAUUGUAUAUAGGGUUAGGUGGUAUAUAACCUGACAAGUCGGGCUAGAUUAAAUUACUUAUGGCGCACCCCUCGGUGGUGCGCCAUUGCUAUGGAUGUACUUAUGGCGCACCCCUGGGUGGUGCACCAUUGCUAAGCCUCUCCCCACACUAAAUUAAAAUCCCCAAUCCCUCACAUUUCUCUCUAAUCCCUCCCCUGCCUCAUCUCCCCCCACACUCGACCAUGCUCGCCGUCCGUGCUCGCCGUCCCCGGUCGUGCUCGCUUCCCCCGCCGCACCCGACCACCUCCCUCACCGUCCCCCCUCCGCCCACGCCCGCGCCCUCGCCGUCCCCCUCCCCCUGCGGCCCCGCCUGCGUCAACCUCCCUCCCGAGCGCGACAGCUAGGGUUCCUAGCCGCCGCAACCGCUGUCGGCCCGCCGCCGCGGCGCGCCCAGCCAGCCGAACCCGACGCUGCCCGGUUGCCCCUGCCGUCCUCCACCACCGGUCACCUCGGCAGCAGCCGGCGAGCCAAGGAAGUACUCCUCUCGCGACCUCGCCGCCCACACCUCCCUCAAGCCCAGGUAGGCGAUUUCAAAUUCAGCAAUCGUCUUUCCCUACCCGCGCUCCGAUUCCGAUUCCGAUUCCAGUUGCGUGCCCUCCCUUGUGGUUUUAAUCGAAUUGUCCGUCCGGCCUGGUUAGAGAUCUCGCGCCCACGCCCAUGCCGUCGUUGGAAUUUGGGUUGGGGGCGGGGAAAGGGUGCUAGGGUUCCUCGGCCCUGGGGACACAGGCUCCAGAUCGGGGUGUCUUGCCUCUUCCAUCUCCGCGCGGUAGAAUUGCUGGCCAUGGCUAGUAGCCUCGUCGCCAACUAUGUAGGUUUGGUUUGCCUGGAUGGAUUAGGUUAAAUCCAACCCAAUAAGCCCAGCUAGUACAUGUUUAAUGCAACGACACAAUUACUUGUCAACCAACAUAUGUAAUGUGAGAGUCUGUUUACGAGCAAAACAUAGGACAAACACCUAUUUCCUGCUCCUGCUCCUGCUCCAUCAAGAGAGUGAAUCCAUAAGCAAAUGGAUUAUCAUGCUCCAUAUGUUCCUCAUUGUGGGGUUUAUAGUUAGGUAUAUGAUGCUUGAUGGAUGGAUGGAUGAGUUGUGCUAGUUGCUUGAUAGAUGGAUGGAUAGUAGUUUGGUUCUGUUUUUGCUGGUGUUUGGUUCUAAAGAUGAGUAGCAAUUAUAGUAGGAAGAUGAUGCAUAGUAGUUUUAUGUUGUUGUAGUAGUUGUAGUUGUAGAUACAGUAGCAGUAUCAUGUGCUACUAUUGUAGAUACAGUAGUUGUAGGAACAUUAGAUACAGUAACAAGUGUCAUGUUGUUGUAUUAGAUACAGUAGUAGUAUCAUGUGCUGCUGAAGAUGAGUAGUUGUAGGAAGAUGAUGCCCUAACGGAAGUGACAUGAAUAUUUGGCCUACCUUUUUUUCUUAUAGAAUUUUUUAUUGACGGUAUAAACGAAUCAGAGACUCGCUAGGUAGGUUCUCCUAAUUAAUUAGAAAUGAUGCAUCUUGCAAUUAGGGGGAAUAUUGCAACCUGCUGCUGAACUAUAAUACCAUUAUUCAUUUAUAAUGGCUAACAACCAGACAUGUGAAUCUGUUCUUGAUAGUCCUUUUCCCUUUUAUUAGAAUCAUCAUAUACAAAUUAGAACCUUUCUAACAUCUGCAUAUUUUAGGUUUCCGAGGAGGUAAAGGAAGUGAAGUUCAGACAGUGCAGCAGCAGCAACACCUCCAAGGUGAUAAAUAUGUUCCUAUUUAUCUUUUUUUGCUCAAGUUCUUCAGUACAUCAUAUAAUAUAGAGAAGUGCAGAUCAAGUGGUGCAAUCAUAUACAUCUGCCACUUAAGUCAUCCUUCCCUUUAAGCAGAGUGAUGCCUUUCGAUGUCACACAAUAAUGUUUGUUGCAAGAACAUUCUGCUCUUAGUGUUCGUUUGUUUACAAAGAUCCUCCUUAUAUAUACUGAUGAUGAGUCUUGUUGAAACCUUACAUAUGUUGGUUCCUGCUUAUUUGCUCCAAUGGCACAAACUUGAGCUGCUAGCAUAAAAAGUGUUGCAGGCAACAAAAAGUGAGGAGCUACUGUCAAAAACUUGAGCUACUGUCAAAAAAUUCAGUUAGGUACAGUUAUAACAUCAUGUGGGUUUUUUAAGUCUGUUUACAGCUCAUGUGGGUUUUAACAUCAUGUGGGUUGGUGAAUGUGGAUGAUUUUUUUAUCCCGUGAACUUGAAUGUUGCAAUGCUGUUUUCUUCAGAGGCUACUGUCAAAAACUUGAGCUACUGUCUUGCAAAGAUGAUGAUCAUCUUGCUAGUUUGCUGGGUUUUGUCUUCGACCAUCAUGUCGUGAUGAUUUUGCAGGUACCCCGAGAGGCCCUUGAGUUUGCCGGAAUGUCGAUUAACUUCCGUUCCGGCAAAUUCGGGUACUCCAUAUGUCCUAUUUUCAGCAAAGGUCAUGCUGAAAUUUUCCGUGAAUUUUAGCAUGACUUUGCUAAAAAUAGGACAUAUGGGGUACUUGCGACUAAUGCAUGGGCCGGGGUAUCUUAGUACUUAACUAAGUAGAUCAACUGCCCCUUUAUUCUUGCUGCAUUAAACCAUAGGUGGCAAUAGAGCCAAGUGAUUAGGCCCAACUUAGAAUUCUCCUUAGCAUCGAUAAACCCUAGAUGAUAAACCCAACAUAGGUGGCAAUAGAGCCAAGUGAUUAGUGCCAAGUGAUUAGGCCCAACCUAGGGUGCCUCGGCAUCGAUAAACCCUAAAUGAUGAAAACUUAACUUGGCUGCCCCGGAUGCCUCGGUGUCGAUGAGAACCUAAAUGAUGUACGCUUAGGCUAUUAGGGUGCCUCGGCAUCGACAAACCCUAAAUGAUGAAAGCUUAGGCUUUUAGGGUACCUCAGCGUCGACAAACCCUAAAUGAUGAGACCAUGAUCUUGUUCCUUGACAAUAACCAACUUUUUGACCAAACUUUUUUCCUAUUUAGAGCAAAACAUGGCCCACAACGAUGAGGCCGGUGGUUCGGGCGGCAAGCAAUUCUGGGACCUGUCCCAGGAGAUGGAGGAACAACCUCAGCGCUAUGAGGACACCGCGGAAGACACCGAUCACACAACCCCUAGUGGCGUCGGGGAUGACACCACUGAUGGUGCCGCCGAGGAUGCCACCACUGAUGAUGGCGGCGCACACACAGAUGGCAGCCAACCGAAGAAGCAAAGGAAGGACCGGCACCCGAAUGCGCUCCGCACCCUCAAGGAGGAAUUCACUCAAGUGGACUCCGACGGGAAUCCAACGGAGCCCAAACAUAUAGUCAAGGGGUACGCGCUUCAGCUUGAGUGCAUUCUCCGGAGCACCGUCUCGAUCAACACCGAUAUCCAUAGGAAUAAGGACCACGGGAAUUUGCGCAACCUCCUCUUCACGAAGAUGCACAAACGAUACAAGUUCCCCGCCCAAUUUGAAAACACACGCCUCUCAGGGAAUAAAGUGAACAGUGCCGCCCUCACGAAGAUGAGCACGGCCCUGUCUACUUGGAGAAGCACGGUGAAGGCAAUGAUUGACAAAGGUGGUAGUUAUGACAAGAUCAGGGCGAAAUAUCCUUUGAUGAGCGAAGAUGAGUACAAGGAGUUCAAGAUCAAGUGCGAGAGCAGCGCAACCUCCGAAUCAAGUCAGUGGGGGAAAGAAAUGCGGGAGUUGAACUUAAGGGAACACAAACUCGGUCCCGGCGAUUACAGAGUGGCGGAGCCUAUAUGGGACAAGGAGGACGCGGAGCGUGCCGAGCAAGGCCUACCGCCCCGCUUCGAGAAAUACAAUGGUGACAAGCAGACCAGGAACUAUAUCAGGGCCCGGUACAAGGAGGACCCGAUAACAAAGGAGCUUACCAUGGAUGCGAAGACCAGGGCGCUUGAGCUUGUUCUGGUAAGGAAUACACCCCCGCGUAAUUAGCUCCAUAUGGUUGCACUCUAAUUAAUCCCCAAUAUUUCUAAAUGGUUCACGUUCCUUUCGCAGGACACUAAAAGCAGUAGUGCGGGGUCAUCUCAGAGCUCCCCUUUCGACACCCCUUUAAAUAGGGCGUUGAACAUAAUGAAAAGCAAGGAUAAGCUCACUAAGCCGACAUCAGCUGGUCGUGUGGCCGGCAAAGGCUUGUCCACAAAAUGGGGGUCAUACUAUACCGCUGGUAUGCGGAAGGAGAAAAAGGCCAGCUCGGAAAGCCAGACGCGCGAGGUUGAAGCACUCAAGGCACAAGUGGCGCGGAUUCCGGAGCUUGUCCAAGAGAAAGUGGAACAACAACUGGGAACGAAGCUCAACGCCAUGGUGACUAUGUUGAUUCAUGGGAUGAUGACGUGGAUUGCGGGAGGCCAACAGGGGCCUCCCCCGGUUCCAGCUUCACGGCCAGCAACUCGCACAGCACGCAGGCGGCGCCAUUGGUGUCUCCAGCGGCGCCAUUGGUGUCUCCGACGGCGCCAUUGGUCUCUCCGGCGGCGGCGCCAUUGGUCUCUCCGGCGCCGGCACGGGCAUUGAAGCUUAAUGCACCCGGGUGUACGCCGGCCGGCACCUCGCCAGCAAGCGCCCCUUCCGUCAGUUGCACGCCCGCCGUUGGCGGUGCCUCGACAUUAUCCGAGCUCGACGGCAUCACGGUAACUAAGCCUCUCGGCCGAUGACUUCAUCUCCUUGCCUUUGACUGGGCAUCCCUGACGCCCUGUACAUGUUUUUGCAGGGCACCGCCGACGUUCCUUGCACUCUUCUGCACUUCGUGGGCGCCGAGUUGGUCAAUGUCGCCAAGGGCAGAAUCGUUCAACCGGGCAACCCCAUGUUCCACGGUAAUCUGAUGCCACCCACAGUGUAUAUGGUUGAAGAGGUUCGGGUGCUGCUAGGCUGCGACGAGCUGUUACCUCCGGUUCGACCCGCUGGGGCCGACGAAGAAGAUGAGAUGACCCUCAGCGCCUGCGUAAACUGGCCGCUGCUUUGGCCGAAGAGCCAGAUUCGUUUGGGGGCGGGGGACACCACCCUACAGACAAGACCGCCAGUCGUGCCGGCGCCAAGCCAUGGCAAGAACGCCGCAACGCUACCGGACCUGCCGGACAUCCCUAUGGCACAAGAUCCGGACAGCCCUAUGGCACAGGAUCCGGACGACGACUACAACGACGACGGUACAUUUACCAAAGUCGAUAAGUACUUUGCCGAACAUGGGUUCGCUGACGAGUUCUGCGAGCCUCUUUCCCAAGAACCCAACCAAGACGACCGCAAUCUAGCUGGUACGGCGGAGAAAUCCAAUUGCAACAGGCGUAGUCUGGUGUUCAGUUCUCAGGAGACGCCUCCAGCUCCCGCCUUCACCGAGCCUCAGAUAGCUGAGGUGCAAAAUAUUAUCAGCCCCAACACGCUCAAGAAGGCGGUCUGUGAGCAGAACUCGGUCCCAUUACAGGAGAUCAAGAAGAUGGGACGGAAACGAAAGACUAACAAGGGCGCCGGUGCGAGCCAGCCGGCACCGAGUUUGAUCCGUGCUCAGGACGGGCCACCUUCACCUAAGGAUAUCUCGAGGAGGGUGCAUGUGGCGGGUAGGGCGAUGCUACCGCCAAAUAUGUUGAACGCUGCAACCGGUGCUAUACGGAGUCUGCACGACAGUGUUCUUUCUUUGGAGAAGCGGCGUCUCAGAGAGAAGGAUGUGGUAUACCCGGUUUUCGUGGCUAAGGUGCCAAAGGGCAAGGGCUUUGUGGAUGGCGACAUCGGGGGUACGAUCGUCCUGCGGUUUGAUGACAUCUUUGCUAUGUUUAACCUUCAUCCGCUGCACUACACCUUCGUUCGGCUGUUUUCGCUGAGUAUGGAGAUGCGGGUCAUUAGAGACAAGACCCCGGACAUCGUGAUAGUCGACCCCUUCUACAUGCAUGCCAAGCUCUUGAGCAGCGUUGGGGACCGCCAAGUUGCGAGUUCACACCUCGAAGGUGUCAUUCUGGCAAACCCAGAUAAGGAUAACUUCCUUGUGGCUUACUUUCCCGAGUAAGUCAUCCCUUAACCGCCCUGUAACAUAUGAUUUCUUAGAUUUCGAUCGUUCUUUUUUUUUCUAACAUUCUGUGUUCUGUGCAGUGACACACAUUGCACACUCAUCCUCCUAAGCCCGAAAUAUUCCAUGGCCACGUAUUUCGACCCGAACCGUAACUCCAAGAUAGACUACACAAAUGUCAAGAAAGUUCUUGAUGAUGUUCUCCCCGGCUACGCCUAAUCUAGAGGCACCUUCACCAGGGCGUUUCGUAAGUACGGCAAGCACAUGUUCUCACACAAUACAAAGUUCUGCUGCGUCAAGCAGCCGCCUGGCGGUCAGAAGGAUGCCUACUACGCCCUCCAUCACAUGCGGGCGAUCGUAAGGGACCAUCAUCAACUUCUGCUACCAGAUAAUCUCAAAGGUUGGGCCGCGAACUUGUCGGCAAUCCAGGACGCGGACCUCAGACAAGAAUUCUUUCGCAUCCAGUCGGAGUUUGCGGACAUCAUCCAUCAAGAUGUCCUUCAUACCUCGGGGCAGUUCUUCCUCAGAUAUCAACCGUCCAACAAUGAGAUAGAUGGAAUGCUACAAAUGCAGGGUGACAACGACCGCGAUUUCAUGACCAUCACGACAGACGGCGGCUUCAUCCACGCUCCUGUCCGAUUAGUCGAGUCAAAAGUAGUGAUGUGUAGUUCUGAAACAUUGAUUGGCUCAUGUUGUAAUUAAACUUUAAUGAAUUCGUAUAUCCCUUUGGUUUGGACAGUCGUUCAACUUAGAUGUAAUCGAUGCUAUUUAUUAGUAGGACCAUGAAUCGUGCUAUUAAUGUCUUGUUUUUCUCUUCCGAUCCUUUUGUUGCAUACUUACAUAUUGCUUAUGUAUUGUCUGUUGUUUGGCUUGUGCAUAGAGAUGCCGUCGUAUGUCGUGUACAAGGGUAAGGUUCCCGGAGUCUACGACGACUGGGAGGAGUGUCGGAGACAGGUUCACCGUUUCAGCGGUAACAGUUACAAAGGGUACACCACUAGGGCGGAGGCCGAAUCUAGAUACGCCCGCUAUCUAGCGGGAGAGAGGAGGGAGCGUUGGAGGAACCGGAUGAAGACCAGUUUGAUCGCGAUGAUGCUCAUCGUGAUGACCACAACUCUCUUCUAUGUGAUGGUAGUUUAGAUGAUCGAUAUCGACUUGUAAUGUGAAGACAAACUCGAUACUCGCGGUCUUGAGACUUGUAAUGUUUUAUCUUUGUUCGGUCUUUUGAAUUCGGAGACUAAUAUGAUGAAUUGUAUUCGGAGACUAAUCUUCUAUUGUAUUCGAUGAAUUUGAUGUUGCUGUGUGCUGCUGUCUAUAUUCUGUCCAAUAAUAUAUUUUGUAACCUGUGCAAAAAUCAGAAAAGUAAAAAAAACAAAUAUUCAUACUAAUGGCGCAUCACGACGAGGUGCGCCAUUAGUAUGCCAAAGGAUACUAAUGGCACAUCAACAUAGCAUGCGCCAUUAGUAUGACAAAGCACAUGCUUAGGUAUGGCCCUCCGGGAGGCACACUAAUGGCGCAUUGUGUAACAUACUAAUGGCGCAAGGUGCGCCAUUAGUAUACCAGAUACUAAUGGCGCACCAGUGGUGCGCCAUUAGUAAAAUAUACUAGUGGUGUGCUACUAAUGGCGCAUUGGUAAUGCGCCAUUAGUAGGCAAAACCAGUGCGCCAUUAGUAGGCCUUUUCCUAGUAGUGUGGCGACCACGACGGGGGCUAGGCACCAGCGGUCGUGACCUAACUGCAACGGCGAUGUCGACUCGCUCCUACUCCUCACCGGCGGUCGUGGUGCGGCCAAGUUUGUCACCCCCACCGACGUNNNNNNNNNNNNNNNNNNNNNNNNNNNNNNNNNNNNNNNNNNNNNNNNNNNNNNNNNNNNNNNNNNNNNNNNNNNNNNNNNNNNNNNNNNNNNNNNNNNNNNNNNNNNNNNNNNNNNNNNNNNNNNNNNNNNNNNNNNNNNNNNNNNNNNNNNNNNNNNNNNNNNNNNNNNNNNNNNNNNNNNNNNNNNNNNNNNNNNNNNNNNNNNNNNNNNNNNNNNNNNNNNNNNNNNNNNNNNNNNNNNNNNNNNNNNNNNNNNNNNNNNNNNNNNNNNNNNNNNNNNNNNNNNNNNNNNNNNNNNNNNNNNNNNNNNNNNUUACACCCGAAAGCAAAUACAACUCGGUCGCAUGUAUUGAAUUGGAGACAGGUAAGUAGGUUUCAUGAUCCGAUGAGGGAAAAUAUUAGAAGUAGAACCCGUGUGAAAAAUAUUAGUUUUGCCUUUUGCGAGAUUUUUGUUUUUGACAGUAAAGAAGAUGGAAGGAGUAUUGAGUGAGUAAUCGGAGGGGUAGGCACCUUUGCCCAAGAGAGAGUAGCUAGGGCACCUUUGCUCGGCCGAAUCGCACGGAACGGCAGCCUCUCUUGCAUGGUUUUGCCGCCGCCGGCCGGGCUCUGAGAUCUGUCAGCCGUGAAGCCUGUGAGUCGAGUUGGAAGUUGUAACGCUGGAAUGGAUGCUGGACGCUCAGCUUGCUUUGCUUGCACGGGUUUAAAAGAAAGAAACCACGCUCACAGCUACGUCCUCGCCACUCGCUACUUGGCUCAGUGGUUCUCAGCUGGAAUCGGACAGAGAUGCUCUCCUUUGGCCCUUAAUGCUUUAGAAUAUAGAGGCAUAUAUUUGUAUGAUUUAUAAUCAUCUUUUGCCUUAUCUCUGGAGAGACUUAUUGUCCUCAAGCCUUGUACUCUGUAUAAACCGCCCGAAGGCUCAAUACAACACCCAUCAUAUUCUAUCAAUCUCUCUUUAUUCCCUUCUAACAUGGUACCAUCUUUUGCCUUAUCUCUGGAGAGACUUAUUGUCCUCAAGCCUUGUACUCUGUAUAAACCGCCCGAAGGCUCAAUACAACACCCACCAUAUUCUAUCAAUCUCUCUUUAUUCCCUUCUAACAUGGUAUCAUCUUUUGCCUUAUCUCUGGAUAGACUUAUUGUCCUCAAGCCUUGUACUCUGUAUAAACCGCCCGAAGGCUCAAUACAACACCCACCAUAUUCUAUCAAUCUCUCUUUAUUCCCUUCUAACAUGGUAUCAGCCUAACCGGUCCAAACCCUAACCGCCUCCCACCGCUUCCGCCUUGCGCGCCGCCCUCAGGGCGGUCAGCCUCCAUGACCGCCGUCGGGGGCUGCGCCACCCAUACCUAGUUCGUCCGCCGCUCGUGUUGACCGGUGCCCUAGAGAGUCUUUUUCCUGGUCCUUUGAUUGAGUUUUUUCUAUCUCACUGGUCGCUUUGAUUGACGUUUCAUUUUUGGUUUUCCGAUCUAAGAUCUUUCUUUGCUUAUUCAUAAUUCAUUCAAAUUAUGGCACCUCAUAUGGCAUAUACUGUGUGUCUCGCAUGGCAUAUAAGCAUGCAGUUUGUCUAAUUCACAUCUAGAUGUUUUUUAAGGAUGUCACAUCUAAGCUCCCACAAAUAUAUAAUGCAGCAACAAGAAACAAAAAAAAAACUAGAACAAAAAAAUAGACCACAAACUGAGUGAACAUCAGCUAUGUCACAUCUAGAUGUGUCCUAAAUAGACCCAUAAGCAUAUUCUGUGUGCAUACUAUCGCCGCCUGGAGCACAUAUAUUGCUUAAUAGAGACAGCGAUCGGCUUGCAAUAUUAACUCUACGCCCACAUGCAACUGGCAACAAUAUUAUGUUAGAACUUAGAACCCCACUUGCAGCCGGCCACUAGAAGACAUUUUUACAUGUGUAUUUCUGGUAUUUUGAUUCCAAUCAGAUAAGGUCGAAAGAUCAAGUGCAAGUUUCUAAAUGCUUUUCUGGAGUAGAGUAGAUCAAACAUUAUUGUCCCAACUCUCAAGAAAAAGAAUAGAAGUGUUAUUGUCCAGGCCAUCCCCAUCGCACCGCGUCAGAUGGGCUUAAUUUUGUCACCAUUUGCAACAUGUUUACUAGUACUAUACAAUGCAAUGACGCAUCUUGCUGACAGUACGUACUACUCCCUCCGUUCCACAAUGUAGCGCAUAUAGAUUUUUCUAGAAGUCAAACUUUAUAAACUUUGACCAAGUUUGUAGAGAAAAUCAUAUACAUCUAGAAUACCAAAUACGUGUGCUUAGAUACAUCACAACACAUACUUUCAUAUUAUAUACAUUUGGUAUUGUAGAUAUAAAUAAUUUUCUCUAUAAACUUGGUCAAAGUUUAUAAAGUUUGACUUUGUAGAAAAUUUAUAUGCGCUACAUUAUGGAACGGAGGGAGUAUAUCAUAUAGAAGUACCACACUAGAGACAACAAGGUCGCUUGACUAAUAAGCUGAAGCUGUGAUAUAUAAUUGGCAUUUGGCAAGCUAGACAGCAUUGUAAAACAACGCCUAGCUGUUAGACAGAGGAGUCCAGCUUUUUCAAAAAAUCAUGUUGAGGAUGCAACGACACAAUAUUGAAAAGAUAGUUGAGAUGUUGAGGGUGCACAUAGUUAAGAAGAUAAAACAGAAAGGGUAAAAAACUAAAAGAGUCACACAACUAACGACACACAACUAAACAACUACACUACCACCAAUGUCCUGGAUAAUAGACGGACCACAUCCAAGGUUCUUUGAAAGCACCGCCUCCAGAAAAAGGAACACCGCCCAAGCACGACUAUAGCCCGAUGCAGGUGUUGAAUGCCGGAUCUUUGGUUUUACCCUAAAAGGCACGUAUGGGAAAUCUAUGCCUUCCAAUAAAGGCGUGAAGCGUAAACUCCAUCAUUGACGGAUGCAACCAAUGAAUGUCAGAUGGAGGAGUCCAGCUAAUUGAAAGAAUCUUUUGCACCGUGCAUCCAUAGAUGCGGACUGUGUCAGGUCUUACUCUUGUGUCAGAAGCUGACAAUAAUGGUAACAACAUACGUAGAAAGAAGGAAGACUCCACGUUGCUCAUUUUUUAAAAGAGAUUUCCCUCCCCGAAUUGUUUUACUAGAACCUAGUGUUCGUUACAGGCCCUAGCUAAGAUCAACUAACGAAAAGGAAAAUAGUAGAGACGUCCCAUGACUGCUGGUGUCCACCCACUCAGUGUUCAAGGAUAUGAUUCGAGCCGGAGUAUAGCGUGCAAGGUGGACGGAAAUUAAGAAGACAUUUUUUUCAAAAUGGUGGAAAAUUUUCACAACCUAUAGAUCAGAUAAUGACGAAAUUGCAAGUGGAAGUUUCUUUACGACUGCUACUAUACUCGAGGACGUCCAUCUCCUCGGAGUGACCCCUCUCAUUUAUCCCCUUUUGCGCGUUUGUCGGUGUUUUUAUUUUAUCUCUUCUCCCAUAUCCCAUGUGAUUCCGGUUCGUUUGAAGCCAUCUUUUUGUAGGGAAAUGUUUGGACUCAUCUUGUAACAGGGUACAAUGCAAACCUUACAUAAGCAAAAAAAACAAAUUGAGGGGUAAAAAAUAAAUCUUUUUUUUUUGAGGGGUAAAAAGAAUUGGGCAGGUGGCCGACGUGAUGCCUGCCUGGCCCAUCUGGCCAUCUAAAAUGCUGGCCCAGUUUGUGGAUGACAGGCACGCCACCGUGGUCUGGCCGCGCUCCGCCUGUCUCUUCUCCCACUCCCACCCACCUCUCUGCCGCCGUCAAACUCCACGCCUCGCCACCGUGAACUGGGGGAGUUGGGGCGCGCUAGACUAAUGAGCGACGUUCGAUCAGCAGGCAGGCGGUGUCGCGGUGGUGGGGCGGAUGGGAAUGGACGACGACACCGACUGAAGACGCCUCCGUUGACUCCUGCUUCGACGCCAACAAGGUCCCCUCCUACCGUAUUAUGAGAGAAAUUACGGAGCAGUUUUUUGCAUGCCUGUGUGCACCAUUUCUGUUCACUCUUAAGAAAAUGAAGGUGCGAGUGCUGAAGAACUAACUGUCAAUUAAUUUCUGUUCACUCUAAGGAACAAUGGCAAUUUCUGAAUUUUCUUUUAAUUUUGUAGACGUGACACAAUGGUGUCUGAUUGCUUUUUCCCGAGUGUCCAAACUAGUUCACUCCUUUUAUCUCCAACGGAGAACUGAAAAAAAUCCAUGGUCCAAGCUAAUGACCGAAUCUUGGGUAGAAAUUCCAACCCCAGCCUAUCAUUGUUGACUGUCCCAAUUAACAAAUUCUAGCUACAACUUGACUACAGGAAAAGUAUGCAUCACAAGACGAUACUCCUAUAUUGCAGCUGGGGACUUGUGGUGGAACUGGAAUAAGAGAGAAGUUGCUCUGUCUCAUAUCCAUCUGCCAUUUCUGACCAACAUGAUUAAGCUUGCAGUCCUCAUCCGAGGAACUGCACUGCUCCUUUGUCUAUUGAUAUUCCAAGCAGCAUCCGCUUCCCAUGGUCAAGCGACUGCAUCAGGAGCCUGCAUCGGCGGCGAGCGAGAUGCGCUUCUGUCCUUCAAGGCAAGCCUCUUGGACCCUGAUGGUCGCCUGUCAUCAUGGCAGGGCGACGACUGCUGUCGAUGGAAGGGAGUCCGUUGCAGCAACAGAACUGGCCAUAUCAUCAAGGUCAGCCUCCGCAGCAUCGACAUGUAUGGCUACGUGAGCAGUUUAUUCAGCUUGUCGGCAGGGGAGAUGAACUUUUCUUUGGCUACUUUACAACACCUGAGGUAUCUUGAUCUGAGCUGGAAUUACUUCAACGGCACAAGCAACCCUGUGUUCUUGGCUUCUCUCAAGAACCUAAGGUAUCUCAAACUCUCGUAUGGAUUCACUGAAAGAAUACCUUCCCAACUUGGCAAUCUCUCAAAGUUGCAAUAUCUAGAUGUCAGUGGGAAUUCUUUUCAUUCGGAUAGUUACUCAGUGAAUCUUGCAUGGUUGCCACGUCUUUCUUCUUUGGUCCAUCUCGACAUGAGCGGUGUUGAUCUUAGUUCUGCCGAGGAUUGGCUUGAGACGGUGAACAUGCUUCCUUCUCUUAAAGUGCUUCGCUUGAGCUUCUGUGAACUCAAUCUUCCCGUAUCUGCUAGCAUGUCACAUUCCAACCUCACACAUGUCGAGAUACUUGAUUUGUCUUAUAACAAAUUCUAUACUAAUUCACUCAAGCACGCAUGGUUUUGGAAUCUCAUAAGCCUCAAGGAACUUUACCUCCAAGAUUCCGGCUUGGAAGGGGCCAUUCCUAGUAACUUGGCAAACAUGACGUCCCUUCAAGUCAUAGACUUCAGUGGGAACAACCUUGUGGGUCUGAUACCAAACAAAUUAGAUAAUCUGUGCAAUUUGACAAUAAUGAGGUUUAGCGGUAUCAACACUGGUUCGAGCAUAGGGGAGUUCAUGGAGCGAUUGCCAAAGUGUGCAUGGCAUACAUUGCAAGAAUUGUCAGUGCAGGGUGCAAAUAUGACCGAGAAUCUACCCAUUUGGAUUGGGAACUUGACAGGUCUCGCCGUUCUUCAAGCAUCUCAAAACAUGUUAACUGGCCCUCUACCUGUAGGAGUUGGAGCACUCCGUAAUUUAAAAAUGUUGGACCUCAGUUAUAAUAAAUUUAGCAGUGUGCUCACAGAGGAGCAUUUUGCGGGCCUACUGAAUUUAGAGUAUCUGGACUUGUCAUACAACUCUUUGAGAUUAGCUAUCAAACACAAAUGGGUUCCUCCAUUUAGAUUGAAGGUUGCAGGUUUCGGUUCAUGCCAACUGGGCCCCAGUUUUCCAGAGUGGCUUAGAUGGCAAUCUGACAUUGAUGUUCUUGUUCUCAGUAAUGCAAAUCUAGAUGAUGUUAUUCCUGAUUGGUUUUGGGUGACAUUUUCCCGAGCUUCAUUCUUGCAAGCAUCAGGAAAAAAAUUGCAUGGCUCAUUACCGGGAGAUCUACAACACAUGUCAGCUGACCACAUAUAUCUUGGGUCCAAUAAGUUUACGGGCCAAGUACCACAUUUACCUAUAAAUAUAUCAAGACUAAACCUAUCUUCAAACUAUUUCACUGGGUCAUUGCCAUCAGAGCUGAAUGCCCCACUACUCGGAGAGUUGUUGCUUGCAAAUAAUCAACUUACAGGCACCAUCCCGUCAUCUAUAUGCCAAUUGACUAAACUGAAUAGGUUGGACCUAUCAGGAAACCAUUUAACAGGAGAUAUUAUGCAGUGUUGGAAGGAAUCUGAUGCAAACUCUAUGAAUCAAUUUGGUUUUGACAUGCUAAGCUUAGCCCUGAAUAACAACGGUCUCACUGGUGAAUUCCCUAAAUUUCUUCAAAGGUCGUCAAGGUUAAUGUUCCUUGAUCUUUCUUACAAUUGGUUAUUUGGAGGAUUGCCUGAAUGGUUGCCAGAAAAAAUGCCACAUCUGAAAAUAUUAAGACUGCGAUCAAAUAUGUUCAGCGGCCAUAUUCCUAAGAAUCUCACUUCCCUGGACAGUCUUCAUUAUUUGGACAUAGCACACAACAAGAUAACAGGAAGCAUACCAUGGUCUUUGUCAAACCUGAAGGCAAUGAUGACAGUGGUGUCGCAGGACACGGAGUAUUACAAUUUUGAAGAUAGCAUCCCAGUAUACACAAAGGACCAAAAGCGUAACUAUACCUUUGUAAUCUACAAAUUGCUAGUGAUUCUUGAUUUGUCAAGUAAUAUUUUGACAGGACAUGUUCCGGAGGAGACAACUCUACUCAUUGGGCUUAACAAUCUGAACUUGUCAAAUAAUCAACUCACAGGAGCAAUCCCAAACCAAAUUGGUGAUUUAAGGCAGUUGGACUCACUCGACCUAUCCUUCAAUGAGUUUUCUGGUGCAAUACCAUCAAGUUUGUCAGCUUUAACUUAUUUGAGCCACUUGAACUUGUCAUACAACAAUCUGUCCGGUGCAAUACCACCCGGACAACAGCUACAAACUCUUGGCAACCAGAUGUACAUCUACAUCGGUAACCCUGGUCUUUGUGGAGAUCCGGUUGGCAGGAACUGCUCAACACAUCAUGCAGAGCAAAGUGGCCUUGAAGAUCUAGAGCAUAUGCCAUCUGUCUAUCUUGCCAUGAGCAUUGGAUUUGUGGUGGGUCUGUGGACAGUUUUCUGCACCAUGUUGAUGAAGAGAACAUGGAGGGCUGCCUUCUUCCAGUUUGUUGAUAUGAUGUAUGACAUGGUUUAUGUGCAAGUGGCUGUAAGGUGGGCUCACAUGAUGGAGAAAACUCAAGACGGUGCACCAUGAAGCGCCCAACUCUACGGCAAGCGAAUUGUUUGUAUCUAAAUAGUAUUUGUAUGUUUGCACCAUUUCCCUAUUUGUAGCUCUAAAUGAGCCUUGGCUGGUUGUUGGUACUGUAUUGUACUAUUAUUUGUUUGUUUGCACCGUAUCUCUAUUUGUAGUUCUAAAUGAGCCUUGGCUCAACGUUUGUACUUUAUCGUAUUGGUAUUUGAGUAUGUCUGUACUUUAACAGGUCAAGUGUAUGUAUCUGUUUUGCUGGAUUGUUUAAGCUGAAGAAAAAUAUACAGCCCCAAAACUGCACUGUGCCUUUUUCAUGUUGUUCGGUUUGCUUUGUAUCAUCUAUUCCCAGAGAGUGAUAAGAUAUCUCUCAAGGCAAGAGGAAGAAAGCCCUGUUCACCAUCAGUGAUUGUAGACUUAUUCAUGUAAAUCUGAAGCUUCCAUUGAGCUGACAUUUCUUUAUUUUGGUGAGGCAAACUGUACCGACUCGACUAUGCCUGUGCUUGCCAGUGAAGUGAGAAGCUCGAGUCCGACCAGUCCAAGCACUCGGAGGAGGGUGACUCUGGAGCCCUUUGAGUGCGACCACGCAUGCAUCUUUGGUGGUUAUAGAAUGCCCAAAAGGUAAAAGUGAAAUUAAGAAGAGAUAAGUGUAUGUUUUAUCUUUGGUGGUUACAGGUGCUUGUAGACUUAUUCAUGCUACUCUGAAGUGUCAUCUGAGCUGACAUUUAUUUACUUUGGUCAGUAAACUGUAUGACGCGAUCAUGCCAACCUUCGGUGUUUGCAAGCAAGCUGACCAGUUAAAUCCCAUGGAGCCUUUUGAGCGUGACCACACCUGCACCGUUGGUCGUUACAGAAUGCCCCAGAAGCAAUAGUGAAAUUAAGAAAAUAAUUAUUAUUUUUAUGCCUGCAGUUUGUUUCAUGUCAAAAAUGGAGAUUUUGGCACCCAGGAGCUGAAGCCAGUACAGGAUAACAAGUACUAGUAGUAUAAAUCCGCUGGUGCUCACGAUGGACAUGUAGAACAAGGGAGAAAAAACGUGAGCAGUCACAAACUGCUUUGAUCGCUGGGUCAUAUGACGGCAGACUUAUUUUAUACCAUGCCAGAGUCAACACUAACUUCCGUAAGUACUUGUUUUCAAGGGGAAUUAUUCAUAUAUUUAUCCUUGGGAAAAUCGGAUGAACUGAGCAGACAUUUUGGUCUUCAGUCUCAUGCGAGCUCACACAGUUGGAAAAUCCUAUUGCCAGUGGGCGCUUCGUAUGGUACUAAAACAAUGCUGAAAGUAGGCGCUCCCUGUUUCACAAGCAAACAAGCAAAAGGAGAUACAGUAUACUCCCUCGAUCCGAAAAUACUUGUCACCAAAUUGGAUGAAAAGAGAUGCAUCUAGAACUAAAAUACAUCUAGAUACAUCCCUUUUUAUUCUUUGUGAUGACAAGUAUUUUCGAACGGAGGGAGUAUGAUAUAAGGGUCUCUGUUUCAGCAAAGCAAGCCCCAGGAUCAGCAGAGUGCUCGAGGUUCCAUCAAUAUGGUGCUCCAAAAGUGUAUAGAUUGAUCGAACACCAAGGCCUCGAAUCAGCUCCUCGGGGUGCUUCUGCUGCAUCUCGCGGCCGCUUUGCCAGAGGAGGGGCGGAGCCGUCGUGUUGGAUCUGGGGUCCGUCCUCGGGGGCGUGCGAAGGCGGCUGCCUCUUCGAUGCUGUGGUGGCUCGGGGGCGUCGGUUGCUGGUGCUGCUCCCGGGCGCUCAGUUGGCCGCGGUCGGCUGAGUCGCAUAUGGAUCUGGCUUCCAGGGCCAGCGGCCGGCGGGUCUCGGUGGGGGGGCUUCCCCUUGCUGAGAUCUGGCAAGCGGGAUCAUCCAGAUCCCGGCAAGGAUGGCGGCGACCCGUGCACGAGAGAUGGAGGUCUUCGAUCAGAUCUGGGUGAAAACCUGCUAUUGGCUACUGCCAAGGCCGGCGAUGGCGACGCUGUCUGCGUCGUUCCCUUUCUGAAGGCAUCGCUGUGGAGAAGUUCAAGGCCACUCUCUGCUACCUUCGGGGGAAACCCUAGAUCAGUAGAUCGGAUGACGACGGCUCUCUGGUGUCGUUUUCCCCCAUGGGGGCGUCAUUUUUGGAGGUGCACACGGGCUCAAGGGACUAGAGGACGGCGACUUUGGUGGAGCGGUGCUUCAUCUUACACAUUGAUGGUGGCGGAUCUCGGCGGCGUGGUGCUGUUGAGACUCGGCGUCUGAUGCGCGGAGAUGAACUCGCGCAGGAGGAGGUUGCUGUCUGGCGUCAUGGUGAUGUCGAUGGCAGAGUGGCCAGACAAGGUAGAAGCCUCAAUAUGACCUGAAGACGGACCUGUGGAAGAUGGCGGCGACGACACACGAGUGCGUCUGACCGGAUUGUGCCCCAGACCCGGUAUGUGGCUCGGCUGGGGCUUCUGAAUAUGUUUCGGCUUUCGGCUUUUGAUGUUAGGCUUAGGUGAGUGGUUUGGGUAGUGGCCCAUCUAGCACCCCUUCAUCAUUUUGGAUAAGAGUAUCGGCAUGUGUUGCCAAGAUGGUGGAUUCAGGCACAUUGUUGUAAUACUUUGUAAGGUCCUCGAGAAUAAUCAAUAAAAUGGCCGUAUGCAUCUCCCAAAUGCAGAGGCCGGGGGUCAUCCUCCUUUUCUAAAAAACAAAUAGAUAAAAUUAGAUGUAUCUAGAACUAAAAUACGUCUAGAUACAUCCAUGUUUCCGACAAGUAUUUCUGGACGGAGGGAGUAUUAUACAGGGAACUGCACGGACGGAGCGAGCUGUAAUCAAUCAUUUGAAAUGAUGUAUCACGUCUUCUGUGUCAAUGCAAAGCUUUGUGGAGCCAUCCAAAGAUGAUGUUUAGCUCUACACAUGGAGGAUACUUUAACUCUUCCAGUAAUAUUGGAGGGGGAAAUAUAUAAUUGCCAUUGCAGUUUUGUCUUGCCCGAAAGUAUAUAUUGGGGGUCAAAUAGUACUCGCUCCGUUCGAAAAUACUUGUCGCUCAAACAAAUGUAUCUAGCACCGAAAUACAUCUAGAUACAUCUGUUUGAGCAACAAGUAUUUCUGGACAGAGAUAGUACUCCCUCCGCUCCAAAUUUGAACUUAAACUAAAACCACGACGAGUAAUUUGGAACGGAGGGAGUAUAAGUGAAUGAGAGAGUCACCACCUGGAACAGAUUCGAUGAGGAAACAAGAGAAUUUUGAGAAUGGGCUCUGGCGACUCCCCUGGCGCCCCCGCAGGCGCCUCCGCCGCCCCGUCUCCGUGCUGCCGGCACCCCUCCCCGCCCCCUCCCCGCCGGCCCUCCCAGGCUCGGCCCCGCCGCCGACCUCCUUGCCGGUCGCCCUCUCGAUCUCCGCCCCGGCGGUCCUCUUCCGUUGGGCGUAUUGCGCUGAUGACGCUCCGUUCCCCCCUCCCCCUUCUCCCCCGGCCCCCUCCCCUCCUCGCUCCUCCCGCCGAUCCGGCCUGCCUCGCCGGCCGGCUAGCUCAGCCCCCCACGUGAGGGGCUCUGCUCCCGGCAGGCGGGCGCCGCCGUCGCCCCCUUCGGCUCCCCGGAGGCCGGCUCGGGCGGAGUCCCUCCAAGGGGCGGCCUUGGUUGGUAGGGCUCCCCACCGCCGCCGUGUGCUGACCUGGGGCGUGGCUGGGCGCGCCGAUCGGGGCCCCGCCCGCUCCUCCUGGCGGUGGCCGGCGGUGGGGGUCCGGCCGCCGACCACCCUUCUCCCCCGCUGACCAUCUCCCUCCCCCCUCCUCCCGGCUCCGAUGCCCCGCUCCGCGCCGUUCCGCCCGUUCAUCGCGCACUUCGGAUCCUCCGGGAUCCAUGUGCGAACAGCCCGGGUCGCCCGGCCUCCUCCUGCCGCCCGUACUGGACCGGCGCCGGCGCCGGCGCCGGCCGUCGGUCCCGGUAGGGUUCUCCCCUCUGCCCCCGAUCUCUCCUAUGGCGCAGGCCGUCCUGCUGGGCUGACCGGGCUGCUGGGCCCCGGCCCACCACGUCCGGUGGGCUCUAUGCGGUCCACCACUAGUCGGCCCUCCUCUCCCCUCGCGGUCCGGCCCAGUCUGGGUGGGCCCGAAUCUUGCCCUAGGCCCAGCUGCGGAGGCGCUGGGUCGAUUUGGCCUCUGUGCGGGUUUCCUCUCCCCCGAUACCGUGCGCCGCUAGCUCCGACCUUCGCUCCCGUCCCGCCCCCCUGCUCCCCCCGCCCCCCUGCUCCCCCCGCCCCCUCGGCACCCCCUGCCGUCCCACCCUCCGGCUGGCCGGNNNNNNNNNNNNNNNNNNNNNNNNNNNNNNNNNNNNNNNNNNNNNNNNNNNNNNNNNNNNNNNNNNNNNNNNNNNNNNNNNNNNNNNNNNNNNNNNNNNNNNNNNNNNNNNNNNNNNNNNNNNNNNNNNNNNNNNNNNNNNNNNNNNNNNNNNNNNNNNNNNNNNNNNNNNNNNNNNNNNNNNNNNNNNNNNNNNNNNNNNNNNNNNNNNNNNNNNNNNNNNNNNNNNNNNNNNNNNNNNNNNNNNNNNNNNNNNNNNNNNNNNNNNNNNNNNNNNNNNNNNNNNNNNNNNNNNNNNNNNNNNNNNNNNNNNNNNNNNNNNNNNNNNNNNNNNNNNNNNNNNNNNNNGCGGCCCCCCGGACGAAGCGGAAGGUGGGGGAGCCCCUGCGUGAGCCGUCCCGCCCCUCCCCCGACGCCCUUCGCCACGAGGAGGAGAUCCGGCGCGAGCUUCGUGAGCUGCGUGAUAGCCGCCGCUCCCCCUCCCGCCGUGAUAACCGGGCUCGGUCUCGGUCGCCGCGUGCUUCGUCGGGGACUGGCGCUCCCGCCGGCGCUCCCCUUCGCCGACCCAUCGUCGGGGCCGCUCUCCGUCACCCUCCCGCCCGGUGCGGGCCAGCUCUCCCCGCCCGCGGGACGGGAUCCUCCCCACCCCGGAUACUCGCCGCUAUGUCCCUCCGCACGCUGCUUCCAUGGGGGUUGCGGCCCUGGCCCCUGCUCUUGGUGGAGGCACCGCCCGCGGGCGGCCCGGACCUGCCAAGAAGAAGAAGCACCGUGGUGUCCACGACACUCCGGCCGUGCCCCCUCCCGCGGGUCCGGGCUCCGCCUCCGUUUCGGACCCCGUCUUCGGUCUCCCUCGCCCCCCUGCUUCAACUGUGGGGUGAGGGGGCAUUCGCCAGUCGCCUGCGUCAACCCCUAGUGCUGCUACCUCUGCAAGGAUCCCGGCCACCCCGCCCUUCUGUGCCCGGAUAGACCGGUGGUUUCGGAGCUCAUGAUGUAUGGGCAUGGGAUCGAGGGAUUGGGUUUCUUCCACCUCGAGGUACCGGACGCCCCUCCGCCGUCGCCCUCCCUUUAGGCGAUUGUCGCGGUCGUUGAUGGGGUGGCAUCCUCGGAAAUGAUCGAGGCUGAGCUCAACCAUCUCUAUCGUCACCAGUGGGACUGGGUGGUCACCCCCACCGCCGGUCACGUCUUCUCUGUCGUCUUCCCCGACUCCGUCAGCUUCGGCUACGUGACGUGUAGUGGCCGGAUCACUCUUGCUCUCAACCAGCUGGUUGUCGAGAUAUCCGAGCCGGUGCUCGACGCCUAGGCCGUGGCUGUCCUCGACACCGCCUGGAUCCUCAUCUCCGGCCUCCCCGAUAUUGCGCGGUCCGAGCUUGUCAUCCGCCAGAUGUCUCGCCUCUUGGGCAAGGUGGUGGUGGUCGACGAGCUCUCAUUGCGCAAGGAGGAGGAGGUGCGAGUCAAGGUCAAGUGCCUCGACUCCUCCAAGCUUCACACUUCGGUCCGGGUCUUCUUCAACAACCAGGGCUUCGACCUCAGGAUCGCCCCCGAGCCUCCCAACCACGUUGGGCGUCCCCGCUCCCUCAACGUCGGGCCCCCCGGUGACAACCCGGGAGCCGGCGGAGACUACCACGGCCGUCACCGCUCCCGCUCUCACCGCUCGGAUGAGGAGGGGGCGUCCGAGGACUCCCCCUCCCCCUCCCCCUCGCCCCCCUCCUGCCGCGGGGGGCAAGGGCCGCCAGGCUUCCUCUCGCCCCCCGAUGGAUGGCCCGCCGAUCUCUGAGGCGUCGCCCUCCGAGGGGAGCGACAUCUCCAGUGUGGGCCUGGUGGUCUGCCCGGCUUCCUCCCCACGCUCCCCCGCCUCGUCUCCGCCACCUGUCCUGGACUCGAUGGGCCUGCACGGAGGCAUGCCCACCGACUCUUCGGCGGCGCCCACGGUAGGGGGGACGCCUCCAGUGGCUGUCCCCCCCCGCCCCGGCCUUGCCUCCCCCCGUCGACAUCUCCUCCCUGCAGCCUGAUGCCCCUCCGGCCCCGUCGUCUCCACGGGUCGCCCCAGAUGCCGUCCCAUCGGCCCCCCUGGUGCCGCCUCCCCCUUCGGCCGCGCCGUCACCCCCUACCUAGCUCUUCCUCGGCUGUGCUGGGCCGGGUCUGCUGUCCUCUCCUUCGCCGUCUCCUGGGGUGGGGGCGGCUCGGAUCAUCACGCCUUUGGCGGCCCAGCCCCCCCUCCCUGCUCCGCCGCCUACUCCCGUCGCGGUCGGUCGUCCUCCUCCCCGGUGGUGGCAUCCCGCCGGAGUGCUCGGCUGGAUGCUGCUCACCCUGAGGGCAGCCCGGCGUUGCCCAUCCCCGAGCGGGCGGAGCUUCACGCGGCCGCCCGUAACUUGGAGCCAGGUACGCCCUCCAUUCCCCCCUCUGCUUCGUCUUGUUCUUUCUCUGCGCUUGAGUCUGUGCCGCUGGGGCACCUCGCCAAAGUGGCCUCCGACUCCGCGAUCAUUUUCCGAGGGGAAGUUGGUCCCCCUCUUGCCCAGAUCGCGGCCAUCAGAGCUCGUGAGGUUCUCGAUGGUAAGCUCGCGGAGGCCCGGGCAGCCCUCCUCGUCCCCCCAGUCGCCUCACCGGCUGGGGGAUCCCCUUCUCCGCCCUUGCCGCAGCCAACGGUCCCUCCUCCCCCUGUGGCCAUGCCAGAGAUUCGGGGCCGCACCCGCUCUCGUACGGCGGCCCUUCGCGUGCUAAGCGCUUCUCGUGUUCUGGGGUCAAGCAGCCCCCCCCAUGGCUCCUUAAUGCGGGCCCUCUUCUGGAACAUCCGCGGCUUCGGCCAUGAUGGCCGUCGCCGCCAGUUAAUGGAGUACAUGCGGGAUGAGCUCAUCGACAUUGUGGCUGUGCAAGAGACCAUGCAUCGUGAUUUCGCGCUUCCUGAGCUUGACCGGCUGAGCUCUCACCUCUUUGCGUGGCACUGGCUCCCUUUUAGUGGGAGCGCGGGCCACUCGGGUGGCAUCCUCUUAGGUGUGAAGGAUGCCACCUUUGAGGUGGGCAGCAUCGAUAGGGGUGAAUUCUUCGUCAGCAUGGAGUUAUUCGAGAGGUCGCUCAACUUCAAGUGGGAGAUCAUCAUUGUCUAUGGGCCGGCCGACCAUAGUAGGUCGGCCUCCUUCCUGGAGGAGCUCCACCGGAAGAUCUCGGCAGCCUCCCUCCCCGUGGUAGUAGGUGGCGACUUCAACCUGCUGCGCGUUGCGGAAGACAAGAGCAAUGGCAAUGUAUGCUUUGCCCGGAUGCAAUUGUUUAAUGACUUCAUUGCCGACCUCGCCCUCCGGGAGAUUGAAUGGAUUGGGGCCCGGUUUACCUAGACCAACCGACAAGCCUCCCCGACCCAGUCCGUCUUGGACAGGGUCCUAGUUUCCCCGGAAUGGGACCUCCGUUGCCCCCUAGCCUCUCUCCGCACCAUCACCCGGAUUGGUUCGGACCAUGUCCCCCUGCUUCUCUCCUCCGCGGACGAACGUCCGCCGAUCUCCCCUCGUUUCCGCUUCGAGACUUUCUGGCUAUCCCAGGCGGGUUUUACCCACGCCCUUUGCGCACGGUGGACCAAGGCUCGGGCCCACCCCCACCCUCGCCCCCCUUCUGCUAUUGACACGUGGCACUUUUGUGCGAAGCGUGGUAGGCAAUUUAUGAAGGGUUGGGGGGCCAACCUGGGCCAUGAUGCCAGGGAGCGUAAGAAGGCGUUGCUUACCGCGAUCCAGGCCCUCGACUUUCGGGCUGACGUGGUGGGUCUCUCCCCGGACAAGUGGCUUUCUCGCUAUGACCUCGAGGACCAGCUCUCCGUGAUUUACACCGAUGAGGAAGCAUAUUGGCGCCUUCGGGGCGCCCAGCGUUGGGUCCUGAAGGGAGACGCGAAUACGGCUUACUUCCAGGCGAUUGCCAACGGCCGCCGUAGACGCAACACCAUCCCCUGCCGGUGGGAUGGGGAAACCCUCCUUCAGGAUCCCCGUGACAUCCGGACCCAUGUCGACGGUUUCUAUCGGUCCCUCUUCUCUCCCGCCCCUAGGAGCGGCAUCUCUCUCGCCCCCGAUUGUUGGGCUGGUGCCCAACUAGUUUCUGACGCGGAGAACGCGUCCCUGACAGCUCCCUUCUCUGAGAAGGAGGUCUGGGAGGCCAUCAAGGGUAUGAAUCCCUCCUCUGCGCCGGGCCCAGACGGUCUUCCGGUCAUUUUCUUCCAGACCUUCUGGAACGUGAUUAAAUCAGAGGUCAUGGCCAUCUUUGAUGAAUUCUUUGUGGGAUCUAUCGACCUAGGUCGCCUCAACUUCGGGACCAUCUCCCUCAUCCCCAAGGUCCCUGGGCCGCUGACAUUCGCCAGUUCCGCCCGAUCACGGUCAUUAACGUGAUCUUCCGGAUCCUGGCCAAGGGGUACGCCAAUAGGGUGACCCUGCUUGCUGAUCGGAUUACCCACCCUAACCAGUCGGCCUUCAUUAAGGGGAGGUACAUCCUGGAUGGUUUCCUGGUGCUUCAUGAGGUUCUUCAUGAGGUCCGGGUCAAACGCCUGAAGGCGGUUUUUCUGAAGAUCGAUUUCCAUAAAGCCUACGACACGGUUAGCUGGACCUUCCUUAGGGAAGUCCUUCUUCGGAAGGGCUUUGACGACCGAUGGAUCACAAGAGUCAUGCAAAUGGUCUCUUGCGGUCGCACGGCGGUCAACAUCAACGGCGAGAUCGGCCCCUUCUUCCCUACCCUAUGUGGGGUGCGCCAAGGCGACCCCUUCUCCCCGUUUCUCUUCAAUAUGGUCGUGGACGCUUUGGCCUCCAUUCUGGAUAAGGCAAAAGCCACUGGCCACAUCCGAGGGAUUACCCCCACCUCUAUGGGGGCUCGGGGAUCUCCAUCCUCCAGUAUGCUGACGACACGAUCAUCAUGAUCGAAGGCUCGGAGAUGGACAUCGCCAACCUCAAGUUCCUCCUUCUUUGCUUCCAACAGAUGUCGGGCCUCAAGAUCAACUUCGACAAGAGCGACGUUAUGGUGAUGGGAUAUUCCCCCUCUGAGUCUGUGGCCAUUGCCAACAGACUUAAUUGCCGCCUGGGCUCUUUCCCCACUACCUACCUUGGGACGCCCAUUAGUGACUCGCGUCUCUCUGUCGCGGACCUGCGGCCCUCCGUGACCAAACUCCAGUCCCGGUGCGAGCCCUGGCAGGGGAGGUGGCUUUCUAAGGCGGCCCGGACUAUUCUUAUCAACUCAUCCCUCUCUAGCCUCCUCUUGUUUCUUAUGAGUUUCAACAGCCUCCAUGAAUCUCUCCAUAAGGAGAUCGCCAAAAUUCAGUCCUGAUUCUACUGGGCUGGCGAGCAUGGCAAGCAGAAGUAUCACAUGGUCAGCUGGCCUGACAUCUGCAAGCCCAGGGAGCAGGGUGGCUUGGGCAUCAUGUGCUCUAAACGGAUGGAUAUUGCCCUUCUAUCCCGGUGGCUGUGGCGCAUCGCACAGGGUCAUGGUGGCCUCUGGCUGGACAUUAUCCGGAAUAAAUACCUGCGAGGUCAACCCCUAGCCUUCUGCCAGAAAUCGGGCGGAUCUCAGUUCUGGCAGUCUCUCGUCCAGCUUCUCCCGGUACUCCGCAUUGGUACCUCCAUCUCGGUGGGGUCCGGCCUCUCGACGCUAUUCUGGUUUGAUCGCUGGGCCGGCGACUCCCCCUUUGCGGCCCGCUUCCCCGCCCUCUUCUCUAUCUCCGUCGACCCUAUGAUUUCUGUUGACAGGGCCCUUCUUGACUUAGGGCGCCUUGCUUUCCAUCGGCCCUUUGGGCCGGCGGAAUCCGCCGCCUGGCGUGAGUUGCUCGACUGCGUUGCUCUGCAUGAGCCGUUGGUGGAUGGGGGUCAGGACCUUGUGCGCUGGCGCUUGGAACCAUCGGGCCAGUUCUCAACCAAGUCGCUAUACUUGGCCAUUGCCCCCUCCUCCGCCCCCCUUCCCCUAUAGAUGGUGUGGUCCGUCCGCGUCCCCCUGAAGAUUCGCAUCUUCAUGUGGCAGUGGAUUCGUGGACGGGUCCCGUCUGGUGUGUAGGUUUGCAAGCGCAAUGGCCCGGGCACUGGUAUCUGCCCCCUCUGUGAUGUCCCGGAAGACUCCAACCACAUCUUCUUCGCUUGCGUCUCCGCCCAGUUUCUCUGGAGCUGCUUUCGCGAGAUUGUCGGUGGAAGUUGGUGCCAUGCCAAUUUCCCGGACUUAUUUGCUGAACUCCAAUUGUCCCCCACGUCCUCUCGCCACAUUAGGUGGCUGGAGGUUGGGGUUCUUGCCUGGACUCUUUGGACCGUUUGCAAUAAGCUUGUGAUCCAGCGUACUCCUCUUCGUCGCGCUACUGACGCUCUCUACAAACUCUCGGGUUUCUUGCAGCUUUGGCGGCCGCUUAGCCGCCCCCCGGAUCGGGACGCCAUCUCAGCCUUCAUCGCAGACCUCCGCUUGAUGGCUGUCCACCUGUCGCCGCCGCCCCCGCCGCCUCUGCCGGAGCCUGACUAGACUCCCUGCGCUUGGAGGGCUAAAACAGUAUGUGUGAUGUGCAAGCGAAGCACAAGUUCAGUGUGCAGUGGGGUAGCUCUACUUGUGAUUGCUGUUAAGAUUGAUGAUAAUUUAGCACACCUCUUGAUAGACAUUAUUUCUUCUCUGUUGAAUUGAUUCACUCUGAUAUACGUACUCUGCUUCAGUUCUGAAACACUCCAAGCUUAAUAGUGCGAUGAUCCAUUCGUUUCAGGUUAAAGACGCACAACCUCACAGCCUUGUAUACGCAUAGAUCUUGAGCCAAGCAGAGAAGCGGUUCAGCUAACCAAAUCACAAGACUCAGCUUUGCUGUCAAAGCCGAUAAUGCACAUCAUCGGUGACUAGUUCUUUCCAAGCUCUUCUUCUCAUGGCCUUAACAUGCAGCAGCUGACUGUCACGGCUCUGCGUCUGGCUGAAAAAUUUAAGACAACUCAACUACUAUUAACUUGGUCCUCUGAGGCUUGGUUCUGUAAAUCAAAUACAGUAUCAUCGAUCUCCCGCCCAAGCGUUGCCAACUCAUCGAAUUUGUAUAUGAGGUGGAGUUCAGUUAAGUCCUUUGGCUAGUCACAUGUAAGAUGUUCUCUGCUUUCAGAUAUGUUUCUGUUCCCGAUUUGUUUGUUGUGCUUGGCUAUAUCGUCAUUGACUCGUCAGUCGUCAUCAUCUUUAAGAUAACCAUGGAUUCUUGGUUGAAUUCUAUGUACUCCCUCCGUUCGGAAUUACUUGUCACAGAAAUGGAUGUAUCUAGACAUAUUUUAGUUCUAGAUACAUUCAUUUUCGAGACAAGUAAUUCCGAACGGAGGGAGUACGUGCUUACUGAUUUUGUUCUAUGUUCCUUCCAUGCGUUAUUAUUUCCAGCCAACAGCAAAGAGAAAACUGCUAUCACCAAUGAAACACAAACUCAGAAUAUGCAUACUACCCCUCCAAAAUCUGAAUUACUGAUAAUGUGCUUGCUGAUUUCGUCAAUUGUCUGAAUUAUUGUAACAAGAAGAAACAUAUGCAAGCAUUGCAAGACCAUGACGUGGACUGGGAAUGUGCUGCUUCUCUCUAUUUUGUAAGCAGGGUAAAUUGGGACUAAUGACUGGGAUAGUGUAAUCUUUAGGAAUGACAAUGUGACCAAGAAAAGGGAUAUCUGGGAAAGGCGCCUGUUAGGGCUGGCCAAUUAGCAACCACAUUAUGGUUCCCUAAAGCAUAUGCAAGUUAGGUUAAUCCUAACACUCUCCACACUGUCUGUACUUUUCUCUGCUUUGACGUUCCAAGUCGUUAUAAGCUUUUGUGCCAUAACUCCAGUAUUAGAACAGUCAGCAUGACAAGACCUAGACGUGGACUAGCUUUUCUGAAACUAUCCAGUGGGAGUGGUCGGUAACUGGCCAGUGGCUAGCAUGGUAAAUCCUGAUGAUUUUUUUUUCCUGAAACUAUCCUUUUGAUUUGUUUUGCAGAUUGCUGAGCACUGGGAGCCAGAUCUCACUGAUUCAUUUAUUGCCAAAGAGAAGGUUGGGAAGCUCCCAACCCCGAGAAUUACACACGGCCAAAAAACGAAACAAAACAAGAGUGACAGGUUUGCUCUUGACGUCCUGGUGAGCAUAAAAUAGAUCAACAGUAUGGUGUGGAAUGAAACCAAAUAUUAGGAUGAAUACUCUAUAUGAUCAGGUAGUACAUAAUGCGUAUCUUUUUGUCCAAUACAUAGUAGGACAUGGGAGCAGAUCCAGUGUUCCUCCAAAGGAUUCCCCACCGGUUACCUCCAAUACUGAUAAAGGCUAUUGCCCCACUUAUAUUUCCAACAAAGACUGUUUCAUGGUACCCCACCUUCCAAAUUAUUAUCAGAUAGAUACAGAUUGGUGAGGUGUUGCAAGCCACUCAGCUCUCUUGGGAUGAAGCCCAUCAAAUUGUUUUGCUGAAGGUCUAGGUGUUGUAAGAGUCCAAGAUUACCAAAAGAAAUUUGAACUUGACCAACGAAAUUGUUGAAUGACAAGUCUAACCACUUUAGCCCUGAAAUAUUGCCUAGUGAUGCUGGGAGAUGACCUUCAAAAUUAUUUUCGUACAAUGUGAGAACUUUAAGAUUCAGGAUGGUAUCACCAAAGUUAGAUGGCAGUGUUUUCCCAAGCAUAUUGGAAUCUAAGAAUAGAUAUCUGAGAGAAGACUGAUUGUAUUUGUACAGGGUUUCCGGGAUUCCACCUGAUAGCCUAUUUUCAGCAAGGUUUAAUUCAGAAAGAUUUGGGAGUUUUCCCAACUCAUCAGGAAUGGUUCCGGUGAGCUUAUUAUCAGCAAGCAAGAUGUAUUCAAGCUGACUGCUGUUGUUUAGGCUUGGUGGGAUUUCUCCGGUGAGAUUAUUUCCUCCAAGAAAUAACAACAAUAGAUUGGAUAGGCGGCCUAUACCACUGGGAACUUCUCCUAUUAGUAAGUUGCUAGACAGGAAUAGUUUGUAUAGAUUGGAGCCGUUUGUAAGAGUAUCCGGAAUGGUCCCUCGCAGUGAGUUCUGUCCCAAGAGAAGGUCCUCCAAUCUUUGGAGACGGUUGAGAGGAGGUAUCUCGCCGGUGAAGCCAUUAAUGGACAGGUCCAGUCUCCUAAGGAAUGAUAGAUUCCCGAGGGAUGGUGAAAUCGUGCCCGACAAAGAUAGGUUCAUAAGGUUCAGCUCGAUGACUCGCCCCGGGUGCUCCAGGCCGCUGUAGACGACGCCGUUCCAUCCGCAAAGGGGGACGCCGAGGUCCCAAGAUCUCAAGGCUUGACUUGGGUCGUUGGUGAUGGCCCGCUUGAAAUCUAGCAGCGACAUCAUGUCUGUGCUGUUAUCAUGGAUUGUCUUCGUUGAGGAGGAGCAGCGGAUGCUGCCGACUCCGCAAGAAAGGAGCAGCAACGAGAGUAGCGUAAGGAUGGAGGUGAUCCUUGCGGGUUGACUGGCACAUAUAAGAUUGCCUCCCGGAUCUGCACGUGUUAAGAGUAAUGAUCAGCAACGACAAUAGCCAUUAGAGGAUGCUGCCGACUUCAAAAGUGAUGUGAAGAAAGAGUUUGCUGGCAGCAAUGACAAAACCGACGGCAAGGCAAAAAAUGGAUGUUUGGAACUAAAACCACGACAUUUAUUUUGGAUCGGAGGGAGUACUGUACUUCACUAGUAACGAGGACAACAGAGUACGUAUGCACCUUUGCUUGGCCGGAUCGCAAGAAACGGUGGCUUGCUUCCUUCCAUGGUUUUGCUGCCGGCCAGGUGGUGAGGUGUGCCCGUAUGAGUUGGAAUGCUGGAGGCUCAUCAGAUUGAGCGUCAUCACGUCCACACACUUGCAUCUGAAUUUUCUGCAGUUUUUCUCACACCCUUAUCUGAAGCCUGCCCGCCGCCGGAGUGAAGACCUCAAGUCUGUCAACCUUGUCAGUGACCGUUUCGGCCUACAGUAGGAUCACUCCAAUUCUUCUCUGUACUUUUCAGACGGAAACGGAAGAGAUGUGUCCAGCAUUCGUAUGUUUUCUUUGUGAUAGCCGUGCUUCCAGAAUGUCGCCUUACGGCACGAGCUGAGGUCCAGGGCGGCUAGAAGUUCUUCCAGGGAGCAGUUUUAACAUGCUUCCUCUUACCCUCUCUUUUUACAUGAAAGGUAAGAGUAUUUAAUAGAUCUGAGUUGUUGAUCUUAUUAAUUAGUGGUCUGAUUAACUCUUAAUUACCUUCUUACCUCAUAUGUAAAAAGGGAGGGGGGGUGUAAGAGGGAGCAUGUUAAAAUUUGCAUCUUCCAGCGGUGCCUGACUUUUAGGGACACCGGCAUCGUGCUACAAUCCUGACGUUGCACUAUUCUGCGCUUGUAUAAAUUUUUUUCUUCUUCUACCAGUCAAUAAAAACGCAAAGCUUUUGUUUUUCCUUGAAGAAAAAUAUACAUUGUGCGUAGACAUUACUCAUUGACUAUUUUUCCCAAUAAAAUACACGUCACAGCUGGUCAAUUAAACUUGUAUGUGUUUCACGUUGGAUAACGACACAGUAUGAUGAUGCCGUGCCUUCAAGGGGUACUAUUUGUCCGAUAUUGUGCCAUUAUUUUUCUCAAAAAAGGUCGAAAAAACUAGCGUUCAAACAUGUGGGCGUUUGCACAUCGCCCACACGCCUCCAUUACCACUCAUUUUGCCACAUAUGAACAGAUGAUAUCAGCAGAUUUUUUUUUGGUUUUCGGCUUAAAAAUGUUUUAUCUCCUAAUUAAAAAAGCGAAUUAAAAAUCCGUUUUCACCAUUAAAUCCGUCUCGAUGAGAUCUUCAAAACUAGACCCAUGUUGAUAUGUUUCGACGAAAUUUUUUUUGCCCAAAAGUUGCCAUGAUGUUUACACUGUAGUUGCCAUAGUGCUUAAACUAAAGCUGCCAUGUGGCAAUUUUUGUUUUUCGAUGAUGCCAAUUCUAGUACUUUGACCAUGAAAAUAAUUUUUUGUAUGAACCAUGGCAAUUUUAAGUGCAUGUAUCAUGGCAAUUUUAAUUUAUGGUGCAUGGUAAGUCUAGUUUCUUAAUUCCCCGUUUUAUAAUAUGUCAAAAUUUAUUUUUAAAUGUAGAAAAAAAUAGCUGAAACAUAUCAUGGCAACUUCAGUGUAAACAUCAUGGCAAUUCAUGUGCAAUAGACACGGCAACUUUUAACCAAAAAAAAUUCAUCGAAAUAUAUUGAUAUGAGAUCUAGUUUCGAAGAUCUCGUCGCGAGGGAUUUAAUGGUGAAAACGGAAUCUUCAAUUGGAUUUUUCAUUUAAGAGAUAAAAAAAUUUAAAACAGAAAAUCCAAAAAGAUUUCCACAUGCAUGCAUGCGGUGACAUGGCGCAGUCUUUGUGCUAUAGGGCGUGUGGGCGGGUUUAGCUCCCACCACACGUGUGGGCGUCAGCGUUGUCCAAAAAGAUAUACACUUAGCUCAAUGUUUCCUUUCUCGUCCAAGUCAAGUCUGCCAAAUGUCAACCAGCUCUAUUUCCAUGCUACUCGCUGAUGAAUCGCAAAUAACUGAAGGACCAUAAUAUAGAUGCAAUGCUAUGUAUAUUUCUAUGUCUAGCAAAACAUAUACAUGGGAGAAAAACCAUUAGGAGUAACCAUUCUUGAUGUAGGGAGCACAUCGAUAUAGCAUGGGCGGUAAGGGAACGCACGAUAGAUGCCUCGAGUUUGUUGGGUGUCAUCUCUAACAAGCCUCGUGCCCAAAUACUGCAUUCUGGAGCUGUUAGGGUGGUACGCCACAACAUGGCCCCAUAUGUGGCAGAGAAGGAACACAUCCUUGUAUGGAUGCAGUCCCAUGAUUCUCCAAUGCGCAUGUCCUUGUUCCUCUUGGCGGGCAUCACUUUGAUUCAGGUCGAUGAAGUUGUCCUCGGCUGAGUUCCAAGAGUACUGAGAACCAUCGGCACUUUCGGAUUCUUCAUCUUCAUCUUGAUGUGUAUCUCUUUCACUGAGGUCGUUAUCAUCACUGGCAUUGGUCGUUUGGCCCUGGACAUCCUCCUUAUAGAUGCUUUCUUCUUCACUGCCAUAGUUGUCAUUGAUAUUAUAAGUUGUUUCACUCUGCCCAUCCUUCUCACAGAUGCAUUCUUCUUCAUUGUCAUAGUUGUCAUCAAUAUCAUCAGUCGUUUCACUUUGCCCAUCCUUCUCAUAGAUGCUUUCUUCUUCAUGGUCAUCGUUGUCAUCAACAUCGUCCGUUGUGUCACCUAGGCCACCCUCCUCAUACAAGUGCACUAUUGCCUCUUUGCUUUCGAUGGCCUCCCAUGGCACCCUCGGCUCUAUAAUCGAGUUAUUGAUUUUAUGACCAUAAAAACCCAGGUUGGCCUCAUGUGAUAACAUCCACCCUAGGAGGCCAUCGGCCGAUUCUUCCAGCAUCCAUACCUUGAUUUGUUGAUGCUUGUUGACCACCACAUAACGAAUUCCGCCUCCGACUCUACACAUCUAUGGAGUCUACUGUGCCGAGCUCAUGUUUUUUGAGUCCCCGAAGGCGAGAGAGGUCCCGGAGGAUAACCAGACUACGACUACUGGGAUUGUCAGAGUGACACAGGGAGCGGUGACUGAGGCACAGAUUGUGAGGAGGUUGCAGGAGAUAGCUCCCGGUGAUUUUGUUUGGGAGUUAGUACCCAUUGAGGACAGAGUUUUUAAGGUGGACUUCCCGUCUAUCGAGGACCUGCAGAAAUAGUUAAGUUUUGGCUUGUGUAAAGUUCCCGGUACUACAUGUAUUCUGGAGUUUAACGAGUGGAAACAGGUUGAGCCUAAAGGAAAACCGCUUACACAGGUAUGGCUGAGGUUUUUGGGGGCUCCAUCAAAGCCUCUGCAGGACGCUCGUGUUGUGGCUAGUUUGGGUAUCCUCGUUGGAAAAACUGAAAAAGUGGACAUGGUUUUCACUCGUGCCAAUGGGAUUGCCCGGAUUCUUGUGAGCAUUUUGGAUAUUGAGUAUGUGCCCGAUAAGGUCAACUGGACAUAUAGGGGUGAGGUCUUCCCGCUAGAGAUUGAGUUUGAGGACACCGACUUGUUUGAUGAUGCAGUUAACGGUAAUGAUGUUGAUAUGCACGAUCGUGAGGGAGGUACUGGGACUAAGGGGGCCCCGUCAGAUGAGACCAUGCGAGAGGGAUCCAACGGAUCGCACCCUCAGUCGGCCGGGACUGGACUGGAGGCUGAGCCCACUGACUCACCGGCGGUGCCCAUGGCUACUUUGCGGUUCGGUUCUUUCGAGCCAGCUUCGGCACCUCCCAGGCUUUGGAGUGACAGGGUGGAGUCGGACGAUACUCUUGAGCACACGCUUCCUUCACUGGAGGUUGAGAGGGAGGUUGGUGCAGACUGCGGGCACAGUGAUAGCCCUACUGGACUGUUGAUUGCUGCAGGAGUGACCUCGGUGUCAGCGAGCACGGGGCCGAGGGGUUGUGGGGGUGAGGGUUCGGGACUUAUAGUCCAUUCUCCCCCCGUCCCACGGACGUUCCAGGUUUCGCCGGGGGCCUUGACUCCUAGGGGGACAGUUCCAGCGGCUGGAGGGUCCUCGAGGCAGGCGACCUUGACGACCUCCGCGACGAAGGUGGCUACCACUGUCGCUGCUGUGGGAGGGGGGGACGCCAGGGCAGGUGGCCUGGUCUCCUCCCUCUGCCUGGGUGGUCAGGCGGACCACCCCUCCGAGGGAUACUUCAUCCGCGCCGCAGGUUGAGGCGGGAGGAGACGGCGGGCAGGUGGCCCCGGUCGUUCUCUCCUCCCCAUUGCCUGCGUUGGGGCACUCGUCUGGCGGGAUGGGGAGCCCGCAGAUGCCUCCGCUAGUGACCUCGGCACCAACUGGAGUUUCGGUGCCAGGUUAUACUAGGGAGGAGGUGAUCGCGUUUGGCGGGAUCCCGGACCCUACUUCCGGGGGCAGACGGAUGAGUGCUCGCAUCCUCGACGUCCCGGAGGUUGAUGACAUGCAGCAGCGGUGCGCUAUGAGGGCGGCCAAGCUUCAGGAGGCUGCUUGUUCAUCGGGUAUGUUCGUUGACUUGUCUAAUUCUUUAUUGCAUUUUUCUAAUGAGGACAUUAUAAAUAAGGCAAACCAAUUAGGAGUUUCACUAGGUGCUACAGAUAGUGAAAUUACUAAAUCGGUGAAUGAUAUUUUAGACUUGGAAGCGGAACGGGCUUUAGAGACUGUUCGUAAUCUUGCGGCAGUUAAACCUAUGAAUGAUGAUGAGAUAAAUGCGUUAGGAGUUAGAGUGCUUGAUAGCCUGUGUGAGGAUCUCGCACCCACUAACCAGGAGGCUGACGAAGAGGAUGUGCCCCUUCAGAAUGACGCUAGCAAUAUUCCAGAACCCGGUCAUGAGGAAAGGGGUCUUGAGCUUAAUAAACCUAAACGUAAGUGGAAACGGAAGAUCUAUCCCGAUUCCGCAGUCCGUAGGAGUGCUAGGAUUCGAACCACCAAAAAAUUCCAUGAUGAACUAUGAGAGGAAUUUUUUGGAACAGCAGAGGUCUUAAGGACUUGGCUAAAAGAAGAUUCCUGGCUGAGACUUCUAUUGAGCAGAAGCUAGAUUUUGUUGCUCUAUCGGAGACGGGUAGAGAUAACUUUGCACCUCAGUUUCUCUCCUCACUAGUUGGUGGUAUUGAUUUCGAUUGGCACUGCUUACCUCCGCGAGGAAGAUCGGGGGGCAUCUUACUAGGUGUGAGAUGCGAUUCACUGGAAGUCCGUAGUGUUGUGAUGGGCGACUUCGCCGUAAAGUUUCGAGUUAGGUCUAAGAUUGAUGGCUUUAACUGGGCUUUGGUGGCGGUAUAUGGGGCCGCGCAGCCUGAGUUCAAAGCGGAGUUUCUAGCUGACCUAGUUCGAAUUUGUGGGUCAGAACAACUACCGAUUUUAGUCGGAGGAGAUUUCAAUAUCAUCCGGAGGCGGGAGGAGAAAAACAAUGACAACUUGAUGGUAGAUGGUCCUUCAUGUUCAACACCAUUAUUGAAAGUUUGGAUCUGAGAGAGAUAGUACUCUCGGGUCGAAAGUUUACUUGGGCCAACGCUAUGCCAAACCCAACUUACGAAAAACUUGAUCGGGUUCUUGCAAGCGUGGAGUGGGAACAAAAAUUCCCGUUGGUCACGGUGCAAGCCCUUUCGAGGGGCAUAUCUGAUCAUACCCCAUUGUUCGUGGACUCAGGGGAGCCGAACCACGUGGGAAAUAAGAACACCUUCUCAUUUGAGACGUCAUGGUUCGAACGUGAGGGGUUCUUUGACUUGAUUGCUAGGGAAUGGGCUAAUGAGGUUCGCGGUAAAACACCCAUUGAGCGUUGGCAGAAUAAGAUUAGGAAUUUACGGAGCUUCUUGAGGGGUUGGGCUAAGCAUCUUAGUGGUGCGUAUAAGAUUGAAAAGGAUAGACUCCUUUCUCUUAUACAUGACUUGGACGUAAAAGCCGAGUCUAAUGUGUUAGUCCCCGCAGAGCUUCAGGUUAAAAAUGAGGCGGAAAAGCGANNNNNNNNNNNNNNNNNNNNNNNNNNNNNNNNNNNNNNNNNNNNNNNNNNNNNNNNNNNNNNNNNNNNNNNNNNNNNNNNNNNNNNNNNNNNNNNNNNNNNNNNNNNNNNNNNNNNNNNNNNNNNNNNNNNNNNNNNNNNNNNNNNNNNNNNNNNNNNNNNNNNNNNNNNNNNNNNNNNNNNNNNNNNNNNNNNNNNNNNNNNNNNNNNNNNNNNNNNNNNNNNNNNNNNNNNNNNNNNNNNNNNNNNNNNNNNNNNNNNNNNNNNNNNNNNNNNNNNNNNNNNNNNNNNNNNNNNNNNNNNNNNNNNNNNNNNNNNNNNNNNNNNNNNNNNNNNNNNNNNNNNNNNNNNNNNNNNNNNNNNNNNNNNNNNNNNNNNNNNNNNNNNNNNNNNNNNNNNNNNNNNNNNNNNNNNNNNNNNNNNNNNNNNNNNNNNNNNNNNNNNNNNNNNNNNNNNNNNNNNNNNNNNNNNNNNNNNNNNNNNNNNNNNNNNNNNNNNNNNNNNNNNNNNNNNNNNNNNNNNNNNNNNNNNNNNNNNNNNNNNNNNNNNNNNNNNNNNNNNNNNNNNNNNNNNNNNNNNNNNNNNNNNNNNNNNNNNNNNNNNNNNNNNNNNNNNNNNNNNNNNNNNNNNNNNNNNNNNNNNNNNNNNNNNNNNNNNNNNNNNNNNNNNNNNNNNNNNNNNNNNNNNNNNNNNNNNNNNNNNNNNNNNNNNNNNNNNNNNNNNNNNNNNNNNNNNNNNNNNNNNNNNNNNNNNNNNNNNNNNNNNNNNNNNNNNNNNNNNNNNNNNNNNNNNNNNNNNNNNNNNNNNNNNNNNNNNNNNNNNNNNNNNNNNNNNNNNNNNNNNNNNNNNNNNNNNNNNNNNNNNNNNNNNNNNNNNNNNNNNNNNNNNNNNNNNNNNNNNNNNNNNNNNNNNNNNNNNNNNNNNNNNNNNNNNNNNNNNNNNNNNNNNNNNNNNNNNNNNNNNNNNNNNNNNNNNNNNNNNNNNNNNNNNNNNNNNNNNNNNNNNNNNNNNNNNNNNNNNNNNNNNNNNNNNNNNNNNNNNNNNNNNNNNNNNNNNNNNNNNNNNNNNNNNNNNNNNNNNNNNNNNNNNNNNNNNNNNNNNNNNNNNNNNNNNNNNNNNNNNNNNNNNNNNNNNNNNNNNNNNNNNNNNNNNNNNNNNNNNNNNNNNNNNNNNNNNNNNNNNNNNNNNNNNNNNNNNNNNNNNNNNNNNNNNNNNNNNNNNNNNNNNNNNNNNNNNNNNNNNNNNNNNNNNNNNNNNNNNNNNNNNNNNNNNNNNNNNNNNNNNNNNNNNNNNNNNNNNNNNNNNNNNNNNNNNNNNNNNNGUCCCCUAUCUUGUUUAACAUUGUGGUAGAUAUGUUGGCAAUUCUGAUAGGACGGGCUAAGGAAAAUGGUCAAGUAGGUGGAUUGGUGCCUCAUCUGGUUGAUGGAGGCAUUUCUAUCCUACAAUACGCUGAUGAUACGAUCAUCUUUAUGGAGCAUGACGUGAGUAAGGCUAGGAAUAUGAAGCUGGUGUUAUGCCUAUUCGAACAAUUGACCGGGUUGAAGAUCAACUUUCAUAAGAGUGAGUUGUUCUGCUUUGGUAGGGCCAAAGAUGAGCAGGAGGCCUACAAACAAUUGUUUGGGUGUGAGUUGGGACAGUUACCUUUCUCAUACUUAGGGAUUCCUAUCCACCAUCGUAGGCUAACGAACAGAGAAUGGAAGUGCAUUGAAGACCGAUUUGAGAAGAAACUGAGCUGCUGGAAGGGCAAGCUCUUAUCUUAUGGAGGCCGGUUAAUACUUAUUAAUUCGGUGCUCACAAGUUUGCCGAUGUUUCUUCUUUCGUUCUUUGAGAUACUAGUUGGAGUCAGGAAGAUGUUGGGGAACGUAGCAGAAAUUCAAAAAUUUUCCUACGUAACACCAAGAUCUAUCUAUGGAGAGACCAACAACGAGUAGAAAGGGGAGUGCAUCUACAUACCCUUGUAGAUCGCUAAGCGGAAGCGUUCAAGUGAACGGGGUUGAUGGAGUCGUACUCGUCGUGAUUCAGAUCACCGAUGAUCAAGUGCCGAACGGACGGCACCUCCGCGUUCAACACACGUACAGCCCGGUGACGUCUCCCACGCCUUGAUCCAGCAAGGAGAGAGGGAGAGGUUGAGGAAGACUCCAUCCAACAGCAGCACAACGGCGUGGUGGUGGUGGAGGAGCGUGGCAAUCCCGCAGGGCUUCGCCAAGCACCAUGGGAGAAGAGGAGGAGGGAGAGGGGCAGGGCUGCACCAACGAGAGAUCAAAUCAUGUGUUAUGGGCAGCCUCAUGCCUCAAUAUAUAUAGGGGGAGGGGAGGGCUGCGCCCCCUUUAGGGUUUCCCACCCCAAGGGGCGGCGGCCAGCCUCCAGAUGGCAUCUGGUGCGGCGGCCAAGAGGGGGGGGGGGAGGAGUCCAUCCUCCCCAAGGCACCUCGGAGGUGCCUUCCCCUUCGAGGACUCUUCCCUCUAGGGUUCCCUAGGCGCAUGGGCCUCUUGGGGCUGGUGCCCUUGGCCCAUGUAGGCCAAGGCGCACCCCCUACAGCCCAUGUGGCCCCCCGGGGCAGGUGGCCCCACCCGGUGGGCCCCCGGGACCCUUCCGAUGGUCCCGGUACAAUACCGAUGACCCCGAAACUUGUCCCGAUGGCCGAAACAGGACUUCCUAUAUAUAAAUCUUUACCUCCGGACCAUUCCGGAACUCCUCGUGACGUCCGGGAUCUCAUCCGGGACUCCGAACAACAUUCGGUUACCACAUACAAGCUUCCUUUAUAACCCUAGCGUCAUCGAACCUUAAGUGUGUAGACCCUACGGGUUCGGGAGACAUGCAGACAUGACCGAGACGUUCUCCAGUCAAUAACCAACAGCGGGAUCUGGAUACCCAUGUUGGCUCCCACAUGUUCCACGAUGAUCUCAUCGGAUGAACCACGAUGUCAAGGACUCAAUCGAUCCCGUAUACAAUUCCCUUUGUCUAGCGGUAUUUUACUUGCCCGAGAUUCGAUCGUCGGUAUCCAAUACCUUGUUCAAUCUCGUUACCGGCAAGUCACUUUACUCGUUCCGUAACACAUCAUCCCGUGAUCAACUCCUUGGUCACAUUGCGCAUAUGAUGAUGUCCUACCGAGUGGGCCCAGAGAUACCUCUCCGUUUACACGGAGUGACAAAUCCCAGUCUCGAUCCGCAUAAAACAAUAGAUACUUUCGGAGAUACCUGUAGUGUACCUUUAUAGUCACCCAGUUACGUUGUGACGUUUGAUACACCCAAGGCACUCCUAUGUAUCCAGGAGUUACACGAUCUCAUGGUCAAAGGAAGAGAUACUUGACAUUGGCAAAGCUCUAGCAAACGAACUACACGAUCUUUGUGCUAAGCUUAGGAUUGGGUCUUGUCCAUCACAUCAUUCUCCUAAUGAUGUGAUCCCGUUAUCAACGACAUCCAAUGUCCAUAGCCAGGAAACCAUGACUAUCUGUUGAUCAUAACGAGCUAGUCAACUAGAGGCUCACUAGGGACAUAUUGUGGUCUAUGUAUUCACACGUGUAUUACGAUUUCCGGAUAAUACAGUUAUAGCAUGAAUAAAAGACAAUUAUCAUGAACAAGGAAAUAUAAUAAUAAUACUUUUAUUAUUGCCUCUAGGGCAUAUUUCCAACAGUCUCCCACUUGCACUAGAGUCAAUAAUCUAGUUCACAUCGCCAUGUGAUUAACACUCACAGGUCACAUCGCCAUGUGACUAAUACCCAAGAGUUUACUAGAGUCAGUAGUCUAGUUCACAUCACUAUGUGAUUAACACUCAAUGAGUUUUAUGUUUGAUCAUGUUGCUUGUGAGAGAGGUUUUAGUCAACGGGUCUGAACCUUUCAGAUCCGUGUGUGCUUUACAAAUCUCUAUGUCAUCUCCUAGAUGCAGCUACCACGCUCUAUUUGGAGCUAUUCCAAACAACUGUUCUACUUGGAGCUAUUCUAAAUUAUUGCUCCAUUAUAUGUAUCCGGUCUCUCUACUUAGAGCUAUCCGGAUAGGUGUCAAGCUUGCAUCGUCGUAACCUUUACGACAAACUCUUUUGCCACCUCCAUAAUCGAGAAAAUUCCUUAGUCCACUAGUUACUAAGGAUAACUUUGACCGCUGUCCUGUGAGCCAUUCUUGGAUCACUCUUGUACCCCUUGACUGACUCAUGGCAAGGCACACUUCAGGUGCGGUACACAGCAUAGCAUACUGAAGAGCCUACGUCUUAAGCACAGGGGACGACCUUCAUCCUUUCUCUCUUUUCUGCCGUGGUCGAGCUUUAAGUCUUAACUUCGUACCUUACAACUCAGGCAAGAACUCCUUCUUUGACUGGUCCAUCUUGAACACCUUCAAGAUCAUGUCAAGGUAUGUGCUCAUUUGAAAGUAUUAUUAAGCAUUUUGAUCUAUCCUUAUAGAUCUUGAUGCUCAAUGGUCAAAUAGCUUAAUCCAAGCUUUCCAUUGAAAAACACUUUCAAAAUAACCCUAUAUGCUUUCCAGAAAUUCUACGUCAUUUCUGAUCAACAAUAUGUCAACAACAUAUACUCAUCAGAAAUUCUAUAGUGCUCCCACUCACAAGUUUCUUUGGAAAAUACAAGUUUCUCAUAAACUUUGUACAAAACCCAAAAUCUUUGAUCAUCAUCAAAGCAUACAUUCCAACUCCGAGAUGCUCACUCCAGUCCUUAGAAGGAUCGCUGGAGCUAGCAUACCUUUUAGCAUCCUUAGGAUCGACAAAAACUUUCUGAUUGUAUUACAUACAACCUUUCCAUACGAAGACUGGUAAGGAAACUCGUUUUGUCAUCCAUCUGCCAGAUUUCAUAAAUGCAGCUAAUGCUAACAUGAAUCCGAUGGACUUUAAGCAUCGCUACGGAUGAGAAAAACUCAUCGUAGUCAACUCCUUGAACUUGUGAAAAACUUUUCGCCACAAGUCGAGCUUCAUGGACGGUGACAUUACCAUCCACGUCCGUCUUCUUCUUAAAGAUCCAUUUAUCUUAAUGGCUUGCCGAUCAUCGGGCAAGUCCACCAAAGUCCAUGGAUCAGUUCUCGGAUUUUAUGGCCUCGAGCCAUUUAUCGGAAUCCGGGCCCACCAUCGCUUCUCCAUAGUUCGUAGGUUCAUUGUUGUCCAGCAACAUGACUUCCAAGACAGGAUCACUUUACCACUCCGAAGUAGUACGUGUCCUUGUCGUCCUACGAGGUUCGGUAGUGACUUGAUCCGAAGUUUCAUGAUCAAUAUCAUAAGCUUCCACUUCAAUUGGUGUAGGUGCCACAGGAACAACUUCCUGUGCCCUGCCACACACUAGUUGAAGAGACGGUUCAAUAACCUCAUCAAGUCUCCACCAUCCUCCCACUCAAUUCUUUCGAGAGAAACUUUUCCUCGAGAAAGGACCUGAUUCUCGAAGCAAUCCCUUAUUGCUUUCAGAUCUGAGACAGGAGGUAUACCCAACUGUUUUGGGUGUCCUAUGAAGAUGUAUUUUAUCCGCUUUGGGUUCGAGCUUAAUCUUGAAACUUUUUCACAUAAGCGUCGCAGCCCCAAACCUUUAAGAAACGACAACUUAGGUUUCUCUAAACCAUAAUUCAUACGGUGUCAUCUCAUCGGAAUUAUGUGGUGCCCUAUUUAAAGUGAAUGUGGUUGUCUCUAAUGCCUAACCCAUGAACGAUAGUGGUAAUUCGAUAAGAGACAUCAUGGUACGCACCAUAUCCAAUAGGGUGCAACUAUGAUGUUCGGACACACCAUCACAUUAUGGUGUUCCAGGCGGUAUUAAUUGCGAAACAAUUUCCACAAUGUCUUAAUUGUGUGCCAAAACUCGUAACUCAGAUACUCAUCUCUAUGAUCAUAUCAUAGACAUUUUAUCCUCUUGUCACAAUGAUCUUCUACUUCACUCUGAAAUUAUUUGAACCAUUCAAUAAUUCAGACUUGUGUUUUAUCAAGUAAAUAUUCUCAACAUCUACUCGAAUCAUCUGUGAAGUAAGAACAUAACGAUAUUCACUGCAUGCCUCAGCACUUAUUGGACUGCACACAUCAUAAUGUGUUACUUCCAACAAGUUGCUAUCUUGUUCCAUCUUAUUGAAACCGAGGCUUUUCAGUCAUCUUGCCUAUCUGGUAUGAUUUGCAUAUCUCAAGUGAUUCAAAAUCAAGUGAGUCCAAACGGUCCAUUUGCAUGGAGUUUCUUCAUGCAUAUACACCAAUAGACAUGGUUCGCAUGUCUCAAACUUUUCAAAAACGAGUGAGUCCAAAGAUCCAUCAACAUGGAGCUUCUUCAUGCGUUUUAUACCAUUAUGACUUACAUGGCAGUGCCACAAGUAAGUGGUACUAUCAUUACUAUCUUAUAUCUUUUGGCAUGAAAAUGUGUAUCCCUACGAUCAAGAUUCAAUAAACCAUUCCUUUAGGUGCAAGAGCACUUAUUCAGGUUUAAUACUAAUCUUGAUGGUAGAGGGAGCGUGCGAUGUUAGAUCACAUCAAACUUGGAAACACUUCCAACACAUAUUGUCAGCUCACCUUUAGCUAGUCUCCGUUUUAUUCCGUAGCUUUUAUUUCGAGUUACUAACACUUAGCAAUCGAACCGGUAUCUAAUACCCUGGUGCUACUAGGAGUACUAGUAAAGUACACAUUAACAUAAUGUAUAUCCAAUAUACUUCUAUCGACCUUGCCAGCCUUCUCAUCUACCAAGUAUCUAGGGUAAUCCUGCUCCAGUGGUUGUUCCCUUUAUUACAGAAGCACUUAGUCUCGGGUUUGGGUUCAACCUCGGGUUUCUUCAUUGGUGCGGCAGCUGAUUUGCCGUCUCAUGAAGUAUCCCUUCUUUCCCUUGCCCUUCUUGAAACAAUUGAUGCUCCUUCUUGAUUUCUACUUUCGCGAUGUCAAACAUCACGAAUAUUUCAAGGAUCAUCGUAUCUAUCCCUGAUAUGUUAUAGUUCAUCACGAAGCUCUAGCAGCUUGGUGGCAAUGACUUUGGGGAAACAUCACUAUCUCAUCUGGAAGAUCAACUCCCACUCGAUUCAAGUGAUUGUUGCACUCAGACAAUCUGAGCACAAGCUCAACGAUUGAGCUUUUCUCCCUUAGUUUGCAGGCUAAGAAAAUCGUCGGAGGUCUUAUACCUCUUGACGUGGGCACGAGCCUGAAAUCCCAAUUUCAGCCCUCAAAACAUCUCAUAUGUUUCGCGAUGUUUCAAAAACAUCUUUGGUGCCUCAAUUCUAAACCGUUUAACUGAACUAUCACGUAGUUAUCAAAACGUGUAUGUUCGAUGUUCGAAACAUUCACAAACGAUGUUUGGGGUUCAGCACAUUGAGCGGUGCAUUAAGGACAUGAGCUUUCUACUGAUCGCAUAAUCGCUACUAUCAACUUUCAACUAUAUUUUCUCUAGGAACAUAUCUAAACAGUAGAACUAUAGCGCGAGCUACGACAUAAUUUGCAAAAGGUCUUUUGACUAUGUUCAGGAUAAUUAAGUUCAUCUUAUGAACUCCCACUCAGAUAGACAUCCCUCUAGUCAUCUAAGUGAUUACAUGAUCCGAGUCAAACUAGGCCGUGUCCGAUCAUCACGUGAGACGGACUAGUCAUCAUCGGUGAACAUCUUCAUGUUGAUCGUAUCUACUAUACGACUCAUGCUCGACCUUUCGGUCUCCGUGAUCCGAGGCCAUGUCUGUACAUGCUAGGCUCGUCAAGUUAACCCUAAGUGUUUUCGCUGUGUAAAACUGUCUUACACCCGUUGUAUGUGAACGUAAGAAUCUAUCACACCCGAUCAUCACGUGGUGCUUCGAAACGACGAACUGUAGCAACGGUGCACAGUUAGGGGAGAACACUUCUUGAAAUUUUAAUGAGGGAUCAUCUUAUUUACUACCGUCGUUCUAAGCAAAUAAGAUGUAUAAACAUGAUAAACAUCACAUGCAAUCAAAUAAGAGUAGUGACAUGAUAUGGCCAAUAUCAUAUAGCUCCUUUGAUCUUCAUCUUCGGGGCUCCAUGAUCAUCUUGUCACCGGCAUGACACCAUGAUCUCCAUCAUCAUGAUCUCCAUCAUCGUGUCUUCAUGAAGUUGUCACGCCAACGACUACUUCUACUUCUAUGGCUAACGCGUUUAGCAAUAAAGUAAAGUAAUUUACAUGGCGUUCUUCAAUGACACGCAGGUCAUACAAAAAAUAAAGACAACUCCUAUGGCUCCUGCCGGUUGUCAUACUCAUCGACAUGCAAGUCGUGAAUCCUAUUACAAGAACAUGAUCAAUCUCAUACAUCACAUAUCAUUCAUCACAUUCUUCUGGCCAUAUCACAUCACAUAGCAUACCCUGCAAAAACAAGUUAGACGUCCUCUAAUUGUUGUUGCAUGUUUUACGUGGCUGCUAUGGGUUUCUAGCAAGAACGUUUCUUACCUACGCAAGACCACAACGUGAUAUGCCAAUUGCUAUUUACCCUUCAUAAGGACCCUUUUCAUCGAAUCCGUUCCGACUAAAAUGGGAGAGACUGGCACCCGCUAGCCACCUUAUGCACCAAGUGCAUGUCAAUCGGUGGAACCUGUCUCACGUAAGAGUACGUGUAAGGUCGGUCCGGGCCGCUUCAUCCCACAAUACCGUCGAAACAAGAUUGGACUAGUAACGGUAAGCAUAUUGAACAACAUCAACGCCCACAACUACUUUGUGUUCUACUCGUGCAAAGAAUCUACGCAAUAGACCUAGCUCAUGAUGCCACUGUUGGGGAACGUAGCAGAAAUUCAAAAAUUUUCCUACGUAACACCAAGAUCUAUCUAUGGAGAGACCAGCAACGAGUAGAAAGGAGAGGAGAGUUUGCAUCUACAUACCCUUGUAGAUCGCUAAGCGGAAGCGUUCAAGUGAACGGGGUUGAUGGAGUCGUACUCGUCGUGAUUCAGAUCACCGAUGAUCAAGUGCCGAACGGACGGCACCUCCGCGUUCAACACACGUACAGCCCGGUGACGUCUCCCACGCCUUGAUCCAGCAAGGAGAGAGGGAGAGGUUGAGGAAGACUCCAUCCAACAGCAGCACAACGGCGUGGUGGUGGUGGAGGAGCGUGGCAAUCCCGCAGGGCUUCGCCAAGCACCAUGGGAGAAGAGGAGGAGGGAGAGGGGCAGGGCUGCACCAACGAGAGAUCAAAUCAUGUGUUAUGGGCAGCCCCAUGCCUCAAUAUAUAUAGGGGGAGGGGAGGGCUGCGCCCCCUUUAGGGUUUCCCACCCCAAGGGGCGGCGGCCAGCCUCCAGAUGGCAUCUGGUGCGGCGGCCAAGAGGGGGGGGGGAGGAGUCCAUCCUCCCCAAGGCACCUCGGAGGUGCCUUCCCCUUCGAGGACUCUUCCCUCUAGGGUUCCCUAGGCGCAUGGGCCUCUUGGGGCUGGUGCCCUUGGCCCAUGUAGGCCAAGGCGCACCCCCUACAGCCCAUGUGGCCCCCCGGGGCAGGUGGCCCCACCCGGUGGGCCCCCGGGACCCUUCCGGUGGUCCCGGUACAAUACCGAUGACCCCGAAACUUGUCCCGAUGGCCGAAACAGGACUUCCUAUAUAUAAAUCUUUACCUCCGGACCAUUCCGGAACUCCUCGUGACGUCCGGGAUCUCAUCCGGGACUCCGAACAACAUUCGGUUACCACAUACAAGCUUCCUUUAUAACCCUAGCGUCAUCGAACCUUAAGUGUGUAGACCCUACGGGUUCGGGAGACAUGCAGACAUGACCGAGACGUUCUCCAGUCAAUAACCAACAGCUGGAUCUGGAUACCCAUGUUGGCUCCCACAUGUUCCACGAUGAUCUCAUCGGAUGAACCACGAUGUCAAGGACUCAAUCGAUCCCGUAUACAAUUCCCUUUGUCUAGCGGUAUUUUACUUGCCCGAGAUUCGAUCGUCGGUAUCCAAUACCUUGUUCAAUCUCGUUACCGGCAAGUCACUUUACUCGUUCCGUAACACAUCAUCCCGUGAUCAACUCCUUGGUCACAUUGCGCAUAUGAUGAUGUCCUACCGAGUGGGCCCAGAGAUACCUCUCCGUUUACACGGAGUGACAAAUCCCAGUCUCGAUCCGCAUAAAACAAUAGAUACUUUUGGAGAUACCUGUAGUGUACCUUUAUAGUCACCCAGUUACGUUGUGACGUUUGAUACACCCAAGGCACUCCUAUGGUAUCCAGGAGUUACACGAUCUCAUGGUCAAAGGAAGAGAUACUUGACAUUGGCAAAGCUCUAGCAAACGAACUACACGAUCUUUGUGCUAAGCUUAGGAUUGGGUCUUGUCCAUCACAUCAUUCUCCUAAUGAUGUGAUCCCGUUAUGAACGACAUCCAAUGUCCAUAGCCAGGAAACCAUGACUAUCUGUUGAUCAUAACGAGCUAGUCAACUAGAGGCUCACUAGGGACAUAUUGUGGUCUAUGUAUUCACACGUGUAUUACGAUUUCCGGAUAAUACAGUUAUAGCAUGAAUAAAAGACAAUUAUCAUGAACAAGGAAAUAUAAUAAUAAUACUUUUAUUAUUGCCUCUAGGGCAUAUUUCCAACAGAAGAGACUAGAUUUCUAUAGAUCGCGGUUCUUCUAGCAGGGUGAUGAGCUGAAAAGAAAAUACAGACUGGCUAAGUGGGACAUUAUUUGUAGACCGAAGGACCAAGGGGGUCUAGGUAUUGAGAAUCUAGAAAUUAAGAAUAAAUGCCUUCUUAGCAAGUGGCUGUGGAAGCUCUCGUCGGAGACGGAUGCUGUGUGGGCACAGAUCCUUCGCGGCAAGUACCUCCAGUCAAAAACUUUGUCGCAAGUCUCUAUAAGGCCGACUGACUCGCCUUUCUGGAAGGGGCUUAUGAAGGUCAAGCAGGCUUUCGUUAAUAGGACAAAGUUUGUUGUAGGAAACGGCUCGAGCACGCGUUUCUGGGAGGAUACUUGGCUUGGUGACGCACCACUGGCCAUCCAAUAUCCCUCCUUGUAUCGUAUUGUUCAACGAAAGGAGGUGGUCAUUGCUUCGGUUUUCCAAUCUAUCCCCCUUAAUAUUCAGUUUAGACGAGUGCUAGCGGGCAAUCAUUGGGAACAAUGGCUACAUCUAGUUAGAAGGCUGAUGGAUAUCCAGCUGUCUCAACAACCUGAUGAAUUGCGCUGGAAGUUGACUAAGUCUGGAGGCUUCACGGUCAAAUCAAUGUAUAUUGAUGUUAUUAAUUUGAGCUCCAUUCCCACGUCCAAACAUGUUUGGGAUGUCAAAGUUCCUUUGAAAAUAAAAGUGUUUAUGUGGUUUGUUCAUAAACAAGUAAUUUUAACUAAGGAUAACUUGAAGAAGCGCAAUUGGACAGGACCUACUAGGUGUAGUUUCUGUGAUCGGGAUGAGUCUAUUAAACACAUCUUUUUUGAUUGCCCGCUUGCAAAGGUUCUAUGGCAGACGGUCCACAUUGCUUUUAACAUCAAACCACCGAAUUCUGUUAGUACUUUGUUUGGGACAUGGCUUAAUGGGAUUGAGCCCAACUUAGGGAGACAUAUUCGGGUGGGGGUUUGUGCUUUGCUGUGGACCAUCUGGAACUGCAGAAACGAUUUGGUCUUUAACAGAACAUCAUAUAUACAUUUUUUGCAGGUUUUAUUCCGGACUACGGCUCUGAUUCGUUCAUGGUCGCUACUCACCCAGACGGAGGCCAGGGAGCAUUUGGUUACUGGGUCUGUCCGUUGGGAGAUGGUAGCUCGGGAUAUCUUCAACCGGUUUGGAUGGCGGUCAUGUAAUAGGAUAGGCAUUUAGUAUUCCUAUCUAAUUUGCCCCGCCGGUUGUGGCUCUUUGAUGUGGCUAGCUUGAUGUAUCUAGCUUAUCCGGGCUCUGUAUGAGCUUGUGUUGCUUUCUUUUUUCAUUUUUCAGGACCUUUGAAACCUUGUUGAUACUACUCUAUUUUGUUUAAUAAGAGGGCCGUAUGCAUCAUGCUGAUGCAAAGGCCAGGGUAUCCCCCUUUUCGAAAAAAAAAGAAAAAAAAAGCAGAUAGUAUGACUCGACCAUGCCCACCCAGUCUGUGUUUGCAAGUGAAGUGGAGAAGCUCAAGGCUGACCAGUUCAAGCCCCUAUAGCAGGAUCCCUUUGAGCGUGAUCACGCCUGCAUCAUUUCGUUACGCAAUGCCCCAAAACCAAAAGUGAAAUUAAGAUAAGGUUUUUUUUGUGUACAGUUUGCUUCAUGUCAGAAAAAAUGGAGAUUUUGGCGCCCAGGAACUGAAGCCAGUACAGGAUAACAAGUAGGAGUAGUAUAAAUUCGCUGGUGCUCACGAUGGACAUGUAUAACAAGGGAGAAAAAUUUGUGAGCGGUCACAAACUGAGUUGUUCGCUCGGUCAUAUGACGGCAGAUUUAUUUUGUACCAUCCCAGAGUCAACACUAACGUCUGCAAUAUGAAGAACAACAUUUAAACUUGUUUCCAGGGGAAAUGUUCAUCUAUUUACUAUCAAAACCAGCAUUUUCCCAGGGAAAAAAAUCGGAUGAACUGCUGCAACAGACUUUUUGGUCUUCAGACUGCAAAAGAAAACAAACUGAAAAAUGUGAGGGCUGCUUCAUAUGGUAGUCAAAAAAUGCUGAAAGCAAAAGCAGUUAUAUGGUAGUCAAAAAAUGCUGAAAGCAAAAGCACCCACCAGGAUCAGCAGAUUGCCCGAGGUUCGGUCAGUCUGACAUUGACAUGGCACAUGGACAGAAGUCAAGAACCACCAGGUGCUCCCAAAGUGUAUAGACCGAACGAACACCAAAGCCUCGAAUCCGCUCGUCGGGAAUCAGUCCCAAAUCAGCUCAGCAGAGAGAUGCUCUGCUUCAGGAAUGCCAGGUGCUCUGCUUUCACUCGUCCCAAACGAGCAUCAUGACUUUGCCAGUGUAUAUAGCAACUCACUGGUACGUGCUUUUUGUUAUUGUGCGAACCAGACUUGCCCGCAUCAAAAACACUGUAAGUUCUCUACCAAGCUUUUUUUUAAAAUCUAAAUUCAGCAUUCUAAGCUUUCUUUACACUACACACAAUGUACAUGAGUUUGUUAUUUUUCAUACAUUGGCCUCAAAUUUCAAAAAACAAAGACACACUAACCAGGUGCUGAAUCUAUCUAUUAAACAGGGAACUACAGAAGCACACAAACGCGUGCCAUAAUCGAUCAUCUGAAAUGAUGGAGCACGUCUUCUCUCGGAAUAUAUAUACAUCAUGUUGUUAGGCCUUUGAUGGAGGGUAUAGAUUAGAUAUUGGGUGACAAGAGGGUGUUACUUGUAAGAGUGUGCUGCUGUAAAAUAUAUGUACAAAGAGAGGAAAGAAGUGACUUCCAGACAAAUCUUCAGUCCAUGCUUCUCGCGAGUUACUGUAGCUAGGGCGAUUGUCCAACGAUUCCAACAUGUCAUCAGAGCAGGUUGGCUUCCGGGCCUAAUUACCGGCGGUCGAGAGCUGAAUCGGGGCGGCGGAGUCUCUUUCCUCUUUCUCCUGGGCGGCGUCUAGCGGGGAGCUGCGUGGGCGGCUGCGCACGAGCUGUGCGCACGCGCCUGACGCAGGCGUGUGACGCGCGGGAGGAGCAAGCGCGGGGGUCUCGUGGCUGGUGGCGGCGGCCGGCAACGUCAGGGCUUGGCGGUGCAAAGAGGCGCUGCUGAGGAGGUGCAGUGAGGAGUGUGCGUGUGGAACUGCUGCUGGUGGUGGUGGUGUGCAUUGCUGGGUUGCUGCUGUUUGCUGCUGCUACUGCUGGGGGCUGUGUUGGCUGCUGCUAGUGCUUGCACUUGAGUGUUGCUGCUGCUGCUGGUUGAGGGAGAGAGAAGGAUUGCUAUUGCUGUUGUUGUUUGCAAGCUGCUGGGGCUCUGUGGUGCUAUGGCAGAGGAGAAGGGGAGAAGAGAAGACUGUAGCUGCCUGAAGCUGAGUUUGCUGUUGCGGUUCAGGGCUGCUGCUGCUCUGCUGAUUGGAGAGAAGGAAGUGGAAGAAGAGGCUGUGCUGAGGCAAGAGAACAAAGUGCUAUAGAAGAGGUACUUGGUGAGGCAGUUGGGCAGUGAGUCGAAGCUGCUGUGGAGACCUAAAGUGAAGAGGAACAAUAUGUUAAUUGGUGCAAAUUGCAAGCAGGGGGAGAAUCCAAUGUUUGGAAUGAACUUAAGAAAUAAGAGUUGCUUUGGAUACAAUCAACCUGGGCAAUGGUCGAAUUGGUAUAGCAGAAGACGUGUUGUUGGUACUAAGAAGUCUUGGCGAGGAGAUGGGGAUUGGCUUUGUCCAAAUGCAAACUGUAGAAAUGUAAAUUUUGCUUUUCGCAGAAUCUGUAAUCUUUGUGGAGUUACACGACCAGCUGGUGAUAGUGGAACCACACAGCUUGUGAGUGUGAGGAUGACUGCAGAAGAUAUGGUGAAGUGGCGGUGGUUUAAGAAGAUGAGUUCGAGUGAAAACUCUUCAAAGGAGGCAUCUAUUUCUGCUGUUCCUGCUGGUCCUUGGACUAAUGCUUCUUAAGCUGUAAGUUGUGAUCGACCAUGGUUAAUUGAUUCUGGUGCAUCAAGGCAUAUGGUGGGAUCCUAUGAGGACUUCUUAAAAUAUGCACCUAAUGUGAUGGGGCAGGAUGUGAAGUUGGCAGAUGGCUCUACCCAAGCUAUUAUGGGAUCAGGGACUGUCAUAUGUGGACCUAAUAUGUCUUUGUCAUCUAUUUUACAUGUUCCCUCAUUCCCAAUUAAUCUAUUAUCUAUCAGCUAUAUUACAAAGGAACUUAAUUGUGAUGCAGUUUUCUUCCCAACUUGGUGUUUGUUUCUGCAACUUGGGACUUGGAAAGUCCUUGGGACAGGAAUUAUGCGAGAUGGUCUAUACUACUUGGAUGAUGAUAUGGAACCUAUGGCUGCUGCUGUGUUGUCUCGAUCACCAUUGGAAGAAUUUCUUCUUCAUCAUCGCAGGCUGGGACACAUGUCCUUUAACACCCUAGGUCAGUUGUAUCCUAACCUCUAUAAUAAAAUUUGCAAAGAAAGCCUAGUAUGUGAUGCCUGUCAGUAUGGGAAGUUAACUCGUAGUAUAUAUACAUCAUCUGAUCACAGAAGUACGGUGCCAUUUCAAACUAUCCACUCAGAUGUGUGGGUUCCUAGUGGAGUGUGGUCACUUUAUGGGUACAAAUCUUUUGUUACAUUUAUUGACUGUUGCACUAGGACUACUUGGGUUUAUGUACUGAGAAAUAAAAGUGAUGUGUUUGAAUGCUUUAAGGAUUUCCACAACUUAAUCAAAAAUCAAUAUGAUGCACGGGUGAAAAUAUUUCGAACUGACAAUGAUACAGAAUAUGUAAAUAACAAAUUUGAUGAGUAUCUGUCAAGCUUUGGAAUUAUCCAUCAAACUAGUUGCCCAGGAACUUCCCAGCAGAAUGGGUUGGCUAAAAGGAAGAACAGACAUCUCUUAGAAAUCACCCGGUGUAUCAUGUUAGCUAUGAAUGUUCCUAAAUAUUUGUGGGCUGAAGCUGUGAUGACAGCGGCUUAUUUGAUGAAUAGAAUGCCAUCCCGGGUGCUCAAUAAUAAGACACCGAUUGAGUGUCUAACUGGUGAAACUACAUAUGUUGUGCCACCAAAGGGAUUUGGAUGUGUAUGUUUUGUGAGGGAUCAUAGACCAUCGGUCGGGAAGCUAGAUCCUAGAGCAGUGAAGUGUAUAUUCGUGGGAUACUCAGGAAAACAGAAAGGUUAUAAAUGUUGGUGCCCGUCGGAAAAACGAAUGUUUGUAAGCAUGGAUGUAGUGUUCAGGGAACAUGACUCAUUCUAUGGAGAACCUGUAGAUUUGACUGAUGUUUUCCCAGAUUUAUAUAUUAAUGAUGUUCCAGAUGUGGACAGCAAGACAGGGGGAGAGGAAGGAAUGGAAAGUUAUCCUACUACAUCGAAUGAAAUGGUGGUUGGAGUAAUACCACAUGAAGAAAGUCAUGAAGAUAGGGAUGUGAGUUCUAUAGAAGCAGAACAAGAUACAUUAGACAAAGCAACACGGUGGCCAAAGCCAAAUGAAGAACAAGAAGUUCGGGUGUAUAGAAGAAGACACCAAACCGAGAGGGAUCGGUGGCCAAAGCCAAAUGAAGAAUAAGAAGUUCGGGUGUAUAGAAGAAGACACCAAACCGAGAGGGAUCAAGUGUAGGGGAGGAGAACAAUCCAUUGGGACAGAAUCUUGAAGUUCAAGGUCAGUCAGACGCACAUGAUUUAAAUUCGAGACCUUCUGAAAGUGAUGGUACACUCUCCUCUCCACACGAUGACUUAGAUAUUCCUAUAGCAUUCAGAAAGCAGCCUUGCAGAAUGUUGCCUUCGAAAUUAUCCUCCUAUGAUAUCUCUAAUUAUGUGUCAUAUAUAUCUGUUGGCCCCCAGUACAAGUCUUUUUUAGUAUCCUUGGAAACUGCUACACGUAUACCAUGUAACUGGUAGGAAGCUAAACGAGAUCCAAGGUGGAGACAAGCAAUGCUCAAGGAAAUGGCUGCCCUUGAUAAAAACAAUACUUGGAUACUUACAACUCUUCCUGCAAAUAAGAGAGCUGUUGGAUGUAAAUGGGUGUUCACUGUUAAGCAGAAUUCAGAAGGUAAAGUAGAGAGAUAUAAAGCCAGAUUAGUGGCGAAAGGUUACAGUCAAACCUAUGGGAUAGAUUAUGAUGAAACUUUCGCACCGGUGGCAAAAAUGAAUACUGUUAGAACUCUUAUUUCCAUUGCAGCCAAUGAUAAGUGGAAACUGUUUCAAAUGGACGUUAAGAAUGCAUUUCUCCAUGGGGACUUGCUUGAAGAAGUCUAUAUGGAGAUUCCUCCAGGUUUUAGUAGUCAGGAAACUGAAGGAAAAGUUUGUAGGCUAAAGAAAUCCCUUUAUGGACUUAAGCAAUCACCAAGGGCAUGGUUUGGGAGAUUUAGAAAGAAAUUGUGUUUACUGGGGUACCAACAAAGUAAUGCUGAUCAUACACUCUUUUUUAGGUGUUACAAUGGCAAGAUUGUUAUCCUUAUUGUCUACGUUGUUGACAUCGUAAUAACAGGUAAUGAUGAUGAAGGAAUAUCUAAAUUGAAGAAAAUGUUAUCUAGAUCAUUUGAAGUGAAAGAUCUGGGGUUUCUCCACUACUUCCUGGGAAUCGAGGUUGUCUACGGUGCUCAAGGUAUUUAUCUCUCACAGAGGAAAUAUGUUCUUGAUUUGCUUGCUGAAACCGGGAUGCUUGACUGUAGACCAGCUAGUACACCAAUUGAACCAAAUCAUCAUAUUAAAGCUGACUCUGGGGAUCCCAUAGAUAAAGGCCAAUAUCAGAGAUUAGUAGGGCGAUUAAUUUACCUUUCUCAUACAAGGCCAGACAUUGCAUAUGAAGUGAGCAUUGUGAGUAGAUAUAUGCAUGAUCCCCAGUCCCAUCACUUGAAUGUUGUACACAGAAUUCUGUGGUACCUUAAAAGCUGUCCUGGGAAAGGAAUUCUAUUCUCAAAUCAUGGACAUCUGAGAAUUGAGGGCUAUACCGAUGCUGAUUGGGCUGGCUGCUUAGACAAUAGAAGGUCAACAUCAGGUUACUUCAUGUUUGUUGGAGGUAAUCUUGUGAGUUGGAGGAGUAAGAAGCAGAGUGUGGUUGCACGAUCGACUGCAGGAGCAGAGUUUAGGUCAAUGGCGUCAGGCUUGUGUGAGACAAUGUGGCUGAGAAUCUUGUUGAGUGAACUUGGGUUGUAUGAUAGUGCUCCUCUUCAACUGUAUUGUGACAAUCAGGCUACAAUUAAUCUAGUGAAUAACCCAGUCCAUCAUGAUAGAACGAAGCACAUUGAGAUAGAUAGAUAUUUCAUUCGAGAGAAGUUAGAGCAGGGAGCACUUCAUAUUGGCUUUGUGAAAUCAGUAGAUCAACUUGCUGAUGUCUUAACCAAAGGAGUUAAUGUUGUAUUAUUUGAGAAACUAUGUAGCAAGAUGGGGCUAAUAGACAUAUUUACCCCAUCUUGAGGGGGAGUGUUGUUAGGCCUUUGAUGGAGGGUAUAGUUUAGAUAUUGGAGUGACAAGAGGGUGUUACUUGUAAGAGUGUGAUGCUGUAAAAUAUCUGUACAGAGAGAGAAAAGAAGUGACUUCCAGAGAAAUCUUCAGUCCAUGCUUCUCGCGAGUUACUGUAGCUAGAGCGAUUGUCCAGCGAUUCCAACACAUCAUUUCUUCACUAAUUCACUCUGAUAUACUCUGCUUCAGUUCUGAAACAGUCUUGAGCCAAAUUGUGUGAUGAUCCAUCCAUUUCAGGUUAAAGGCGCACAACCUUACAACCUUGUGUAUGCAUAUAGAUUGAGCCAAGGACAGAAGUGAUUCACCUAACCAAAUCUCAAGACUCAGCUUUGCUGUGAAAGCCGAUAAUGCAUAUCAUCGGUGACUAAUUCUUUCGAAGCUCUAAUUCUACUCGUCUUCUUCGUAAGCUCUGCAACACGGCAGAGCUCAGCUUUUGGAAUACUUCAUCGCUGAAUUUGAGGGUGACAAAAACCCAUUGCCUGUGAAGGUCGGAGAAUCUAUGUUGAACUCUUCGGAAGUGUUUUGUGUCAUGAGAAACUGAAGUUGAUUUGGUCGAUUGUCCAAACCAUUGUAAAUUUCAUCCAUAACUCCACUAGAAGAUAAAAAAUGCAAGCAUUCCAAGACCAUGACGUGGACUGGGAAUGUGCUGCUUCUCUCUAUUUUGUAAGCAGGGUAAAUUGGGACUAAUGACUGGGAUAGUGUAAUCUUUACGGAUGACAAUGUGACCAAGACAAGGGAUGUCUGGGAAAGGCGCCUGUUAGGGCUUGACAAUUAGCAACCACAUUACGGUUCCCUAAAGCAUAUGCAAGUUAAGUUAAUCCAUUAUUCUCUGCUUUGACCGUCCAAGUCGUUAUAAGCUUUUUUGCCAUAACUCCAGUAUUAGAACAGUCAGCAUGACAAGACCAAGACGUGGACUAGCUUUUCUUGUAGACCAUUCAAUGGGAGCGGUCGGUAACUGGCCAGUGGCUAGACAAAUCCUGAUGACUUUUUUUGAAACUAUCAUUUUGAUUUGUUUUGCAGAUUGCUAGACACUGAGAGCCACGAUCUCACCAAAUCAUUUAUUGCCAAAGAGAAGGUUGGGAAGGUCCCAACCCCGAGAAUUAUACACGGCCGAAAAACAAAACAAAACAAAACAAGAAUGACAGGUUUGCUCUCUUUUUUGCGAGGAGACAGGUUUGCUCUUGACAUACUGUUGAGCAUAAAAUAGAUCAACAGUAUGGGUGGCCUAAAACCAAAUAUUAGAAUAAAUACUCUAUAUGAUCAGGUAGUAAAUAAUGCGUAUCUUCUCUCCGAGAGAUAGUAGGACAUGGUAGCAGAUCCAGUGUACCUCCAAAGGAGUCCCCAUCCGUUGCCUCCAAUACUGAUAAAGGCUCUUGCCCGCUUAUUCCCAACAAACACACUGUUUCAAGGUACCCCACCUUGCAGAUUAUUAUCAGACAGAUACAGAUUGGUGAGGUGUUGCAAGCCACCCAGCUCUCCUGGGAUGAAGCCCGACAAAUUGUUUUGCUGAAGGUUUAGGUGUUCUAACAGCCCAAGAUUACCAAAAGAACUUGGAACUUGACCAAUGAAAUUGUUGAAUGACAAGUCUAACCACUCUAGCCCUGAAAUAUUGCCUAGUGAUGCUCGGAGAUGACCUUCAAAAUUAUUUUCGUACAAUGUGAGAACUUUAAGAUUCGGGAGGGUAUCACCAAAGUUAGAUGGCGGUGUUUUCCCAAGCAUAUUGGAAUCUAAGAAUAUAUGUCUGAGAGAAGACUGAUUGUAUUUGUACAGGGUUUCCGGGAUUCCACCUGAUAGCCUAUUUUUAGCAAGGUUUAAUGCAGAAAGAUUUGGGAGUUUUCCCAACUCAUCAGGAAUGGUUCCGGUGAGCUUAUUAUAAUCAAGCAAGAUGUAUUCAAGCUGACUGCUGUUUUUUAGGCUUGGUGGGAUUUCUCCGGUGAGAUUAUUUCCUCCAAGAAAUAACAACAAUAGAUUGGAUAGGCGUCCUAUAUCACUGGGAACUUCUCCUAUUAGUAAGUUGCUAGACAGGAAUAGUUCGUAUAGAUUAGAGUAGUUUGUAAGAGUAUCCGGAAUGGUCCCUUGCAGUGAGUUCUGUCCCAAGAGAAGGUACUCUAAUCUUUGGAGACGGUUGAGAGGAGGUAUCUCGCCGGUGAAGCCAUUCAUGGACAGUUCCAGCCUCAUAAGGAAUGUUAGGUUCCCGAGAGACGGUGAAAUCGUGCUCGACAACGAUAGGUUCGUAAGGUUCAGCUCGAUGACUCGGUCCGGGUGCUUGGGGCCGCUGUAGACGACACCCUUCCAUUUGCAAAGGGGGGCGCCGACGUGCCAAGAUCUCAAGACUUGUCUUGAGUCAUUGGUGAUGGCGCGCUUAAAAUCCAACAGCGAGAUCAUGUCAGUGCUAUUAUCAUGGACUGUCAUCGUCGAGGAGGAGCAGCGGACACUGCUGACUCCACAAGAAACGAGCAUCAACGACAGUAGCCUAAGGAUGGUGGUGAGCCUCGCCGGCUGAAUGGUAGACGUAAGGCCUCCCUUACCUGCAAGUGUGAAGAAUUACUAAAACAUUAGAACUCAUGCAUGCAUGUAAAGAAAGAGUUUGCUGGUAGCCAUAGCAUAGAGGUUUGAUUUUGUGAAAUGGUUGGUAGCAAACAGAAAACCGAGGAGAAGAAGAAAGAUGGAACCUUUGGUUGGCCGGAUGGGGCGAAGCGGCAGGGUGCGGGCUUAUGGCGACCGAGCACCAGGCAGGCCUUUAUCUUGCGCGUUCGUUUGGGCCUUGGGAUGUGCAAUGCGUCAGUUCAGGCCAGGUUUGUGCCAGGCCUAUAGGAUGAAAUACGGUCCGGCAUACGCCUAGCGCUCCCAUAGGUGUAUUCUGUUCGGCCCAUUCCUGGAUUCUGUUUCCUGGUUCUGCCAAUGAUCACAUGACGUGCACCAGGGAAAUUUGGCCCAUGGGCUGGUUCGAAACAGCACUGCUCGUCGUAAUUGAUGACCCCCCUCGCCGCGACAGGAAAUCUAGUGGAUCAGAGCGGAGCCACGCGAUAGAAUUCCUAUUCCAUCCCCUUCCUCUACGCACCCGCCUGGGCCAGGGACGACGGCUCCUCAAAGCUGUUCCGGCGGCGCCUCAAAGCUGUUCUGUCGCCAUGUCUACCAAUGGCUUAGAGUUAAAUGGGUACGCGUCUUCUCCUCCACCAUUUUUUCCUCGGCGAGCAUCUUCCCACCGAUGGCGGAGCGCCGCUUGCCAUAGUAAGAUCUAGACUCAUGUAGCUAGAUUUGAUUUCUUGCAGGGCCAUUGACGGAGAUGCUGUGUGGAGCUCUCCGGUACUGCCGCUGGAGUCUCAGGAUUCCAUGAGCGUUGUAGGUGUGGAGGCGGUCGCUGCCGGUGAGCCACAGGCCGUCGGAAAGGGAGCCACAUAUGACUUUUGCUCUGAGGCGACCAGCGGGUGGACGCGAAGGUUAUAGUUAGGGGGGCACCAUGUGCAUAAGAAUUUUUUCCUCGUCUAUUUGGCGAUUGUUUAGCACGAACCUUGAUUUGUUUUGCCAGACUAUGCCUAUAUUGUUCGAUCCGGCGGUUAGCACGCCUCCCUUGGAUUGCUGUGCAGUAUAGAUGACAGUUGUUUUUAAUUGUGAGAUAUUGAUAUGAGAAAGUAACAUAUAUUUGGUGUCUAAUUAGGGGCAUGUGAUGGAAAAAUUGUGCAAGCCUAGGUUAAUUCUGUUUUGUUUGGGGGAUUGACUUCGACAGCUACACAAGUUCAUUGGGUUGUAGAUGCGUUAGUCUCUAGUCAAUUACCGAUUUAUUGUGGCAUCAUAAUGCGUUUUGGUUCGUUUGUCAAGUUGAAACUGUUAUCUCAAGUCUUUUAAUUUUCACACUGAAGGGAGUGGUUACGGGCGUACAUCCAUUAGCCAGUUACUGAUUUAUUUGUGCCAUUUUUAGUGAGCUGGAUUCGUUUGUUUCACGCAGUGAUGAUAGCAUUAUAGAUAAAAGAGUUUUAGUUUAUAGGAGUUGGGUCGCUGCGUGAGCUGUGUGGUCUGUUUUGGAUUUUUGUUUCGUUGUUCGUGUGGGAUAAAAAUGAAUCCAUGGCAUAUGUAUGUGGUGUUUUUAUGAUUUUGCAGGUGAAUGAGAUUUUUAGAAUACUGGGAUCUGUAUUAUGUAGUUUCGAUUUAUAUGAUUUGUUUGAGAUAAGUUUCUAGGUUUGUUAGAUGGAUGGAUGUAGCGAUUGUGCCUGACGUUCUUUAUGUUGAUAUAUUUUUGUUUCAAGGGUAAUUGAGCAUUUUCAUCCAUGUGUUUUUCCACAAAAACACUGUCUGCAGGGUUAGGAUUUGGAAGGCACCUGAGGAGAGGGAGAUGAACCCUGAUAGGAAAACAACACUUGAAUUGUCAGUUCGCGCUUAUGCAGAGACAAAAUCUGGGCCAGUCAUCAAUCCAACAAUUGGCACAUCUUUUGACUCAUUGGACGAAGCCUAUGAGUUCUACAACCUCUAUUCAUGGGAAUAUGGUUUCGGCGUGAGGCUUGCGAAAAGCAGACUGAAUAUUAAUCGGAAGAGAUGUAUGCAAGAAAUACUGAGUGCUUGUGCGGUACGUGCAUGUGCACUCAUAUGUCGAUAAUCAAUAUGGCAUUUGUUAUUUUUUCUUCUAUAAUAUGAUCUGUUAUUUUGUUGCAGUAUUGCGCUAGAUAACCUUGGGUAAUCUCUAGCUAACAUUUUUUCUGUACUUCCUACCGUGUCUGCAGGGCAAACCAAUGAGGGAAAACAGUCGAUCAUCAAGGUGCGGGUGUGAAGCCAUGAUUAGAUUGCUCCGUUCAAAUGACAACGGUUGGUACAUAUUAGAGUUAAAAUCUGGCCAUAACCACCCGCUGUCUGUGACAUGUGGAGAAAAAAUGCAUUGGAAGUCACACAGGCACAUCGAUAGAUACACAAAGGAUCUGGUGAAACAACUCCGCGAUAACAAUGUUGGUCUUGGGAAGGUUUUCAGCAUUGUGGGGAGUUUUUUUGGCUCAGUUGAAAAUGUGCCAUUUACAAAACGUUCAUUGAAGACACUGUGCAGGAAGCUGAACAAGGACCAGUCAGACUCUGACGCUAUGAAAACAAUGGAAAUUCUGGCUGAUAUGCAAGCAAAUGAUCCUGACUUCAAUUACACCGUGCAAGUAGAUGAAGACAGCAGGAUAAAAAAACUCAUGUGGGUUACGAGUAGGGGGUGUGAUCAUUAUCGGUAUUUCGGUGAUGCAAUUACAUUUGACACAACAUACAAGACCAACCUAUAUGACAUGCCAUUUGGUCUUUUUGUUGGUGUCAACAAUCACUUUCAGAGUAUAAUCUUUGGAGGGGUCAUGAUGAGAGAUGAGAAAGAAGAAUCUUUCAAGUAGGUGUUCCGGGAGUUCAUACGUAUGGUUGGUGGGAAGCAUCCACAAACUAUACUUACAGAUCAAUCGCGCUCUAUGGAAAUUUCAAUCGAGGCAGAAAUGCCAAACACAGUACAUCGUUGGUGCAAGUGGCAUGUCCUGAAAAAGCAAAAGAGUCAAUGGGUGUGCUUUGGAGCAAGAACAGUGAAUUCAAAAUGGAGUUUCACAAGCUUGUUCAUCACAUGACCACGGAAGAGGAAUUUGAGCAAGGGUGGCAGCAGAUGUUGGACAAGUACUCACUCAAGAAACAUCCGAUUCUGACGCAGAUAUACGAAGUCCGACAUAAAUGGGCUAAACCAUAUUUCAUGGGUGUAUUCUGUGCUAAAAUGACUAGCACACAAAGGAGUGAGAGCGCAAAUCACCUGCUGAAGGGGUACGUGCCUCCAGGAUGUCCAAUGCAUUUGUUCCUCAAGCAGCUUGAGAAGCUUCAAUUUGACCGGCAAUCUGAAGAAAGCUUCCAGGAGAAAAGAACAUCACUGGUAAAAAACUCCAUCCGUUACCCCUACAUUUGUGUUCAUUGAAAACAAGUAUUUAAAAUGUCCUAGCUUCUCUGUAAGCCUUCAUACUUGAAAAUGGUUGUCAUCCUAACAUUUGGGAUGUGUGUGUGUUUAUUCCCGUUGCAGAGUGGUGUAUCUCCUAGAUUUAACCUUCCGUUGGAGAGGCAUGCUAGCAAAGUUUACACGAGGGCCAUGUUUGAGAAGUUUGGUGAAGAGUGUACAAAUGUGGUGCACAUGUACUCGAUGAGAUUGUUCCUAGGAGGAUUUAUAAGUCGACACAUGUUGAAGCAGCGAACAGAGAGAAAUGGAGUAAAGUCGAGUUCAAAAUUGAAAUCAAAGAGGAUGAAAGUUUUUUCAGCUGCGAGUGUGGCAUGUUUGAACAUUCUGGCGUAGUGUGCUGCCAUACUUUGCAGGUUUGUAUCCAUUGUGGUUACUAAAAAAAUCACGUUGUCGCUCUGUUUGUCCAUAUGACAGUAGUUGGUUGAUGUCCGGUAUAAUAUUAUGUAGGUGAUGGUUCACUUUCGUUUGGCAAAAAUACCUGAGAAGCACAUAAUGAAGCGCUGGACAAGACAGGCUCGUGACAUUCUCCCGGAACACUUGGUCAGGUAUCAGAAAGACAGAGGGCCUCCUGCUAGUGAUACAUUCAGGCAUCACACUAUGUACAUGAAAGCUCUUGAGUGUGUGGUGCUUGGUGACAGCAAUGUUCAAUGUUAUGAAGUUUUCAUGAGUAUGAUGAAGGAGGUCCAUGCUACUCUGCUGCCUUUGACUGUAGAAAAGGAUGGUUUAGGGCUGGCAGAGCGAGAGAAGCAGCAACUUUUGGUUGCCAGUGCUACAAAGGGGGGGGGGGUCCAGGAAAAUGGUGGUGGUGAAGAUGCGGAUAAUGCAGAUGGUGAUUCAAAUUGUUCAGGUGUGGGGGUGCAUCAGAAAAAACGUCAGAGGGGGAGACCAACGACAAGUCGAGACAAAGCUCCUUAUGAGAAUCAUCUUAAGAGGUCCAGAUUCUGUACAAUUUGCAGAUUGCAAGGUCACAAAUGCACAACCUUCCCAAAGAGAGGAGAUUUGCCAAAGGCUCCAAGGAAAUUGCCGAAGUGUAGCAACUGUGGGGUGGUUGGACAUCGACGGAAUGCCUGCGGCACUAACAAAAGUGCACCGUUCGAGCCUAAUUUCUUAUAGUUCAUUUAAGAAAAUUUUCUGUGUAAGGAGACUGAUCGUGUGGGUCAUUUGUUGUCCUUGUGUUUCUUAGCUUGCCAUGAUGUUCCCCGUAGCCAUUUGGAGAUCGACACUUAUUGCAUCUUCCUGUUGCCAAUAAUUUUGGCUUGGUGUGCUAACUAUUUAAUCCUAGGUUCUUUUUUUUCUGCAUGACUAUUGCACUUCGAAGUUACAAAAAAUUCUAUUCUUAACUCCAUGUGACAAGAUUGUUUGCUCGGCUAUGUGCUUGCUCACAAACGCAACAUUAUCUAUAUCUAUAUCUAUACCUACUAAUAAAGCAAGGUGAUAUUCUUGAUUUCGUCCCGCUGGAUGAUUUUAUCUUCUACUAAAAAGAUAUACGCGAGGUGGUACUAAUUCCGAGACAUAUAUAUCUUAUUCGGCGACGUGGAUUGCCGAGCGUACACGCCUGGGCUGGAGUGAGGCGUUUGGCGGGAUGGGCCAAGUCCGUUCGGCCCAUAGCCUGCAAGAGCUCUCACUUUCAUCCAAGCAUGACUCCAUCUCCUCAUAAAAUCAAAUUAGAGCUCGACUCCAAAUUUCGUUCAUUGUGUGUCCGUGUGUGUAGGGGACACUCCCAUUAGAGAACGACUUAUACACCUGGGAAACUGAUCCCUAAUUUUUGAAUAUAAGAUAUAACUACGAUACUUAAUCGCUGCUACGAGAAUAAACACAUAGCUAAUCCUUUUGAUUUCCUCCUCAUAUCACAGGAACUCGCUGAUGCCGCCCACCGCCAGCAAAUCCAGGAGCCUGGUCCACUCCAUCGACAUUGUAGACAGCCAAGCUACUGUCACGCCGUGACAGCACUAACUGUGCCGCAGAAACUCACAAAUGCCGUCGGGCGUGCCAUCCUCUGGCAGCAAGUCUAGGAACCUGAUGCUCUUCCUCGGCCCCACCAACAGCCGGACCAUCGUCAAUUGUGUCGGCAUUAGCCAGUCCAGCAUGAACACUGCCGUCCGCUGCUUUGGUCGUAAAGAAAAACGAAUCGAGUCCCCACAGCAACGAGGAGGGCAAAGACGCUCCUGUGGGCCCACAUGGAGGUGAACGAAGCCGUCGAAGCGGCCAAGGCGCCGCUGCUACAAUUGUCGCGACAAAAGUAGGGGCGAUCGCAUAGAUUUAGUUCGUCAACCUCGAUUAUUAUUUGCGAUUCUUCGGAUCUGUGAGAGGUAGAUUGGUUCGCCCUGGUUUUCCCAGGGGAUGUUGGCCAAUCAGGAAUUACUGGGUAUCUAUAUCAUUUAUUUACUUAUGGUGGAAAAUUGUUCUGCAUAACAGUAGUUCUUGUGCCCCUUAGUGUAUUUGUUCACAUCUGUGGUCAUGUAUGCCCCUUGAGAAGAUGUGAGUUGUCAGCAGCCACGUAGUUCUUAGCUUUUGUUGCAUCAUUCUUCUGGAUAGUGAAUAAAAUGGCGUACCUUUUAGAUUACUUCUUCACCAACUUAUGUUCCACCAUACAAUGAUACCAUGGAAAAAUAGCUAUGUAUAGUGCCGCUAUAAAUUUCAAUAGGUACGGGUGCAUGUAUUUUUUUCUGUUUAUUAUCCGUUGCAACGCACGGGCCUUUUUGCUAGUUUUGUUAAAGGGUAUAUUGCGAUGGCUGAUUUUGGUAACUGAUCGAUCGGCCGCGUGGUUGCCAUAUCGCUCGUACAUGCGCUAGUGUUUUUUUGUCAUGUUUUUGUGUACCAUGCAUGGACACAGGGUGCAUUUUUUUAAACUAGCAGGGGCGUGCUUUGAUUGAUGAUGAUCCUGACAAGGCAUUGCUAUAGCUUUCGUAGGGGCCUCCAUUGCUCCGUCGGCGGGAUGGAUGGGAGAGCACGCCUCGCCUGUCGAGCACAGAUGUUCGCGAGGCAGGGUACAACAAUUAAACCAGCAGAGGCAUUGCGCGUGGGAUGGUGCAGAGAUCCAUGGCGAAUCAGCCAGCAUGCCAGUGGCAUUGUUUGACUGAGUGUUUUUGAAGAUGCAAAUCAUCAUCCAAGGCAAGCUUUAGUGUUUUUUUGAUGAUUGUUUAUGAAACAAAAUUAGUGCUUGAUAUACUGAUGGCAUGUAGGCAGUAAGCAUUAAGGAUUUCNNNNNNNNNNNNNNNNNNNNNNNNNNNNNNNNNNNNNNNNNNNNNNNNNNNNNNNNNNNNNNNNNNNNNNNNNNNNNNNNNNNNNNNNNNNNNNNNNNNNNNNNNNNNNNNNNNNNNNNNNNNNNNNNNNNNNNNNNNNNNNNNNNNNNNNNNNNNNNNNNNNNNNNNNNNNNNNNNNNNNNNNNNNNNNNNNNNNNNNNNNNNNNNNNNNNNNNNNNNNNNNNNNNNNNNNNNNNNNNNNNNNNNNNNNNNNNNNNNNNNNNNCGUUCCUUCGUAAGUGUGGCUGCUCACCACGCCUCACGGUCUCCCGUUGUGUUGUCAAGUGACAACUGAUGGGAACACUGUUCCCGAAACCUUUUCCUCGUUCAUCAUGACGCUACUUUUUCGCUCCCCCACGCGAUGGCAGAUGGUUGACAAGAGAGGUGCACAGAUGCACCGCCCCGCCCAUCUGUGCUCGAGUUAAUGCAGCGGCGCAUAGGCACUAGCUUUGUGAGAGAAAAUGGCCAUGCCAUACCAUCGAGGUGAUCCGUGUGCUCAUCGUGACCACAAAAUUCAAAUUUGUAACCCAUGCAUGCGAUGCUCCCUUGCUAGUUUGAAAUUUGAAUCUCUUCGCUUGGGAGGGAAAAUGAAAAUUUUCGUCCUCUAUUUAUGCAGGUGGCGCGGACCCUGGAAACCCAUUCGAACAGUGGAGAGAUGGCGCCCAGCAGCACCGUGUCCCCAAGCUCUAAUCUCACCGAAACGUCUGGCUCCACGUUGACAGUAGGCGGUGUGCAGGUACGACUAUCACAUGGCAAAGGGAUUGAUAUAGAUCACUGUAAUCAGAUAUUUUCUGAUACUAGCAGUUUUAAUGUGAUCCAGGUUCUUAGUGACAUUGUCGGGCUUGACGCUCUGUUUUUUCCUGAUCACUCUUCUGGGGUUGCAAGCGUCGAUGAUGAUGUAAUUUUUUUCCUAGUUUCCAUCCAAAUCCCUCGUUUUGCGAGGCCAAAUGAUAUGUGUUUGUGCACUGGCAGGCAAGUGUGCUGGGGCAAGGGCCUAUCGUAGGUGCAGAUGGUGAGGUGGAGGAGACGGUGGUGGAUAAUGUGAGAAUUUGGAUUUGUUACUAGUCAUGACGAGAGGAAUUUUUUUUGUGGUCUAAUGUUGUGCGUUUGCAAAUUUCUUGACACCAGGGUGAUGUUGGGGUGGAGCUUCCUGUUUUCUCUUGUGAGGAGGAGACGGCGGACUUUGAUCCUUGCAUGGCGCAUGCAGUGCAAGUAGAGGCAUGCGCGCUGGAGGAGGGGGACCACAUGUCGGGGACUGGUCCUGUAGGCGCUGGCUGUGAAGAAGAUGACGCCGAGAGCCCUCCAUGCAAGCGAGCAAAAAUUUAGAUUUGUAGAUGCCAGUGCUGUGCUAUUAGCGCGCAUGCAAAUGUACGUGCAUGUUUUGUUUAGUAGGUGUGCUAAGUAUCCUAAGUAUGCAUGGGCAAAACCAUGUUUUUCCAUUGUGCAAGGCUAUGUGUUUAGCAAGUUAAUCGAUUUUCAAAUUCUGUUCGCAUCGACGGCUAUGCUUGAGCAGUCAUUGCUCAUGAUUUUGUGUUUAUGAGCGCGUUUUUUUGGUGGUUAAAAAUUGUUAAUGGCCCUGGCUCAUUACUGUGUGGUGGGAGAGAUGGGGAGAUGAUAUUUUGUGGCCUAGAUAAGGUGAAUACGUGGAUGGUUGGGCAACCACUUGGUUGGUAUACAGUGUUGAGCACAUGGAGCUGUUCGGCCGGCACUUGACUAUAAAAUAAGAUGUUGCUGGUACAGAGGGAUACAUCAACAACGCUAGCACAGCACCAGGGCUUGGCGCAGCAAGGAGGGAGGGAGCAAGAACAAAGGUGACUACUAUUGCUCUCAUCACUCGCUCAUCUCUCUCUUUUUCACUCUUGCUGCGGUUUUCUGUCAAGUCCUAACACAUUUGUGUGUUGCUGCUUUUUCUUUGAUUUUGCUCGCAGCUUGCUGGUUGAGAUGGGGCGGAGACCUAGGAACUACUCCCUCCGUUCCGAAUUACUUGUCUUAGAUUUGUCUAGAUACGGAUGUAUCUAGCACUAAAAUGAGUCUAGAUACAUCCGUAUCUAGACAAAUCCAAGACAAGUAAUUUAGAACGGAGGGAGUACUCGUCUGCAGCUCAACCGGAUCUUGCUUCUUCCUCUACAAUGGCUGCCGCCAAGAAGAUGCCCGUCCUGAACACCGCCUACAACGCCGGUAUAUGAUCCAAACGAUUGCCGGGGAGUGGAACCCGAACAUGAAGUCUGUUUUCGCGGGGGUAGGGAUGGAGCAGUUUUGCAAGCUCAAGGCUUUAGGCAAUAAUAAUCGCAUAUUUUCCAUGUCCCUGCUCGCUAGGAUAGAUCCCGAAACUAUGAAGAUGGACAUGGGGGACGGAAACUUUGUUGUGGUUGACUCCAGGGAGGUAGGAAAAUGCAUAGGAUUGAAUCCUAGCGGGGAAAAGAUCGAUAUCCGGGCUGGUUCUUGCUUGCCAGACCGGGAAGAGUUACUGGGGAAGUUGCAUGCCAUCUUAGAGACUGACAUGCCCAAAACAUGCAAGAUUCCGAUUGUGAGAGUUAAAAAGAUAGUGCAAAACGCUAGCAAAGUAGCAAUCGUGGGAGCGGAGAGAGAGAAAAUGAUGGCCGCGUGCACAAUCCUCGCAGCAUCCACAGUUCUUCUUCCUAGAGGAGCCCAUCCGAAGAUUUCGAAUGAGCUGUUGCCUGUUCUUGCUGAGCCGAACAAAAUAUCGGAAUAUGAUUUGUGUGACUAAGUAGUGGAGGGGUUGAGAGAGGCUGCAGCAAAACUGAGGGAUGAUUUGUUGCAUGACCCACCUCAGCUUUCUCUUCAGGGGUGCCUCAUUGUUCCUCAGGUUAGCCAAGCAAAAUCCGUUCGUUUACUAGCACAUGCAUGCGAGUUAUGCGAAAUGGUCACUGAUUUCAUUUGGUUUAAUUGACUAUACAAAUUGAAGAUCAUCUUCUGUGACUACCAUGAGCAUGGCAUGGAAGGGUGUGAGCAGCUACCACUUCCUCGGAUGGCGUCGUACUCCGAUCUGUCGAUGAAGCUUCAGAUCCGCAAGCACGCAGCGAAGAACGGAGUGGAUGCAGGCUUCGAGGUAAACAAAUCGUCUUAAAUGCUAGAUUCUACAUGGUUGCUAACAUUCUUUUCGAUUGUUCCCUUGCAGGUAUCUGAUAUCCCCAGAUCCCCGGCAACUAAUGUGCCGUCCGGGAGUGCACCGCCCGCGUAUUCUUGGACCGCCCCAAGCCCUGGUGUGUGCGCUGGCCCGCCUGGAUUUGCUGUGGCCCCUGGGACAGAGAUACUGAAGGAAAUAUGCCCUAGAGGCAAUAAUAAAGUUAUUAUUUAUUUUCUUAUAUCAUGAUAAAUGUUUAUUAUUCAUGCUAGAAUUGUAUUAACCGGAAACGUAAUACAUGUGUGAAUACAUAGACAAACAUAGUGUCACUAGUAUGCCUCUACUUGACUAGCUCGUUAAUCAAAGAUGGUUAAGUUUUCUAACCAUAGACAUGAGUUGUCAUUUAACGAAAAAGGGUUUCCCCCCGCUUUGUAUUCCAAAGCAACCAACCGAUACAUCCAAGGAUAGGUGCUGGGGCGGAAGCAGCACAGGCACACCCAAAAGAAACGAAAGAGAAACAACAAGAGAAAAGAAUGCCGACAACGGCGGAUCGACGGAAACGAAGAAGCUUCACGACCACUGCACCCACCGAAGAUCUCCCACCAUGCUCCAAGGCUCCGAAGCACCGGUACCAAUCAGCACCUCCAAGAAGGACCGCGACGAAGACGACGCUGCUGCCAAGGGUUUCCCCCGGUACACGACGAGGCGAGAGGAAAGGUCGCCCCCGACGCCCUCCAGGAAGGUCCAGCGGCACCCACCGGCGUCGCCGCGUCGGGGUCGGACAGGCCGAUAGGGGUUUCCCCCGAUCCCAACCUUCACCUCAGGUGCUCCAGAGCCUGCCACCAAACCGACCACCAUCUUGCGCCACCAUGGUCAAGAAGCCUCCACGCCGUCUCACCACGGCACCACGAGGUGAGGUCUGCACAACAAGGGAUAGGAGCCGGGACUAGGGGCCGCAGCACCGUCGGCACGCGGGAGGGCACAACCUCCACCGUCAAUGUCGGUAGCCGACCGGACACACUAGCAGGAGCCUACCAGGCCCGUGUGCCCACAGGCCCGGCCGGGAACUCCAUUCCCGGACAGCUCCCGCCAUCGCGCUGCAGCAGGCACGCCAUCGGCAUCGCCGCCCCCCAUCCGAGCCGCUCCUCCUCCUCACCGCACAGACGACGACGAAGCCACGCCAGGGACCGGCCCGCUAGGACCCAGAUGGGGCCGGGAGGGCCCAGAUCUGGGCCAGGGACGCGCCGCCGGCCACCGCACGCCACCACACCGUCCUGCUGCCAAGGGCAGCACCGCCACCACGCCGACCGCCGGCGACCGGCCGGGAGUUGUCAUUUGAUUAACGAGAUCACAUCAUUAGGAGAAUGAUGUGAUUGACAUGACCCAUUCCGUUAGCCUAGCACUUGAUCGUUUAAUAUGUUGCUAUUGCUUUCUUCAUGACUUAUACAUGUUCCUGUAACUAUGAGAUUAUGCAAAUCCCGUUUACCGGAGGAACACUUAGUGUGCUACCAAACGUCACAACGUAACUGGGUGAUUAUAAAGGAGCUCUACAGGUGUCUCUGAAGGUACAUGUUGGGUUGGCGUAUUUCGAGAUUAGGUUUUGUCACUCCGAUUGUCGGGGAGGUAUCUCUGGGCCCUCUCGGUAAUGCACAUCACUAUAAGCCUUGCAAGCAAUGUAGCUAAUGAGUUAGUUACGGAAUGAUGCAUUACGUAACGAGUAAAGAGACUUGCCGAUAACGAGAUUGAACUAGGUAUUGGAUACCGACGAUCAAAUCUCGGGCAAGUAACAUACCGAUGACAAAGGGAACAAAGUAUGUUGUUAUGCGGUUUGGCCGAUAAAGAUCUUCGUAGAAUAUGUAGGAGCCAAUAUGAGCAUCCAGGUUCCGCUAUUGGUUAUUGACCGGAGACGUGUCUCGGUCAUGUCUACAUAGUUCUCGAACCCGUAGGGUCCGCACGCUUAAGGUUUCGAUGACAGUUAUAUUAUGAGUUUAUGAGUUUUGAAGUACCGAAGGAGUUCGGAGUCCCGGAUGAGAUCGGGGACAUGAAGAGGAGUCUCGAAAUGGUCGAGACAUAAAGAUCGAUAUAUUGGACGACUAUAUUCGGACAUCGGAAAUGUUCCGAGUGAUUCGGGUAUUUUUCGGAGUACCGGGGAGUUACGGGAAUACGGGGAAGAGUAUUGGGUCUUAAUGGGCCUUAGUGGGAAGGAGCCAGGAGGUGGCGCGCGCCCGCCCCAAGCCCAGUCCGAAUUGGACAAGGGGUUUGGGGCGCGGCCCCCCUCUCCCUUCCUUCUCCACUUCCCUCCUUUCCCCCCUUCUCCUAGUUGGACUAGGAAAGAAGGAGUCCUAGGACUCCCCUUGGCGCGCCCUCCUCCUAGGGCCAGCCUCCUCCUCCCUUGCUCCUUUAUAUACGGGGGCAGGGGGCACCCCAUGACACACAAGUUGAUCUUCGUGAUCGUUUCUUAGCCGUGUGCGGUGCCCCCCUCCACCAUAUUCCACCUCGGUCAUAUCGUUGCGGUGCUUAGGCGAAGCCCUGCGUCGGUAGAAUAUCAUCAUCGUCACCACGCCGUCGUGCUGACGGAACUCAUCCCCGACACCUUGCUGGAUCGGAGUCCGGGGAUCGUCAUCGAGCUGAACGUGUGCUGAACUCGGAGUUGUGGUACAUUCGGUACCUGGAUCGGUCGGAUCAUGAAGACGUAUGACUACAUCAACCGCAGUUUCAUAACACUUCCACUUUCGGUCUACGAGGGUACGUGGACAACACUCUCCCCUCUCGUUGCUGUGCAUCACCUUGAUUCUUGCGUGUGCGUAGGAUUUUUUUUGAAAUUACUAAGUUCCCCAACAGUGGUAUCAGAGCCAGAUUUUAUGCGUAGAUGUCAUAUGCACGAGUAGAACACAAGUUAGUUGUGGGCAAUACAAGUCAUACUGCUUACCAGCAUGUCAUACUUUGGUUCAGCGGUAUUGUUGGAUGAAGCGGCACGGACCGACAUUACGCGUACGCUUACGCGAGACUGGUUUUACCGCCGUGCUUUGCACACAGGUGACUAGCGGGUGUCUGUUUCUCCAACUUUAGUUGAACCGAGUGUGGCUACGCCCGGUCCUUGCGAAGGUUAAAACAGCACUAACUUGACGAACUAUCGUUGUGGUUUUGAUGCGUAGGUAAGAACGGUUCUUGCUCAGCCCGUAGCAGCCACGUAAAAUUUGCAACAACGAAGUAGAGGACGUCUAACUUGUUUUUGCAGGGCAUGUUGUGAUGUGAUAUGGUCAAGACGUGAUGCUAUAUUUUAUUGUAUGAGAUGAUCAUGUUUUGUAAUCGAAGUUAUCGGCAACUGGCAGGAGCCGUAUGGUUGUCGCUUUAUUCUAUGAAAUGCAAACGCCCUGUAAUUGCUUUACUUUGUCACUAAGCGGUAGCGAUAGUCGUAGAAGCAAUAGAUGGCGUAACGACAACGAUGCUACGAUGGAGAUCAAGGUGUCGCGCCGGUGACGAUGGUGAUCACGACGGUGCUUCGGAGAUGGAGAUCACAAGCACAAGAUGAUGAUGGCCAUAUCAUAUCACUUAUAUUGAUUGCAUGUGAUGUUUAUCCUUUAUGCAUCUUAUCUUGCUUUGAUUGACGGUAGCAUUUUAAGAUGAUCUCUCACUAAAAAUUAUCAAAAAGUGUUCUCCCUGAGUAUGCACCGUUGCGAAAGUUCUUCGUGCUGAGACACCACGUGAUGAUCGGGCGUGAUAGGCUCUACGUUCAAAUACAACGGGUGCAAAAUAGUUGCACACGCGGAAUACUCAGGUUAAACUUGACGAGCCUAGCAUAUAACAGAUAUGGCCUCGGAACACGGAGACCGAAAGGUCGAGCGUGAAUCAUAUAGUAGAUAUGAUCAACAUAGUAAUGUUCACCAUUGAAAACUACUCCAUCUCACGUGAUGACCGGGCAUGGUUUAGUUGAUUUGGAUCACGUGAUCACUUAGUUGACUAGAGAGAUGUCUGUCUAAGUGGGAGUUCUUAAGUAAUAUGAUUAAUUGAACUUAAAUUUAUCAUGAACUUAGUCCUGGUAGUAUUUUGCAAAUUAUGUUGUAGAUCAAUAGCUCGCAUUGUUGCUUUCAUAUGUUUAUUUUGAUAUGUUCCUAGAGAAAACUGUGUUGAAAGAUGUUAAUAGCAAUGAUGCGGAUUGGAUCCGUGAUCUGAGGUUUAUCCUCAUUGCUGCACAGAAGAAUUAUGUCCUUGAUGCACCGCUAGGUGAUAAACCUAUUGCAGGAGCAGAUGCAGACGUUAUGAAUGUUUGGCUAGCUCAAUAUGAUGAAUACUUGAUAGUUUAGUGCACCAUGCUUAACGGCUUAGAAUCGGGACUUCAAACACGUCUUGAACGUCAUGGUGUUGGGGAACGUAGUAAUUUCAAAAUUUUCCUACGCACACACAAGAUCAUGGUGAUGCAUAGCAACGAGAGGGGAGAGUGUUGUCCACGUACCCUCGUAGACCGUAAGCGGAAGCAUUAGCACAACGCGGUUGAUGUAGUCGUACGUCUUCACGAUCCGACCGAUCCAAGCUCCGAACGUACGGCGCCUCCGAGUUCAGCACACGUUCAGCUCGAUGACGAUCUCCGGGCUCCGAUCCAGCAAAGCUCCGGAGAUGAGUUCCGUCAGCACGACGGCGUGGUGACGGUGAUGAUGUUCUACCGGCACAGGGCUUCGCCUAAACUCCGCGACGAUAUGACCGAGGUGGAAUAUGGUGGAAGGGGGCACCGCAUACGGCUAAGGAACGAUCCGUAGAUCAACUUGUGUGUCUAUGGGGUGCCCCCUGCCCCCGUAUAUAAAGGAGCAAGGGGGGAGGCCGGCCGGCCCCUUGGGCGCGCCAAGGGAGGAGGAAUCCUCCUCCUAGUAGGAGUAGGACUCCUCCUUUCCUACUCCUACUAGGAGGGGGAAGGAAGGGGGAGAGGGGGAAGGAAAGGGGGGGCGCCGCCCCCCCUCCUAGUCCAAUUCGGACCAGAGGGGGGUGGCGGCGCGCGGCCCAUGCUGGCCGCCCCUCUCUCCUUUCCCUUAAGGCCCAUAUGCCCAAUACUCUCCCGGGGGGUUCCGGUAACCCCUCCGGCACUCCGGUUUUCUCCGAAAUCACCCGAAACACUUCCGGUGUCCGAAUAUAGUCGUCCAAUAUAUUAAUCUUUAUGUCUCGACCAUUUUGAGACUCCUCGUCAUGUCCGUGAUCACAUCCGGGACUCCGAACAAACUUCGGUACAUCAAAACUUAUAAACUCAUAAUAAAACUGUCAUCGUAACGUUUAAGCGUGCGGACCCUACGGGUUCGAGAACUAUGUAGACAUGACCUAGAACCAUUCUCGGUCAAUAACCAAUAGCGGGACCUGGAUGCCCAUAUUGGUUCCUACAUAUUCUACGAAGAUCUUUAUCGGUCAAACCGCAUAACAACAAACGUUGUUCCCUUUGUCAUUAGUAUGUUACUUGCCCGAGAUUUGAUCGUCGAUAUCCAAUACCUAGUUCAAUCUUGUUACCGGCAAGUCUCUUUACUCGUUCCGUAAUAUAUCAUCUUUAUAACUAACUCAUUAGUCACAAUGCUUGCAAGGCUUAGGUGAUGAGUAUUACCGAGAGGGCCCAGAGAUACCUCUCCGACAAUCGGAGUGACAAAACCUAAUCUCGAAUUAUGCCAACCCAACAUGUACCUUCGGAAACACCUGUAGAGCACCUUUAUAAUCACCCAGUUACGUUGUGACGUUUGGUAGCACACAAAGUGUUCUUCCGGUAAACGGGAGUUGCACAAUCUCAUAGUUGCAGGAACUUUGUAUAAGUCAUGAAGAAAGCAAUAGCAAUAUACUAAACGAUCAAGUGCUAGGCUAACGGAAUGGGUCAUGUCAAUCACAUCAUUCUCCUAAUGAUGUGAUCCCAUUAAUCAAAUGACAACACAUGUCUAUGAUUAGGAAACAUAACCAUCUUUGAUUAAUGAGCUAGUCAAGUAGAGGCAUACUAGUGACUAUAUGUUUGUCUAUGUAUUCACACAUGUAUCAUGUUUCCGGUUAAUACAAUUCUAGCAUGAAUAAUAAACAUUUAUCAUGAUAUGAGGAAAUAAAUAAUAACUUUAUUAUUGCCUCUAGGGCAUAUUUCCUUCACAUGGACCAUAUGAGAUGUUCCAGGAAUUGAAGUUAAUAUUUCAAGCAAAUACCCGAGUUGAGAGAUAUGAAGUCUCCAACAAGUUCUAUAGCUAAAAGAUGGAGGAGAAUCGCUCAACUAGUGAGCAUGUGCUCAGAUUGUCUGGGUACUUCAAUCGCUUGAAUCAAGUGGGAGUUAAUCUUCCAGAUAAGAUAGUGAUUGACAGAAUUCUCUAGUCACCAUCACUAAGUUACUAGAACUUCGUGAUGAACUAUAGUAUGCAAGGGAUGACGAAAACGAUUCCCGAGCUCUUCGUGUUGUUGAAAUCGACGAAGGUAGAAAUCAAGAAAGAGCAUCAAGUGUUGAUGAUUGACAAGACCACUAGUUUCAAGAAAAGGGCAAAAGGGAAAGAAAGGGAAACUUCAAGUAGAAUGGCAAACAAGUUGUCACUCCCGUGAAGAAGACCAAAGUUGGACGAAAGCCUGAAACUAAGUGCUUACACUGCAAAGGAAAUGGUCACUGGAAGCGGAAAUGCCCUAAAUAUUUGGUGGAUAAGAAGGAUGGCAAAGUGAACAAGGGUAUAUUUGAUAUACAGGUGUUUGAUGUGUUCCUUACUAGUGUUUAUAGUAGCCCCUGAGUAUUUGAUACUUGUUCGGUUCCUAAGAUUAGUAACUCAAAACAGUAGUUACAUAAUAAACAGAGACUAGUUGAGGGGAAGUGACGAUGAGUGUUGGAAAUAGUUCCAAGAUUGAUAUGAUCAUCAUCACACACUCCCUAUAUUUUCGAGAUUGGUGUUAAACCUAAAUAAAUGUUAUUUAGUGUUUGCGUUGAGCAUGAAUAUGAUUUGAUCAUGUUUAUUGCAAUACGGUUAUUCAUUUGAAGUUAAAAAAUAAUUGUUAUUCUGUUUACAUGAAUAAGACCUUCGAUGGUUAUACACCCAAUGAAAAUAGUUUGUUGGAUCUCGAUCAUAGUGCAUAUUCAUAAUAUUGAUGCCAAAAGAUGCAAAGUUAAUAAUGAUAGUGCAACUUAUUUGUGGCACUGCCGUUUGGGUCAUAUCGGUGUAAAGCGCAUGAAGAAACUCCAUAAAGAUGGAUUUUCGGAAUCACUUGGUUAUGAAUCAUUUGAUGCUUGCGAACCGUGCCUUUUGGGCAAGAUGACUAAAACUCCGUUCUCCGGAACAAUGGGACAAGCUACUGACUUAUUGGAAAUAAUACAUACCGAUGUAUGCAAUCCAAUGAGAGUUGAUGCUCGUGCCAAGUAUCGUUAUUUUCCGACCUUCACAAAAUGAUUUGAGAAGAUAUGGGUAUAUCUACUUGAUGAAACAUAAGUCUGAAAUAGUUGAAAGGUUCAAAGAAUUUCAGAGUGAAGUGGAAAAAUCAUCGUAACAAGAAAAUAAAGUUUCUGCGAUCUGAUCGUGGAGACGAAUAUUUGAGUUACGAGUUUGGUCUUCAAUUAAAACAAUGUGAAAUAGUUUCAUAGCUCACGCCACCUGGAACACCACAAUGUUAUGGUGUGUUCGAACGUCGUAACCGCACUUUAUUGGAUAUGGUGCGAUCUAUGAUGUCUCUUACCGAUUUACCACUAUUGUUUUGGGGUUAUGCAUUAGAGACACCUGCAUUCACGUUAAAAGGGCACCAUCUAAAUCCGUUGAGACGACAGCAUAUGAACUGUGGUUUAGCAAGAACCCAAGUUGUCAUUUCUUAAAGUUUGGGGCCGCGAUGCUUGUAUGAAAAAGUUUCAUCCUGAUAAGCUCAAACCCAAAUUGGAGAAGUGCAUCUUCAUAGAAUACCCAAAGGAAACUGUUGGGUACACCUUCUAUCACAGAUCCGAAGGGCAAGAUAUUCAUUGCUAAAAAUGGAUCCUUUCUAGAGAAGGAGUUUCUCUCGAAAGAAGUGAGUGGGAGGAAAGUAGAACUUGAUGAGGUAACUGUACCUGCUCCCUUAUUGGAAAGUAGUUCAUCACUGAAAUCAGUUCCAGUGAUUCCUACACCAAUUAGUGAGGAAGCUAAUGAUGAUGAUCAUGAAACUUCAGAUCAAGUUACUAUAGAACCUUGUAGGUCUUCCAGAGUACGGUCCGCACCAGAGUGGUACGGUAAUCCUGUUCUGAAAGUCAUGUUACUAGACCAUGAUUAACCUACGAACUAUGAGGAAGCGAUGAUGAGCCCAGAUUCCGCAAAAUGGCUGGAGGCCAUGAAAUCUGAGAUAGGAUCCAUGUAUGAGAACAAAGUGUGGACUUUGGUGGACUUGCCCGAUGAUCGACAAACCAUAGAAAAUAAAUGGAUCUUCAAGAGGAAGACGGACGUUGAUAGUAGUGUUACUAUCUACAAAGCUCGACUUGUCGCAAAAAGGUUUUUGACAAGUUCAAGGUGUUGACUACAAUGAGAUUUUCUCAACUGCAGCGAUGCUUAAGUCUGCCCGAAUCAUGUUAGCAAUUGCCACAUUUUAUGAAAUCUGGCAAGUGGGUGUCAAAACUGCAUUCCUUAAUGGUUUUCUUAAAGAAGAGUUGUAUAUGAUGCAACCAGAAGGUUUUGUCAAUCCUAAAGAUGCUAACAAAAUGUGCAAGCUCCAGCGAUCCAUCUAUGGACUGGUGCAAACAUCUCAGAGUUGGAAUAAACGCUUUGAUAGUGUGAUCAAAGCAUAUGGUUUUAUACAAACUUUUGGAGAAGCCUGUAUUUACAAAAAAGUGAGUGGGAGCUCUGUAGCAUUUCUGAUAUUAUAUGUAGAUGACAUAUUAUUAAUUGGAAAUGAUAUAGAAUUUCUGGAUAGCAUAAAGGGAUACUUGAAUAAAAGUUUUUCAAUGAAAGACCUUAGUAAAGCUACUUACAUAUUGAGCAUCAAGAUCUAUUGAGAUAGAUCAAGACGCUUGAUAAGAUUUUCAAUGAGUACAUACCUUGACAAGAUUUUGAAGUAGUUCAAAAUGGAACAGUCAAAGAAAGAGUUCUUGCCUGUGUUGCAAAGGUAUGAAAUUGAAUAAGACUCAAAUCCCGACCACGACAGAAAAUAGAAAGAGAAUGAAAGUCAUUCCCUAUGCAUCAGUCAUAGGUUCUAUAAAAAUAUGCCAUGCUAUGGACCAGACCUAUUGUAUACUCUGCCCUGGUUUGGCAAGGAAGUACAAUAGUGAUCUAGGAGUAUCACUUGACAUUGGUCAAAAUUAUCCUUAGUGGAAUAAGGAUAUGUUUCUCGAUUAUGGAGGUGACAAAAAGAUUCAUCGUAAAGGGUUACGUCGAUACAAGUUUUGAUACUGAUCCAGAUGACUCUAAGUCUUAAUCUGGAUACAUAUUGAAAGUGGGAGCAAUUAGCUAUAGUAGCUCCGUGCAGAGCAUUGUAGACAUAGAAUAUUUGCAAAAUACAUACGGCUCUGAAUAUGACAGACCCGUUGACUAAGCUUCUCUCACGAGCAAAACAUGAUCACACCUUAGUACUCUUUGGGUGUUAAUCACAUAGCGAUGUGAACUAGAUUAUUGACUCUAGCAAACCCUUUGGGUAUUGGUCACAUGACGAUGUGAACUAUGGGUGUUAAUCAUAUACAGAUAUGAAUAUUGAUGUUAAAUCACAUGGCGAUGUGAACUAGAUUAUUGACUCUAGUGCAAGUGAGAGAUUGAAGAAAAUAUGCCCUAGAGGCAAUAAUAAAGUUAUUAUUUAAUUCCUUAUAUCAUGAUAAAUGUUUAUUAUUCAUGCUAGAAUUGUAUUAACCGGAAACAUAAUACAUGUGUGAAUACAUAGACAAACAUAGUGUCACUAGUAUGCUCUACUUGACUAGCUCGUUAAUCAAAGAUGGUUAAGUUUCCUAACCAUAGACAUGAGUUGUCAUUUGAUUAACGAGAUCACAUCAUUAGGAGAAUGAUGUGAUUGACAUGACCCAUUCCGUUAGCCUAGCACUUGAUCGUUUAAUAUGUUGCUAUUGCUUUCUUCAUGACUUAUACAUGUUCCUGUAACUAUGAGAUUAUGCAACUCCCGCUUACCGGAGGAACACUUUGUGUGCUACCAAACGUCACAACGUAACUGGGUGAUUGUAAAGGAGCUCUACAGGUGUCUCCGAAGGUACAUGUUGGGUUGGCGUAUUUCGAGAUUAGGUUUUGUCACUCCGAUUGUCGGGGAGGUAUCUCUGGGCCCUCUCGGUAAUGCACAUCACUAUAAGCCUUGCAAGCAAUGUAGCUAAUGAGUUAGUUACGGAAUGAUGCACUACGUAACGAGUAAAGAGACUUGCCGGUAACGAGAUUGAACUAGGUAUUGGAUACCGACGAUCAAAUCUCGGGCAAGUAACAUACCGAUGACAAAGGGAACAAAGUAUGUUGUUAUGCGGUUUGACCGAUAAAGAUCUUCGUAGAAUAUGUAGGAGCCAAUAUGAGCAUCCAGGUUCCGCUAUUAGUUAUUGACCGGAGACGUGUCUCGGUCAUGUCUACGUAGUUCUCGAACCCGUAGGGUCCGCACGCUUAAGGUUUCGAUGACAGUUAUAUUAUGAGUUUAUGAGUUUUGAUGUACUGAAGGAGUUCGGAGUCCCCGAUGAGAUCGAGGGCAUGACGAGGAGUCUCGAAAUGGUCGAGACGUAAAGAUCGAUAUAUUGGACGACUAUAUUCGAACAUCGGAAAGGUUCCGAGUGAUUCGGGUAUUUUUCGGAGUACUGGGGAGUUACGGGAAUACGGGGAAGAGUAUUGGGGGCCUUAAUGGGCCUUAGUGGGAAGGAGCCAGGAGGUGGCGCGCGCCCCUCCCAAGCCCAGUCCGAAUUGGACAAGGGGUUUGGGGCGCGGCCCCCCUCUCCCUUCCUUCUCCACUUCCCUCCUUUCCCCCCUUCUCCUAGUUGGACUAGGAAAGAAGGAGUCCUACUCCCGAUGGGAGUAGGACUCCCCUUGGCGCGCCCUCCUCCUAGGGCCAGCCUGCUCCUCCCUUGCUACUUUAUAUACGGGGGCAGGGGGGCACCACAUGACACACAAGUUGAUCUUCGUGAUCGUUCCUUAACCGUGUGCGGUGCCCCCCUCCACCAUAUUCCACCUCGGUCAUAUCGUUGUGGUGCUUAGGCGAAGCUCUGCGUCGGUAGAACAUCAUCAUCGUCAUCACGCCGUCGUGCUGACGGAACUCAUCCCCGACACCCUGCUGGAUCGGAGUCCGGGGAUCGUCAUCGAGUUGAACGUGUGCUGAACUCGGAGUUGCCGUACGUUCGGUACUUGGAUCGGUCGGAUCAUGAGGACGUACGACUACAUCAACCGCCUUGUCAUAACGCUUCCGCUUUCGGUCUACUAGGAUACGUGGACAACACUCUCCCCUCUCGUUGCUGUGCAUCACCAUGAUCCUUGCGUAUGCGUAGGAUUUUUUUUUGAAAUUACUACGUUCCCCAACAGAUACCUCCGCAGGUGCGAUUUUUUAUCUUGUUUGCUUCCGCUGGGAUUUGUCUUAUUUGGUUUGGUUGUCGGAAGCAGAAAAAACUAAUCCCGCUUUUUUGUCCAUGUCUCAUCUAUUAGAUUCUGGCCGCACUUAAGGAGGCAGUGGCACAUCAGUUCAAGAAAAGGGAGGAGGAGUUCUUGAAGAUGCUGGACGAUGCCAAGGAGUAGGUGCUGGCGGAAAUACGGUUCAAGACGGAAGCCAAACGACAGAGAGAUCUAGAAGACACGCUCGAGGAUUUCAUGGCCAGGGUGAAGAGGCAGGCUCCAAUGGCGGCGGCGUUUCACAACGUCACACCGUAUUCUCAUGUGCCAAGAAGCAAAACAGGUAAUCUUUCGUCUGUCAUCUUGCAACAUGCUGUAGUUUCGAUUAUUUUUAGCUUUCUUUUCAAGUUGCCCAUGCAUGCACUCUGCGAAAUGAGUUAGAAGUCAGCAUGUACGUGCAUGAAAAUGUUUGGUCUUGCAUGCAUGCAGUAGUGGGGCCCAUGUGUGGCUGUGAUGUUUUUGCAUGGGAGUGGGCCAUGCGAUGCAUGCAGAAUGCAUGAGCUUUUGCACGCUGUUGUUUUAUUACUAGAAAAAAAUGGCUUAUCCGUCUUCACCAAGCGACUGACGUUAAAAUGUGACUUUCAAAUAGAUAUCGUGCAAGACCUAGCUGCUACUUCACGUGAAGCUGCUCGAUCUCUGAUGGCUGUUGUGGUCCGUAACGAGGAAACACGUAGCCCCCCAGGUGCGCACGGCCAUUAUAGAAAAGCAAAAACUUAUUGCAUUUUUUCAAUCGUUGGCUUGUUUCAAGACAAACUGAAAUAUGGAUUGUUCCUAUUGAUGCCAGCUGGUGCAGCAGGUAUUUCGCUAGCCUCUGGAAGCCAGAACCAUAACGUGCAUGUGCCUCCGAUGGAGCGUGGAAAAGGUAUACAGUUGAUUAGAAACAGUUCUUAAUUAGCCGCGUCGUCUGUUGGAUCUUCAUACCUGUACUAAUUAUCCCUUGUAUUUUUUGCACAAAUUGUUGUUUCGGAACAAAUGGGUGUUGAUGAAGUUGAAGAUAAUCCAAUGAUCGAAGACCGUAAAGGAAAAGGACCAGCACUAAACGGUGAGUUGACACGAUUGAUGUAUGUUAUCAUCGUUUUUAGCAAUGGUCUAGCUUCUCACUCGACAGAACUAUGGGAUUGUGUGCAGUGGGUGGCCGCAUGUGUACUAGGCAGAUGACAAUGCAGGAGGCACUGGGAGCUGGAUCAACGCGAGACCAAGUUGUGCCAGUCGUACACCAAGCAUGCGACCAAGCUAUGUACGAAGGUGCGUACGGCCUGGGUAUGGUACUCAAUGCAUUGUCUUUGCGUCGGAAAACAGAAAAUAAUCACCUCGUUCGUGAUACAUUUUACAGGUAGUGUGCCUGACGGUGAAGGGCUGGGCGUUGCUAAUGGAGCUGGCAUUGCCACGCUUACUCCCAUAGGAAACAAGAGGCUUGCGCUCCCAGAUGGUGGCCAACAGAGUACCCCUGCCCCUCUAGGUUAGUCAAAAACUGAACAUAUGCAUUUUUUUUGCCACGUGGCAUCACCGCUUAACUGUUGCCAUGUACUCGCAGCUGUGGUUCCAGCAAUGCCUCCAUCUCCACCGCCACCUCCGCCGGAAUACGGAUAUUCACCAUUUGAGUUGGAGCUUCACCAUGUUUUUUAUCCGGAUUAUGUGUGCGCUGACUUCUAUGAGUCCGUCUCGCUGCUAACCAACCCAAAGGAACUAAGCAGGUUGAUUACCAUAUACGUCUUGUUUGCUAGAUUUUGAGAGCAAGCUGUUCUGGAUGUAGUUAAAAUGCCAUUGUUGUUGUAUGUGUUUUUCAGGACUUGGUUUGAGCACCACUCCCCUACUGUGCUGAGGAUAGAUGGUCACAAGAUUAAGUACCAGUUCAAUUUGCAUGAAGAGAUGAUGUACACUGGCCUUGAUGCUUGGGUGCGUGGGUGGAAUGAGAGGGAGAGGAGAAUGAUGGAGAGGGUGUGCCUGCCAAACUGGAGGGCUCUGGCCCCGCCAGAUGCUGUGGCGAGUGCAUAUUCAAUAAUGCAUCAGCUUAGUAUAACCAUAACCUAACUCGGUCCAUCUCACUGACAUCUCUGCAUCUUUCUCAUUUUUUUGUUGAAGCUCCACAUGGAAAACAUUGAUACUGAGGUGGGGCGUGCUAUGGUGACUGCCUUGCUUGCUGCGCCAAACCUUGGGUUUCAGGCUUGCCACUAGUCGUUUGGUGAGUUAAACAAACCUCUGAAUUUUAGACUUUGUUUAUUGCACAGAAAUCCUUCGAACUCAAAUCAAAAAACUUUUCUUUGCAGAUCAUGUUCCCCGUCUGGCUCAAUCACGAGUGGUGCUUGCACGUCUUCGACAUGGAGCGCACCAGGCUCAUGGUCUUUGAUCCCUUGUACACACAGUUGCCUGCGCACGUGUACGAGGGGAAGCAUGGGGGGACAGUGCGCAUGCUUCUAAGAGGAAUGCAAAUCCUUGGGACGAUACUGGUGGACGGCUAGCACAUGGACAUUUCUUCAUGGACCGUGGUGUACAACCAGGACAUGCAUGUGGCAUGCGGCAGGUACGUAUUGAAAUGCCGUUCGUUCUAGCUGAUCACGCCCUGGUUACAUCAACUGCUAAAUGCGUGUUUGGCAAACUAAAUGUUUCAGCGGUGAAUCUCCUGGCUACCUUGCUUAUUACGCUGACAACUACAACGGUCACGAACUGGAGCAAGCUGUCCCAGUGGUAAGUUUGCUCCCGUUCCGUGCAACUAGUUACUGCAACUAUAUGAGUUAUCGACAGCAUUAUGAUGAUGCCUUCUUUUUUUGCAUGAACAAACAAAAGGUUGUUCUCCCCGGGCGGCGCCAGAGGAUGCUGUAUGAGACAAUUGCCUGCCACGGCAACACUGCUCUCGCCCAGGAUUCAUGAAGCAGGUGGAGGAGGAGUAGGAUCCAGUCGCCAUGCCAUGGUGUCAAGCUUUUGGACUUCUGCUGGCACUGAUGUACAAGCGUCGUUUGUUCUUAAAUGUAGAACUUAACCAUGUAUCAUUUUGUAACUGGCUUGUUGCUGGUUUUGCCUGUCAAUGUGACGUGGUGGACGUGGCAGAUGGGUGGUUGGUUGAACCUAUUUAGUUGUAAUCAUCUAUGGGGUGUGCUGCUUUGCGUGACAGCUUGAAAAUUUGCAAUAUUGUGUGUUGUUUGUGUUGACCUGGAUUUGGUCCUCUUAAGAUAAUGACUACAGGGUUGAUUUGUCAAAUGGAAGCAUAGUUGGGUGAACUGUGCGACUAGAUUGGUACCUAACAAACUAGUGAGCGUACCUAGUUGGCCAGGAGAUGUGUAUCUCUGCGGCUCCACAUGUACGCGGCAGUCCCGCGAGCAUCAUGAGCCACAAAAUUUGAAAGAAUCAGUCCGUUGGGAGGGAGCCGCUUGCUAUAUAAUGACCAUGCCAGGCACCCAGCGACACCAUCCUCCAACACACACAUCCAACGGCAAUGUCUUAUUCCAUUUCUUCAAGCUCUAGAUCUGCUUCUUCCUCCAGGCCUGGUUUCCAUGGGCAAAACAGGUCCCCGAUGAGGUACAUGGUGGGGCCUAUGGACUACGAACCACCGACUCCUUGUGAAUGCAAGCACAAGCCAAAAGUAGCCAUGUGGAUCUCCUGGAGUGACGAGAAUCCUGGAAGAAGGUAAAACAUGUGCCAUGUCAAGGGUAAGUAAUCUUACAACCAACCUGAUUUUGCUGUGUUUUGCCGUGAGCUUUCUAGUUGAUAUGAUGUGCUAUUGUUUGGGCUCAGAUGGGAGGUUGCAACUUCUACAAGUGGCAUGACGAUCUCAUUGAAGAUCCCUUCCUGAAGCAACUGCUGAUUGAUCUGCAAGACAAGGUUCGCCUGCUGGAGACGAUGAAUUCUGAACUACACAGGGGAGCGAUGGCUGUGCAAGAGAGGCAGGUUGUCUAGGCUGAGAAUAAUCUAGCUCCAGUAGCUCAUCUGCCUGCGACCGCAAGGUGUGGCUACUGGAAGAAUGUGGCCCUGUUUGUGUUGGUUGUGGCAGUGGUGUGGAAUAGUAUAUUUGCCUAGGAAAUUAUUUGGUAGCCCAAUUUGGAAAAUAUCUAAUGUUGGUGGCCCAAAAUGUAUCCCCAUGUCUAUCUUGUAACUGCAGCACAUGAAACCUAGUUUGUCAUAACUUGUUUGCAUUUAGCUCUGAUAAGCUUCAUUACAACAUGGGAUUAAAAUGGGAUGCUAGACACAAAUGCCAUAUCUAGUAAAGCUGUCACACAAAUGGCUACCUCUUCAUUAAAACAACAAUGUUUGCCUACAGAAUGACAAACGGCCCUUUAAUUGCUUCGAGCGAGUCGCUGGCAGCUUUUGUUUGAUUUCCUUGCAUCCUCAUCAGCUCGUACAACAUGAGGUUGUUGUGCGAUACGAGUGUUUCCUACGAGAUAAGAUAGUCGGCAAUAGAUUAGUUUUUUUUUUGAAUAAUUAAUUCAUCCUCAGGGGCUAGGUGUUUCAUUCAAUCCGAAGAGCUUACUUUCGUGAGUGGGAUUUGCAACUUGUCACCGUCGUAGUUCCUUGAAAAAAAAGUGGCACACAAUCCGGCUUCGUCCCUGCAUAUCGAAUUAAAGAAUGGAAACCAAGAAGUGAGAAUUACUUGACAAGGAUAGUGGCUUUUCAUGUAUAGGCAGUGGCAGAUCAGGGGGGCUUACUUGUGAAAUUGUUCUCUCAUUAUGAUUGGAAAUGUACGUGUCCAGUGAGUUGAUUCACAAUGCCCUGAACUGAAAAAACUGUAGAGGCAGUUGAACAGAGCAGCAUGAAGUUUGUUGCUCACAAAUUCAUGGAUGCUGACUCGGCGAUUACUGUAUCCGAAUGGGCCAACUGCAGGGUCAUAAACGACGAUUCGCUUGCGCAGCAUGUCAAAUGCAUAAACCACCCAGCCAUCUGGGAGAAUAGCUGGAAUAAUCCACUGACAAAUGGACAUGGAAAAAAAAGUGAUUUCAAUGGGGAUGUAGGGUUCCACUAAAAGGAAAGUGUUUGAAUGAUGUCGGAUUACCAUGCGGCAUGAUGCUGGGUUGCAAGAGGCGGUUCCCUCCUGGAAGCUAGCCCUGAUGGAGUGCACAGUUAGUGGGUCGGCAUUGGACAGAACAGUUGUCUACACAUUCAGAAAGGGUUUGCGGUCAGUAAAAACGUGUCAUAAAUUUCAAAUUGGGGCCUGGUAUGAUGGUGUCACUCACCGCAAAAUUGGGCUCGAUGUAUUUCCUCCAUAUCAUACCAGGAGUGUCUUUUGAGAAGGACAUGUCAAGUUGGGCAAGCCUACGGAAGAUGGAAGUACAAAUUUCAUGGGACAUUUUCUCGUGUGCCACAAGCUGUUGCUGAAUAUCUAUGCCAUCCACUGAGAUGAAACGAGGUUUGGGGUGUACAACCCAUGGCCUGUUAAUCAGAAAAGAUGAAGGUUAUUGCUUGCCUCUGAAAAUUUAGGGACCCAUCAGUGUAUGUUUGCUGAGUGGUUAUGCUUGCCUCUGAAGAUUUAAGGUAGAAGCUGCUGCCAUCCAGUCUCUUAUAGCUCCGAGAUUGUUCUCGGGUGGUGGUGCAUUUACUGUACCAACAACCCAUGGGUCUCUGCCGAAAUUGCAUUUAGGAAGGUCAAUUUGCAAAGGUGCGCCUUCCGUAGUUGAUCCAAACAAGAUGCACUCAGGAGAUGGCCGGAUCUCAGCAUAAUAUGUUACAAGAAUGGCCGUUAGAUCAUCAUACAUACUGGCAAUCGUGCUAGCAAUCUCCAUAACCGACGAAUCCUGUGCUAUGGCCAUCUGGGUUUGCUUGUCAAUCUCAUCGCGUGAGCAUUGCUUCUUUGCUAACCCAGAGUGCACACUAGAUGAUAUACUUCCUUCCCUUUUUCUAGAUGCUGUGCUGGUAGCUGACAUGGCUCCUGCGAAAGUAAUAACAUGAAGGAUGUUGGGAUUGUUUUGUUUCUUGGAGAAGUUCUUGGAAAAGCUUCAAGUUGCUGACGUACCUUCAUGGUGGCCUGGUGCAGGCAAGCAUGGCCCAACCUUGCUUACUAAAGGAGUGCUGAAUUGGUUUUGGUCUGUUGAUGUUGUAGGAUGUGGUUGACAGUUGGUUGUGCCUUCACCAUUCAAAAUGCAAGAUUUGCGGCCGAAUGCCUUGCAGCAGGUACAACUUGCUGCUAGACAGGCCAUAAGCUUGUCUGUGAGAGUGAACAUGUUUGUCUGGAAUGCUUGGCGCAUUUCUAUUAUAUUAGCGAUACCACGUGCAUUCUGCUCGCGAAGAAGAAUACCCAGCUUCUCUGCUGACUAAAUGUUUGUUAGAGAGAUAAAUGGUUAGUCACAAGGCAUGAAUAUAUGUCAUCGCAGGGCAACAGAGAAAUGGUCAUGUUUGGGCACACUUACUAUGCUCGGGUAUUUUGUGCGGAUGUAAUUUGAAAAAUCUUGUGGGCCAGUCCUUGUGUAAUUACACCGUAGCAUUGGUGUGGAUGGUAUGCUUGCUCUUUUAGGGGCUGUUGCUUGUUUGGGGGGAUUUAGGGAGCAUGUAUCUUUCGCACGGAGUUCAAUCGGCUUGCUAAAAAAGAGCUCGGGCCGAACCUAAAGCAAACAGUGAGAAUUUUUAGUAUGGUGCGUGGAAAAAGAAGUACAAGAAAAUAUAUCACAAACCGCAAACUUCAAUAAUUAUGAAGACGAUAAUUACCGCUCCCCCGUGGUAGGAAAUCUCCCCAGGAGAUAUGUUCACUGCAAUCUUCUCAACCAUCUUCCUCAUUGAAUCAUAAUCAUACAAACCUAUGCGUGGGGUUAUUUCUCGUGGCUUGUUUAGUAUACCAAGGUCGAGACAAUCGAGAACAAAAACCUGAUUUAUAUGUAACGACAACAUAGAACAAAUGCAUUAGCAUGGGAUCUAGAUUGGCACAGCAAGAAGAUUGAAAAAUGAAAAAGCUCACUAGUUUGUGCAAAGUGGACCACAUACCUGCAGAAACAAGUGACAACCAACUAUGUGGAUGGUUGGGUUUCUCUUUGAAACAUCUGUCUUGAACUUUCUGACUCUUGAUCUUGCUAAUGUCAGUACAUACCCUCCCCAGUUCUAACUCUUGAUCUUGCUAAUGUCAUUCAGUGCAACCCAGCAAUCUAUGGAAAUAUAAUCAUGUUUGGAGGUGGGAGCCAGCACAUGACCGAUUAUAAAAAUAACAAAUGCAAUCUUGAAACAGUCCUGCUGUACUUGGGAGGACGCUUCUGAUAUAGCUCCAAGCAAAACAUUUUCAGCUGCUUUUAGGCUAUGUGUGCCUUUGUCGCUGAAUGUUGCUGCCAUUCGGGUGUACUCGAUGCAGGCUUCUGAUGGCUCGACACCUUCGCCGUUUAUAUCAAAUUCACCGGAGGGGAUGCCAAAAACAUAAUUAAGCUUCUGUUCGGACAGUUCAAGCACGCCCUGUUCCUCAAGGUGGAUUGUGCUGGAUUCUACAUGCACUCGGUCCAUUAAAAAAGCGCUAUACUUCAGAUUAAUCUUCUGCCAUGCCUUCACCUCUAGAAACCCCCCAAAACCAGUCUCCAUAACUAGCUGCCGCUUGAAAUCACUGAACUUGGCAACAACCGAACCAACUUUGAGCAAUGAAAGCCUGGAAGUAAAACAUGGUGUCCCUGGUAAUCCAGUGGAACCACCUGAACCAUCCUCGUCGCUAACCGAAUCUUCAGGGGAUUGGUCACUCUUUUCUACAUGAUUAAUCACCAUAGCAGCUUGUAUCCCACUAAAUAAAUCUGUCAUCCUCACUUCUCUAACUGCCUCACAGCAAAAAACUUCUGCCAAUGCGAACAGAAGCGAGCUAGGGAUGAGCAAAACACCACGAAUAGAGAAGGAUACGGCACCACAACGCCAAAAACAUAGGAGGGGGCGAGGGUAGGUACCUUUCGGGAGAACUCUUCGGCCGUACGCCGCACGCCGCCGGCCAAGAUUCAACCUCGGCGUCUCCUGGACGCCCGGGGACGAGGCAGUCGGUGCUCCGGCUGGCUCCUUCAGAAUAAAUCUGUCAUCCUCACUUCUCUAACUGCAUCACAGCAAAAAACUUCUGCCCAUGCGAACAGAAGCGAGCUAGGGAAGAGCAAAGCACCACGAACAGAGAAGGAUACGGCAUCGCAACGCGAAAAACAUAGGAGGGGGGAGAGGGUGGCAACCUUUCUUGCAUGGCCGAUGUUCGCAUUUUUCGCGAAGCGGCAGCCUUUCUUGCAUGGCUUUGCUGCCGGCCGGAUUGUGAGGUGUGUAUGCCAAUGCCGCUGCCAGGUAUGAGUUGGAACGCUGGACUGGUUGAGGCCCCGGCCGGGGUUUAAAAAGACCAACUCUUCCGGACUUGAUUAGCCUUAUUAUUAUCUCAAGCCUGGCCACCACCGGAGCGUAGACCUCAAGUCGUCCGUCAACCUCAAGACCUCAAGUCCACCACCGGUCAGCCAGUCUCCGCGGGGCCCUCCAAGGCGGGGGACCAACGAAGGAGGGGGCCCAUCACGUGGCUGGGGGAGGAAUUAAAAUCUGCUGCAUGCGCAUGCUGUGGUUGCCUGGCAACACCAUCGGUGAUACGGUGCUCCAAUUGACCCUGGACCGUUUGAUCUUGUCGGAAGGGACACCACGAAUGCACACGUGUCGGGCAGCUCUCCCACCGUGAAAUAUUAAAAAAAUAUCCUAAUCUAUGUCUUUAAUUAAGCCCGAGGCCAUGUUCCUACGAGUAUUCCAUCCUGUCUUUUUUAGUCUGCAUAUAAGUUUUGACCGAACUCAAAGUAUCUUUACUUUUCUUUAAUCUUUACUUUGAUCAAACUUAUUAGAAAAAAGUAUCAACAUUCGCAAUGCCAACUCAAUGUUAUUAGAUUCAUUUUGAAAUGUUAUUAGAUUCCUUAUGAAACCUUCAAACACUCGCAUGAUCUCUCAUGAUGCCAUGCACUCGAGUAUCUUCCGACGAGCCUUGGAAACCUGAAAAUCAUUGGAAGACGUUUUUAAGGUUAUGGAUACUAGAGCAUCAAGUCUUUGCCACGGCGUAUACAACAACUCACCAGUCCCCUGGUGUUGCAAAAAUGCGGACAUAAGUGAACUGAGGCUGUUGUGUGAACCGGGCUUACCCCGUUGCCCGCAUGAAAAACAUUGUUUUUUUAACGGACCGCAUCAAAAACAUUGUAAGUGUUCUACCAAGCUUUAUCUUCUAUAUCAUCAAAAACAUUGGGUCUUUCACGAUAAAGGACGGGGCGGAGAUUCGUUUUUGAGAAGACAUCUGGCUAGGCAAUGCCAGUCUCCGAGAACAAUAUCCAUCCUUGUCCAACAUCGCUCGCGAUAAGAAUAAAAUAAUUGCGCAGGUGCUCAGUUCAUUCCCGCCCAAUAUUUCGUUUAGGCGGGAUUUGAUUGGGCCCCGUCUUACGUCAUGGCAUAAUCUUUUAUCCCAUCUGGAUUUGAUCAAUUUGACACAAGGUCGGGAUGUGUUUCGCUGGAACCUUACUGCAUCGGGGUCUUUCAUAGUAGAAUCUAUGUACCGUGCGCUCACGCAUUCUGAGGUACCAGUGAGCAACAACAAGAAAAUCUGGAAGUCAAAGAUUUCACUAAAAGUUAAAAUCUUCCUGUGGUAUCUUUGUAGGGGAGUUGUUCUAACCAAAGACAACCUCGCACGACGCAACAGGCCAGGGAGUAAGAAGUGUUGUUUUUGCACUCAUGAAGAGACAAUCAAACACCUCUUUUUCCAAUGCAAGUUUGCACGUUCUACGUGGUCAGUCAUCCAAAUAGCGUCAAAUUUGUAUCCACCCACAAGUGUCGCCAAUAUUUUUGGUCAUUGGUUGGAUGGUAUUUCAAAUAGGUUGAAAACGCUAAUAAGGGUGGGAGCGUAUGCCUUACUAUGGUCGCUUUGACUAUGUAGAAAUGAUUUGGUUUUCAAUAACAAAAAUGCUUCUCCUUUGCAGGUUAUUUUCCGUUGUACGCACUCGCUUCAUACGUGGUCUACGCUACAACGAGUGGAGUACCAACCGCAGUUCAAGGCGGUGUGUACGCGGUUGGAGCAGGUGGCUUCGGAGGUUUUUACCCAACAUGGGUGGCAGCAUAAUCUCCGGAUCGGUCCACCAUCCCUUUCGACAUAGGCAUAAUGUCGGUCUAUAUGACUCUAUUGUCGCCCAUUUGUCAUCUUUUUUUCUUUCUUUUUAUCAGAUUUUAGGUGAUUGGCUGUGUGCAUCUUAGUUAGCAGAGGCCGGGUGUUACUCAUAAUGCUUUGUAUUCUCUGGAUGCUACUUUUUGAGAUAAUAAAAGCGCCCUUUAUCGGAAAAAAUUGUAUGUUGCCACCUUAUCUCUAUUUUUAGCUCUAAAUGAGCCUUGGCUGGACCUUUGUACUGUAUUGUAUUGGUAUUUGUUUGUCUAUUCUUUAACAAACAGGGAGUGUAUGUAUAUUCUGCACUCUACCUUUUUCAUGUUGUUCGGUUUGCUCCAGAGUCGGCUCUACAUUUGCAUAGCAAAGAAAAUGGCACAUGAUGGUUAAUAUGAGAACAUAUUUGUUUGAAAGAUCUGUUCACCACCAGUGCUUGUAGACUUAUUCAUGUAAAUCUGAAGCUUUCAUUUGAGCUGAUGUUUCUUUAUUUUGGUGAGUCAAACCGUAUCGACUCGACCAUGCACACCGAGGCUCCGUUGCUAGCGAAAUGAGAAGCUCAAGGCUUCGGCUCCCCACUCCCCGCUCUGAGCCCGCGCCGCUCCCCGCUCUGAGCCCGCGCCGGCAGCCGCUCCGGCGGCCACCUCCCCUCGCCGCUCGUCACUCCGGCGGCGGCGCCCACCCCUUCCAUGGCGUCCCGCGUUUCUCUCUCAGCCGGGACAUCAUCAGGCUCGUAUUCGGAGCCCUUUCCUCCACGGCCGGUGCUCCGCUCCGAAGGCCAGCGCAGAGGGGUCAUCGUUCUCCGUGCCCUUCGAGCAGCCGCCUGUGGAUUGUGGAGUGGCCGAGGGCAUCCAGGCGGAGGCCUGCUUCCUCGAGGCGUCGAAGGACCUCUGGUCGAUGGAGGCGGAGCUUUCGCGAGCGGUGCUGGUCACGAUCACUGGCACCCGGCCACCAGUGGAUCUGGCGGACGCAGCCCGGGCACUGCAUGUGGAGUUCGGCAUCGGUCCGGAGGACAUGUCCAUUCGCGCUUUCUGGCCGGAAGAUUUCCUGGUUCUGUGCCGCGAGGCUUCCCUGCGGGAGCGCAUGGUGCGGGCCGAACGAGCAUCCUCGCCCUAGUUUGAGCUGUCUCUCAGGCCAUGGCUGCGACAGGCACAGGCUACGGCGGUUUCACUGCCCCUCCUCGUGCCCAUCUCUCUCCGUGGGGUGCCGACGGAUGGCCACCGUCAUUCUGCAUGGAGCCGGCCUCAUCGCCGGAGUGGAUGACCAAACCGCGCGCCGCCACAACAUGUCGAACUUCAGAGUCUGACUGCGCACGGAUCGGCUUGACCGCAUCCCCAGCAGACGCGUUCUCUUCGUCGAGGAGCACAGCCGCACGGUUUGGGCGGGCGCCGAGGCGCGCCGCUCGUCAGGCUGGGGAAGAUCCCGCAUGCUUAGCUACCCAAUCUCCCUCACCGUGCUGGCGGAUCCUAUCGUGGACCUUGAAGAUGCUUCCUUCCCUCCCCCACCUCCGCCCCCACCGCCACCAUCGCUGCCCUCCGACUCUGCGGAUCCCGAGUACCACCGUCCUGGUGGGACUGAGGGGGCUCCCCCGCGCGCGAGCUGGACUCCGGUGAGUUCGCCGAGCUCCUCGGCGGCGUCGGCCACGGUGCCCCCGGCGAGGCAGGCCGGAAUUCAAAAUCAGGUGCGCACCACGUCACCUCAGCCGCAGCGUCAGGAUUGGGGUGGACCAGUGGAAAGUGGUCAUGGCGGGACCGGCUCGGUCCUCGCCGUGCUGGAAAGUGGAAUUGCGCCUCUCCCUGCUAGACACGUGGCACGUGACCAAUGGGUGGAUAGCCCGGCAUCGUAGCUCAGCUGUGCCAGGCGUGGGUCCGGCUCUGGGGUGGACGCGUCGUCUUGCGCCUCUGCACCCAGCCCUGUCACGGUCGCUUUGCCUGGGGCGCCUCGGGCUCCGAGGGCGGACCGGUCGCAGCCCUCUGUCUGCAUGGUGGGAUAACUGGAUAAUGGUGGGGCCUCUGAUGCUACCGGGGCGCAGGAGACUGCGGCAACUCCUGCCAGGAAUCUUGAGGAGCCAGUUCCGAUUGGUUCAAUGGAGAUCUUUCCGUUGGAGGGUAGUGUAGACCAGUGGGACCCAACCCGGGCGUGGAAAAGGAAUGUGUGGUGGUUGGUUUGGACAGGGACAACAUGUCUCCCUGUCCAUUGUCGGUCAGCUCUCCGUGGGGUGGGCCGGAUCCACCUCGGGCCUCGCGCCUAAUGGGAGAUGCGGAUUGGUUCAGGGUCAGUCUGUCUGCGGAUUCGUGCGGCCCCGCGGCUACUUUAUCACCUGUCACUUCUGCCGAUCAUGGGCCACGGGUGGAUAUGGACCCUAGCACUCCUCCCCAUGCAGACCGUUCCAUGCAAGCAGCCGUUCGGCUCCCAGACCCUGCCACCCCAUCUCAUACUGGUUCGGGCAUGCAUGCGGGAGGCCAUGAGCCUGUUGACACUUCCCCUGCCGGGCACGCCCGCAGACUUGUGGAGGAUUUUUGCAGGGAUGUGAGGCGCUCCCUCUCGCCACUCCUUGACACCCCUGCGGAUCCGCCAGCGCUCGGGACAUCUAGGGCACGCCGGCCACGUGUGAAGCACAUGCCGGUUAGCUCACCAAGACGGAGCGUGCGCAUUGCCAAAUGCAAGAUGGCAUCGACAGCAACCAAGCAGCAGCAAGUGCUCAUUCGCAAGCUUUGUUUGGCCAAUGAAGGAGAAGUGAUCGGAGAGGAGGCCUUGCAGAUGUAUGCCAAGCUGUUUGUGCACCCACUUUCGUUUGUGCAUGUCACGGCAAUCCUAGCUCUUUUCGGAUGGGAACCUUCGGUUCUGCCCAUGGUGGAGCUGCCAGCAGAGCUGGCAGAGGCAGCGUGAUCACCAGCUAGUGGAUCACUCACGAGUAGAUUUUUUUCAAUGUUGAUGCAACCUUGCAAGGUUCUUGUGUGGAACGUGCAUGGCUUAAACGCUCCAGCGCGUCGUAAUGCAGUUUUCCAGGUGUGUCUAGCGGUCAACCCAGGCAUUGUUUGCCUUCAGGAGACGAAACUUGAAUGUGUAUCUGCGGCCAUUGUCACUCAAUGUUUGGGUAAUAGAUUUGACCAGUUCUUUUACCUUCCGGCUUGGGGCACACGAGGCGGCAUCCUCUUGGCCUGGGACCCACUCAUUUGCAACUUUCCAACCCCCAUUACACGGAUUACACUGUCAUGGCUCUUGUUAAACCGUUGGGCUCCUCUGCCCAGUGGUGGCUCACCGGGGUCUAUGGACCACACCAACAUGAGCACAAGGACGAGUUUCUUCAUAAGUUAGCGGAGAUUCGAUAUCUGCACGCCGAGCCCUGGGCUGUUUUGGGUGACUUCAACCUAAUUGUCAAUCCAUAAGACAAGAGGAACACUUUGAUUAACCGGUGCAUGAUGGCAAGAUUCCGAGCAAGACUGAAUGACCUGGAGCUUAAAGAAAUAUAUCUCAAUGGUCGGAGAUAUACCUGGUCGAACGAAAGAGGCAGUGGGACUCUAGAGAAAAUUGAUCAUGUUUUCACCACGGUGGAUUGGGAAGCCCUGUACCCAACAUGCUUCCUUUCGGCUCUGCGGUCUGCAGUUUCAGACCACUGUCCUCUCCUACUUGAUCUACAUGCGGACUUCAGAAUAGGCAAGAGAUUUAGGUUUGAAUCAUUCUGGACAAAAGCAGACGACUUCCACCACAUUGUCGCGGCGGCAUGGAGAUCAAUAUCAUCUUCAGGAAAUCCCUUUGUGGUUCUUGAUCAGAAACUGAGAGCCAUGGCGAAAGCACUGCAGAGUUGGGCUGACAAAGUGGAUCGGCAAUGUUAAAUUCCAGAUAGGCCUAGCUCUUGAGCUCAUCAAGCAACUUGAUGUGGCAGCGGAAUCAAGAGCAUUAUUGGAGGAGGAGAGGUCCUUGCGGAGAUUGCUCAAAAGAAAACUCCUAGGUCUUUGCUCGCUGGAAAGGAUGAUCGCACGGCAAUGAUCCCGCAUGCUAUGGCUUAAGGAAGGGGACGCUAGCACUGAGUUUUUCCAUCAGCAUGCAAACCACAGGCGGAGGAAGAACGUGAUCAUGACCAUCAACACGGAGAGUGGUAUGUGCACCGGGCACGAGGAAAUCGCGGCUGCCGCCGACGCCUACUAUGAGAACAUCCUGGGAAAGGCCCCGCAGCGUGACUCUGGUCUGGACCUCGACACACUUGACUUGACUAACCUAGAUCUCCAACACCUUGAGGCUCCUUUUUCCGAACUGGAGGUGGGCAACAUAAUCAAAUCCAUGCCCAAGGACAAGGCUCCCGGCCCGGACGGUUUCACCAGACGAUUUUACGCCGCAUGUUGGGAUAUCAUCAAAGGGGAUUUCAUGCGCGCAUUGGACUGUUUCUACAAAGGAGAUGUUCGUGGAAUGCAGGCCAUCAACAAAGCCUUGAUCACCUUGCUCCCCAAAAAAGAUGGGGCGAUCGAACCGGUGGACUUCAGGCCCGUUAGCUUAAUACAUGGUGUCGUUAAGAUCUUCGAUAAGAUUCUUUCAGUAAGGGACACCGCGGAUCUCCCAAGGCUAGUAGGGAUGCACCAGAGUGCAUUCAUACGUGGGCGAUCGCUUCAUGACAAUUACAUGCUCGUCCAAUGCAUGGCCAGAAAGCUGCACGCGUUGAAGCAACCGACUGCACUGAUCAAACUUGACAUAUCCAAAGCUUUUGACACGAUCCAGUGGGCUUUCAUCAUGGAGGUUUUGAGAAAACUUGGCUUUGGGCAGCGGUGGAUGUCCUGGAUCGCCGGCCUCCUGUCUACAGCAUCCACCAGAGUCUCAAUAAAUGGCAUCCCAGGAGCGCCUAUUUCCAACCGCAGGGGCCUGAGACAAGGCGGAUCCCUCUCCCCCAUGCUGUUCAUCAUGAUGAUUGAGCCGCUCCACCGCUUGUUCUCCUUAGGGGACAGAAAAGGGAUGCUCACACCCCUCACUAGGUAGGGCUCAAGUCAACGGGUCUCCUUUGCGGAUGAUCACUAGUGCAGAACCGGGCAAUAGCACCGGUUCGUAAGGCCCUUUAGUGCUGGUUCCAUAACCGACACUAAAUUGUGGUCACUAAAGGCCCCCCCUUUAGUACCGGUUCAGCACGAACCGGUGCUAAAGGGCAACCACGUGGCACGAGCCAGCUCCGGUUGCCUGGAGCCCUUUAGUACCGGUUGGUAAGACCAACCGGUACUAUAAGGUUUGGGUUUUUUUUAGUUUUAUGAUUUCUUUUUCAUUUAAUUUUGUGUUUCCAUUUUAAUUCUUUUUCGUUUGCUGGUAUUUUACGAUACUACAUAUUGUANNNNNNNNNNNNNNNNNNNNNNNNNNNNNNNNNNNNNNNNNNNNNNNNNNNNNNNNNNNNNNNNNNNNNNNNNNNNNNNNNNNNNNNNNNNNNNNNNNNNNNNNNNNNNNNNNNNNNNNNNNNNNNNNNNNNNNNNNNNNNNNNNNNNNNNNNNNNNNNNNNNNNNNNNNNNNNNNNNNNNNNNNNNNNNNNNNNNNNNNNNNNNNNNNNNNNNNNNNNNNNNNNNNNNNNNNNNNNNNNNNNNNNNNNNNNNNNNNNNNNNNNNNNNNNNNNNNNNNNNNNNNNNNNNNNNNNNNNNNNNNNNNNNNNNNNNNNNNNNNNNNNNNNNNNNNNNNNNNNNNNNNNNNNNNNNNNNNNNNNNNNNNNNNNNNNNNNNNNNUCAUGCAUAUAUAUAUAUCAUCAAUGUCUCACAAACCACCAUAUUAAUUAAUUCACACAUACACACAUUUAUAGCUAUAUACAAUUUCUCCUACAUAUGCAUGUUGCCUUCGGAGCCAGUGGCAUUAGCCUAAUUGGUGCCUUCGGAGCACGAUGACAAUUGGAAGUGGUUUUCAUGGGGGCAGUAGCGGGUAAUAGAAUUCUCCCUUCGGAUUUAUGACCUGGUCGAGCAAAAAUCCCGCUAUUUCCUCUUGAAGUGCUUCUACGCGCUCCGUUUUUAGGAGCUUCUCCCGCACCUCUUUGAACUGUUAAGAAGGAGAUCAAUAUGCAUGUGUAUUAGUUGUGUGACUAGAUAUCGAUAAUGGUGUAAAAAUUAUGAAUAGUGUUCUGACAAGCGUACCCAUUUCUGUCUUUGAGAUCUGCUCCUUUUGGACGCCAUCAUGCGAAUGUUCUCGCAAACGCAGAAUGCACACAGAUCAGUCCCCUGCGCCUGCUUCAGGGCCUUUACGAGAAUGGAAUUUGAUUAGAUAAUUAAUCAAGCAUGAUAAUUAAUGAGAUGAUAGCUAGCUAGCUAGCUAGUACUACUUAAUUACUUACCUUGGGUCGAAACCAUUUAAGCUUUUUUUUCCAUUCGCCUUCCGUGACGCUGAUGAACCUUGCCCAAGCCCUACCCGCCGACAAAGAAAAUGAAUAAAGGGGUUAUUAAAUAGUUCAUAUCAUGAAAUGACGAACUAAAUAGGCCGAGAUAUAUAGUUAAUAAUGAUUGAAAUUACCUGUUGACUAUCCCAAACAAGAUGUUAUAGUCAGUUUUUUCUGAGAGUAGUGAGUCCAGUACUUCAACUGUUCCGGCGUCAACUUUAAUGAUACACAAGACCCAGUGAAAUCUGCAUGCACACACGUUUGCAUGUCUUAAUUAAGCGGGCAUAUGUAAGCAAAAACAUGUAGCUAGCUAGUAGGCAAAAACAGAGAAUUUGUAGUACAAGACAGUGUGACUCACUGGAAGUUGUAAGGAAGUAGUAUAUCUUCAUUGUAUUUGAGGCGCUUCAAGAACUCUAGCUUGUUGUCCUCUACGUUCUUUUGCUGACGUGGAUUUAUUAGCCAUGUGUAUUCAUUAACGGUGUUUGGGUCAAUGAACCCAAUGCCAAAGCGUCCACCUUUUCUCAUUUCAUACAUCUUCAUUCUGCAUAAUACCACAGGAAAGAAUAUAGUGAGGAUAAUUACAGGUAAUGAUUGAUCAAAAGGAUCACUACAGCUAGCUUGAGACUUAAAUUACAGAAAGAAAUCACUUACAGACAAUAGCAACUGACGAUAGAUUUGUCGAGUGCGUCUUGAUUGUAUAACUGAAACAGUUCAGUAUACUCAACGGACACAUCUUUCUCAUGUAAGUAAUGCUCCUCCUUGACAUUCACCAUGAGGGACAAUCGAUCUGAAAUCUUGGUAAUGUUCAUGUACCAUUGAUGCAAUUCAUACAUUCUCGUUGGGAGGUUCUUGACCUUGUCUGGCGCGACCAAAGGUUGGCCCCGGACAUAUUUCCAUUUUAUUUCAUCCUCUCUAAGCAAAGGCAUGGGCUCGAUCUCGAGGAGUUGUCCAACAGUGAUGCUGAGAACUUCAGCCUGCAUUAUAUGCUCCUCCGUUAUUACCACAUUGCCCACCUCGGGAACGUGCACUGUUUGCCCACAAUAAUAUUGGGCGCGCGUACUGUCACGUGUUGUUGGCACAACAAGCGAGGGGAUCGAUUGCGCCGCCUAUUCUCCCAGCUGGGGAAUGGUUUUCCCGCAUUUUUUGACAGCUGCUUCUUGUUUGCUCGAUCCCGAUGUAGACGUGCUCGGUGCAAAAUGGGCUUCCACCUCGGACUUCGAUAUGGCUGCGAUUUCCUCCUCGGACCUGUCAUAAGACCUCUGCGGAAGAGGCGUGAGGCUUGGACCAUAUUUAUAUCGCUUGCCGCCGCCUGUACUUCCUGUACUACCUCGACUCAUACCGCUACGCACCAUAGCUGCGGGGUGUCUCUUCUGCGAUUGCUGAGGCAGCGGAGACGGCUGACGGGGCUGAGUUGGACGAGGAGGAGUGGUCUGAGGUUGUGCCGGACUUGGAGGAGGAGUGGACGUCUGACGCUGUGGUGGACUUGGAGGAGGAGGAGUGGCCUAACACUUUGCCGGACUUGGAGGAGGAGGAGUGGCCUGACACUUUGCCGGACUUGGUGGACUUGCAGGAGCGGGAGUCUGCUGACUCGGUGGCGGACUUCGACGAGGAGUCGGCUGACGCGGUGUCGGUGGCCUUCGAAAGAUGAUGCAAUCCUUUUUCCAUAGGAUGAUACGAUGUUUGGCCUCUCCGAGAAAGCGCUCGUCGUCACCUCCAGGAAUGUCAAGCUAUAGCUCCGAAUAUAGUGGGUCCACCACCUCAUCAACCAUGACACAAGCAUAGCCUGCUAGAAUCGGGUUGCAAUGAAAGGUUGCCUCGGGGGGAUUUGUAAAAGCAAAGCCGUCCGCCACCUUCAUGGAUAUGUUCUUCAUUUAGACGUGUAGCUCGCAGUUAGUGUUCUCCGUGAUGUCAUCCACGGGGUAUCUACCCAGCAUUGCGUCGUCCAGGACGGAACCCACGCUGCUUCUUGACAUGGAUGGGCCGGUGCUAUCCAAUGCUGGAUCAUCCGCUAGCUGCUGCAGUUGCGGAGACCCCCUUUGCUGGGUAAGUGAGUCGAUCUGCUCCUGCUGCCGCUGGAAUUUGAUUGCCAAUUCCGCUUGACUUGCUUCUAGGCCUUGAAGGCGUUCAUAGUCCCGCUUCCUCUGCUCCUCCUCCAUCUUCCUCUUCUUCUCCUCCGCAAUCUUCUUUCUCGCACGGGUUCUGUAGUCGGUGUUCCAUUCUGAAAACCCCUCAUACCACGGAAUAGCGCCCUUGCCUCGUGUUCUUCCCGGGUGUUCAGGAUUUCCGAGGGCACGCGUAAGCUCGUCGUUCUCUCUGUUGGGCUGGAACAUGCCCGAUCAUGCGUCUUCUAUUGCAACAAGUAUUGCAUCUUCGGCUCCCUUCAGACUUGCCCUCGUCGAAACAUUGCCUGUCUCCGGGUCCAACUCCCCCCCAUGCGCAUAGAACCAAGUCCUGACCCUGGGGGCCAGCUCUUAGUAACUGGAGUGACACCUGCAUCCUCCAUCUCUUUCUCAGACUUAUCCCACUUAGGCAUUGCCACCGCAUAGCCACCUGGCCCCAGCUUAUGGAACUUAUCCUUUUUUUCAGCAUUCUUCUUGUUUAUUCUCGACCGUUCCGUAGCUAAUUCUGAAUCCUUGAAUUUCACGAAAUCGUCCCAAUGAGCACGUUGGUUCUCUAGUGUUCCCUUGAAUACUGGAGUCUUACUUCCUCCCUUGACGUACUUGUUCCAUUCACGAUUCUUGUGGUUCUUGAAUGCAACCGCCAUCUUCCUAAGAGCAGCGUCCUUGACUUUCUGCACAUCUGCUUUUGUGAAAUGAUCUGGUAGGGUGAAAUGUUCCAUGAGAGUAUCCCAAAGCAGAUCUUUUUGAUUCUUGUCAACAAAAGUAACAUCUGGACGUGGCUUUGCUGGCUCUCUCCAUUCUUGAAGUUUGAUCGGGAGUUGGUCCUUCACAAGAACUCCGCACUGACGAACGAACUUGUCCGCAAUCUUCUAAGGCGCAAAUGGUUUGCCAGUAGGGCUGCAUGCCUCGAUAUUGUACUUUACGCCCUGCUUCAACUUUUUGUUCGGGCCUCGUUUCGUCAUUUUGCCUGAAGAUUUGCUCGAUUCGGAUGGCUGAAAGAACAAAGAUCGAUUCGUUAAUAUAUCUUCAAGUCAUUUAAAACAUGUGAUGAUCACCAGAUGCCUGCUUAUAUAAAUAUAUAUACCUCGCCGGUCUUUGUUGUUUCAGGAUCAACAUAUUCUUCGUCAUCGUCAUAAUCGUAGUUCAUGACUUCAUCAAUUCGGUCGUCGCGAUCGAAUAUCAUAUCACCCUCUCCGGUGUUGUUUAGAAAUUCGAAGCCGUCAUAAUCUUCUUCAUUUUGAUCAUCAUCUGGCCCGCGUAUCAUAUCGAACAUGGUCUGUUCUCCCUCUCUAUCGGUAUUGUCUGCCAUAGCUUUUAUUUAACUAAUCCAAAAGAAAUAUAAAACAAUUUAGUAUUCAAAUUACAUCGUCUCGAAUAAUAGAUAUAAUCUCGAAUACAUCUUCUAGAAUAAUAGAUAUAAUCUCGAAUACAUCGUCUCGAAUAAUAUAUAAUAUUGAAUAGUACAUCACUUGCUAGGUAGCUAAUAAAGAUCGAAUACUACAGAAGAAUCUAGGACACUCGCGGUUCCUAUGGCGCGGGCGGUGGACACCCAAAGAGAAGGAACCCUCACAGGAUCAUAGCUGAAGUGAGAUCCCCGAAGAAACUGCCAGGUAUUGGAGAACCUGUCGCCCUCUAACGCAACCAUGUAGCGAUGGACGUGCUCGUCCUCCUCCCUGACACGGCGACGUACCACCUCCGGCGGGUCCGGGUCCCUCCGCACCGAAACUGGCCCACGCGAAUGCCACCAAACGAGAUCAGGGUCGACGACGGGACCCGGGGCCGGGUUCCUCAACAAGCGGCGCGCCCCUCCAGGCAGCACCUCCCAGUGCCAGCCCGGCGGAGCCCAGUCCCGGACAUGGGUCGGCUGGAGGUCAUCACGGACGGGUCGACGACGAGGAUGCGGGCCGGGCAUCGUCGAGAACAAAUACUAGCUAUAUGCCCGCAAAAAGUAACAUUUUUUAAUGAUUGGAUUUUGAUAACUAAAAUUUCUAACAUUUCUAUAUAACACUAAUUAUGCUAUCAUUGCAUAUGUCAAAAAUCUAUAUACUAUUUCAUACUAAUUAAGCAUCUAACACUAAAAACAGAAAACACAACUUCUAUGCAUCCAUUAAAAAACUGAAAAACAACAUUAUAUAAAAAAUUUCCAUACUAAUUAAACACUAAUUAUAUCCAUCUAACAUGCAUUCAUACAUAUAUAAUAGUGAAAAAAUAAUAAUCUAAAUAAUCUAAACUAAUUAAACAUACAAAAUACGUAUAUACUAAUUAAACACUAAAUAAUCUAAACUAAUUAAACAUACAAAAUACAUAUGUACGUGUGUGUGUGUGUUCAUGCAUGCUUGUGUGUGUGUGUNNNNNNNNNNNNNNNNNNNNNNNNNNNNNNNNNNNNNNNNNNNNNNNNNNNNNNNNNNNNNNNNNNNNNNNNNNNNNNNNNNNNNNNNNNNNNNNNNNNNNNNNNNNNNNNNNNNNNNNNNNNNNNNNNNNNNNNNNNNNNNNNNNNNNNNNNNNNNNNNNNNNNNNNNNNNNNNNNNNNNNNNNNNNNNNNNNNNNNNNNNNNNNNNNNNNNNNNNNNNNNNNNNUAUAUACUAAUUAAACACUAAAUAAUCUAAACUAAUUAAACAUACAAAAUACAUAUGUACGUGUGUGUGUGUGUUCAUGCAUGCUUGUGUGUGUUUGUAUGGGCUCGGGGAAGGGCGGCGCCCAUGGUGGCCGCCGGGGGCGAGGGAGAGGGGUUAGAGGGGGAGAGCUCACAGCGGGCGACGGCGAGGCGACGGUGAGGCGACGGCCGGGGCGGCGAUGGUGGGGACGGCGCGACGGGGAUGGCCCGGGGCGGCGACGAAGACGAGGGCGGCGACGGGGACGGGGGCGGCGACGGGGACGGGGGCGGCGACGGAGACGAGCGGCGACGGAGAUGAUCGAGGGCGGCGUCGACGGCGACGGAGACGGAAACAGAGGAAUAAACAGAGAGAGAAACUGAAAUUUUCGUAGUUGUUGUAUAUAUAGAAGGCACCUUUAGUACAGGUUGGAGCCACCAACCGGUACUAAAGGCCUGUUUUGGCCAAGCCAAGCGGCGGGAAGCGACCCCCUUUAGUACCGGGUGGUGGCACAAACCGGUACUAAAGGCCACCCCUUUAGUACCGGUUUGUGCCACGACCCGGUACUAAAGGGGGUGGCCUGGCGCAGGUGCGGUGCGGCAAGUUUAGUCCCACCUCGCCGAGCGAAGGGCAGCCGCACUGGUUUAUAAACCCAGCCGCGGCUGCCCUUUCGAACUCCUCUAUAUAGCAGGCUUCUGGGCCUAACUAGGGCGCGCUGCCCUGUGAGCCUGCUGGGCCUUCUGGGCCUGCAUUUGCACACCCUAGGUCUGGCAGGCCCACCGGGCAGCGCCCCAACAUUUUUUUAUAAUUUUUUUCUUUUCUGCAUUAUUUUUUUUAUUUUUUUGCUUUAUUUAUUUUUGUGUUGUUUUUUUGUGUAUUUAGUGUUUCUUUGUGAAUAUUUUUGCUUUAGGUACAAAAAAUUACAAACUUUCUGUUAGUGCCCGUAGUUUUCAAAUUUGAAUAGUUUAAAUUUUGAAUUAUUUGAAAUUAGUGUGAAUCACUAGUUUGUGAAUAACUUAACUUUGAAAAAAGUUUUUUCAGUGAUUCUUUUUUCUUAUGUUUAAUAUUAGUGUGUUUUAUCAUUAUAUUCAAUUAAGUAAUGCUUAGUUUAUUUAAAAAAUGAAAUGCCUUUGUAACAGUUCAGUUUUCGUUGGAAACCCUGAUACUUCGGAAGAGAUUGUCCAUUUUGUACACGAAGUGCAUCCAGUUUUUGCCGUAACCCUCUUUACUUUCUUGCACAUGCUAUUUGUAUGAAAUUAUGAUACCAUGCCAACUUUCAACCUUUUUUGAGUUCAUUUGAAAUGCUUUUCAAUUUCAGGGUCAUUUAGCUGGAAAAAAAAUCAGUAAAUGCAUGAAAAGAAUUUGUUUGCACAUAAAAUUUCUUCAUGUUUCAAAUGCCAAAACACAUAACUACCCUAACUAUUACAGACAUUCCCUCCUGGGUAUGAAACACAGAAGAAAGUGAUGAUAGUGAAGCCGAUCACAUCUCAGAUCUUUGGGUGUGAAACUUUUUCUUCGCGUGUGUCCCUUUGCGCCGUAACCAUGGAAAAUCUUCAUCAUUUAACGGGAUGCUUGGGUCAAUAUUCACUGUGAAUGGAGCAAUUUCAUCAAACUUUUCAUAAUCUUCUGACCUGUCUGUCUUGUCAUCCACUCCCACGAUGUUUCUCUUCCCAGAAAGAACUAUGUGCCGCUUUGGCUCAUCAUACGAUGCAUUCGCUUCCUUAUCUUUUCUUUUUCUUGGCUUGGUAGACAUGUCCUUCACAUAGAAAACCCGUGCCACAUCAUUGGCUAGGACGAAUGGUUCGUCUGCAUACACAAGAUUGUUGAGAUCCACUGUUGUCAUUCCGUACUGCAGGUCUUCCGUUACCCCGCCUCGUGUCAUAUUGACCCAUUUGCAUAGAAACAAAGUGACCUUUAAACCACGUCGAUAGUCAAGUUCCCAUAUGUCCUGUAUAUAACCAGAAUAUGUUUCCUUUCCCAUCUUGGUUUCUGCAUCAAAGCGGACACCACUGUUUUGGUUGGUGCUCUUCUUAUCUUGGGCGAUCGUGUAAAAUGUAUUACCAUUUAUCUCGUACCCUUUGAAAGUCAUUAUAUUCGAAGAUGGUAACUGGGACAACAAGUACAUGUCAUCUUCAAUAGAGGUGUCAUGCAUGGUACGUGUCUGCAACCAGCUGGCGAAACUCCUGGUUUGUUCACGUGUAAUCCAGUCAUCAGACCGCUCCGGGUGUUUGGAGCGUAGCAAAUUCUUGUGUUCAUCCAUAUACGGAGCCACCAAGGUGGAAUCCUAUAGAACUGUGUAGUGUGCUUCAGUGAGAGAAUGUCCGUCCAUACAUAUUAUUUGUUCCCCUCCUAGCGUGCCUUUUCCAUCCAGCCUGCCCUUAUGCCGCGAUUCAGGAACACCAAUCGGCUUAAGAUCAGGAAUAAAGUCAAUACAAAACUCAAUGACCUCCUCAUUUUGAUGGCCCUUGGAGAUGCUUCCUUUUGGCCUAGCACGAUUAUGAACAUAUUUCUUUAAGACUCCCAUGAACCUCUCAAAGGGGAACAUAUUGUGUAGAAAUACAGGACCCAAAACGUUAAUCUCUUCGCAUAGGUGAACUAGGACGUGCGUCAUGAUGUUGAAGAAGGAUGGUGGGAACACCAACUCGAAACUGACAAGACAUUGCACCAAAUCAUUCUGUAACCUUGGUAUGAUUUCUGGAUCGAUUACCUUCUGAGAGAUUGCAUUGAGAAAUGCACAUAGCUUCACAAUGUCUAAUCGAACGUUUUCCGGUAGAAGCCCCCUCAAUGCAACCGGAAGCAGUUGCGUCAUAAUCACGUGGCAGUCAUGAGACUUUAGGUUCUGGAACUUUUUCUCUGCCAUGUUUAUUAUUCCCUUUAUAUUCGACGAGAAGCCAGAUGGUACCUUAAUACUGAGCAGGCAUUCAAAGAAGAUUUCCUUCUCUUCUUUGGUAAGAGCGUGGCUUGCAUGACCUUGAUGUAUGCCGUCUUCUCCGUGCAUACGUUGCUGGUCCUCCCGUGCCUCAGGUGUAUCUUUUGUCUUCCCAUACACGCCCAAGAAGCCAAGCAGGGUCACGCAAAGAUUCUUCGUCACGUGCGGAGCGGACCUCUAGGUCUUUCCAAUAUGGCAGGUCCCAAAAUAUAGAUUUCUUCUUCCACAUGGGUGCGCGUCCGUCAGCGUCCUUCGGAACAGGUUGUCCGCCAGGACCCUUUCCAAAUAUCACCUUCAAAUCCUUGACCAUAUCAUGUACAUCAGCACCAGUACGGUGGCGAGGCUUCGUCCGGUGAUCCGCCUCACCUUCGAAAUGCUUGCCUUUCUUUCUUACGGGAUGCCUGCUCGGAAGAAAUCGACGAUGUCCCAGGUACACAUUCUUCUUACAACUAUUCAAAUAUAUACUGUCGGUAUCAUCCAAACAGUGCGUGCAUCCGCGGUAUCCCUUGUUUGUCUGUCCUGAAAGGUUACUGAGAGCAGGCCAAUCAUUGAUGGUCACGAACAGCAACGCCUUUAGGUCAAAUUCUUCCCCCAUGUGCUCAUCCCACGCACGUACACCUGUUCCAUUCCACAGUUGUAAGAGUUCUUCAACUAAUGGCCUUAGGUACACAUCAAUGUCGUUGCCGGGUUUCUUAGGGCCUUGGAUGAGCACUGGCAUCAUAAUGAACUUCCGCUUCAUGCACAACCAAGGAGGAAGGUUAUACAAACAUAGAGUCACAGGCCAGGUGUUAUGGUUGCUGCACUGCUCCCCAAAAGAAUUAAUGCCAUCUGCGCUUAGACCAAACCAUACGCUCCUUGCGUCAUCUGCAAACUCCUUCCCGUACUUUCUUUUGAUUUUUCUCCACUGCGACCCGUCAACGGGUACUCUCAACUUUCCGUCUUUCUUACGGUCUUCUCUGUGCCAUCGCAUCGCCUUGGCAUGCUCUUUGUUUUGGAACAAACGUUUCAACCGUGGUAUUAUAGGAGAAUACCACAUCACCUUGGCAGGAAUCUUCUUCCUGGGGCGCUCGCCCUCGACAUCACCAGGCUCAUCGCGGCUGAUCUUAUAGCGCAAUGCACCACAUACCGGGCAAGCGUUCAAAUCCUCGUACUCACCGCGGUAGAGGAUGCAAUCAUUAGGGCAUGCAUGUAUCUUCUGCACCUCUAACCCUAGAGGGCGGACAACCUUCUUUGCUUCGUAUGUACUCUCGAGCAAUUCGUUGUCCUUUGGAAGCAUAUCCUUUAUCAUUACCAGCAACUUUCCAAACCCCUUGUCAGAUACACCAUUCUCUGCCUUCCAUUGCAGCAAUUCCAGUGUGGUGCCAAGCUUUUUCUUGUCACCUGCGCAAUUCGGGUACACCAAUUUUUUGUGAUCCUCUAACAUGCGCUGCAACUUCUUCUUCUCCAAAUCACUUGCGCAGUUUCUCUUUGCAUCGGCAAUGGCCCGACCUAGAUCAUCAACGGGCUCAUCUGAUGCCUCUUCUUCAGCUUGUUCCCGCAUUGCCGGCUCAGCUUCUUCUAGCAUUACCGGCUCAGCUUCUUCCCCCAUUGUUGUAUCAUUGCAUUCAGGGAACCCAUGGCCAGGAUAGCUGUCGUCGUCCUAUUCUUCUUCAUUGUCUUCCAUCAUAACCCCUCUUUCUCCGUGCUUGGUCCAAACAUUAUAGUGGGGCAUGAAACCGGACUCAAACAGGUGGACGUGAAUGGUUCUUGACGUAGAGUAAUUGCGACCAUUCUUACAGCCAGCACAUAGACAAGGCAUAAAACCAUCCGCCCGCUUGUUUGCCUCAGUCGCAAGCAGAAAAGUAUGCACGCCCUCAAUGAACUAGGGAGAGCAUCGGUCAUCGUACAUCCAUUGCCGGCUCAUCUUCAUUACACAACACCGAAUAGACCAAAUUAAUACAAGUUCAUACAUAAAGUUCAUACAACACUUAAAUGCAACAAAUAAAUAACUCUCUAGCUAAAGCAUUUAAAUGCAACAACAAAUGCGAUCAAGAUCGCAACUAAGGUCACAAUUGAUCCAACAGCAUAAUGAUACCAAGCCUCACUAUCGAUGGCAUAUUUUCUAAUCUUUCUAAUCUUCAAGCGCAUUUUCUCCAUCUUGAUCUUGUGAUCAUCGACGACAUCGGCAACAUGAACUCCAAUUCCAUCUUCUCCCCCUCAAUUCUUUUCAAUUUAUCUUUCAAGUACUCGUUUUCUCUUUCAACUAAAUUUAACCUCUCGACAAUAGGGUCGGUUGGAAUUUCCGGUUCACAUACCUCCUAGAUAAAAAUAUCUAUGUCAACUUGAUGGGCAUAAUUUGUCAUAAACACGAAAUGCAACAAAUAGUUUUAAAAGAGAAUAUACCACAUCCGAAUCAUAACAAGGACGAGGGCCGACGGGGACGUAUAUCAAAACCAUGUCACUAUGUAUAACAAACAACGUAUGGGUAAGAUAAUUAUUAUACGAGUAACUAUAUAUCCAAAUCACACAAACAUCAAUUUUUUAUAUAAAAUUUCAUGAACAAGAGGCUCACCACAAGGUGGUGCCGGCAACGGGACGGUGCGGGCGAUCGACGGUGGUUACGACGGAGAUUUAGAAGGCACUAAGUAAACCACACCUACAUAUGCAAACUAAGUGUUAUUUUUGACCUCAAAUUGCAUAUAAAUCAAAUACUAGUACAUAUAUAUAUUUCCUCCCAAAUUACUAAACUCACAAAUUAAUAACUAUAUAAAGCAUUGCAAGAGCUAAUCUAGCAAUGAGAGAUGAAAGGACAAAGUUGCUAACCUUUGUGAUCACUUGAAUGGAUGGGGGCCUUCAAAUCUUUACAAAUUUUGGGCAAAAUGUGUGAUGAGCUCGAGGGGAGAAGAGGAAGAACAGAGAGGAGAGGAGAGGGGAAAGGGGGAAGAACAGAGCGAGCUGGACGAAGGGUUUAUAUGCAGGAGGACCUAUAGUACCGGUUCGUGGCACGAACCGGUACUAAAGGUGCUGGAGGGGGCCUAGACUGACGACAUCCUGCCACCACUCUCAUUAGUACCGGUUCAUGGCACGAACCGGUGCUAAAGGUUAGCCACGAACCGUUACUAAUGAGAGCGGCCCGGCUAGCCAUUGGAACCGGCACUAAUGGACACAUUAGUACCGGCUCUAGUACAAACCGGCACUAAUGUGCUUCACGUUUGACCCUUUUUCUACUAGUGGAUGUUGUCCUCUUCGUCAAACCGGAGAUCACUGACCUACACAUAUGCAAGUCAAUAUUUGAGCUGUUCGGUGGAGCCUCUGUCCUGCGGAUUAACAUGGCUAAGACCGCCGCCAUGCCAAUUUGAUGUUCGGCCGAGUGAACGGGGCGGAUCUCUAAGAUUCUGGGAUGCCAGAUUGGGUCUUUUCCUUGUCGCUACCUCGGCCUGCCGUUGAGUCUGCGACGUCUAUCUGCGGCCCAGCUUCAGGAUCUUGUUAACUAAGUGGCCGUCAGAUUGCCGACAUGGAGAGGAGCAUCUCUCCCGAUCAGCAGCCGGCUAAUUCUUGUCAAAUUCGUGUUAUGCGCAAUCCCGAUCCAUGCCAUGUUUGGCCAGUGUCUUCCCCCAAGGACGAUCAAGGCAAUCAUCAAGAUCUGUAGGGGUUUUCUUUGGUCCGGGAAAGAGGAGGCUAACGGUGGACAAUGUAAGGUUGCUUGGAGGAAUGUUUGUGCGCCCAAGUGGGCUGGAGGUCUAGGCAUACCGGAUCUUCGCUGGCUCAACUCUGCGCUCCAAGCACGCUGGGCAUGGCUUCAGCGCAGGGACAGCUCACGCCCAUGGAAAGGCUUCGAGAUCAGCAUCUCUGAGGAAGCACGUUCAAUCUUCAGAACAACCACAAUCACACAUGUGGGAGAUGGCAAGGAGACCCUGUUUUGGGAGGACCGAUGGCUCCAAGGUCUUAGGGUUCAAGAGCUGGCUCCAAGAGUAUAUGCGAGGAUCCCGCGGCGCGUUCGGGAAGUUAGGACAGUCCACGAUGCUAUACAGGGUGGAUCUUGGGCGCUCGAGGUCGGUCCAGACAUGGAUGAGGAGACACUGCAGGAAGUCCUUCUUCUUUGGGACAGGACGACGCCAACCAUGCUUACAGUGGAUGCUCGAGAUCGGGUUCAAUGGGCCUGGGAGGAGGACGGCAACUACUCCGCGCGAUCGGCGUAUGCCUCCAAGUUUUGGGGCCUUGAGGUGGCGGCUUAUGCAGACACGUCCUGGAAAUCUAAGGCCCCUUUACAAUGCAGGUUCUUCACCUGGCUUGCCUAACGGAAUAGGUGUUGGACCUCCGAUCGCUUGGCAAGGCGCGGCCUUCUUCAUCAGCCGGCAUGUCCCUUCUGCGACCAGGACGUGGAAACGAUCAAUCACAUUCUGGUGUCGUGUGCCUUUGCGCGAUCAGUAUGGCAUAUGGCACUCGAGGCCCUGCACAAGCCGCAGUGGAUGCCGGCACCGGAUGCGGAGUUGAUACCCUGGUGCAAUUCUUGCACGGCGACAGACAUAAAGGCCAAGGACAGACGCACCAUACUAUCUCUAGGACUAUGGGAACUAUGGAAACAUCAGAAUGCCAUCGUCUUCGACGGAGCGACUCCCUCUGCUACAAUCGUGAUUGCCAACAUGGAGAAGGAAGGUAGAGCGUGGAGCGCCGCUGGCCUCUUCAAAGGUGAUUUCAUCGCCUUCUUCGGAGGCCUAGCUGGGUGGGUUACAGGGAGAAAUUAGUUUCCCUGAGUAGAUGCGUUCAUGCGGUGGACUCUUGCAUGUAACAUGAUGUAAGAAUGCUAUGUGGAUGGGGCUCUUUUUCACCUCUCCUUUCUCUAAUAUAUGAUACGCACACUCGUGCGUAUUCUAGAAAAGAGAAGCUCAAGGCUGACCAGUCCAAGCCCUCGGAGGAGGUGACUCUGGAGCCCUGCUUUGACUGCAACCACGCCUGCAUCUUUGGUGGUUACAGGAUGCCCAGAAGAUAAAAGUGAAAUUAAGAAGAAAAUAAGUGUAUGUUUUAUAUGUACAAACUGUUCCAUUCAGAAAAAUCAGAAUUUUUUGCGCCCAGGAACUGAAACCAGUACAGAAUAAAAAGUGUAUGUAGCAUAAAAUUCACUGGUAUGCAUGAUGGACAUUUAGAAUAAAGAAACAAAUUAUGAGCAGUCACAAACUGCGUCGUAUCCCAUAGUCAACACUAACGUAUGUAAUCUUUAGCUAUUAAACUUGUUUCCAGGGGAAAAACUUCAGUUGUUAAUAUCAAAACCACCAUUUAAACCUCACUUCUAGGGGAAAAUAGGAUGAACUGCAACAGAUAUUUUGGUCUUCGGUUUCAUCCGAACUCACACACUUAAAACAUCCAAAAAUGCACGAGUCUGCAAAUGAAAACAAACUAAAAAAAUGUGGGGGCAGCUUCGUAUCAUAUGGAAGUAAACUGACAAGCAAAAGCAGAUACAAGGUAAGGACUCUGUUUCAGCAAAGCACCCUCCCUGACCAAUAGACUGCUCGAGUUUCGGUCAUCUGGGUGACAUUGACAUGGCACAUGGACAUAAAUCAGGAACCACCAGACACUCCCAGAGUGUAUAGAUCGAACUAACACCAACGCCUCGAGUCAGCUCCUCGGGCCUCAGUCCUGAAUCAUCACGACAGGGAGAUGCUCUGCUUUUACUUGUCAUGCAGAAAGCGGAUUGUGCAUCGCCACACUUACAUAUUAAUAAGCCUGAUGACAGUAGAACCCACUAACUUCCCAAGAUUGAAAGGUGGAGGAACUUAGCUUCUGGUAUCAUUAUCGCACAUCCAAAAUAGCCCUUGGUGUAUACAUGACUUCGCAAAUUGAUUCUAUCAAACACUACAGCAAAUUGAUUUGUUUUCUUAGCUUUGAUUUAUCUUUUCUCCCUUUGCGAGCUGUUCUUCGGAUACCAGACUUUGUUUUUUGUUGCACUUNNNNNNNNNNNNNNNNNNNNNNNNNNNNNNNNNNNNNNNNNNNNNNNNNNNNNNNNNNNNNNNNNNNNNNNNNNNNNNNNNNNNNNNNNNNNNNNNNNNNNNNNNNNNNNNNNNNNNNNNNNNNNNNNNNNNNNNNNNNNNNNNNNNNNNNNNNNNNNNNNNNNNNNNNNNNNNNNNNNNNNNNNNNNNNNNNNNNNNNNNNNNNNNNNNNNNNNNNNNNNNNNNNNNNNNNNNNNNNNNNNNNNNNNNNNNNNNNNNNNNNNNNNNNNNNNNNNNNNNNNNNNNNNNNNNNNNNCUCCUUUUCAAAAAAUAAAAGUAUAUUCAGUACAGUCGCAACACGCACGGAACAUAUGAAGAAUACAUGCUUUAAAGUGCUACCUGAGUAUGGAGGUUUUUGUUCUCUGCUGUUUCGGCGACAACCAUCUGCCCCUAUCAAGAACCAAAGCUCGGUUCUGGCAACGCUUCCUUUAUUACACACACGGCUCCAACUCUUCGUUCAUCCUCUUCAGCACAGAGGUUGAUUUGUUUUGGGUACUGUGUGGAGUCACUUCUUUCCCCCUUCAGCUUGUGCUAGUUUCCAAAUCUCCUGUUUCCAUCUAUAACCAAUUACCUUGCUCUUCCUUCUCCAGUUUAUUGAUAUGAUAUACGACAUGGUUUAUCCGUUUAUGUGCAAGUGGUUGUAAGGUGGGCACGUGAUGGACAAAGCUCAAGACGGUGCACCAUGAAGCGCCCAACUCCGACCCAGGCGAAUUGUUUAUAUCUAAAUAUUAUUUGUAUAUGUUUGCACCAUAUAUCUAUAUCCCGUGGAUUCACUCUUUGAGGUGCGGCAGCAGAGCAUUUUUGCCACGCCUCCAUCGCCACCCCCAAGGCCUCCUACGGCUCGUCGGAAAACGUUGGUUGGAGUGCAAAUAUCCAGGAAGGGCGGUCUCUCACUGCAGAGGAUCAAGCGGCCUGGUGCAUGUGUUGUUGCUGUGCCGGUGGCCAAAGUUGCAGAAAAAAUGGUUUGCCGCACUCUAGGAAUCACCAGAGAUGGUAAAGAUGUGACUGAGGCAACUCUGGAUGAGUUUACUUCCAAGUUCAAGGACCAACUAGCUCCUGAAGUGAUCAUGACCAUGAGGGAAUUUUUCAUUCUUGAUGACCCAGCUGUCAACGGAGUAGAGGACGCCCUGCUUGAUCAUGGUGGUGAGAGAGCACUGGAGCUCGCUCAGCCUGGGGGUGCAGCUCUUCAAGAUAAUUGAUGUCCGUAGUCUGCAUGUUAGGGUGCAAAUGGUGGUUAUGUUAGCCCAGCUUCUUACUGUGCUGGGUAGUGUUCGGGCUACUUGUAGUGUUGUUUCCAAUUCUGUGGGUGUGUGUUGUUUUGAGGGCGUGUGUUGUAUUAGGAGGGUGUGGCCCCUUAAGUUGCUAUCUUGUUUGCUUCAGACUUCAAAGUGCCCUUUUGUCUCUGCAUUUGUUCUUCAAGUCCUGGUGGCUAUCGACUGCUAUGCCUGGCAAACCACAAGUGUUUUUUUGGGUGACCUAUGACGACACAACCCAUCAACACAUUAAGCUGGAAUGUACGUGGACUAAACUGCACGGCUUGAAAGGCAACGGUUAGUGCAACGAUUGCCACAUCCUCUUGCCAACUGGUCUGUCUUCAAGAGACAAAGCUUGACAGCGUUGACAAAUUCGUCGCUGCCUACCUGGGGGGCAAUAGACUUCAAAGUUUUGCGCAAUGCCCGACAUUGGGAACUAGGGGAGGGAUCCUACUCCUAUGGGAUGACAACGUUCUCGACGUCUCCGACAUCACCACAUCGACUUAUUGCCUCUCUAGUAUGGUCAAUAUCCGCGUAACCGGCGUCUGCUUUAGGCUCACGUCCGUAUAUGGGCCAACUGAUCACGCCUGCAAAGAUGCUUUCUUUGCCGAGCUAAUCUCCCACAAGCCACCCAAUUGGAUUGCCUGGCUGGCCCUUGGGGAUUUUAACCAAAUUUACCGUGCUAGGGACAAAAACAAGAGAAAUUUUAACCGGAGUAGGAUCAAUCGCUUCCGGGCUGCCUUGCAAUCUUGUGAGCUCAAAGAAAUUCACCUACAGAAUAGGCGUUUCACUUGGAGCAAUGAGCGGGACAACCCAACUCUUUGCAAGCUUGACUCCUUCUUCUGUAAUGGGGAGUGGGAUAUGUGCUUCAACACCCAUGUGCUACAUGCUCUGUCGUCUUCCCUGUCCGACCAUUGCCCCCUCCUCCUGGCGGAUGACAAAGGGCCUAGAAGACCUUGAUCUUUCAAGUUUGAAAACUUCUGGGCUUCUUUGCCCGGAUUCUCCGAGGUGGUGCAAAAGGCGUGGGACGAGCAUGUUGGGCAUUCGGAAUCGUACCAAAUCCUUCACCACAAGCUCAAAAAAGCUGCGACCGGCUUUCUGAGUGGAGCAAGAAUCUAUUCUCCAAGGCUAAGGUCCAACUCCAUGCGGCCCUACUUGUGAUUCUUCACCUUGACAUAGCGCAAGAGGCAAGGGCCCUCUCUCCCGAGGAACAUGACACACGUUUGAGGCUCAAGCGGAGGGUGAUCAGUUUGGCGGUUCUUGAGAGAACUCGAAAGAGUCAAUGUGCUCGGUUGGCAAACUUGAGGCACGGUGAUGCAAACACAAAAUUCUUCCACCGUCGCAUCAACGCCAGAAGAAGGAAGAAUCACAUUCACCGGAUUAAGCACGCACAUGGGUGGGUGACUGAGCAUAAGGAAAAAGAGAGAAUCAUCCAUGGCCACUUCUGCAAGGCCAUGGGUAGGGGAAAUAGUACCAACAAAGACUUCAACUGGGAGGAGCUUGGGAUUGAGACCCAUGACUUGCACGGCCUGGGUAACACCAUCACAGAAGAUGAGGUUUGGGCGGACAUAAAGGAGAUGCCUAGUGAUAAGGCGCCCGGUCCGGAUGGUUUCACUCGGAUUUUCUUCAAGAACUGUUGGGGCAUAAUCAAGCAUACGAUCAUGAGGGUCAUCCAACGCUUUGACUCCCUCCACACAUCAAAUCUGCAAUGGGUGAAUUCCGCCAAUGUUGUUCUAUUGCCCAAAAAGGAGGGCGCAGAAGGCAUCUCUGAUUAUAGACCUAUCAGUCUCAUCCAUGCUCUCGCCAAAAUUAUCGCAAAGGUCUUGUCGAUUCGACUUGCUCCUCUCAUGGACAGACUUGUCUCCAACGCACAGAGUGCUUUCAUUAAGAGGCGUAGUAUCCAUGACAACUUCAUGUGCGUCCGGAACUUUGCUAGGAUACUACAUAAGUGCAAGACCCCUGCUUUGCUAUUCAAGUUGGACAUAAGAAAGGCCUUUGACUCUGUUAAGUGGGAAUAUGUUCUGGAUCUCCUCCAACGCUUGGGGUUCUCGGACAAGUUCAGGGCUUGGAUUGCCGCGCUGCUCUCCUCAUCUUCGUCUCGCAUUCUCUUAAAUGGGAUCUGCGGACCCCCAUUAAAGAUGGUGCCAGGUUCAGGCAGGGGGACCCCAUUUCCCCUUUGCUUUUUGUCAUUGCGAUUGAUCCGCUGCACAAGAUUUUGGAUUUGGCAACCCGGAAAGGCCUCCUUCACAAGAUUCGUGGGCGAGGCCCCAUGGUGAGAACCUCCCUAUAUGCGGAUGAUGCCGCCGUUUUUGUGGCCCCCAUCAAAACGGACAUCGACAACCUUGUGUCCAUUCUAAGGGGCUUUGGGUACGUCACUAGCCUAUGCACCAACUUUCAGAAAAGCUCCAUCGUGCCAAUCCGAUGCAAUCAUCUAUACCUUGGGCACAUUCUUCAGAGCAUGCCGGCAACUCGUGCUACCUUCCCGGUGAAAUAUCUAGGCUUGCCACUCUCCAUCUGGCAACUCAAGAAGGUGGAUUUCCAAUACCUUGAGGACAAGGCAGCUGGCAAGUUGGUCAUGUGGGACGGCCGAAACAUCACCACUAUUGGUCGCAUGGCUCUCUUCAAGUCGGUCAUCUCCUCCCAAGCCAUUUACUCUAUCACGCCUCUCAUUGUUCCACCAAGCACGCUCAACAGCCUCAAUAAGUUGGAAAUGGCGUUCCUGUGGUCCGGAGCGGACAAGACAAUGGGAGCCAAAUGCAAAGUGAACUGGAAAAUGGUCUGUAGGCCAAAGGAGUAUGGGGGUCUAGGGGUACUCAACACCGACAAGUUUGCGCGUGCUUUACGCCUUCGAUGGUUGUGGUACGAAUGGAAGGCUACCCACAAGCCUUGGGUGGGUUUUGGUAACCCUUGCACUGACGAUGACCGCGAGUUUUUCUAUGCCUCUACAAUUAUCACUGUUGGUGACGGCACAAGGACGCUGUUCUGGGACUCUCCUUGGCUGCUUGGGCGGAAGCCCAAGGAUAUUGCACCCUUAAUCUUUGAGGCCUCAAGGAGAAAAAAUUGGAAGGUGCGGGAGGCUCUCAAAGGAAAUGCUUGGAUUCUCAAAAUCAAUCCCAACACCGUCAUCACCAUUGAUCACAUUCGAGAAUUCUUCACUCUUUAGAUGCUUGUCCAUGAUUUCCACCUUGAUGAGCAAGCCAAAGAUGAUAUCAUUUGGAAGCAUGCGAAUGAUGAGAUCUACUCGGCGGCCACCGUGUAUAAGGCUCAAUUCCUUGGGUUGAUUCUCUCACCCAUGGAUCACAUGGUUUGGAAGGCUUGCCCCCCCCCCCCCAAGGUUAAAUUCUUCGCUUGGCUAGUGAUACAAGACCGUAUUUGGACAGGCGAUCGGUUGGGGAGAUGUGGUUGGGCAAAUUGUGGACUUUGCCAACUAUGCAAGAGAGAACAAGAAACAGGGCCACACCUCUUCUUCAAGUGUCGGUACACGCUUAGGCUUUGGAGAGCUAUCAUCAAGAAGCUUGGGCUACACCACGUCAACACCUCCGACUGGCAUCUUGAUGAUUCCGUCAACGCAUGGUGGGACAAGCGGACCGAUAACCGAAACCCAAACUGGCAUGCCAUGACCUCCCUCACCAUGCUCAUCUCAUGGACCGUUUGCAACGAGCGGAAUGCCAGAGUGUUUCGCCAAAAAUUUGCAUCACCGCAUGUUCUUAUGGGAUCCAUUCUUGAAGAAGCAAAGCUAUGGGUUACUGCCGGUGCAAAAAACUUGGGACUGUAAUUUUUUGUGAGUAAUUGCCAUGCCGUUUUGCGUCGGGGUUAUGUAAAACUCCAAACUCUAUUUUCUUCCCAUUUAAUAGAUGAGGCAAAUCUUAUGCCUCUGUUUCGAAAAAAAAUAUCUAGCUCUAAAAUGGACCUUGGCUCGACGUAUGUUUGUACUUUAGCAAAUGAAGUGUAUCUAUAAGUUUCUUGCUGGAUUGCUUAAGCAGAAGAAGAGCACACAUUAAUUAGCCAUAACAAUAUAAAUGAAUUUCUCACAAAAAUAUAUAUAAAUGAAUACUUAGAUCCUCUCACAAACACGUCCAUCUGUUUUCAGCUGCACCCAGCUGAUAAAUUAACCCCCCCCCCCAAAAGAUUUACACGCCGCGGGGCAGGAUGGAUCACCAACAACCCUAGGAGUGUGGUUUAGUUGCUGGAAGUGCAUCUAAGCGGAAGCGCAUCAACGUAGCAUGGACGGUAAGGAAAUGCAGAUCUAACUCCGUGAAAAUAACUGAAAGGGUCUUUAACAAGACGAUUUCCUAAAUAUUGCAUUCUCGAAGUCAUGACAUGGUAUGCAGCAACGGCGCGGUUGGAGGUUUGUAGGAUCACCACGUCCUUUUGCGGAUGUAAUCCUAUGAGAUGGUAAUCACACUCAUCAUCGUCGGGGUCGGCGACACUUCCAUCCACAUCGAUGAAAUUGUCCUCGUCCGAGUUCCAAGAGUACUCGAAUUGGCCAUCUUCAUCUUCACGCACAUAUGCUUCUUCAUCUUGACUACCAACAUAAACAUAAUCAGCAGUGUCGCUGAAGUCAUCCACUUCAUAGACGCCAUCUUCACCGUUGUUGAUGUCGCCAUCAAUGUCAUCAGUUGUGUCGCUGAAGUGAUCCGCCUCACAGACACCAUCUUCAUUGUCAUCACUUUCGCCAUUAACAACAUCACUAUCGCCAUCAAUAUCAUCAGGUGUGUCGCUGAAAUAAUCAGCGUCACAAACGCCAUCUUCAUUGUUGCUGUUGUCGCCAUCAAUGUCAUCAGUUGUGUCGCUAAAGUCAUCCACCUCACAGACACAAUCUUCAUCGUCAUCACUUUCGCCAUCAAUAUCAUUAGGUGUGUGGCUGAAAUCAUCAGCAUCACAGACACCAUGUUCAUUGUUGUUGUUGUCGCCAUCAAUGUCAUCAGUUGUGUCGCUGAAGUCAUCAGCCUCACAGACACCAACUUCAUCGUCAUCACUUUCGCCAUCAACGUCAUCACUAUCGCCAUCAAUAUCAUCAGGAGUGUCACUGAAAUCAUCAGCGUCAUAGAUGACAUCUUCAUUAUCGUCAUAGUCGCUGUCAACGUGAUCAGCUGUGUCGCUCUGGCUAUCCUCCUCAUCAUAUAUGACUUCCUCAUUGCUACGAACUCUGAACAAGCUCACCAGAGCCUUUUUGCUGUCGACCGCCUCCCACUACACUCUGUGCUCCAUGCAAGAGUAUUUGUCUAUGAUGCGAACAUAAGGACCAAGGCCAGUUUCGUGUGCUAGCUGUUGGGUUUCGUAGUAAUUUCAAAAAAAUCUACGCACACGCAAGAUCAUGUUGAUGGCAUCGCAACGAGAGGGGAGAGUGUAUGUCCACGUACCCUCGUAGACCAUAAGCGGAAGCGUUAUGACAACGCGGUUGAUGUAGUCAUACGUCUUCACGAUCUGACCGAUCCAAGCUCCGAACGUACGGGGCCUCCGAGUUCAGCACACGUUCAGCUCGAUGAUGAUCUCCGGCCUCCGAUCCAGCCGAGCUCCGGAGAUGAGUUCCGUCAGCACGACGGCGUGGUGACGGUGUUGAUGUUCUACCGGCGCAGGGCUUCGCCUAAGCUUCGCGACGAUAUGACCGAGGUGGAAUAUGGUGGAAGGGGGCACCGCACACGGCUAAGGAACAAUCCGUAGAUCAACUUGUGUGUCUUUGGGGUGCCCCCCCCGCCCCCGUAUAUAAAGGAGAAAGGGGGGAGGCCGGCCGGCCCUUAGGGCGCGCCAAGGAGGGGGGAGUCCUCCUCCUAGUGGGAGUAGGACUCCCCUUUCCUAGUCCAACUAGGAAGGAGGAAGGAGGAAGGAAAGAGAGGGAGAGGGAGAGGGAAAGAGGGGCCGCGCCCCCUCCCCUAGUCCAAUUCGGACUCCCCAAGGGAGGGGGCGCGCCACCUCCUGGGCUGCUGCCCUCUCUCUCCCCUCAGGCCCACUAAGGCCCAAUACUUCCCCGGGGGGUUCUGGUAACCCCUCCGGCACUCCGGUUUUCUCCGAAAUCACCCGGAACUCUUCCGGUGUCCGAAUAUAGUCGUCCAAUAUAUCAAUCUUUAUGUCUCGACCAUUUCGAGACUCCUCGUCAUGUCCGUGAUCACAUCCGGGACUCCGAACAAACUUCGGUACAUCAAAAACUUAUAAACUUAUAAUAAAACUGUCAUCGUAACGUUAAGCGUGCGGACCCUACGGGUUCGAGAACUAUGUAGACAUGACCUAGAACCAUUCUCGGUCAAUAACCAAUAGAGGGACCUGGAUGCCCAUAUUGGUUCCUACAUAUUCUACGAAGAUCUUUAUCGGUCAAACCGCAUAACAACAUACGUUGUUCCCUUUGUCAUCGGUAUGUUACUUGCCCGAGAUUCGAUCGUCGGUAUCCAAUACCUAGUUCAAUCUCGUUACUGGCAGGUCUCUUUACUCGUUCCAUAAUACAUCAUCUCACAACUAACUCAUUAGUUGCAAUGCUUGCAAGGCUUAAGUGAUGUGCAUUACUAAGAGGGCCCAGAGAUACCUCUCCGACAUUCGGAGUGACAAAUCCUAAUCUCGAAAUAUGCCAACCCAACAAGUACCUUUGGAGACACCUGUAGAGCACCUUUAUAAUCACCCAGUUACGUUGUGACGUUUGGUAGCACACAAAAUGUUCCUCCGGUAAACGGGAGUUGCAUAAUCUCAUAGUCAUAGGAACAUGUAUAAGUCAUGAAGAAAGCAAUAGCAACAUACUAAACGAUCGGGUGCUAAGCUAACGGAAUGGGUCAUGUCAAUCAGAUCAUUCAACUAAUGAUGUGAUCCCGUUAAUCAAAUAACAACUCUUUUGUCUAUGGUUCGGAAACAUAACCAUCUUUGAUUAACAAGCUAGUCAAGUAGAGGCAUACUAGUGACACUCUGUUUGUCUAUAUAUUCACACAUGUAUUAUGUUUCCGGUUAAUACAAUUCUAGCAUGAAUAAUAAACAUUUAUCAUGAUAUAAGGAAAUAAAUAAUAACUUUAUUAUUGCCUCUAGGGCAUAUUUCGUUCAGUCUCCCACUUGCACUAGAGUCAAUAAUCUAGUUCACAUCGCCAUGUGAUUUAACAGCAAUAGUUUACAUCACCAUGUGAUUAACACCCAUAGUUCACAUCGAUAUGUGAUCAACACCCAAAGGGUUUACUAGAGUCAGUAAUCUAGUUCACAUCGCUAUGUGAUUAACACCCAAAGAGUACUAAGGUGUGAUCAUGUUUUGCUUGUGAGAUAAUUUUAGUCAACGGGUCUCUCACAUUCAGAUCCGUAAGUAUUUUGCAAAUUUCUAUGUCUACAAUGCUCUGCACGGAGCUACUUUAGCUAAUUGCUCCCACUUUCAAUAUGUAUCCAGAUGAAGACUUAGACUCAUCCGGAUUAGUGCCAAAACUUGUAUCGACGUAACCUUUACGACGAACCUUUUGUCACCUCCGUAAUCGAGAAGCAUAUCCUUAUUCCACUAAGGAUAAUUUUGACCGUUGUUCAGUGAUCUACUCCUAGAUCACUAUUGUACUCCCUUGCCAAAAUCAGUGUAGGGUAUACAAUAGAUCUGGUACACUGCAUGGCAUACUAUUAUAGAACCUAUGGCCAAGGCAUAGGGAAUGACUUUCAUUCUCUUUCUAUCUUCUGCGUGGUCGGGCUUUGAGUCUUACUCAAUUUCUCACCUUGUAACACAUGCAAGAACUCUUUCUUUGACUGUUCUAUUUUGAACUACUUCAAAAUCUUGUCAAGGUAUGUACUCAUUGAAAACUUAUCAAGCAUCUUGAUCUAUCUCUAUAGAUCUUGAUGCUUAAUAUGUAAGCAGCUUCACCGAGGUCUUUCUUUGAAAAAACUCCUUUCGAACACUCCUUUAUGCUUUGCAGAAUAAUUCUACAUUAUUUCCGAUCAACAAUAUGUCAUUCACAUAUAUUUAUCAGAAAUUUUGUAGUGCUCCCACUCACUUUCUUGUAAAUACAGGCUUCAUUGCAAGUCUGUAUAAAACUAUAUGCUUUGAUCAACUUAUCAAAGCGUAUAUUCCAACUCCGAGAUGCUUGCACCAGUCCAUAGAUGGAUCGCUGGAGCUUGCACAUUUUGUUAACACGUUUAGGAUUGACAAAACCUUCUGGUUGCAUCAUAUACAACUCUUCUUUAAGAAAUCCAUUAAGGAUUGCAGUUUUGUUAUCCAUUUGCCAGAUUUCGUAAAAUGCGGCAAUUGCUAACAUGAUUCGGACAGACUUAAGCAUAGAUAGGAGUGAGAAACUCUCAUCGUAGUCAACACCUUGAACUUGUCGAAAACCUUCUGCGACAAUUCUAGCUUUGUAGAUAGUAACACUACUAUCAGCGUCCGUCUUCCUCUUGAAGAUCCAUUUAUUUUCUAUGGCUUGCCAAUCAUCGGGCAAAUCCAUCAAAGUCCAUACUUUGUUUUCAUACAUGGAUCAUAUCUCAGAUUUCAUGGCCUCAAACCAUUUCGCGGAAUCUGGGCUCAUCAUCGCUUCCUCAUAGUUCGCAAGUUCAUCAUGGUCUAGUAACAUGACUUCCAGAACAGGAUUACCGUACCACUCUGGUGCGGAUCUCGCUCUGGUUUACCUACGAGAUUCGGUAGUAACUUGAUCUGAAGUUACAUGAUCAUCAUCAUUAGCUUCCUCACUAAUUGGUGUAGUAGUCACAGGAACAGAUUUCUGUGAUGAACUACUUUCCAAUAAGGGAGAAGGUACAAUUACCUUAUCAAGUUUCAACUUUCCUCCCACUCACUUCUUUCGAGAGAAACUUCUUCUCUAGAAAGUAUCCAUUCUCAGCAACGAAUGUCUUGCCUUUGGAUCUGUGAUAGAAGGUGUACCCAACAGUUUCCUUUGGGUAUUCUAUGAAGACGCACUUCUCCGAUUUGGGUUCGAGCUUAUCAGGUUGAAAACCUUUUUCAUAUAAGCAUCGCAACUCCAAACUUUAAGAAACGGCAGCUUAGGUUUACUGCUAAACCAUAGUUCAUACGGUGUCGUCUCAACGGAUUUAGAUGGUGCCCUUUUUAAACGUGAAUGCAGUUGUCUCUAAUGCACAACCCCAAAACGAUAGUGGUAAAACCGAUAAGAGACAUCAUAGAUCGCACCAUAUCCAAUAAAGUGCGGUUACGACCUUCGGACACACCAUAACGUUGUGGUGUUCCAGGUGGCGUGAGCUGUGAAACUAUUCCACAUUGUUUUAAUUGAAGACCAAACUCGUAACUCAAAUAUUUGUCUCCGCGAUCAGAUCGCAGAAACUUUAUUUUCUUGUUACGAUGAUUUUUCCACUUCACUCUGAAAUCUUUUGAACCUUUCAACUAUUUCAGACUUAUGUUUCAUCAAGUAGAUAUACCCAUAUCUGCUCAAAUCAUCUUGUGAAGGUCAGAAAAUAACGAUACUUGCCACGAGCGUCAACACUCAUUGGAUCGCAUACAUCGGUAUGUAUUAUUUCCAAUAAGUCAGUAGCUUGUUCCAUUGUUCCGGAGAACGGAGUUUUAGUCAUCUUGCCCAAAAGGCGCGGUUCGCAAGCAUCAAAUGAUUCAUAACCAAGUGAUUCCGAAAAUCCAUCUUUAUGGAGUAUCUUCAUGCGCUUUACACCGAUAUGACCCAAACGGCAGUGCCACAAAUAAGUUGCACUAUCAUUAUUAACUUUGCAUCUUUUGGUUUCAAUAUUAUGAAUAUGUGUAUCACUAUGAUCGAGAUCCAAUGAACCAUUUUCAUUGGGUGUGUAACCAUAUAAGGUUUUAUUCAUGUAAACAGAACAACAGUUUAUUCUCUUACUUAAAUGAAUAACCGUAUUGCAAUAAACACGAUCAAAUCAUAUUCAUGCUCAACGCAAACACCAAAUAACAUUUAUUUAGGUUCAACACUAAUCCCGAAAGUAUAGGGAGUGUGCGAUGAUGAUCAUAUCAAUCUUGGAACCACUUCCAACACACAUCGUCACUUCACCCUUAACUAGUCUCUGUUUAUUCUGCAACUCCCGUUUCGAGUUACUAAUCUUAGCAACUGAACUAGUACCAAAUACUGAGGGGUUGCUAUAAACACUAGUAAAGUACACAUCAAUAACAUGUAUAUCAAAUAUACUUAUGUUCACUUUGCCAUCCUUCUUAUCCGCCAAUCACUUGGGGUAGUUCCGCUUCCAGUGACCAAUCCCUUUGCAGUAGAAGCACUUAGUCUCAGGCUUAGGACCAGACUUCGGCUUCUUCACUUGAGCAGCAACUCGCUUGCCGUUCUUCUUGAAGUUCCCCUUCUUCCCUUUGCCCUUUUUCUUGAAACUAGUGGUCUUGUCUACCAUCAACACUUGAUGUUUUUCUUGAUUUCUACCUUCGUCGAUUUUAGCAUCACGAAGAGCUUGGGAAUCGUUUACGUUAUCCCUUGCAUAUUAUAGUUCAUCACAAAGUUCUACUAACUUGGUGAUGGUGACUAGAGAAUUCUGUCAACCACUAUCUUAUCUGGAAGAUUAACUCCCACUUGAUUCAAGCGAUUGUAGUACCCAGACAAUCUGAGCACUUGCUCACUAGUUGAGCGAUUCUCCUCCAUCCUUUAGCUAUAGAACUUGUUAGAGACUUCAUAUCUCUCAACUCGCGUAUUUGCUUGAAAUAUUAACUUCAAUUCCUGGAACAUCUCAUAUGGUCCAUGACGUUCAAAACGUCUUUGAAGUCCCGAUUCUAAGCCGUUAAGCAUGGUGCACUAAACUAUCAAGUAGUCAUCAUAUUGAGCUAGCCAAACGUUCAUAACGUCUGCAUCUGCUCCUGCAAUAGGUUUGUCACCUAGCGGUGCAUCAAGGACAUAAUUCUUCUGCGCAGCAAUAAGGAUAAACCUCAUAUCACGGAUCCAAUCCGCAUCAUUGCUACUAACAUCUUUCAACACAAUUUUCUCUAGGAACAUAUCAAAAUAAACAUAUGAAAGCAACAACGCAAGCUAUUGAUCUACAACAUAAUUUGCAAAAUACUAAUAGGACUAAGUUCAUGAUAAAUUUAAGUUCAAUUAAUCAUAUUACUUAAGAACUCCCACUUAGAAAUACAUCCCUCUAAUCCUCUAAGUGAUCACGUGAUCCAAAUCAACUAACCAUAACCGAUCAUCACGUGAAAUGGAGUAGCUUUCAAUGGUGAACAUCACUAUGUUGAUCAUAUCUACUAUAUGAUUCGCGCUCGACCUUUCGGUCUCCGUGUUCCGAGGCCAUAUCUGCAUAUGCUAGGCUCGUCAAGUUUAACCUAAGUAUUCCGCGUGUGCAAAACUGGCUUGCACCCGUUGUAGAUGGACGUAGAGCUUAUCACACCCGAUCAUGACGUGGUGUCUGGGCACGACGAACUUUGGCAACGGUGCAUACUCAGGGAGAACACUUCUUGAUUAUUUUAGUGAGAGAUCAUCUUAAAAUGCUACCGUCAAUCAAAGCAAGAUAAGAUGCAUAAAGGAUAAACAUCACAUGCAAUCAAUAUAAGUGAUAUGAUAUGGCCAUCAUCAUCUUGUGCUUGUGAUCUCCAUCUUCGAAGCACCGUCGUGAUCACCAUCGUCACCGGCGCGACACCUUGAUCUCCAUCGUAGCAUCGUUGUCGUCUACGCCAUCUAUUGCUUCUACGACUAUCGCUACCGCUUAGUGAUAAAGUAAAGCAAUUACAGGGCGUUUGCAUUUCAUACAAUAAAGCGACAACCAUAUGGCUCCUACCAGUUGCCGAUAACUUCGGUUACAAAACAUGAUCAUCUCAUACAAUAAAAUAUAGCAUCAUGUCUUGGCCAUAUCACAUCACAGCAUGCCCUGCAAAAACAAGUUAGACGUCCUCUACUUUGUUGUUGCAAAUUUUACGUGGCUGUUACGGGCUUAGCAAGAACCGUUCUUACCUACGCAUCAAAAACCACAACGAUAGUUCGUCAAGUUGGUGCUGUUUUAACCUUCGCAAGGACCGGGCGUAGCCACACUCGAUUCAGCUAAAGUGAGAGAGACAGACACCCGCCAGUCACCUUUAAGCACGAGUGCUCGUAGCGGUGAAACCAGUCUCGCGUAAGCGUACGCGUAAUGUCGGUCCGGGCCGCUUCAUCUCACAAUACCGCCGAACCAAAGUAUGACAUGCUGGUAAGCAGUAUGACUUGUAUCGCCCACAACUCACUUGUGUUCUACUCGUGCAUAUAACAUCACCGCAUAAAACCUAGGCUCGGAUGCCACUGUUGGGUUUCGUAGUAAUUUCAAAAAAAUUCUACGCACACGCAAGAUCAUGUUGAUGGCAUAGCAACGAGAGGGGAGAGUGUAUGUCCACGUACCCUCGUAGACCGUAAGCGGAAGCGUUAUGACAAUGCGGUUGAUGUAGUCGUACGUCUUCACGAUCCGACCGAUCCAAGCUCCGAACGUACGGGGCCUCCGAGUUCAGCACACGUUCAGCUCGAUGAUGAUCUCCGGCCUCCGAUCCAGCCGAGCUCCGGAGAUGAGUUCCGUCAGCACGACGGCGUGGUGACGGUGUUGAUGUUCUACCGGCGCAGGGCUUCGCCUAAGCUUCGCGAUGAUAUGACCGAGGUGGAAUAUGGUGGAAGGGGGCACCGCACACGGCUAAGGAACGAUCCGUAGAUCAACUUGUGUGUCUUUGUAGUGCCCCCCCUGCCCCCGUAUAUAAAGGAGCAAGGGGGGAGGCCAGCCGGCCCUUGGGGCGCGCCAUGGAGGGGGGAGUCCUCCUCCUAGUGGGAGUAGGACUCCCCUUUCCUAGUCCAACUAGGAAGGAGGAAGGGGGAAGGAAAGAGAGGGAGAGGGAGAGGGAAAGAGGGGCCGCGCCCCCUCCCCUAGUCCAAUUCGGACUCCCCAAGGGAGGGGGCGCACCACCUCCUGGGCUGCUGCCCUCUCUCUCCCCUCAGGCCCACUAAGGCCCAAUACUUCCCCGGGGGGUUCCGGUAACCCCUCCGGCACUCCGGUUUUCUCCGAAAUCACCCGGAACUCUUCCGGUGUCCGAAUAUAGUCGUCCAAUAUAUCAAUCUUUGUGUCUCGACCAUUUCGAGACUCCUCGUCAUGUCCGUGAUCACAUCCGGGACUCCGAACAAACUUCGGUACAUCAAAAACUUAUAAACUCAUAAUAAAACUGUCAUCGUAACGUUAAGCGUGCGGACCCUAUGGGUUCGAGAACUAUGUAGACAUGACCUAGAACCAUUCUUGGUCAAUAACCAAUAGAGGGACCUGGAUGCCCAUAUUGGUUCCUACAUAUUCUACGAAGAUCUUUAUCGGUCAAACCGCAUAACAACAUACGUUGUUCCCUUUGUCAUCAGUAUGUUACUUGCCCGAGAUUCGAUCGUCGGUAUCCAAUACCUAGUUCAAUCUCGUUACUGGCAAGUCUCUUUACUCGCUCCGUAAUACAUCAUCUCGCAACUAACUCAUUAGUUGCAAUGCUUGCAAGGCUUAAGUGAUGUGCAUUACCAAGAGGGCCCAGAGAUACCUCUCCGACAUUCGGAGUGACAAAUCCUAAUCUCGAAAUAUGCCAACCCAACAAGUACCUUUGGAGACACCUGUAGAGCACCUUUAUAAUCACCCAGUUACGUUGUGACGUUUGGUAGCACACAAAAUGUUCCUCCGGUAAACGGGAGUUGCAUAAUCUCAUAGUCAUAGGAACAUGUAUAAGUCAUGAAGAAAGCAAUAGCAACAUACUAAACGAUCGGGUGCUAAGCUAACGGAAUGGGUCAUGUCAAUCAGAUCAUUCAACUAAUGAUGUGAUCCCGUUAAUCAAAUAACAACUCUUUUGUCUAUGGUUAGGAAACAUAACCAUCUUUGAUUAACAAGCUAGUCAAUUAGAGGCAUACUAGUGCCACUCUGUUUGUCUAUAUAUUCACACAUGUAUUAUGUUUCCGGUUAAUACAAUUCUAGCAUGAAUAAUAAACAUUUAUCAUGAUAUAAGAAAAUAAAUAAUAACUUUAUUAUUGCCUCUAGGGCAUAUUUCCUUCACUAGCAUCCACCGCACCCCGCCAUCGGCUGAUUCUGACAGUGUCCAUACAUGUAACCGGAAAUCAUCGAUUGUCACAUAGUAAACCCCUUUCUCGUAGCUCACGAAGAUAGACCUCUUGGCCGGCUCAAAAUAUUCUGCAUCUUCAUAAGCUUUUCCCGGCAGAUGGACCAUAUCAUACGUACCCUCCGAGUUGCGUAUAAUCAUAAGGAUAUUGUUCCAGCAAUGUAGGUAGAGAGAGCCCUGCCAGUACACAGCGGACUUCCAUAUUGUCACACGCUUAGGGUGUGGCGCCGUCACCAUGUCAUAGAGGUACCCAGGGGAGAAAUGUCCUGGCACAAACUCCCGGCUCAUCCAUUGAGCCGUGUGUGACGAGAACACUAGUAUAGAGAUUAGCUUAUCCUUUGGCUCCUCCGCCGAUGGCAUAUGGGCAUGUAUCUCUUUCUUGCGUGGUUCUUGGAUGUUUUCUUGGACGUCACCUUUGAUCUUUCCACUCGGAAGGAGGAAUACCUCAUAGUGCAGUGACACGGCUGGGUCGAAGGUGAGGAACAUGCCCUCGUGAAACAGCUCAAGCCUCUUAGACAGUGGUGGUAGGCGAGCACAACGAAUAGUCGCUGGGUUGCAGAUAUAAUACUCAUCUUUUGAAUCAUUUUCAAGUAGAAGAAGGCCGUUGCAAUAGUGCAGCACGGAGGCCGAGUCGUGCCGGAAGAGCGGAUGCCGAAAGAUGGGGCCGUCCCGAGCCCUCCAUGGCAGCUCCGAGCGCGGCGCCGGUGGGGCAAAGAAGGAGGACUCAUUGUGGCUCCCGAGGUUGUCGGUGAAGAUGCCGGGGAAGUGCCCCGGGGGAAAGAAGUACGGGAGGAGUAACUUAUGGCCGUCGACAAGGACACGCCAGGCGCGGCAGACGCCCCUGAACGUGGCAAGGGCACGGCAGGGGAGGCGGCGGAGAAUGUCAAGGAGCACGUUGUAGGGGAGACAGAAGCCAUUGCCAUGGCCAUCACCAUCCAUCAUGCUGGCCGGGCGAGGGUGUAGAUCGGCCAAUUCGGACAAGGCGCCGAUUGAGGGAUCGACGGAGGACAACCAAGAGCACAUGAUAGGUGGCGAUUGAUCGAAUCGAUCGAUCGAUCGAUCAAUCAAGUUGUAUAAAUAGUGCUGCCACAUAGGGCUUGGUAGAUCGUCCGUCCGUCCGUAGUCGAGUCUAAGUCUAGUAGAAUUGUAAUGACUUGACUCCGAGACGGAGCCGUACGUACGUGCAUGUCAAGUCAAAAUAAUCUUCUAGGCUCGUUUUCAGUCUGUACGUGCAUGGAAGGUAUAUGGCACUUGAGCAGUUCAGUUACGUUCUACAACACGUUGAGAAUUAUGAGUUUCUUCCUCUGGGUUGAACCAUUUGCUCAUUGCUCCUACAAAGUGUUUAGGCAAUAGUGCAGUUUGUACAAUAAAGUUUCCAUUGGUUUUAUAUGUAAACUCUGUUCAAUAUUUUUAGCAUCAUUCUUAUUAAAGAAAUUAUAAGUUUAAGGUCACCGUGCACAAAUAUGUUAACUUGAAUUUUUUAGAUUAAUAUAUGUAAAUAAUAAUAAAAAUAAUUAGCCUUAUAACUCACCAGCGCCGAUUUGGCACAAAUAAAUUCAAGUACCUGAAAAAAGUCAGCAAUCUGCAAUUUAUCAUUUUCUAACAUUGAAUUAAGCAACUUUUAUAGGUACCCAGAGUGACCGGGCUCUUUUUCAACCAAGUAAUUCCAUUGAAAAAACACUGCUUGAAUGAAUACAAAAAACAUAUGCAGUCUAUCUCGUUGUCCUUGUUCUUCACUUCAGAGGAUCAUUAGUAGAAAAAGGGCCUUUCGUCCCGGUUCGUAAGGGCCUUUAGUCCCAGUUCUUGAACCGGGACUAAUAGGUCGUUACUAAUGCCCUUGACCUUUAGUCCCGGUUCUUACACGAACCGGGACAGAUGAGCCUCCACGUGGCUGCUGCGGCCAGCCCAGGCAGGGGGGCCUUUGGUCCCGGUUGGUGACACUAACCGGGCCCAGUAGGCAUCCACACGUCAGCAGCUGGCUAGAGCUGAGGUUUUUUUUUUGAAAGGGCUGGUUGUUAGGGGUUUUGGGGGUUAAUUUAGGUUGUUAUGAGCUAGCUAAUAGAGAGAAGUGUCCUCUCUUAUAUAUCUCCGUGCUUGGUUUACCAACGCUACUGCUAUGCCUAACGUUAACAUGGCUUAGAUUGAAGUGAAGGCAACAUGUGGUGCAUGUCAAAAGUAAUACUAAUCCUAACUUGAUCAAGUUUGGAUUGUACUACUUUCGACAUGUACCACAUGCAUGUUGCCUUCACUUCAAUCCAAUCCAUGUUCAUUUCACCCGCUCACAUCAUGCAUGUGGUACAUGUUCAACUAAUUAAUCAUCAUCAUACAACUUCUACUCGUUAUUAAUAACAAGUCAUACGAUCAUCAUCCUCAUAGUCAUUGAACCAACCCUACUUAAUCCAGCUUUGUAUUGCCAUCUUCGCAAUUGGGGUACAACCUUUUUUUAUGAUCGUCUAACAUGCGAUCGAACUUCAGGUUCUCCUUUUCACUUUCGCAUUGCGUCUUUGCAUCGACAAUGACCCGGCGGAGAUCAUCAUCAUCGGGCACAUCGUAUGGUUCCUCUUGAUCUUCAGUAGCUUCCGCCGUUGCAGCAUCAUCUGGCACAUCGUCUGGUUCCUCUUGAUCUUCAGCAGCUCCCCCCGUUGCAGCAUUACCGUAUUCAGGGGGCACAUAGUUGUCAUCGUCCUCUUCUUCUUCGCCGUCUUCCAUCAUAACCCCUAUUUCUCCAUGCCUCGUCCAUACAUUAUAGUGUGGCAUGAAACCCUUGUAAAGCAGGUGGGUGUGAAGGAUUUUCCGGUCAGAGUAAGACUUCGUAUUCCCACAUUUAGGGCAUGGACAACACAUAAAACCAUUCUGCUUGUUUGCCUCAGCCAUUUCGAGAAAAUUAUGCACGCUCUUAAUGUACUCGGAGGUGUGUCUGUCACCAUACAUCCAUUGCCGGUUCACCUGCGUGCAUUAUAUAUAAUUAUGUGUGUCAAGAGUAAGAAAAUCAGAGAAGUAUCUAUCUAGAGUAAGAAAAUCAGACAAGUCUCUAUCUAAAGUAAGAAAAUCAGAAAGAAGAUAAGAACAAGAGGCUUACCAUGGUGGUGCCAGCGACGAGAUCGGCGCGGGCGAUCAACGGCGCUGAAAACGGGGACUGGGCAUGACGGACCGCUAAAUCUAGACAAAUCUCGGGAAAAAUGGAGCUCCGAGGUCGAGCUUCGAGAGGAGAAAGCUUAACUAGUGUGGCUCGGGCAUUUCAUCGAACACCUCAUGUGCAUAGGAGGUGAGCUAGAGCACCCAAAUGCCCUCCCCUCGCCGGCCAGAAAAAACAGAGUGCUCUGCCGCGGCGAUGGGUAUAUAUAGGCAACUUAUUUGUCCCGGUUCUUGGCAUGAACCGGGACUAAAUCCCCCCCUUCUAUACCGGUUCAUGGCAUGAACUGGUACCAAUGGCUGUGGGCCAGGAGCGUGGACCAUUGGUCCCGGUUCGUGCCUAGAACCGGGACCAAUGCCCACGAGGCCCCGGCUGGCCCUCGGGCUCAUGAACCGGUUCGUGAAAAACCAGGACUAGUGGGCUGGCCAAGCCCGAACCAAAGCCAUGUUUUCUACUAGUCAAUCACAUGGGACAAAAACCCAGGUAACAAUCAAUUUGGCAACAGGGAGCACAUCGAUGUAGCAUGGGCGGUAAGGGAACGCACGAUCGAUGCCUUGAGCUUGUUGGAUGGGUCUAUACCAAGGCUUGUGCCCAAAUAUUGCAUUCUCGAGGGUGUUACGUGGUCCGCCACAACAUGGCCCCAUAUGUGGAAGAGGAGGAGCAUAUCUUUGUGUGGAUGCAGUCCCAUGAUUCUCCAAUGCGCAUGCCUUUGUUUCUCUAGGUGGGCACCACUCUAAUCAGGGCUAAUGAAGUUGUCCUCGUUCGAGUUCCAAGAAUAUUGAGAACCCUCGACGCUUCUUAAUUCUUCAUCUUCAUAUUAUUUGUAUCUUCAUCUGUAUCUACUUCAUCAAGCUCGUUGUCAUCAAUAUCACCAGCUAUUUCGCCCUGAUAGUCAUCAUCAAAGAUGCUUUCUUCUUCACUAUCAUCGUUGUCAUUAGUAUCAUCGGUCGCUUCACCCCACAUAUCCUCCUCAUAGAUGUCUUCUUCUUCUUGGUCGUACUCGUUAUCAUCAACAUCAUCAAUGCGUCACCCUGGCCCUGUUGGGGAACGCGGUAAUUUCAAAAAAAAAUCCUACGAUCACGACAAGAUCUAUCUCUAGGUGAUGCAUAGCAACAGAGGGGAGAGUGUUGUCUAUGUACCCUCAUAGGCCGAAAGCGGAAGCGUUAUGACAAUGUGGUUGAUGUAAUCGUACGUCUUCACGAUCCGACCGAUCCUAGCACCGAAGGUACGGCACCUCCGCGAUCUGCACACGUUCAGCUCGGUGACGUCCCUCGAACUCUAAAUCUAGCUGAAGCCGAGGGAGAGUUCCAUCAGCGCGACAGUGUGAUGACGGUGAUGAUGAAGUGCAGAUCAGAUGCCGACGAUGAUGGGGAUACCUUGACGACGCCUCUGACCCGGGCUCCCAACCAUCCUUGAUUCCCGCUUCGACGCCGACGAGCUGAACCGCCUCCUCGACGCCCAGUCGCCCACCACUUUCUGAAGGUUUGGUUCAGAGGUUCUCCUCCUCUCUUUGCAUAUACCCUGGACCAGAUCAUGGCAGAGUUCGGGCUGAUUUGUGUGCGGUGCAGGCCGUAAAGGAUGUGGCGCCAGUGAUUGCCCCUCUUUCUGUAACUAGUUGGAUUUCGAUGUGGAGUACUACUUCAUAAGUGCAGAUCUCGAUGAACUAGUUGGAUUUCGAAUUUUUUUAAUCUUUUCCUGUAACUAGCAAGUGUUGUUGGCAGUGAUUGUAACAAAUUUGCUCCAUAUUCCAGUAGGCGCCGAUAUGAAGCAGAUCCUCCUAUGAUAUGCUACGGCUAGACAUGGAUUGGUCAAAAAUUCUGCAAUAUCUGCUUCAAAUUUGUCUUUGGGGAUAAAAUGGAUUGGCGUGUAUUCAGUUCAUGAACCCAAAGCUGAAACUAAUGUCGAAGAGUUUUUGUGACAUUAUCGUCAAGCAACAAGUUGUUUCCGCAUUAUAUUAGGGGGUUUUGAUAGAGGAUGAUAGAUUCAGCUUUCCAUUGUCACUAGUGGCAUAAACUAUGAUGUGGCAUUUCUUCACAUCACAUCUUCUUCGGGCCAAAACAGUGGAGUCAUUCUUGUAAGAAGUAUAAACGUGUUAGUUAGGGAUUAGGAGAGAUAGAGGUAUAUUUGGUUUAAACUAACAAAGACUUGCCUUAUACUCCAAUCCUCUUCCCAUGUUGUACUCCUAUAUAUACCCCAUAUGAGGGUCAGUUCAAUUGAACAUAUAAAGGAUGAGCUAGUGCACCCAACUAGCGGCACCAGCCACGUCUCCUUUUAUUCGCCAUGAACAGUUCAUCGCGGGUUACUGUAGCAACGAUGCAGCAUCCCGCCUUAGUCGCCUCCCCCUCCUCCCACCUCAGGAACCCUAGUCGCCGCCUCCUCCUCCUCCUCCUCCCACCUCAGCCGCCUCCCUCCUCUCCCUCCCCCUCCCCCCAUCUUGUCCGUCCUGGGUGCGGACGUGAGCUUCCCGGCAAUGGUGGCGUUGGCUCAAGGCCUCCGUCUCCUUCUCUCCCUUCCACCGCCGCUCGUCGCAGCUCCGCCUCCCCGCCUGGCAGCGGCCAGAGAAGGACUGCUCUUCCUCACCUCCUCUUCCUCUCUUUCUGGAGCAUGGUGUCGAUCUGGAGCAGGAGAGGCCAGGAGUGCAGCCUCGAUCUGGAGAAGGGGAGCAGCCGUCGGUCGAUUUCGUCCUGCUCCCGCGACCCCGGUGGCCAUCCAACACCUUCCCGUGCUCUCCUAUCGUCUUGAGGCACUGGAUCCUGGUUCUGCGCCUCGACUGGCCCACCGUCUGUGUUCUCCUCCACCUUCUGUAGCUGCUCUGCUCGACCUUGUCAUCUUCGUUGGUGCUCAACAGGGGAAGCACAAGCAGCAGAUGCAACUGAGCAUCCUCCGGGUCGCAGCUCAGCUUCAGUUAAGUCGCCGCCUCCGGGAUGGACAUAGGAGAGGAGCCAUGGAGGGCACGGUGGCGGCGCUCAAUUCGAUGUAGUGCCAUGGAUCAGUCCCUGCUGCAGGAGAAAGGGAGAGAAGAUGAGAUGCAGAGGGAGAAGGAAGGAGAGGAGGGGGAAAGAGAAAGGAAAGAGGAGAUGGAGGUGCGUCGUCCAGCGCCGGCCUGCGCUGCCAAGGUUGGGCGGACCUGGCGGUUGGCGGCGGAUCCAGUCCUAGAUCGGGAGGACCUGCGGGGUAAAAUGAGUUACAGGUUCUUACCAUGCAAUUGUAGUUUUAUUUUGCAUAUAUAAGAUGAUAGUAACUAUAUGAUCAUAUUAGGAGUGCAUUAUUGGCAGCAUUGUGAGGUUUUCUUCAUAACUUGUUCUCUUGUUUAUAAUGUUUGCAUUCUCUUUGUUGCAAGGUGGUUGCAUGUAAAGUUGUCAAAUUGAUCUGGUGCUUGCUUGAGCCGAUUAUUGCUGCUUUGCUAAGGUUCAAGGUCUUAGUACAUGAGAAGGAACCUUCGAUGUGUAUAGAUGGUGAAUGUAUAUGGGGACAGACAAGAAUUGGCGAACUUGGUAUCAGAUGCCCUGAACUGUGAGUUCAUUAUUUUUAUUUUUCUUAGAAAAGAAGGAUGAACCCCGGCCUCUGCAUCUGGGCAAUGCAUACGGCCACUUUAUUAAUUAUUCUCACAAGAUAUUACAAAGUAAUACCACAGUAAGACUAAAGCCGUCUUCUAAGCAACAAACUGUCGCUACACCUAUCCAGUUGAUAAAGGGGCACAGAUAGCCUGGGCCUAAUACCGAACAGACAUCGCAGCCAAACUUAACAUCUAAGACCUCAGGACCCAUCCAGGACGCCUGCCGGGCAUGGAUCUCGCCGGUCUGGCGUGCUCUCAAAGGCCACCGCCGCCAACUGCCACCGCUCCAUCUUCAGAACUAUACUGAUGCAUCAAUCUUGCGCGGUCUAGCUAACAUCGACGUCACCAUGGCGCCCAACGGCACCUCCUCCCUGCACGCAAACAGCUGUGCACAUCGCGGUCGCCACUGAUACACCUCAGCACCAUGCUGCCAAGUACCACCAGCCGACACAGCUUGAAGUCUUUGGAAGAUCUGUCAUGCGUAGCACCUGCCGACCAGGCAUGACAAAGCAUAGCACCUGUCGGUCAGGCAUGACUUGACAUCUCCAUCGAAGCUCCGUGCAAGACGAAGCUGCUCCACCUCCUGCCUCUGACUUCCAGCGCUGCUCCACAAACGAUGCUCCCAAGAGAGAAAUGACACCGCAGUGUCGCCAUCGUCCGAUCUGGAACACCAGAUCCCAGGGUUUCGCCGAGAGCAGCAUGAGUGGGUCGAUAGUAGUUACACGACAAUGCCUCCAUCAAGGUAACGAUGCAGAACGCAGCCAUCGCCUGCCAACGGCUCGGUUUUCACUGGCAACCAUGUCUCCCCAACUCGCAGCGGGGACUAGAUGAUGGAUCUCGAGAUCCGGUCACCAAGCCUCUGGCCGGCCAUCUUUGACGACGAAGAUGACCACCACCAUUGGCCAGCGAGACGACGCGAGAUGAAGUAGGGCGCUGCCAGCGUGCGUUCUGGCCAGCACCACCGGUGCUAGGCCCGUCCCGGACCAUGCCUCAUGGCCGAGGGCAAAGGCAAGUGCUGCCACGACGAGGACGCAAACCGGAAGCCCAGAUCCAGCCCACCCGCGCGCCGCCACGUGGCCACCACCAAGCACCGUUCAAGGGCAACCCCGCCGCCGUGAGGGACGCCGCCUCACGGGCAGCAGGCGCCAGCCCCCGGCGGAACACCGCCGCGCACCACCGGCCGCCGUGAGAUCUUCACGAGAACGGCGAGUACGCCCCGCCGCCACCUUCCCUGGGGACCACGCGGGCUUCUCCGGUGUCCCUCCGGCGGCGGCGAAGCGGGGGAGGAGCGGGGAGGGGUGGCUGGCGGCGCGGUUAGGGUUAGGGGCGGGAGAGAGUUCUUUAAUUAGUGGACACUUUCAUAUGCAAGGCGGGAUAAGAUGCAGGUGAAUGCCUUUAUUUUGUUUCUUUAUGUCUUCUCCUCUAUUUAAUUAUAGAUGCAUUGUAUAGGGUGAACUUGCUUUCCUGACAACCGGUAUAGCACUUAGUCAGGCAAGGUGUGAAGAAGUGAGCUUAAAUGCUUGCUCUAUUUAUGUGUUUACUGCAUACUAUGUCAUACAAGUUGCCACUUUCGAAUCUGCCCUCUUUUAGGCACGUGUUAUAUAUUGGUAAAUGUGUGCUUUACAUAGUUUUCUUUCCUAGGUGCUUGUAUGAUCUUUGUAAUAGAAUCUUGUUGUCCCAACCAUCUAUUUUCCUGGUACGAGAGAUUGUGAGAUUAUGUUAUCCAUUGUCUCUACUUCCUAAUUGUACUUGUGAUAAACUUGAGGUGCUUUGGAGAUUUGUUCUGUCUAUUUACAUUUCUUAGUUUUUUUUGUGAAAAGUGCCUCCAUGGGAUUAGCGAGGUGUAUUUAUGCUUACCCCUUUUUGGUGUCUGGUCAAGCCAAUGGACAACGAGCAUUAUGUACCAUUGAAGAGAUAAAGUUGUUAAUUGUCCCUCUGUAUUCCUAAGUUAGAUCUCUAAUAAAUUAAGAAGUGCUUAUUUGUCAGUAGGUUCUCAUCGUCUGCUUAGGCAAAAUAUAUCAUGGUCAAAGCAUGUGAAAUAUUAGUUCUCGGUGAAAAGAUGAAGGUUCCACAUAUAUAUUAAUGCUUUCACCUCACUUGUCAUGCUGUAAUGAACAUGUUUUUGGUGCAACUUGAUUAGAGAGGGCCUACGAGUUUGUCAAGUUUGCGUUGUAUGCUGAAUAUAAUUUUGUUAGAUUGCUACUGCAGUUGUAUGAUCUUGAUCCCAGUAGGUCAAGAUUGCAUUUUUGUUGUUGAACUGAGAUUCGUCAAUGUUGUUUCAUAUUGGAAGUCUGUUUGCAUGUAUAUUGUUGAGGUUUUUGCUGAUCUGAAUUAUGAAAUUUUUUUCUUUGUUAACAUCUUGGCACUAUACAAUUUAUUCUUUGUUAACUUCAUAGCCUCAGAGAGAAAUGAGAGAAAUUGUACAAUGCCAUUGGCAUUUUGUUGAGGUUUUCGCUAAGGUGCUCCUCUCUAUAUAUGUUCAUCUUAAUAUCAUCAUCACUCACAUUUACAUUUGGUAAUAUAUGAGUUUUCUAAACACUGUGUACAGAUGUUAACACGGGCCAUGAGGAUUUAGAUCAGGAAGAAAAAUCAUGGGUGGAAGCUACUGACCAUGCGGAUUUACAUUAGUGACCUUCACUCGGGCUAUAAGUAGGAUAUAAUGCAGUAAAGACUUCUAUUCUUGCGGCUCUGGUUAGCUGCACAUGUGAAGGGCUGCUAAGAAAACAGGCCUCAGAAUGUAGAGAAGGUUUCUGAGAUAUGCAUGACAAAUAUCUUGCUACUUUGCCAUUUUGUAGGUAGAUAUGUAAAAUUUAAAAAUGUAUAUUGUUAUUAUGUUCUAUCCUAGAAUUAUUUCCCUUAUAUGCCUAUCUUGAUCAUGAAAUUAAGUCAAUUUCUUCUAUUAUUUUCAUGUGUUUGGGGAUAGGAUUCUGAAAGCUUAUAAACUUAUUUUCAAAGUUUGCCUAAUAAUUUAAGCAUAUAAGUUGAAAUUCAGUAAAACAUUCCCACUUGACAGUUCUGUUCUUAUUCCCGUAAAUGUUAAUCCAAGUGUCAUAAAUGACACAAGAUGCUUAGCUUUUAAUGGGAUGUCAAUGACGUCACGUUAUAUACAUUUUCGAGAUGGAACAUAUCUCAGAAGAUUUCUCUAUUCGUGCUCCGUGUGGUGAUUUCAAUGUACUAUGCACGUAAAUUUUGAUUUGACAUGCACUAGAUAUUUUGGUGGCCUCAAGCCCUCAACCCUCUGCAUUGUCCGGGUCCGCUGUGCGUGCUCUCAUCCGCGUUGCCGAGGGACGCUUCCUCCUGCGGCGCUCCUGUCCAAUAUUUUGUUUAUGCAAAAAAUUCUUACCAUCACCUCACCUGUUUGGACAAUUAGAUGAGCUCUACAAUUUGGUUCUGUAUCUUUCAGAGGGAACACAUUUUUCGUGAGUUAGUCAUGCUACCAUAGUAACAUAAACUCUUACUCCAUAGUUACAAUCCAUAAAAUGUGGUGAGAUGCAAUGCUAAGCAAAUGGAUGAUAACCGUUUGUACUGGAAAAGGGUCAACUAUAGUAUUUUUCCCCACUAAAAGAGAUGGAUAUUAUCAUCGUGCGUGGUGCAUUUUGUUUGCAUUUUCCUGUGAUAGAAACGGGUGCAUUUCAUUUACAUUUUUCCAUGCUGGAUUUUAGAUACGAUGUUGAUGCCUACAAUUUUUUUUACCAAAUUUAUGUGGCAGAUGAGAAUUGAUACAUUACAACCCUCAAACCUGUUGUUUUUCUGUAUAUUUAGGAACAUGAUACUACAGUUGAUAUUUUCGCAUAAUAAAAAUUGAUUGCAACAGAGAUGAUGCCUGUGAUUUUAGUCAGCUAAUGUUGAUGCCUGUGAUACUCCACCACCCUCCUCGCCCUCCUCCUCCUCACCCUCCUCCUCGCCCUACUCCUCCUCGCCCUACUCCUCCUCGCCCUCCUCCUCCUCACCAUCAGGAGCAUACUCCUCCUCCUCAAACUCAGAAGGUGGCUCAGUAUAGGAGGGCAUCGAAGAAGAACCCCCUAUUUCGGACAUGGACCGAAGUUUUUUGACCCGGGUGCCUCUCCCCCUCCUCCUCCUCUAGGGGCUCUCCCCCACCCCCUCCUCCUCUAGGGUCUCCUCCCCCGACCCCUUGACCUCCCUGUGAGGUGUCAUCAUCACGUAGUCAGGGGGAACCUUGUGGGCUCGUCCACUCCGAGUAAGUGAUUUGAAUUUGUUGAGGAAACCGGCGCCGCUGGGCCUGCCCAUGAUUAGCAAACCUGCAUUGAGAAGAGAAUAAACAAUCAGUAAGGAUAUCAAAUAAACAAGCAUACAGAAAACACAUUAAUAAUAGAAGAGCACAUUAAGAAUAAAGAAAAGAACAUUAAUAACAUAAGAGCACAUUAAGCAUACUAUUGUAAUCUACCUCAAUCAUCUUUAAAAGAACUUACAUUUUCUAGAAACCAUAUGAAUCAUCACUAUUGUAAUCUAUUUGUCGACCGGUCUCAUCAUCACUAUCACGCAUAUCAUCUUCGUUGUCUGACGGAGGUGGAGGCUCUUCCUCAUCAUCAGCAUCUUCAUUUAACUUUUCAAGCAUAAUCAUGUCUCUUUGAUUCACACCUGCCUCACCAUCAGUCCGUGCGUGAUGGGGUUUAUGUUAUAGUAACCAUCAUCGUUCGGGUCUGGUAGCUUACCAUGUGGAGACACCUUGAACACAACUUUCCAACCCUUUAGGUACUCUUUCUGGCAUGGGCAAGGAAGAUAAUAUACUUGUGUGGCCUGGGUAGCGGCCAUAAAGAGAUCAGCUCUGUCAUAGAUGGUUGAUGGUUUAACUUCAACUAAACCAACAUAAGGCAUAUGUCUCAAACCCUUUUUGGGGUCGAACCAUCGGCAUUUGAACACAGUGAGACUUAGGGGUUCGCAACCACGUUUGAAUGUAAGCUCGUAUAUUUUUCCUACCCUUCCGUAGUAAUCUACUUUAUUAUCUCCUUCGGUGAAGACUCCGGUAUUUAUAGUUUUGGGAUCAUGCCGACUGUUCUGUUGCUCCUCUGUAUGGAAGCGAUACCCAUUCACAUCAUACUUUUCGCAUGUCAUGACCCGACUGUCAAAACUCAUGGAAACCCAUCUCAAUUCUUCAUCCAUUGAUGUGUUCGAAUCUUUUCCGUACAAGUUUAAUUAAAAUUAUAGGGUGCAUGAGUUUAAUUGGAAUUGUAGGGUGAACUAGGUAACAGGGAAGGGUGAAAAUUUACUUUCUCCAUGAACCACGCAACAAAAUUUUCCCUUCCAUCGGAACCCCUCGUGAGAAGAGCAAGUGCCUUCGGUUCAGUAGGAGGCAGCAUUCCCGUCCACUCUUCAUCAACGAAUCGACUAAAAUAGGAAAAGCGGUAUUAGAACGAGGCAAAGUAAACAUAACGAAUUGACUACAAGAAUGGUGCAAAGCUAUUAACUCAUCCACUCAUCCUCAACUUCCUUGAUGUUGUGCAAGAUAUAGAACAUGACAUCCUCCCACUCAUCUUGUGGCAUGAUAUAAGGUGUCAGGCAUCCAGCCCUACCACCUUGCCCGCUGAAUAGAGGCAGCCUAGAAUUAUACUUGGGUUCUUCUGUAUUGUAUCGAGACACCUUAUUAUGCAGCGUGGGAACAUGGUCUGGAUAGUACGCUGUCCUGAGGUCUUCCACCUCCUCUAGGAUAACUACCUCAGCUAUGGAAGCUUCAUUAUCUAUUUUAGAAACUAAGUGUCUCGAAUUGCUUCUUAUGAAUCAACAUGACCUAACACUAACUUGACCAAAUACUAACUUGACCAAUAUCCAUCCAUCUAUCACAAACUUAACCAACAUCUAUUCAUCUAUAUAUUAGAAACUAAGUGUUUAAAACAUUUGUUAACUUGACUAACAUCCAUUGACAAACUUAAUAAAAACUAUUUACUAUGUAUCUAAAAACCUAAUAAAACUAUACAAAACAAAAGAAUUCACUACAAGAAAUAUGUCAACUUGUGACCACCACUAUUGGUCAAUGAAUAGUCAUUGUUUUCCAUUUGUGACCUUUUUGUGACCAAAAACAGAAGGUCAAAAGCUGGCCGUCAUAAACUGACUAUAGCGACCUUUCUUCUGGAAUGGUUGUGGACGUUUAUGACUAAAAUAUGUCUACUGUGGCGUUUUGGUCACUAGCAACCUCCCCAGUCCAUGUAGGCAUCCAGCUUGGCAAGCUGAUGUGGCACAAGAUUCAGCCCGGUCCAAUUGAGUGUUUUACAUGGGCCUAGCCCAUUAAUUCAGCCUUUUAUAUAUGUUUUUUCCUGUCAAUAUACGCUAGCUACAUGGGCCAAGCCCAGCAAUUCAGCCUUUUUGGUUUCUAAGACAGAACUUUACGGUCCAUUUCUUUUUGGGCCUCGGCCUUUUAAAAGUUGACUUCUUUUUUGGGCCUCAGCCUUUUUGCAUGCCAUUCACGUUUUGGGCCUUGGCCUCCACCAAUAAGUAAGUCCAACUCAUCAACUUUCUAUUUCUCACAUUUUCAUAGUACAAAGAAACAGAACUAUUUCAUGACAAAUAUUUCAAAUGAAACAGAACUAUAUACUUGAAAUGACCAGACAAGUACAACCAGACAAGUACAACCAGACCGGUACAACCAAACCAGUACAAAAUACAACGAGACCAAUAAGUGUAGCCUAUUACAAUCUUUACAUACUGUUCAUACAACCAGACCAGUACAAAAUACAAUGAAACUAGCUAUGAAGUACAACCAGAACACAAGGCAUAUUGAUAGAUAACCACCACGCUUCAUCGUCUUCCUCUUCCAAAUUCCAAGAAACAAAUCACCUAGCAUUAGAAGGAUCACGCAUCAGAAGCAUAUAAAAUCUUUCAACCAUCAAUAUAGUUUGCUUAUAAGAAAACAUAUGGUCUGGUUUUAAAAUCCAUCAGAAACACUUGACCCAAGAGAUGCAACUACCCGAAUGCUUCAUUCAAGAUUUAACACAGUAACUCUAUAGGCAGAAAGUAAACUGAAGGCAACCUCUUUGCACAUCACUUAUUUAUGAACAGAGGGAGUGAUAUUCAACUUCCACAGUCAAAGGAGACCCGUAAACUCAUUGCGCACAGUUGCAAAAACACAUUAUACAACAGCAAUACAACAUCAGCGCGCGCGCGUGUGUGUGUGUGUGUGUGUGUGUGCCGCAGUUACCUACAUAUCCUACUAAGAGAAGCCGGCAGUCAGGUUGUUGGUCUUGUACUUGUCGAACUAACAAUCUAUGGAUUUUGCAGUGUAAUUGAGAUCAGUAUAAACUAAUUGCACACAAUGGAAGCAGUGCCAUCGAACCAACGAACGAACAAACCGACCCAGUGAGACCAAGAAGGAAAACAAGCAGAUCAGGGGUGGUUACCAUCCUGGCACGCUCGCCCUUCUCCUGGAUGGCAUCAUCCUUGAGCACCCUCUCCAUCUGCCCAACCACAGAGACGGAGAGAAAAAAAUUCAGGAACGCAUCGCGUUGAUCCAGCCACAGAGAACAAGUGUAGAUAUGAUGUGCCAUAUUGCCAGCAAUCACUGGUAGAAAAAGAGGCUUCCGUCCAGCCCCAUUAGUCGCGAAACUGUAGGAACCGCGACUAAUGAAGUCUUUAGUCGCGGUUCGGCAGACGAACCGCGACCAAAGGCCUGGGCCCAGGGCGCUCGGUGGCCAGCUGGUGCACGUGAGGGGCUUUAGUCGCGGUUGGCCAGGCCAACCGCGACUAAAGGUGCCCAAAGGCCUUUAGUCGCGGUUNNNNNNNNNNNNNNNNNNNNNNNNNNNNNNNNNNNNNNNNNNNNNNNNNNNNNNNNNNNNNNNNNNNNNNNNNNNNNNNNNNNNNNNNNNNNNNNNNNNNNNNNNNNNNNNNNNNNNNNNNNNNNNNNNNNNNNNNNNNNNNNNNNNNNNNNNNNNNNNNNNNNNNNNNNNNNNNNNNNNNNNNNNNNNNNNNNNNNNNNNNNNNNNNNNNNNNNNNNNNNNNNNNNNNNNNNNNNNNNNNNNNNNNNNNNNNNNNNNNNNNNNNNNNNNNNNNNNNNNNNNNNNNNNNNNNNNNNNNNNNNNNNNNNNNNNNNNNNNNNNNNNNNNNNNNNNNNNNNNNNNNNNNNNNNNNNNNNNNNNNNNNNNNNNNNNNNNNNNNNNNNNNNNNNNNNNNNNNNNNNNNNNNNNNNNNNNNNNNNNNNNNNNNNNNNNNNNNNNNNNNNNNNNNNNNNNNNNNNNNNNNNNNNNNNNNNNNNNNNNNNNNNNNNNNNNNNNNNNNNNNNNNGGUUGGCCAGGCCAACCGCGACUAAAGCUCCUCCCCUAUAUAUACCAGUUCAGCACGCUCACUUAGCCACUUGGUGCCACUUCUCUUCACAAGCUUCACAAGGGGGUGUAGGUUUGCUUUUGGUUCCUCUUAUGCACACAAGGUGUUUGAUGAAAUGCCCCAAGAGCGUGAAAGAAACAUGAUAUGAAGUGUUGGAGCCACACUUGAGGUUCCUCAUUUAUUUUUUCCUCCUCGAUCGCGGUUAGCAACUUGAACCUUUCAUGCAUGUGUGUCAUUGAUAAAAUAUGCAUGUGUGUUGUUCAUUGUUUAAUUUCUAUUGUUUAUAGCUAGUUAAUUAGUUUAACAAAUGCAUGAUGGUUAAUUAUAUAUUUUAUAUUAUAAUAAUGCAGAUGAAUCGGCAAUGGAUGUACGGUAACCGACUCUCCCGCGAGUUCACUACGGGUUUGAAAGAUUUCCUCGUAGUGGCUAAUGCGAACAAGCAGAAGGGUUUUGUUAUCUGUCCAUGUGUUGACUGUUCCUCAAGAGAAGGGUUACUCUUCCUCAAGAGAAGUUCACCUGCACCUGCUUCGGCACGGUUUCAUGCCAAUCUAUAAUUGUUGGACCAAGCAUGGAGAAAGAGGGGUUAUAAUGGAAGAAGAUGAAGAAGGGGAUGAUUUCAUCGAUGAAAGCUAUCUUGCUCAUUUCGGUGAUACUUUCAUGGAGGAUGCUGAAGGUGAAGGGGAAGGUGAAGGGGAAGGUGAAGGUGAAGAAGAGGCACGUGAUGAGACCGUUGAUGAUCUUGGUCAGACCAUUGCUGAUGCACGGAGACGCUGCGAAACUGAAAAGGAGAGGGAGAAUUUGGAUCGCAUGUUAGAGGAUCACAGAAAGUCGUUGUACCCCGGAUGCGAUGAUGGUCUGAAAAAGCUGGGCUGCACACUGGAUUUGCUGAAAUGGAAGGCACAGGCAGGUGUAGCUGACUCGGCAUUUGAAAACUUGCUGAAAAUGUUGAAGAAUAUGUUUCCAAAGAAUAACGAGUUGCCCGCCAGUACGUACGAAGCAAAGAAGGUUGUCUUCCCUCUAGGUUUAGAGGUUCUGAAGAUACAUGCAUGCAUCAACGACUGCAUCCUCUACCGCAGUGAAUACGAGAAUUUGAAUGAAUGCCCGGUAUGCACUGCAUUGCGUUAUAAGAUCAGAGGCGAUGACCCUGGUGACGAUGUUGAGGGCGAGAAACCCAGGAAGAGGGUUCCCGCCAAGGUGAUGUGGUAUGCUCCUAUAAUACCACGGUUGAAACGUCUGUUCAGGAACAAAGAGCAUGCCAAGUUGUUGCGAUGGCACAAAGAGGACCGUAAGUCGGGCGGGGAGUUGAGACACACCGCAGAUGGAACGCAAUGGAGAAAGAUCGACAUAGAGUUCAAAGAUUUUGCAGCUGACGCAAGGAACAUAAGAUUUGGUCUAAGUACAGAUGGCAUGAAUCCUUUUGGCGAGCAGAGCUCCAGCCAUAGCACCUGGCCCGUGACUCUAUGCAUCUACAACCUUCCUCCUUGGUUGUGCAUGAAGCGGAAGUUCAUUAUGAUGCCAGUGCUCAUCCAAGGUCCGAAGCAACCCGGCAACGACAUCGAUGUGUACCUAAGGCCAUUAGUUGAUGAACUUUUACAGCUGUGGGGCAGACCUGGUGUCCGUGUGUGGGAUGAGCACAAAGAAGAGGAAUUUAACCUACGAGCGUUGCUUUUCGUAACCAUCAACGAUUGGCCUGCUCUUAGUAACCUUUCGGGACUGUCAAAUAAGGGAUACAAUGCAUGCACGCACUGCUUAAAUGAGACUGAAAGUGUACAUUUGCCAAAUUGUAAGAAGAACGUGUACCUUGGGCAUCGUCGAUUUCUUCCGAAAAUUCAUCCAGUAAGAAAGAAAGGCAAGCAUUACAACGGCAAGGCAGAUCACCGGCCGAAGCCUAUGGAACGCACUGGUGCUGAGGUAUUUGAUAUGGUCAAGGAUUUGAAAGUCAUCUUUGGAAAGGGUCCUGGCGGACAAUCAGUUCCGAAGGGAGCUGACGGGCACGCAGCCAUGUGGAAGAAGAAAUCUAUAUUCUGGGAGCUAGAAUAUUGGAAAGUCCUAGAAGUCCGCUCUGCAAUCGACGUGAUGCACGUUACGAAAAAUAUUUGCGUGAACCUCCUAAGCUUCUUGGGCGUGUAUGGGAAGACAAAUGAUACAAAGGAAGCACGGCAGGACCAGCAACGUUUGAAAGACCCUGAUGACCGGCAUCCGGAAUGGUUUCAAGGUCAUGCCAGCUACGCUCUGACCAAAGAAGAGAAGGUCAUCUUUUUUGAAUGCCUGAGCAGUAUGAAGGUCCCGUCUGGAUUCUCGUCCAAUAUAAAGGGAAUAAUAAACAUGGCGGAGAAAAAGUUCCAAAACCUGAAGUCUCACGACUGCCACGUGAUUAUGACGCAAUUGCUUCCGAUUGCUUUGAGGGGGCUCCUGCCGGAAAAUGUUCGAGUAGCCAUUGUGAAGCUAUGUGCAUUCCUCAAUGCAAUCUCUCAGAAGGUAAUCAAUCCAGAAGUUCUACCACGGUUACAGAACGAUGUGAUCCAAUGUCUUGUCAGUUUCGAGUUGGUGUUCCCGCCAUCCUUCUUCAAUAUUAUGACGCACCUCUUGGUUCACCUAGUCGAAGAGAUUUUCAUUCUCGGUCCUGUAUUUCUACACAAUAUGUUCCCCUUCGAGAGGUUCAUGGGAGUAUUAAAGAAAUAUGUUCGUAACCAUGCUAGGCCAGAAGGAAGCAUCACCAAGGGCUAUGGAAAUGAGGAGGUAAUUGAGUUUUGUGUUGACUUUGUUCCUGACCUUAAGCCGAUUGGUCUUCCUCGAUCGCGGCACGAGGGGAGACUAAGUGGAAAAGGCACGAUCGGAAGGAAAUCAACGAUAUGUAUGGACGGCCAUUCUCUGACUGAAGCACACCACACUGUACUGACCAAUUCCAGCUUGGUGGCUCCGUACUUUGAGAAACACAAGAAUAUUUUACGCUCGGACAACCCGGGGAAGCCUGAAUCCUGGAUUAGGAAGGCCCACAUGGAGACUUUCGGCAGUUGGUUGAGAAAACAUUUAAUGAAUGACAAUGAUGUUGUAGAUCAGCUGUACAUGUUGGCCAAGACACCAUCUUUGACUAUAACGACUUUCCAAGGGUACGAGAUAAAUGGGAAUACAUUUUACACGAUCGCCCAAGAUAAAAAGAGCACCAACCAAAACAGUGGUGUCCGCUUUGAUGCAGCAACCGAGAAUGGGCAAAAGGUCACAUAUUAUGGUUACAUAGAGGAGAUAUGGGAACUUGACUAUGGACCCUCCUUUAAGGUCCCUUUGUUCCGGUGCAAAUGGUUCAAGCUAACAGGAGGUGGGGUAAAGGUGGACCAGCAAUACGGAAUGACAAUGGUGGAUUUCAACAAUCUUGGUUACCUUGACGAACCAUUCGUCCUAGCGAAAGAUGUCGCUCAGGUUUUCUAUGUGAAGGACAUGAGUAGCAAACCAAGGAAACGGAAAGAUAAGAAAACGAUCAGUACAUCAUGCGAUGAUCCAAAGCGCCACAUUGUUCUUUCAGGGAAAAGAAACAUCGUGGGAGUGGAGGACAAGAUAGACAUGUCAGAAGAUUAUAAUAUGUUUGCUAAAAUUCCGCCCUUCAAAGUGAACACCGACCCAAGCAUUAAGUUAAAUGAUGAGGAUGCUCCAUGGAUACGGCACAAUCGUAAGCAAGCAGGACACAAGGGAAGAAAUGAUGUGUAAUAAUUUAUUGUACCAAACUUUGUUGAAUGGAUCAUGUGAAUUAUAUUACCCGUGAUGUGUUUGGUGUCCAUUUUCGAAUGAUUCAAGAUACCACUGAUGAUACAUGAAAUUUGGAGUGAUUUAGUCAUACUCCUGCCUAGGCGUAUAAUAUGCAUACUCGUAGUCUUCAUAGCCGCCGCCGUUGUACUGGUAGUCGUCGCCUUCUAAGUUGCCGCCGUCGUCGUCGCUGCUGUUGUCGCUGUCGUACUCCUGCCUAGGCGUAUAAAAUUUUGAAUUGAAUUAGUUUUAUUUUUCUGAAUUUUUUGAUAUAUUAUUUGUAUUUUUAACAUUUUGAAUUGAAUUAGUUUUAUUUUUCUGAUUUUUUUGAUAUAUUAUUUGUAUUUUUAGAAUGUUGAAUUGAAUUAGUUUUAUUUUUCUGAAUUUUUUGAUAUAAUAUUUGUGUUUUUAACAUAUUGAAUUGAAUUAGUUUUAUUUUUCUGAAUUUUUUGAUAUAUUAUUUGUAUUUUUAAGAUUUUUAAAAAGAAAAAGUAUUUUGAAAAAUACCUUUAGUCGCGGUUGGCCUAGCCAACCGCGACUAAAGGUCNNNNNNNNNNNNNNNNNNNNNNNNNNNNNNNNNNNNNNNNNNNNNNNNNNNNNNNNNNNNNNNNNNNNNNNNNNNNNNNNNNNNNNNNNNNNNNNNNNNNNNNNNNNNNNNNNNNNNNNNNNNNNNNNNNNNNNNNNNNNNNNNNNNNNNNNNNNNNNNNNNNNNNNNNNNNNNNNNNNNNNNNNNNNNNNNNNNNNNNNNNNNNNNNNNNNNNNNNNNNNNNNNNNNNNNNNNNNNNNNNNNNNNNNNNNNNNNNNNNNNNNNNNNNNNNNNNNNNNNNNNNNNNNNNNNNNNNNNNNNNNNNNNNNNNNNNNNNNNNNNNNNNNNNNNNNNNNNNNNNNNNNNNNNNNNNNNNNNNNNNNNNNNNCCGGCCGGCCUCGGGACUGCCGCGCGCGCACGCGCGCGCCUCUCUCAGACAGAGAGCGAGAUCGUGGAGAGAGAGAGGGGCGCCGCGGGCCACCGGAAUUUUUUCUUUUUUUUUCUUUUUUUUGUUCUUUUUAAUUUUAACUAGUUAAUUAGUUUAACAAAAACGGUAAAAUAACUUAAAACUUGAUAAUUAACAAAAAACCGUAAAAUUUGAUAAUUAACAAAAAAAAAUGUAUAUAAAACUUGAUAAUUAACAACAAAAAAAGUAAAACUUGAUAAUCAAUAUAUACAACGACCCCGCGCGUCAAUGUACAACGAUCCCGCUUUAAAAAAAUGUACACGACCCCGCGCAUAUACGGAGAGGGGGCGGCGAGGGGAGCGGCGAUGCGUGCGGUGUUUUUUUUGGGAUCGAGAGGGGGCGACGAGGGUUAUACAUGUGUGUUGUCCUCGCCUCCCUCUCCGUGACGCCGUCGUCUGCCGCCCCGUCUCGCGCUCUACCGCGACACCCUCUCCCACCCCUUCCUCGCCCCCUCCUUUUGCCACCGCCCUUUCGCCACCGCCACCGCCCCCCUUCUUCACUUAAUUAAUUUGUUUUUACUACAUGUUUUCAGGACUGACAUAAUGGCGGACGAUAGAGCUGACCCAAUUAUGGACAACUAUGAUCCGGACGGUGAAGCACAUAUGUUCGGCAUCAUAAACGGCGAUAUUCUAUAUGUGCCGACCGGACAAGAAGAAGAUGAUAUCUCUUCUUAUCUGAACCUUGACGGUGAAGAUGAAGGGCGCCGUCAGCAAGAUGAUGCCGAACAAACGUCGAUAAAUGACGAUCUUCAAAUGGAAGUAGCAACCACCUCCGGCGCCGAGGUAUAUAUAUACAUUGAGCCUCUGGUGAUACAAACUAACUGAUUUGAAUAAAUAUGUGUGUACUAACGCGCGCGACUCUCUUUCUUAUUUUAGCCCUCGGCCGGAUCCUCGAAACAAUCGAGUACGUCGUCAAAGAGUGGCGCAACCAAGACGAUGAAACAAGGAGAAACAUGCACCAUCGAGGUUGUCGACAGUGCAACCGGCAGGCCGCUGGAGCCCCGCAAGAACGCCACCAAGUUUGUCAACCAAUGCGGAGCCGUUGUUAGAGACAACGUCUCGAUCACCGUCCAGGAGUGGAAUAAGCCAAAGAAGGCACGAAUUGCUGGUUUCACUUUUGUCGAUAAGAGAACAAAAAAAGAUUGCUUCAAGAAGCUUAUGGAACAUUUCGUUCUACCUCCGGAAUACAACAAAUUCGAUGAGGAGGGUAACAAGAUUGAGGAAAACAAGGAGAGGAGGAGGCUAGUCAAACAGUUCGCUCUUCAUAAGAUGGCCGACGCAUUCCGGAAAUUCAAGCAAAAUCUAGCCCAUGACUUUGUCAAGCAGAACAAGACUCCGGAUUUCAAAGGACAAUAUGAGAAACUGAAACAUGAUUGGCCAGAAUUUGUNNNNNNNNNNCGCCACCGCCACCGCCCCCCUUCUUCACUUAAUUAAUUUGUUUUUACUACAUGUUUUCAGGACUGACAUAAUGGCGGACGAUAGAGCUGACCCGAUUAUGGACAACUAUGAUCCGGACGGUGAAGCACAUAUGUUCGGCAUCAUAAACGGCGAUAUUCUAUAUGUGCCGACCGGACAAGAAGAAGAUGAUGUCUCUUCUUAUCUGAACCUUGACGGUGAAGAUGAAGGGCGCCGUCAGCAAGAUGAUGCCGAACAAACGUCGAUAAACGACGAUCUUCAAAUGGAAGUAGCAACCACCUCCGGCGCCGAGGUAUAUAUAUACAUUGAGCCUCUGGUGAUACAAACUAACUGAUUUGAAUAAAUAUGUGUGUACUAACGCGCGCGACUCUCUUUCUUAUUUUAGCCCUCGGCCGGAUCGUCGAAACAAUCAAGUACGUCGUCAAAGCGUGGCGCAACCAAGACGAUGAAACAAGGAGAAACAUGCACCAUCGAGGUUGUCGACAGUGCAACCGGCAGGCCGCUGGAGCCCCGCAAGAACGCCACCAAGUUUGUCAACCAAUGCGGAGCCGUUCUUAGAGACAACGUCUCGAUCACCAUCCAGGAGUGGAAUGAGCCAAAGAAGGCACGAAUUGCUGGUUUCACUUUUGUCGAUAAGAGAACAAAAAAAGAUUGCUUCAAGAAGCUUAUGGAACAUUUCGUUCUACCUCCGGAAUACAACAAAUUCGAUGAGGAGGGUAACAAGAUUGAGGAAAACAAGGAGAGGAGGAGGCUAGUCAAACAGUUCGCUCUUCAUAAGAUGGCCGACACAUUCCGGAAAUUCAAGCAAAAUCUAGCCCGUGACUUUGUCAAGCAGAACAAGACUCCGGAUUUCAAAGGACAAUAUGAGAAACUGAAACAUGAUUGGCCAGAAUUUGUGAAGCAAAAGAAAUCGGAGCAGUUCAUUGAAAUAUCGAAAAAAUAAGGAAAAUGCGGCUAAGAAGGAGUACAAUCAUAUUAUGGGGCCAGGAGGGUAUCGCCUUUGGGUGCCUAGGUUGGAGAAGAUGGAGAACGAGCUGAGGGCGCGAGGAAUCCGUCCAGGUACGGAGGGAUGGGACCCAAGGGCCAAAAGCUGGUGGUACGGGCAUGGGGGAACGCUGAACCCGGAGACAGGGGAGUGUGUUUACCGGGGCAAAAUAAUUAAACCCACCGAAGCCCUUAUUGACGCAAUGAGGGAUGCUCAAGAGGGGAAGAUCAAGUUCAACAGAGAGAACGACGCGCUGACAAAAGCCCUCGGGAAUCCUGAACACGGAGGACGUGUACGAGGCAUGGGGCACAUUCAGUGGAAAAUAGGGUUCCCCUAGAACGAUGACCCGUACGGUUACAGAAGCNNNNNNNNNNAGGAGUGGAAUAAGCCAAAGAAGGCACGAAUUGCUGGUUUCACUUUUGUCGAUAAGAGAACAAAAAAAGAUUGCUUCAAGAAGCUUAUGGAACAUUUCGUUCUACCUCCGGAAUACAACAAAUUCGAUGAGGAGGGUAACAAGAUUGAGGAAAACAAGGAGAGGAGGAGGCUAGUCAAACAGUUCGCUCUUCAUAAGAUGGCCGACGCAUUCCGGAAAUUCAAGCAAAAUCUAGCCCAUGACUUUGUCAAGCAGAACAAGACUCCGGAUUUCAAAGGACAAUAUGAGAAACUGAAACAUGAUUGGCCAGAAUUUGUGAAGCAAAAGAAAUCGGAGCAGUUCAUUCAAAUAUCGAAAAAAAUAAGGAAAAUGCGGCUAAGAAGGAGUACAAUCAUAUUAUGGGGCCAGGAGGGUAUCGCCUUUGGGAGCCUAGGUGGGAGAAGAUGGAGAACGAGCUGAGGGCGCGAGGAAUCCGUCUAGGUACGGAGGGAUGGGAACCAAGGGCCAAAAGCUGGUGGUACGGGCAUGGGGGAACGCUGAACCCGGAGACAGGGGAGUGUGUUUACCGGGGCAAAAUAAUUAAACCCACCCAAGCCCUUAUUGACGCAAUGAGGGAUGCUCAAGAGGGGAAGAUCAAGUUCAAUAGAGAGAACGACGCGCUGACAAAAGCCCUCGGGAAUCCUGAACACGGAGGACGUGUACGAGCCAUGGGGCACAUUCCGUGGAAAAUAGGGUUUCCCCAGAACGAUGACCCGUACGGUUACAGAAGCCGGAAGAGAAAGAUGGAUCGGGAAGCAGAUGUUGUGGCGCGGUUGGCAUCGGAAAUGGAUGUGAUGAAGAAAACCGUGAGUGUACUAGUAGCCGAAAGAGAUGCAGCUCGGGCGCAGCAUGAAGAUCAUCCAGCAGAUCUCAGAAGCCAGCAGCGGAGAAGCAGUGUGGCUUCCACGGAGGCCCCACCGGCUGGUGCAGAUGCACCGACGAUCGAAAUUACUGCACCGGAGCCUCUGGUGGUCGAAAUUACUGCACCGGAGCCUCCUCGCUACCCCGUGGACGAUAUAAAGGAGAUGAAAGAAUGUCAUCUGUAUUAUCCUAUCGGGAACAUGUCCAUGAAGGUAGCCAUCGGCAGUGCUUUACCAUGUUUACCUGGAGCACUCCACCACAACAACCCCAUUCAAGAUGGUUAUGCUCGUGUCACGGUGGAGGACAUAGUCCAAGGGUUUGAGGACCUGGAGAUUGACAUUGCUACACCUGAAGGGGAUGUCAAGCGCCAUUUCAUUCUAUGGCAAAAGAAGUUUAUCAAGUUUCCAAGCGAGGCGGCAAGGACAACAAGUCCACCCUCCUACGGUGGUGGUGGUGGUGGCGGUUCACCUACACCUCCGUCACGUCAGCCGACGCCCCCCAGUCCACAACGUCCGGCGGGUGAUCAGACGCCGCCCCCCAUCCUCGUCCGGCGGGUGAUCAGACGCCGCCCCCCAAUCCACCUCCGGCAAAGAAGCAGAAGCAGUCCUGGAUUAUUAACCCGGACCCUUAUGUACCUAAGACCACAAAGGUACCGGAGCCAUCACUGAAGCCUCUCCCCACAAGGCCUUGGGAACGUAGUGCCGAGGAAACUGCCGCGGCCGCGGCUGCUGAUCAUGAGAAAUGGAAGGCAGACUGCAAGAAAAAAAGAGAGCCCGAGCCCAAGCCAGUACUUUCUGAUGAGCAAAAGAAGUGGGCUAAGUCAUUUUUGAUCACACCGUCCCAAGCUGCGAAGAAUCUGCCUGACGACUAUGCACGUGAACUUCGUAGGCAGGCACUCAUGUUGAAGGAGAAGAAAGAGCGGGCGGAGAACCAGGAGAACAAAGCCUUGGAGGAGACCGAGAAAACGGAAUUAGAAAGUAAAAAAAGCGGGAAACGAGUUGCCCAGCUCGGGGAACAAAGUAAACAAUCGAUUGCCCCGCUUAUAGUGAAAGCCGCCGGUCCGGAUGACCCCGAUAUCAUAGCAGCUGCGGUAGCACAUGGAUUGACUGUAACGAGUGCCAGAGAACAAGCGGCCAACUUAGGUAUUACUCUUCGUGAACUGUUAGGCCUUGAUGAGGCGCCAGUGAAGGAGGUAGUAAUUACAUAUGUGAAGAAUGGGCCUCUCGUCGAGCCUGCGCAGGAAGAGGAUCUACCUCCACAAAUGAAAGGUCUGCUGAAAUGGUACAAGGGUUACAUAAAAAAUAAAAACGCCAAAGAAUAUAUUUAUGCGGAAGUUAGAUAUGAGCAUCACUUCAAACAUUACUAUGUACAAAUUCAUCUGAGUGAAUUGUUCCAGCUUUUCAAUCUGCGCGAGCUCGAUAAAUCUAUCAUCAGUUGCUACGUUCUGUAAGUGAUUUAUUUCUACCCCAUCUCGUUCAUAUUGCCUGCACUAUAUAUAUGUCCUAACUAUAUUGUUGUGUCUGCUAUUAUACAUGCAGAAUGAAGAUUAAGGAAUGCAGAGUAAGGAACAUCCAUGAUGUUGGGUUCAUUGACCCACACAUCGUUAAUGGAUAUGUGUUGGAGCAUCACCCCGCCGACAUGGAGGCAGACCUGUGGCAGUUUCUUACAAAGCAGGAACUCAAAAGUGAUAUUCUAUUUCCUUACCAUUUUGGGUGAGUGUUUCUGUCUUGAGCACAUUCUAUUUUGUUUACUCCAUGCAUGGUAUGUGGCCGGCUAAUUGAUGAGUUAUGCAUGACGUACUGUGCAUGUAUCGUGUCCGCAGGUUCCACCGGAUUCUGCUAGUAAUUAAAGUUGACACCUCAGAAUGUCUCGUCCACGACUCUCUGAAUAAGGAUCCAAAGCUUUGGGGCGGCAUGAGAAGAAUGAUGCAGAAGUAAUUAUUUUCAUUCAUUUGCGCUCUAUAUCGAUCGGCCUAUUUCGUUCAUUUCCUAAUAUCAAGUAACUAAUAACUCUCUUGUUCAUUUAAUUUUCUUUGCCUCGUAGGGUUUGGAGACGGUUCGUAGAUACAAAGGCCGGUGAAUUCAAAAAAGAGCUAGAAUUCAAAAGGUCAAAGGCUAAGAAUGGUGAGGAUAUUCAGCCAGCGGGGACCAAUCUAUGUGGAUACUAUGUCUGUGAGAUGAUCCGGAGAUACACCUCUGAGCGGGUUCCGAGUGAUACCAAUGCUCAGAGGAAUAACCUCCGGAUGAUGCUUAGUCCAGAAGCUCGCUUCCGACCACUUCAAGAGGAACUAGCUGGAUGGUUCAGGAGGGAAGUCCUCCAUCCUAAAGGAGAACACCAUUACGAGGACGUAGAACUUUAUAUGCAUUAAAUUAUGUAUGGAAACUUGUUCAAAAUUGUAUAUGGUCAUCCGAUGAUAUUGAAUAUAUAUUGUAUAUUCCUCUUGAAUUCUUCUUGGUUCUAAUUUCAAAUUUGUUUGAAAUUGUACAUUCAUAUGCAUGUAUGUAGUACCGUAGAAUAUGUGAAACUCCUUCAAAAUUAAAAUAAAGCACAAAAGAAAUAAAACAAUACAAAUUAAACAGAAAACAGGUUUAGGGGGGGGGGGCUAAAACCCUAAACAUGCGGCGGCCUUUAGUCGCGGUUGGCCAGAAGAACCGCGACUAAAGGUCCUCCGCCCCGACGGCCGCCUGGCGCCCACGUGGACGGGCCUUUAGUCACGGUUCUUAAGCAACCGCGACUAAAGGGGGGGGCCUUUAGUCGCGCCUAUUUGGUCGCGGUUGCGCAACCGCGACUAAUGGCAGUUGCGAACCGCGACCAAAGGCCCUUUUUCCACCAGUGAAUACUGCUUACAUGCAUCUUCAUAUUUCAAAACGCCAAUCAGGUUAGCAACAGUGCUAGACUAGUUAGCUAGCAAAACACUAAAGAAGGCAUAGACAGAAACAAAGGUAACAUGCAUCACAUAAAAAAAUAGUAAGCACUGAACCUACAUCAUAUCUACACCAAUCAGGUUGCAUGUGUAUGCUAGAAAUCAAGAAUCAAAAGGACUUCAGCUUGUUUAAAAUAUCUUGCCUCUGUUGCUACCAGUUUAGUAAAGAAAUGGUCGAGCAGUGAGCGCUUCGUUUCAAGAACUCGACAGUGCAAAAUAGAUUUCGGGUGGAGCACAAAUAGAAUACAUGGAAAAGAAACAUAAAGAGCUAUACAGUUAAGUAAGCAUCAUUGGCUGUACAAAUAAGUGGAGAACAAUAAAGAGCUAUACAGUCUGUUGAGAACAAUAAAGAGCUAUACAAAUUCAUAUUCAAGUUUGACUACAUGCUAACAGACUCAUGAUCAAGUUUGACUACAAGCUAACAUAUCAUUGUGAAUACAGAUGAUUUUCGAACUAGAACCGUUGCGCAAGUUCAGGUCGUUUGAAGUUUUGACAACAAGCUACAAAAUCUAGUUAAAUCAAUAGUAGUAUUGCAAGCAACAAAUAGACUCUCAGAGCAGAACCAAUGCACAAGAACGGACCAGCAACUACUAGGCCCAACAACUAAGAUAUAUAGGAAAUUUCAGAUGUAUCACUUCAUAGAUCAAGAAUAGGCGCAACAUAAAAGUCUCAUGAGCGCUACAAAGUCUGAACAAUUCAGCAGGAAGCGAGCGGAAUCAAUCAACUAGACAUGCGGACAACAGAGGCGCGGGGGAAGAAGCUCCUGCACCAACAGAAGCAGACACAAUCUGGUCCCACCAACAGGUCAGCCAUGCCAACAUCUCCAGAGAACAUAGGAGCAAUGGUGUCAGAAAUCUUAAGCUUCUCCAUAACAGGAUCGUGCCCAACAAGACCGACUUGGUGCAGAAUCAUCCCAGUCUAUCUGCAGGCAGAUACAUUCAACAACAAAGUUAAGGAAACUGAAACUUAAACAAAGCAAACACAAUGGUUGGAUACGAGCAGAAUCAUGGGAGACAGCUAUAAUAUAAAGAAUACAAUAAGAUAUAAAAUCAGCCAACAGAAUCAUGGAAGUACCACAAGAUUACAUUGCCCCAAGCCACAACAUAAACCAUAAGUUAUUAUUGUUCACCGCUAGCUACUGAUGUAAUAAAAACAUUAACAAGUGGACUUAUUAUUGUUCACCACUAGCUACUGAUGUAAUAAAAACUGAUGCAGCAACAGAAACCGGCAUCCAAAAGGGCAUGCAAACAAUUCAUAGCAAAAUCAUAUAUCCCAUGCUAGGAGAACCAGAGCAUCACAGAGUACUACUGACUGACCCCAAAACAGAGCACCACAGCAAAAGACUUAACCAGGGGCCAUCCAUCCACAUAACCCACCAUCCCGAGAUCUCAAUUCUCACGGGUAAAAAGCAAGCAAGAAGACAAGAUCACCUAGGGCGUGGUCUGCUUGUACUUGGACACCUCAGUGAGUAGCUUGUUGUAGGUGGCCUGGUCGAAGAUGCAUAUCAUUCAGUUACCAGUAGCAAUCCUUGUAGGUGCAUAUUUACCACAUCAAUUGGUAAGUAUACAGACAGAGUUGUGCACUUACUAACUAGUGUGUUGUGUGUUCACCCUUUGCACGCACCCAUGGGCAUUUAAAUUAAACUGAAACAGGCCACCAAUGGUUGGCUAAUCUAUAACAUGGCAGGCAUUUAUAUGAUGGCAAUACAUAGCUAGGAAACAAACAGCAGUUCAUAAUUGCAUCAUCAUGUGUAGAACAAAAUACAGACUCGCCUCUACAGGCUACAACACUAGUAGAGUAGAGAACCAUCCAUAAUAAUUCUACUAUAGGAGACAAUGUAAACAUAGAGUCACACCAUUGACAUAUAUUAUUAUUAAGCCCUAACUAAAAGAUUCUGGUGGCUUAAUUAGUGGGCAGAUGUAUGCAUGCACAAAAAGGGGGACAUUUUUCAAUCAAACCGAGGAAAGAUGCACAUCAUCCAUUCAGUAUCGAGUAGCAAUAAAAUCACAAGAAGACCAGACCAGAGGAUCAUCAUCAUCAUCAUCACAAGAAGAGAAGAGAAAGAAAAAACAGAGGCGACGGUACGGUACGGUACACUAUGGGAGGGGAGGGGAGGAAGGGCGGAGCUUACGGUGGCGAGCGGGGAGGCGAGGUCUCUGCUCGCGCGGCACGGAGGAGCAGCAUCAUCAGCUCCUUCGUCCGAGGAAACCGUAACAGUUUCCGCAUCAGAAACAAUCGCUUGUUGCAAAAAGAGAAUUCGCAUCAGGAAGUGAAUCAAAUAGCGCAAGCAUACUGAUUUGAUGCAAACUGUCCUUACCUUGCUGGUCCUCUUCUUCCAUUUCUUCCGUACCACCACUUGCCUCGUCUGAAGAAACUGGCACAGCAGUUUCCACACGACCUGAUUGCACACAAAAUUCUUGUCAAUUUCAGAUUUCAUGAGACUGCAGCUACAACAAAACAUGGGAGACGUAUCAAUUUAUAAGUUGUUACUGAAGUCUUUGUCCCACCUUCGUCUUCCUGACCCUGCUCCUCUUCUAUUUCUUCAGUAUCAUCAUUUUCGUCGUCAGAGGAAACCUGUGCAGUUUCCAGGCACAUCACGUGCAUCUUCCUGGCUAUGCUCCUCAACCAGUAGGCUCCUUUUGCUGGUCGUUCUGAAGAUGCACAGCCUCUUCUUGCAUUGCUGCAGUAGCGUCACGUCCCUCGUCUAAAGAAACAUGUGCAGGUACAGCAGUUUCCAUAUCAGAAACAUCACCUGCUUGCAAACAAAAUUCAGGUGCCACAGCUAGAGUCAGACACAUAGUUCAAAUACAAUGUGGGGCACACAUCAAUUUGAAGUUUCAAUUUCCAUAUAGCAUAAGCCAGUGUGAGAUCAGAUCAACAGUUGCUUAUAUACUGAUGAGCGACCAGGGAGUUUCAAGAGUUUGUAUAUAACAUAUUUACAUGCAUAGUAGAUAGAGCCAACAGAUCAAUUAUGGCAUAAUCAGAUGGUAUAUAAAUUAAUCGAACAAGAUGUAUGCAUAGAUGAACAAAGAAUCUGCCUGCCGGAUUCUGUCUGAAGCAAUUUAAUGAUUGAACAACCAGGAAGCGUGAGACAAAGAAGCAUUAUGUAGACCUUAACUAGAAAUCGAGCCCCUUUGUGCCACCAAAACUAGAGCAAUUUAACGCCAGAUGCAAGGAUCUACAAAGAUUUAACCAACACAGAGCGAAACAAAGGUUGGAUCUAUCCAGAGUCAGAAACCCGCACCAUGGCACGCCAGGCCACAAUGCGGCCGCCAGGCCGAUCAAAGAUUCAGAAGAAGGUUUCGGGACCAGAGAAUCUACAGAUCGGGAGAGGGCGCGCGCGAUACCUUGGGGGUACUGCUGGUGCUCGUGGUGCUGGGGCGGAUGGUCGUCCUAGGGGGCGUUGGCGGCGUCUGCUACGUCUUGAGCUAGCGUUGGUUUUCCCCGAAGAGGAGAGGGUGAUGCAGCAAAGUGUAGCGUAAGUAUUUCCCUCAGUUUUGAGAACCAAGGUAUCAAUCCAGUAGGAGGCUCCUCAAAAGUCCCACGUACCUACACAAACAAACUGAGAACUCGCAACCAACGCAAUAAAGGGGUUGUCAAUCCCUUCACGGUCACUUACGAAAGUGAGAUCUAAUAGAGAUAGUAUGAUAAGAUAAAUAUAUUUUUGGUAUUUUAUAAUAUAGAUGCAAGAAAGUAAAGAUGCAAAUAAAAAUAGAUUGAAAGCAAAUAUUAUAAGAGAUAGACCCGGGGGCCAUAGGUUUCACUAGAGGCUUCUCUCGAGAGCAUAAGUAUUACGGUGGGUGAACAAAUUACUAUCAAGCAAUUGAUAGAAAAGCGAAUAAUUAUGACGUUAUCUAGGCAUGAUCAUGUAUAUAGGCAUCACGUCCAUAACAAGUAGACCGACUCCUGCCUGCAUCUACUACUAUUACUCCACACAUCGACCGCUGUGCAGCAUGGAUCUAGAGUAUUAUGUUCAUAAGAACAGAGCAACGCAUUAAGCAAGAUGACAUGAUGUAGAGGGAUAAACUCAUGCAAUAUGAUAUAAACCCCAUCUUGUUAUCCUCGAUGGCAAGAAUACAAUACGUGUCUUGCAACCCUUUCUGUCACUGGGUAAGAUCACCGCAAGAUUGAACCCAAAGCUAAACACUUAUCUCAUGGCAAGAAAGAUCAAUCUAGUAGGCCAAACCAAACUGAUAAUUCGAAGAGACUUUUAAAGAUGACUCAAUCAUACAUAAAAGAAUUCAGAGAAGAUUCUGAUAUUAUUCAUAGAUAAACUUGAUCAUAAACCCACAAUUCAUCGGAUCUCGACAAACACACCGCAAAAAGAGAUUACAUCGAAUAGAUCUCCACAAGAGAGGGGGAGAACAUUGUAUUGAGAUCCAAAAAGAGAGAAGAAGCCAUCUAGCUAAUAACUAUGGACCCGUAGGUCUGUGGUAAACUACUCAUAACUCAUCGGAGAGGCUAUGGUGUUGAUGUAGAAGCCCUCCGUGAUCAAUUCCCCCUCCGGCAGAGUGUCGGCGAAGGCUCCAAGAUGGGAUCUCGCGGAUACAGAAGGUUACGGCAGUGGAAAUUGUGUUUCGUGAUGCUCCUGGAUGUUUUCGGGGUCCGUGGAUAUAUAUAGGAGAAAGAAGUACGUCGGUGGACGCCCGAGGGGCCCACGAGACAGGGGGCGUGCCCCUAGGGGGGCGCGUCCUACUAUCUCGUGGGGCCCUUGGAGAUUUCUUGACUUGCACUCCAGGCUCUCCGGAUCAGAUUUGUUCCAAAAAUAACGCUCCCGAAGGUUUCAUUCUGUUUGGACUCUGUUUGAUAUUCCUUUCCUUCGAAAUACUGAAAUAGGCAAAAAACAGCAAUAUGGGCUGGGCCUCCGGUUAGUAGGUUAGUCCCAAAAAAUGAUAUAAAUGUGUAGAAUAAAGCCCAUAAACAUCCAAAAGGGGUAAUAUAAUAGCAUGGAACAAUCAAAAAUUAUAGAUACGUUGGAGACGUAUCAAGCAUCCCCAAGCUUAAUUCCUGCUCGUCCUCGAGUAGGUAAAUGAUAAAAAGAGAAUUUUUUAUGUGGAAUGCUACCUAGCAUAAUUCAUAAUGUAAUUUUCUUUCAUUGUGGCAUGAAUGUUCAGAUCCAAAUAAUACAAAAUAAAAGUUCAUAAAGACAUAAGAAAUAGUAAUACUUCAAGCAUACUUAUGAAUGUAAUCAUGUCUUCUCAAAAUAACAUGGCUAAAGAAAGUUAUCCCUAUAAAAUCAUAUAGUCUGGCUAUGCUCUAUCUUCAUCACACAAAGUAUUUAAUCAUGUACAACCCCGAUGACCAGCCAAGCAAUUGUUUCAUACUUUAAUAAUCUCAAACUCUUUCAACUUUCACGCCAUACAUGAGCGUGAGCCAUGGACAUAACACUAUAUGUGGAGUAGAAUGGUGGUUGUGGAGAAGACAAAAAAGAGAAGAUAGUCUCACAUCAACUAGGCGUAUCAACGGACUAUGGAGAUGUCCAUUAAUAGAUAUCAAUGUGAGUGAGUAGGGAUUGCCAUGCAACGGAUGCACUAGAGCUAUAAAUAUAUGAAAGCUCAACAAAAGAAACUAAGUGGGUGUGCAUCCAACUCGCUUGCUCACGAAGACCUAGGGCACUUUUGAGGAAGCCCAUCAUUGGAAUAUACAAGCCAAGUUCUAUAAUGAAAAAUUCCCACUAGUAUAUGAAAGUGACAACAUAUGAGACUCUCUAUCAUGAAGAUCAUGGUGCUAUUUUGAAGCACAAGUGUGGAAAAGAGAUAGUAGCAUUGUCCCUUCUCUCUUUUUCUCUCAUUUUAUUUUAUUAUUAUUUUUCCUUUUUUUUCUUUGGCUUUUUUUUUCUUUUUGGCCUUUCUCUCUUAUUUUUUCUUUUUCUCUUUUUUUUUCUUUUUGUAAAGUCCGAAGUCUCUUUCCGACUUGUGGGGGAAUCAUAGCCUUCAUCAUCCUUUUCUCACGAGGACAAUGCUCUAAUAAUGAAGAUCAUCACACUUUUAUGGAUUUACAACUCAAAGCUAGAACUAAAUAUGACUCUACAUGAAUGCCUCCGGCGGUGUACCGGGAUAUGCAAUGACUCAAGAGCGACAUGUAUGAAAAUUAUGAAGGUGGCCUUGCCACAAAUACGAUGUCAACUACAUGAUCAUGCAAAGAGCAAUAUGACAAAAGUAAUGUGUGUCAUAUGAACGGAACGGUGGAAAGUUGCAUGGCAAUAUAUCUCGGAAUGGCUAUGGAAAUGCCAUAAUAGGUAGGUAUGGUGGCUGUUUUGAGGAAGGAGUAUGGUGGGUAUAUGGUACCGGCAAAAAUUGCGCGGCACAAGAGAGGCUAGCAAUGGUGGAAGGGUGAAAGGGUGCGUAUAAUACAUGGACUCAACAUUAAUAAAAAGAACUCAUAUACUUGUUGCAAAUAUUUAGAAGUCAUCAAAAAACAAAGCACUACGCGCAUGCUCCUAGGGGUAUAGAUUGGUAGGAAAAGACCAUCGCUCGUCCCUGACUGCCACUCAUAAGGAAGACAAUCAAUAAAUAAAAUUGUGCUCCAAGUUCAUCACAAAGCGGUUCACCAUACGUGCAUGCUACGGGAAUCACAAACAUCAACACAAGCAUUCUUUAAAACCAUAAUAACCCAACUAGCAUGACUUUAAUAUUACUACCUCCAUAUCUCAAAACAAUUAUCAAGUAUCAAGUUGAUCGUAGCAUCCAAUUCACUUCCUAUGAUAGUUUUUAUUAUACCCAACUUGGAUGCUCAUCAUUCUAGGACCAACUUUGUAACAAAAGCAAAUACCAUGCUUUUCUAAAAGUCUCUCAAAAUGAUAUAAGUGAAUCAUGAUAGACUAGCAAUUUCUUCAAUAUUAAGACACCACCGUCGUGCUCUAAAAGAUAUAAGUGAAGCACCAGAGCAAAAACUAUCAAGUUCAAAAGAUAUAAGUGAAGCACAUAGAGUAUUCUAGCAAAUUCUAAUAAAAUAGGCUUCUCCCAAAAGGUGUGUUACAGCAAGGAUGAUUGUGGUAAACUAACAAGCAAAGACUAAUAUAAUACAUGACGCUCCAAGCAAAACACAUAUCAUGUGGCGAAUAAAAAUAUAGCUCCAAGUAAAGUUACCAAUAAACGAAGACGAAAGAGGGGAUGCCUUCCCGGGGCAUCCCCAAGCUUAGGCUUUUGGCUACUCUUUAAUAUCUUGGGGUGCCAUGGGAAUCCCCAAGCUUAGGCUCUUGCCACCCUUUAUUCCAUAGUCCAUAAAGGCUUUACCCAAAACUUGAAAACUUCACAACACAAAACUCAACAGGAAAUCUUAUAAGCUCCGUUAGUGAAAGAAAACAAAACCACCACAUAAGGUACUGCAAUGAACUCAUUCUUCAUUUAUUUUGGUGUUAAACCUACUGUAUUCCAACUUCCUUAUGGUUUAUAAACUAAUUCAUUAGCCAUAGAUGCAUUGCAAUAAGCAAACAACACACGAAAAACAGAAUCUGUCAAAAACAGAACAGUCUGUAGCAAUCUGUAACUAACGCAAACUUAUGGAACUCUACAAAUCCUACCAAACUAGUACGUACUGGAAAAAUUUUCUAUUGAUCAGCAGCAAAAAGAAUCAAUGCAAAAGCACGUUUCUGUGAUUUAUUGAAUUUAUUCUCGUGAGUGCAAAGUUUCUGUUUUUCAGCAGAAUCAAAUCAACUAUCAUCAUAGUUUAUCCUAUAGGUUCUACUUGGCACAAACACUAACUAAGAGAUAAAAACACAUCUAAACAGAGAGUAGAUGCAAUAUUUAUUACUAAACAGGAGCAAAAGCAAAAAACAUAAAGAAAAAUUGGGUUGGCUCCCAACUAGCGCUAUCGUUUAACGCCCCUAGCUAGGCAUAAAAGCAAGGAUAGAUUUAACUAGUGUCAUCUUUGGCACUUGAUUCAUAAGUAGCACGCAUGAUAGAUUCAUAAGGUAAUUUGACUUUCUUUCUUAGAAAGUGCUCCAUGCAUUUCUUUAAAGGAAAUUGAAAUCUAAUGUUCCCUUCCUUCAUAUCAAUAAUCGCACCAAUCGUUCUAAGAAAAAGGUCUACCAAGAAUAAUAGGGCAAGAAAGAUUGCAAUCUAUAUCAAGAACGAUAAAAUCUACGGGCACCAAAUUUCUAUUAGCAACAAUAAGGACAUCAUUGAUCCUUCUCAUAGGCUUUUCAAUGGUGGAAUCCGCAAGGUGCAAAUUUAAAGAGCAAUCAUCAAGAUCAUGGAAACCUAGAAUAUCACAUAAAGUUUUUGGAAUCGUGGAAACACUAGCACCCAAAUCACACAAAGCAAAACACUCAUAAUCUUUAAUUAUAAUCUUUAUAGUAGGUUCCCACUCAUCAUUAAGUUUUCUAGGUAUAGAAACUUCCAAAUUCAGUUUGUCAUCAUAAGAUUGCAACAAGGCAUCAACGAUAUAUUUGGUAAAAGCUUUAUUUUGACUAUAAGCAUGAGGAGAAUUAACAACGGAUUGCAACAAGGAAAUACAACCUUUUAAAGAGAAAUUAUCAUAAUCAAAUUCCUUGAAAUCCGAGAUAGUAGGUUCAAUAUUAGAAGUUGAAGAUUCUACAAUCUCUCUUUUACCAAAUUUAGCAUCACGAUCUAAAGAUUCCGAAUUUUUGGGACGCCUUCUAGGCAAAGUUGAUUCAUCAUCACUCCCAUAAUCAUCAAAAUUCAUCUUGCAAAACAUAGAUCUAAUCGGAGACGCAUCAAUAACUUUAAGAUCCUCAUCAUUAUUUUCAUGUAGACUAGAAGAACACGCUUUUAUGAAGCUUUCUUUUUUAGCACGCAAUCUAGCGGUUCUUUCCUUGCACUCGUCAAUGGAGAUUCUCAUUACUUUGAGAGACUCAUUGAUAUCAUGCUUAGGAGAAGAAGAUCCAAGUUUAAGAGAAUUAACAUCAAGCGAAAGUCUAUCAACGUUCCUAGCCAAAUCAUCAACUUUGAGCAAUUUUUCUUCAAGCAAGGCAUUAAAAUUCUUUUGAGAAAUCAUAAAUUCUUUCACACUAUUCUAAAAAUCAGAGGGCAUAUUAUUAAAAUUACCAUAAGAAUUAUUGUAGGAAUUUCCAUAAUUAUUAGAGGGAUUACUAGGGAAUGGUCUAGUAUUAAAAUUUCCUCUAUAAGCAUUGUUUCCAAAAUUAUUCCUACCAACAAAAUUCACAUCCAUAGAUUCAUUAUUAUUCUCAAUCAAGGAAGACAAAGGCAUAUCAUUUGGAUCAGUAGGAGUAUUUUUAGCAGCAAACAUCUUCAUAAGUUCAUCCAUCUUUCCACUCAAAACAUUGAUUUCUUCUAUAGCAUGCACUUUUUUACUAGAAGAUCUUUCGGUGUGCCAUUGAGAAUAAUUAGCCAUAAUAUUAUCAAGCAAUUUUGUAGCAUCUCCUAAUGUAAUUUCCAUAAACGUGCCUCCCGCGGCCAAAUCUAAGAGAUUUCUAGAAGCAAAGAUCAAACCGGCAUAAAAAAUUUGUAUGAUCAUCCAUAAAUUCAAACCAUGAGUAGGGCAAUUAUGAAGCAUCAAUUUAAUUCUUUCCCAAGGUUGGGCAACAUCCUCAUGAUCAAGUUGUUUAAAAUUCAUAAUAUCGUUCCUAAGAGUGAUGAUCUUAGCGGGAGGAAAAUACUUAGAGAUAAAGGCAUCUUUGCACUUGUUCCAAGAAUCAAUACUAUUUUUAGGCAAAGACGAAAACCAAACUUUAGCACGAUGUCUAUGUGAAAACGGAAAUAACUUCAAUUUGACAAUACUGUUAUCCAUAUCUUUCUUCUUUUGCAUAUCACACAAAUCAACAAAAUUGCUUAGAUGAGUAGCGGCAUCUUCACUAGGAAGGCCGGCGAAUUGAUCUUUCAUAACAAGAUUUAGCAAAGCAGCAUUGAUUUCACAAGACUCAACAUCAUUAAGAGGAGCAAUCGGAGUACUAAGGAAAUCAUUAUUAUUGGUAUUCGAGAAGUCACACAACUUGGUAUUAUCUUGUGCCAUGGAGACAAGUAAUCCAACACACAAGCAAACAGAAAAACGGCAAGCGAAAAGAGAGGAGGAGGUUGGGAAGGAGAAGGCAAAUAAAACGGCAAGGGUAAAGCGGGGGGAGAGGAAAACGAGAGGCAAAUAAUGUAAAUGCGAGGGAGAUGGGUUUGUGAUGGGUACUUGGUAUGUCUUGACUUGAGCGAAGACCUUCCCGGCAACGGCGCCAGAAAUCCUUCUUGCUACGUCUUGAGCUAGCGUUGGUUUUCCCCGAAGAGGAGAGGGUGUUGCAGCAAAGUGUAGCGUAAGUAUUUCCCUCAGUUUUGAGAACCAAGGUAUCAAUCCAGUAGGAGGCUCCUCAAAAGUCCCACACACCAACACAAACAAACUGAGAACUCGCAACCAACGCAAUAAAGGGGUUGUCAAUCCCUUCACGGUCACUUACAAAAGUGAGGUCUGAUAGAGAUAGUAUGAUAAGAUAAAUAUAUUUUUGGUAUUUUAUAAUAUAGAUACAAGAAAGUAAAGAUGCAAAUAAAAAUAGAUUGAAAGCAAAUAUGAUAAGAGAUAGACCCGGGGGCCAUAGGUUUCACUAGAGGCUUUUCUCGAGAGCAUAAGUAUUACGGUGGGUGAACAACUUACUGUCGAGCAAUUGAUAGAAAAGCGAAUAAUUAUGAUGUUAUCUUGGCAUGAUCAUGUAUAUAGGCAUCACGUCCAUAACAAGUAGACCGACUCCUGCCUGCAUCUACUACUAUUACUCCACACAUCGACCGAUGUCCAGCAUGCAUCUACAGUAUUAAGUUCAUAAGAACAGAGCAACUUAUUAAGCAAGAUGACAUGACGUAGAGGGAUAAACUCAUGCAAUAUGAUAUAAACCCCAUCUUGUUAUCCUCGAUGGCAACAAUACAAUACGUGUCUUGCAACCCUUUUUGUCACUGGGUAAGAUCACCGCAAGAUUGAACCCAAAGCUAAACACUUCUCCCAUGGCAAGAAAGAUCAAUCUAGUAGGCCAAACCAAACUGAUAAUUCGAAGAGACUUGUAAAGAUAACUCAAUCAUACAUAAAAGAAUUCAGAGAAGAUUCCAAUAUUAUUCAUAGAUAAACUUGAACAUAAACCCACAAUUCAUCGGAUCUCGACAAACACACCGCAAAAAGAGAUUACAUCGAAUAGAUCUCCACAAGAGAGGGGGAGAACAUUGUAUUGAGAUCCAAAAAGAGAGAAGAAGCCAUCUAGCUAAUAAUUAUGGACCCGUAGGUCUGUGGUAAACUACUCACAACUCAUCGGAGAGGCUAUGGUGUUGAUGUAGAAGCCCUCCGUGAUCGAUUCCCCCUCUGGCAGAGUGCCGGCGAAGGCUCCAAGAUGGGAUCUCGCGGAUACAGAAGGUUACGGCGGUGGAAAUUGUGUUUCGUGGUGCUCCUGGAUGUUUUCGGGGUUCGUGGAUAUAUAUAGGAGAAAGAAGUACAUCGGUGGACGCCCAAGGGGCCUACGAGACUGGGGGGCGCGUCCCUAGGGGGGCGCCCUCCUAUCUCCUGGGGCCCUCGGAGAUUUCUUAACUUGCACUCCAGGCUCUCCGGAUCAGAUUUGUCCCAAAAAUAAUGCUCCCGAAGGUUUCAUUCCGUCUGGACUCCGUUUGAUAUUCCUUUUCUUCGAAAUACUAAAAUAGGUAAAAAAAUAGCAAUAUGGGCUGGGCCUCCGGUUAGUAGGUUAGUCCCAAAAAAUGAUAUAAAUGUGUAGAAUAAAGCCCAUGAAGAUCCAAAAGGGGUAAUAUAAUAGCAUGGAACAAUCAAAAAUUAUAGAUACAUUGGAGACAUAUUAGCGUCCUUGGCGGCGGCGACCUUCUUGGUGACCUUGGUGGGCUUGUUGGGGUCGUCGGGCGGGACGACCUUCUUGACGACGCGGGCGACGGCCUCGUCGCCCGAGGCGCAGUCGGCCAGGUCGAGCAGGUCGAAGAUCCCCAUCGGCGGCGCGACGGCGGCUAGGGUUCUCCACCUCUUCCGGCGGCAGCCUCGGUGACAGCCGUCCGCGUUCGUCCCCGCGCCCUUGGGCAGGUCAGAGGAGAGCUCUGUUGGGUUUCGUAGUAAUUUCAAAAAAUUUCCUACGCACACGCAAGAUCAUGUGAUGCAUAGCAACGAGGGGAAGAGUAUUGCCUACGUACCCUACGCAGACCGACUGCGGAAGCGAUGACACGACGUAGAGGAAGUAGUCGUACGUCUUCACGAUCCAACCGAUCAAGCACCGAAACUACGGCACCUCCGAGUUCGAGCACACGUUCAGCUCGAUGACGAUCCCCGAACUCCGAUCCAGCAAAGUGUCGGGGAAGAGUUCCGUCAGCACGACGGCGUGGUGACGAUCUUGAUGAACUACAGCAGCAGGGCUUCGCCUAAACUCCGCUACAGUAUUAUCGAGGAAUAUGGUGGCAGGGGGCACCGCACACGGCUAAGGAAUCGAUCACGUGGAUCAACUUGUGUCAACUUGUGUGUUUAGAGGUGCCCCUGCCUCCAUAUAUAAAGGAGGAGAGGAGGGGAGGCUGGCCGGCCAAGGAGGGGAGGCGCAGGAGAGUCCUACUCCCUCUGGGAGUAGGAUUCCCCCUCCAAUCCUAGUCCAACUAGGAUUCCUCGGAGGGGAAAAGAGGAGGAGGGGGCCGGCCACCUCUCCUAGUCCUAAUAGGACUAGGGGAAGGGGGGGCGCGCAGCCCAUCUAGGGCAGCCCCUUCUCUUUUCCACUAAGGCCCACUAUGGCCCAAAUAGCUCCCGGGGGGUUCCGGUAACCCUCCCGGUAUUCCGGUAAAAUCCCGAUUUCACCCGGAACACUUCCGAUAUCCAAAUAUAGGCUUCCAAUAUAUCAAUCUUUACGUCUCGACCAUUUCGAGACUCCUCGUCAUGUCCGUGAUCACAUCCGGGACUCCGAACAACCUUCGGUACAUCAAAAUGCAUAAACUCAUAAUAUAACUGUCAUCGUAACCUUAAGCGUGCGGACCCUACGGGUUCGAGAACAAUGUAGACAUGACCGAGACACGUCUCUGGUUAAUAACCAAUAGCGGGACCUGGAUGCCCAUAUUGGCUCCUACAUAUUCUACGAAGAUCUUUAUCGGUCAGACCGCAUAACAACAUACGUUGUUCCCUUUGUCAUCGGUAUGUUACUUGCCCGAGAUUCGAUCGUCGGUAUCCAAUACCUAGUUCAAUCUCGUUACCGGCAAGUCUCUUUACUCGUUCCGUAAUACAUCAUCUCACAACUAACAUAUUAGUUGUAAUGCUUGCAAGGCUUAUGUGAUGUGUAUUACCGAGAGGGCCCAGAGAUACCUCUCCGACAAUCGGAGUGACAAAUCCUAAUCUCGAAAUACGCCAACCCAACAUCGACCAUUGGAGACACCUGUAGUACUCCUUUAUAAUCACCCAUUUACAUUGUGACGUUUGGUAGUACCCAAAGUGUUCCUCCGGUAAACGGGAGUUGCAUAAUCUCAUAGUCAUAGGAACAUGUAUAAGUCAUGAAGAAAGCAAUAGCAACAUACUAAACGAUCAGGUGCUAAGCUAAUGGAAUGGGUCAUGUCAAUCAGAUCAUUCUACUAAUGAUGUGACCUCGUUAAUCAAAUAACAACUCAUUGUUCAUGGUUAGGAAACAUAACCAUCUUUGAUUAACGAGCUAGUCAAGUAGAGGCAUACUAGUGACACUAUGUUUGUCUAUGUAUUCACACAUGUAUUAUGUUUCCGGUAAAUACAAUUCUAGCAUGAAUAAUAAACAUUUAUCAUGAUUAUAAGGAAAUAAAUAAUAACUUUAUUAUUGCCUCUAGGGCAUAUUUCCUUCAGUCUCCCACUUGCACUAGAGUCAAUAAUCUAGUUCACAUCGUCAUGUGAUUUAACACCAAUAUUCAUAUCUGUAUAUGAUUAACACCCAUAGUUCACAUCAUCAUGUGACCAACACCCAAAGGGUUUACUAGAGUCAAUAAUCUAGUUCAUAUCGCUAUGUGAUUAACACCCAAAGAGUACUAAGGUGUGAUCAUGUUUUGCUUGUGAGAUAAUUUUAGUCAACGGGUCUGUCACAUACAGAUCUGUAAGUAUUUUGCGAAUUUCUAUGCCAACAAUGCUCUGCACGGAGCUACUCUAGCUAAUUGCUCCCACUUUCAAUAUGUAUCCAGAUUGAGACUUAGAAUCAUCUGGAUCAGUGUAAAGAACUUGCAUCGACGUAACCCUUUACGACGAACCUUUUUUUUCACGUCCAUAAUCGAGAAACAUAUCCUUAUUCCACUAAGGAUAAUUUUGACUGCUGUCCAGUGAUCUACUCCUAGAUCACUAUUGUACUCCCUUGCCAAACUCAGUGGUAGGGCAUACAAUAGAUCUGGUAUACAGCAUGGCAUAUUUUAUAGAACCUAUGAUUGAGGCAUAGGGAAUGACUUUCAUUCUCUUUCUAUCUUCUAUCGUGGUCGGGCUUUGAGUCUUACUCAACUUCACACCUUGUAACACAGGCAAGAAACCUUUUCUUUGACUGUUCCAUUUUGAACUACUUCAAAAUCUUGUCAAGGUAUGUACUCAUUGAAAAACUUAUCAAGCGUCUUGAUCUAUCCCAAUAGAUCUUGAUGCUCAAUAUAUAAGUAGCUUUCACUGAGGUCUUUUCUUUUUAAAGAACUCCUUUAAAACACUCCUUUAUGCUUUGCAGAAAAAUUCUACAUCAUUUCUGAUCAACAAUAUGUCACUCACAUAUACUAAUCAGAAAGGCUGUAGUGCUCCCACUCACUUUAUUGUAAAUACAGGCUUCAUCGUAAGUCCAUAUAAAACUAUAUGCUUUGAUCAACUUAUCAAAGCGUAUAUUCCAACUCCGAGAUGCUUGCACCAGUCCAUAGACGGAUCGCUGGAGCUUGCACAUUUUGUUAGCACUUUUAGGAUUGACAAAACCUUCUGGUUGCAUCAUAUACAACUCUUCUUUAAUAAAUCCAUUAAGGAAUGCAGUUUUGACAUCCAUUUGCCAGAUUUCAUAAAAUGUGGCAAUUGCUAACAUGAUUCAGAUAGACUUAAGCAUCGAUACGAGUGAGAAAACCUCAUCAUAUUCAACACCUUGAACUUGUUGAAAAACUUUUGCAACAAGUCGAGCUUGGUAGAUAGCAACACUACUAUCAGUGUCCGUCUUCCUCUUGAAGAUCCAUUUAUUUAACAUGGCUUUGCUGAUCAUCGAGCAAGUCAAUCAAAGUCCAUACUUUGUUGUCAUACAUGGAUCAUAUCUCAGAUUUUAUGGCCUCAAGCCAUCUCACGGAAUCUGGGCUCAUCAUCGCUUCCUCAUAGUUCGUAGAUUCAUCAUGGUCUAGUAACAUGACUUCUAGAACAUGAUUACUACACCACUCUGGUGCAGAUCUUACUCUGGAAGACCUACGAGGUUCUGUAGUAACUUGAUCUGAAGUUUUAUGAUCAAUAUCAUUAGCUUCCUCACUAAUUGGUGUAUUUGUCACAGGAACUGAUUUCUGUGAUGAACUACUUUCCAAUAAGGGAGCAGGUACAGUUACCUCAUCAAGUUCUACUUUCCUCCCACUCACUUCUUUUGAGAGAAACUCCUUCUCCAGAAAGGAUCCAUUUUUAGCAACGAAUAUCUUGCCUCUGGAUCUGUGAUAGAAGGUGUACCCAAUAAUUUCCUUUGGGUAUUCUAUGAAGAUGCACUUCUCCGAUUUGGGUUCGAGCUUAUCAGGAUGAAACUUUUCCACAUAAGCAUCGCAGCCCCAAACUUUAAGAAACGACAACUUGGGUUUCUUGCUAAACCACAGUUCAUAUAGUGUCGUCUCAACGGAUUUAGAUGGUGCCCUUUUAACGUGAAUGCAGCUGUCUCUAAUGCAUAACCCCAAAACGACAAUGGUAAAUCAAUAAGAGACAUCAUAGAUCGCACCAUAUCCAAUAAAGCGCGGUUACGACAUUCGGACACACUAUAACAUUGUGGUGUUCCAGGUGGCGUGAGCUAUGAAACUAUUCCACAUUGUUUUUAACUGAAGGCCAAACUCGUAACUCAAAUAUUCUUCUCUACGAUCAGAUCGUAGAAACUUUAUUUUCUUGUUACGAUGAUUUUUUCACUUCACUCUGAAAUUCUUUGAACUUUUCAAAUGUUUCAGACUUAUGUUUCAUCAAGUAGAUAUACUCAUAUCUGCUCAAAUCAUCUUGUGAAGAUCAGAAAAUAAUGAUACCUGUCGCGAGCCUCAAUAUUCAUCGGACCACAUACAUCAGUAUGUAUGAUUUCCAACAAAUCUAUUGCUCGCUUCAUUGUUCUGAAGAAUAGAGUCUUAGUCAUCUUGCCCAUGAGGCAUGGUUCGCAAGCAUCAACUGAUUCAUAAUCAAGUGAUUCCAAAAGCCCAUCAGUAUGGAGUUUCUUCAUGCGCUUUACACCAAUAUGACCUAAACGGCAGUGCUACAAACAAGUUGCACUUAUCAUUAUUAACUUUGCAUCUUUUGGUUUCAAUAUUAUGAUUAUGUGUAUCACUACGAUCGAGAUCCAACGAACUAUUUUCAUUGGGUGUGUAACCAUAUAAGGUUUCAUUCAUGUAAACAGAACAACAAUUUAUUCUCUUACUUAAAUGAAUAACCGUAUUACAAUAAACAUGAUCAAAUCAUAUUCAUGCUCAACGCAAACACCAAAUAACACUUAUUCAGGUUCAACACUAAUCCCGAAAGUAUAGGGAGUGUGCGAUGAUGAUCAUAUCAAUCUUGGAACCACUUCCAACACACAUCGCCACUUCACCCUUAACUAGUCUCUGUUUAUUCUGCAACUCCCGUUUCGAGUUACUAAUCUUAGCAACUUAACUAGUAUCAAAUACUUAGGGUUUGCUAUAAACACUAGUAAAGUAUACAUCAAUAACAUGUAUAUCAAAUAUACUUAUGUUCACUUUGCCAUCCUUCUUAUCCGCCAAUCACUUGGGGUGAUUCCGUUUCCGGUGACCAGUCCCUUUGCAGUAGAAGCACUUAGUCUCAGGCUUAGGACCAGACUUGGGCUUCUUCACUUGAGCAGCAACUUGCUUGCCGUUCUUCUUGAAGUUCCCCUUCUUCCCUUUGCCCUUUUCUUGAAACUAGUGGUCUUAUCAACCAUCAACACUUGAUGUUUUUCUUGAUUUCUACCUUCAUUGAUUUCAUCAUCACGAAGAGCUUGGGAGUUGUUUCCGUUAUCCCUUGCAUAUUAUAGUUCAUCACGAAGUUCUACUAACUUGGUGAUGGUGACUAGAGAAUUCUGUCAAUCACUAUCUUAUCUGGAAGAUUAACUCCCACUUGAUUCAAGCGAUUGUAGUACCCAGACAAUCUGAGCACAUGCUCACUAGUUGAGCGAUUCUCCUCCAUCCUUUAGCUAUAGAACUUGUUGGAGACUUCAUAUCUCACAACUCGGGUAUUUGCUUGAAAUAUUAACUUCAACUCCUGGAACAUCUCAUAUGGUCCAUGACGUUCAAAACGUCUUUGAAGUCCCGAUUCUAAGCCGUCAAGCAUGGUGCACUUAAACUAUCAAGUAGUCAUCAUAUUGAGCUAGCUAAACGUUCAUAACGUUUGCAUCUGCUCCUGCAAUAGGUCUGUCACCUAGCGGUGCAUCAAGGACAUAAUUCUUCUGUGCAGCACUGAGGAUAAUCCUCAGAUCACGGAUCCAAUCCGCAUCAUUGAUACUAACAUCUUUCAACACAAUUUUCUCUAGGAACAUAUCAAAAUAAACACAGGGAAGCAACAACGCGAGCUAUUGAUCUACGACAUAAUUUGCAAAAUACUACCAGGACUAAGUUCAUGAUAAAUUUUUAAGUUCAAUUAAUCAUAUUACUAAAGAACUCCCACUUAGAUAGACAUCCCUCUAAUCCUCUAAGUGAUCACGUGAUCCAAAUCAACUAAACCAUAACCGAUCAUCACAUGAGAUGGAGUAGUUUUCAAUGGUGAACAUCGUUAUGUUGAUCAUAUCUACUAUAUGAUUCACGCUCGACCUUUCGGUCUCCGUGUUCCGAGGCCAUAUCUGCAUAUGCUAGGCUCGUCAAGUUUAACCUGAGUAUUCUGCGUGUGCAAAACUGGCUUGCACCCGUUGUAGAUGGACGUAGAGCUUAUCACACCCGAUCAUCACGUGGUGUCUGGGCACGACGAACUUUGGCAACGGUGCAUACUCAGGGAGAACACUUCUUGAUAAUUUAGUGAGAGAUCAUCUUAUAAUGCUACCGUCAAUCAAAGCAAGAUAAGAUGCAUAAAAAUAUAAACAUCACAUGCAAUCAAUAUAAGUGAUAUGAUAUGGCCAUCAUCAUCUUGUGCUUGUGAUCUCCAUCUCCGAAGCACUGUCAUGAUCACCAUCGUCACCGGCGCGACACCUUGAUCUCCAUCGUAGCAUCGUUGUCGUCUCGCCAAUCUUUAUGCUUCCACGACUAUCACUACCGUUUAGUAAUAAAGUAAAGCAUUACAUCGCGAUUGCAUUGCAUACAAUAAAGCGACAACCAUAUGGCUCCUGCCAGUUGCCGAUAACUCGGUUACAAAACAUGAUCAUCUCAUACAAUAAAAUUCAGCAUCAUGCCUUGACCAUAUCACAUCACAACAUGCCCUGCAAAAACAAGUUAGACGUCCUCUACUUUGUUAUUGCAUGUUUUACGUGGCUGCUACGGGCUUAAGUAAGAACCAAUCUCACCUACGCAUCAAAACCACAACGAUAGUUUGUCAAAUAGACUCCGUUUUAACCUUCGCAAGGACCGGGCGUAGCCAUACUUGGUUCAACUAAAGUUGGAGAGGCAGUCGCCCGCAAGCCAUCUCUGUGCAAAGCACGUCGAGGGAACCGGUCUCGCGUAAGCGUACGCGUAAGGUUGGUCCGGGUCGUCUCGUCCAACAAUACCGCCGAACCAAAGUAUGAUAUGCUGGUAGGCAGUAUGACUUGUAUCGUCCACAACUUACUUGUGUUCUACUCGUGCAUAUAACAUCAACAUCAAUAACCUAGGCUCGGAUGCCACUGUUGGGUUUCGUAGUAAUUUCAAAAAAUUUCCUACGCACACGCAAGAUCAUGUGAUGCAUAGCAACGAGGGGAAGAGUAUUGCCUACGUACCCUACGCAGACCGACUGCGGAAGCGAUGACACGACGUAGAGGAAGUAGUCGUACGUCUUCACGAUCCAACCGAUCUAGCACCGAAACUACGGCACCUCCGAGUUCGAGCACACGUUCAGCUCGAUGACGAUCCCCGAACUCCGAUCCAGCAAAGUGUCGGGGAAGAGUUCCGUCAGCACGACGGCGUGGUGACGAUCUUGAUGAACUACAGCAGCAGGGCUUCGCCUAAACUCCGCUACAGUAUUAUCGAGGAAUAUGGUGGCAGGGGGCACCGCACACGGCUAAGGAAUCGAUCACGUGGAUCAACUUGUGUCAACUUGUGUGUUUAGAGGUGCCCCUGCCUCCGUAUAUAAAGGAGGAGAGGAGGGGAGGCUGGCCGGCCAAGGAGGGGAGGCGCAGGAGAGUCCUACUCCCUCUGGGAGUAGGAUUCCCCCUCCAAUCCUAGUCCAACUAGGAUUCCUCGGAGGGGAAAAGAGGAGGAGGGGGCCGGCCACCUCUCCUAGUCCUAAUAGGACUAGGGGAAGGGGGGGCGCGCAGCCCAUCUAGGGCAGCCCCUUCUCUUUUCCACUAAGGCCCACUAUGGCCCAAAUAGCUCCCGGGGGGUUCCGGUAACCCUCCCGGUAUUCCGGUAAAAUCCCGAUUUCACCCGGAACACUUCCGAUAUCCAAAUAUAGGCUUCCAAUAUAUCAAUCUUUACGUCUCGACCAUUUCGAGACUCCUCGUCAUGUCCGUGAUCACAUCCGGGACUCCGAACAACCUUCGGUACAUCAAAAUGCAUAAACUCAUAAUAUAACUGUCAUCGUAACCUUAAGCGUGCGGACCCUACGGGUUCGAGAACAAUGUAGACAUGACCGAGACACGUCUCCGGUCAAUAACCAAUAGCGGGACCUGGAUGCCCAUAUUGGCUCCUGCAUAUUCUACGAAGAUCUUUAUCGGUCAGACCGCAUAACAACAUAUGUUGUUCCCUUUGUCAUCGGUAUGUUACUUGCCCGAGAUUCGAUCGUCGGUAUCCAAUACCUAGUUCAAUCUCGUUACCGGCAAGUCUCUUUACUCGUUCCGUAAUACAUCAUCUCACAACUAACAUAUUUAGUUGUAAUGCUUGCAAGGCUUAUGUGAUGUGUAUUACCGAGAGGGCCCAGAGAUACCUCUCCGACAAUCGGAGUGACAAAUCCUAAUCUCGAAAUACGCCAACCCAACAUCGACCAUUGGAGACACCUGUAGUACUCCUUUAUAAUCACCUAGUUACGUUGUGACGUUUGGUAGUACCCAAAGUGUUCCUCCGGUAAACGUGAGUUGCAUAAUCUCAUAGUCAUAGGAACAUGUAUAAGUCAUGAAGAAAGCAAUAGCAACAUACUAAACGAUCGGGUGCUAAGCUAAUGGAAUGGGUCACGUCAAUCAGAUCAUUCUACUAAUGAUGUGACCUCGUUAAUCAAAUAACAACUCAUUGUUCAUGGUUAGGAAACAUAACCAUCUUUGAUUAACGAGCUAGUCAAGUAGAGGCAUACUAGUGACACUAUGUUUGUCUAUGUAUUCACACAUGUAUUAUGUUUCCGGUAAAUACAAUUCUAGCAUGAAUAAUAAACAUUUAUCAUGAUUAUAAGGAAAUAAAUAAUAACUUUAUUAUUGCCUCUAGGGCAUAUUUCCUUCAAGCUCCGGUUCGGAUGGAUCUGGGAGUGCUUGCUAUCACUGUGAAGUGCGGGGAGAGAGAGAAGGGUUGUAGGAGAGGAGGGAGGGGCGAUCCUUCUGGGGUGGGAGGGAAGCGGAUGGGAGAGGAGAGGCCGUCGGCGGCGAGCUGUGGGACGGAGGAGGCAGUGGGUGGGUGGCGGCGUGAGGAGGGAAGGAGGCAUGGCUCGGGUGCGGCGCGAGGGAAGCUAGGGUUUGGACGAGGGGGGGUGAGACGGACAAGGGGUGAGAGUGUGAGGGGGACAAGGGCUGCCGUCGGAUCGGGCAGUAUCCGACGGUGUUGAGCAUGAUCCGCGUGAGAGGCUUAUAGACCAAUCAGAACGCAGUAAACACUUUGAAGAUGUUAUGACAAUUUAAAUUGGUUGUAGUUUAAUAAAAAUAAGGUUUUUCACAAGAAAAGCAUUUUGUAUUUUUCGAGUAACAAUGAUUGUUUUUUAAAGAUCUACCAAAUAUUUGUUGCAAAAUGACACCACACCAUUUUUAGGAAUCAUUAGACCAUAUUUUAUGUCCAAUUGACCAAACAGUUUGUUCUCAAAAUAUUUUCGAGUGCCCGAAAAAAGGUUUUUUUUUUG